AGAGCUGAAGACCUAGCAGCGAAGACUUGCAAAGGUUGAAGCACCUGAUCGACUCGAUAAACAGCCAGCUGACCAUCGGUAUAAAUGGUAUCACUAACACUGGUUUUCGUCAGCCCUGUCUUUAGAACCACUGUGUUUCCCGAAGAGGUGACGUUGAGAGGAAACUCACCGUCGCCGCUAUCUCCGGCUUGUGUUCUCAUAGGGUUGCUAACUGUUUGGAAUUGGGAUAAUGGGAUAUAACUUGGGAUGACGUGAAAUAGCACCAGCUGAACCCUUUGUUCAUCGUUGAGUGAAUUCAAGGCACCAGAUUUGAGGGCGGAGAAAGCCUUAUCAGUGGGGGCAAAAAUGGUCUUCCCAUCAUCUGUGUCUUUGAGCUCGCCAAUGAGACGGUCGGAGACUUGGGUGGAUUUGAGAAGACGAACGAAGACGGAGUAUUGGCCGGCUUUUUGCAGGAUUUUGGUGACGUCUGGUGGACCAGGUGGUGCGGGAGACUGAGCGGGAGGCUGGGCUGAAGUUGUUGAGCAAUGGAGCUGGAAAAACAAGAGAAAUGAGAUAGCGAAAAGCGGGAUCAAAUGUUGCUUCGUAAUCGCCAUUGUUGAAGGGGUUUUGGUAUGUGUGGGAAAUUGUUGAUUUGGCAAUGGAAGCAAUGGAAAAUGGAAUGGAAUAUAAGGAGAAGAGGGAAUGGAUAAAACACUGUUAGAGCAAACCAUUGAUUGCUUGGAAAGAAAGUAAAAACAGAGGAGAUUUGGAGUUUGAUGUGUGAACCAAUUAAUAUUAACAAUGAUGUAAUGAUUGUUUAUGUUUUUGCUAACAUUAAAAUCCCAACGAUCACAAAUUUGUUAAAAUGUAACUUUUUAAAUAAUUAUAUUGAAUCUGUUAAUAAUAAAAUUAAAAUUAGAAAAUUUUAAAGGACUUAAAAAUAAAUAUAAUUAAAUUUAUUUAUAUAAUUAAAUAUUGAUUAUAAUUAUUUUUUCUCUUGUAGGUGUUGGGUGUAGGAUUUUAGGUUUUUAAUUUCGAAAUUUAGAUGAUUGAUAUUUUUUUUUAUGUUUAAUAUUUAUUUUUAAAUACAUUUUUAUUUUUAUUUUUAUUAAUGGUACAUAAGAUGUAUACACCAAUGGUGUAUCAAACAUUCUCUCUUAUAUUAAUACUACUUUUCUAUCCCAUGCACAAACUACUAUUUUAUUUUAUAAAAUUAUUAUUUAAAUAAUAUCAUAUUAAUUAAAAAUAUUAAUGAUAUAAUAUUUAAAAGAUAUAUACAACUUAAAAAAUAUUCUUUUUAAAUUAUAAAAUAAUAUUUAAAACAAAAAAAAUGUAUGCAAAUAAUUUUAGUUGAUAAUUUCAAUAAAUAAAUUAAGAAUCAUCGUUUCUUUUAGCUUCGUCAAUGUCACAAAUAGAAUUUAAAAUUUAUUGUUACAAUAUUAAUAUAAAAUAGCAUUCUAAAAUCAAUUUAUUUUUGAAUGUUUUAACUUAAAUCCGAAUUUAUAUUGUAAGAGGCUAAGAGGUAAAUAUUUUUAAAAAUAGUCAUGAAAAUAUCACUAUAUAUUACAUAGUUUUCUUAUCCGGCGUUACAUGGAUUUACGUGUGUAAAUAAUUCAAAAUAUAAUAUGUAGUUUUUUAAUCCGUGCAAUGCACAAAUAGUUCAAAGUUUUAAAAUAUGUGAGUAUUUUGUAGAUAUUAAUAUUUAUUUUAAAUUAAUGUUUUUUUUUAAAAUAAAUAUAAUUAAUAAUUGUAUUUAAUUUGAGAUAUGAUUACAUGUCACCAUGAGUUUUAACUAAAAUUGAGUCAACAUUACAAAUAAAAUGAGUAAAAAAGUAUGUUAAAAAAUGAAAACUUGAAUCUAGCAAAAUUCUAUUAAAUUGGGUAGUCUUAUGUGAGUUGAAUAAAGAAAUGGAACUCCUGAUUCCUCCGUAUCAGUUGGGAGUUUAAAAGUUUGUAAUAUAAUUUAUGUAUGAUAUAAUAUAAAACACCUUUAUUUUAAAAAUAUAAUUCAUAAAACAAAUUGAUCGAAUAGUGUAAUUUUGACAGCAUAUAUGUGUAAAAAGUUUAAUUAGGUUUUUAAAAACCUUUAUAUAUUGUAAAUAAAUUAAAUAUAUAUAUAUAUAUAUAUGGGCAAUAUGCUAACUUUUGUUUUAAUGUUUGAAUAUCGAAUAUAUUAACAUAUAUAAGUAACUAUAUUCUUUUUACUUGCAAAUCAAAAAUGUGUUUAUUUGAUUUGUAAUUUUGAUAAAAAUGUUUUAUGAUAAAUAUGUAUAUAUGCAUGUCUAUAUGUUAUGGGUCGCGGAUCAAAGCUCGUAACUAAUGUAUGAGCAUUCCGUUGAGGCUAACUGAUUCAAUAGGGCUCAUUCGACUUACUUGAAAUGACUCAAUUCGUGAAGUAUGGAGAAGUUAACCCAUCUACUUGAAACCUUGAUGGCCCAGUGAAGCACUUAAGCAAAAUUAGGGCUACAUUGGUAAUCUUAGGGGAUCAUGUAAAUCUCUUAAGGAUCUCAAAUUGUAGAUUGACUUAAUCUCGACCGUCAAUGUAAAGUAAACUUUAUCAUUGGAUCUGGUGGAGCUUAACUAUAAAUAAAGGUAUUCCCCCACAUUUAUAAUCACCCCAUAGAAUCUCAAUAUAUUUUAUUCAAACUUAGUGAAUAUACUUUGACAUAGAGGUGCUCAUGGGUUGGGUCGGGUUCAACAAAAAAUUUAGGCCCGUUUGCUAGGCCCAAAAAUGGGCCUAAAAUUUUGCCAAGCUCGGGCCUGACCCGCCCGUAUUGAUUUUUUAUAUAAUUUUUAAAUAUAUAAUAUAUAAAAAAAUACUAAAAACCCAAUCGGCCCAGCCUAUGAGCAGGUCUACUUUAAGAGCAUUUGCUCAAACACCUUGUGGGUGUUGCUUUCUCUUUUGUCUUUGAGUUGUUUUUGCUUUAUUUUCGGUAAAUUAGAGAAUUUCUGUUGAGAAUUUUCACUUUGCGAGACUUAGGUUGAUUUAGAUGGAUUUGAAACCAAAAAAUCACUGCAGAAAUUGUGAAACUAAAGUUCUAGCCCCGUGACAUAUAGCUAUAUUUAUUAGCUCUGUAACCAUUUUUUAAAAUCUUAUACUAUGGUUCAUAAUUUUGCGUUCAAACAAUACACACAUAGUGGCGGAGCCAAAAAAAUUAUUUUUGGGGUGCCGGAAUUAAAUUGUAUAUUUUUAUGAUAGUAAAAAUGUAAUUUCACUAUUUUAAUAGUUUAUAUAUUUAUAAUUUUUAAAGGAUUAAAUUAAUUUUUUUCAUUUGGAGGCCAAAAUGUAAUUUUAUCGUCAUUAAUUUAAAGUUUUAUAAAUUAUAAAUGGCCUAAAUAAAAAAAAUUUCAUUCUAGGGGCCAAGACCCUUAUCUGCCCCUAGCUCCGCCACUGUCCACACAUGUAUUAAUAAAUAUUAAUUAAAUUUAUUGUGCAUUUUAUUUAAUUGUGUAUUUAUUUUUCAACUGUGUUUAAUAAUUAAAAUUUCUGCAAAGAAAAUAAUAGAUUUUGAAUAUAUAUUAUACAUUAAAAUAUAGCUAAAAUUGGAUCACACGUGUAUGCCCAUGCAAUGUGAAAAUAUUAGAAGAUAAAAUUAUAAUGAAAAGUGUAUGGAAAUAAAGGUUACAAUAUACUGUUUUAAAAUUGCAUUAAGUAAGAUUUGUUGAAUACGAAUUACAUGUUGAUUGGUGUGCAGUGAUGUCCAUCCGUUUUAUUCUUUAAUUGGAUCUCAAAUGCGCAUAUAUAUAUAUAUAUAUAUAUAUAUAUGAAAGUGAAUAAAUAAAAAAAUAAAUGUAAAAAAUGGAGAGAACGUGAAUUGGUGUAAAUAUAGGGUAUCCAUCUUGUUAUAUGAUAUAUAUGAUAUAUAUAAUAUCAAAAUAUUAAAGUAUUUCAAUGAAAUGAACUGAAAUGAUAUUUUAUAUAACUUAAAAAGUCUAAUCAUUUAAAUUAUUAAUAGAAAUAAGGUACAUGCAGGGAUUGGAUUGCUUGUAAAUACUAAAAAAUGCGAGACCUUAUAUAUUAAAUUAUAAGUAAAUAAAAUUAUGUAUUUUACCCAUAACUUCCCAUUAUACAGUUUUACUUUCAUAAAAUUGACAUCCAUUAUUAUAAUAUUUAGUUUUCAGAACGAUAAAGAGGAAAUAAUAAUUAAUACAUAGUUAUUUAUUUUGUAAUAUGAUCAUAUUAAAAUUAUGGUUAUUAUGUAUUCAAUGGAGGUAUAUAAAUAUAUGAUCAUUAUAUCAAUUUAAGUUAUAAUAUAUAAGUGAAUUUAUGUUGAAUCCUUUUAAAUUGUUAAAUUAUUAAAUAUUUUGAAGAGAUAAUUUGGUUAAAAAUUAUAAAAUUAUAGAAAAAAUUGAGAUGCGCCACUUGUCAUUGUAUACCUUAUUAUAUAAGUGUGUAAUAGUUAGAAAUUUAUAUUAAAAUUGAAUAAAAAGGGUAUGGGUUUUUGUAAUAUAAUCUUAUAUAUUGAAUUUAGAAUUAAAUAUUAUAUGAGAUCAAAUAUUAUUGAUUUGAUUGCACCGCAUCCUAUGAAAAUGGGUAGUGGUUUGGAAGGUGACACCAUUGCCAUCAAUGUUAGCCCUUAAAAUUUUGCUGCCCUUUCCCUUUCUUUGCGCUCUCUUUCCCUUUUCUUUUUAUAAAUACAUACCUCAUCAUUAUCAUCUCUCAAUAAUACAAAUAUAUACAUAUAUUAUGUAUAUUUUUUAAAAUUAUUUUCCCACAAAUGGAAAGUAAAAGAAAUGCUGGUACAAAAUUUUUAAUUUAUUGGUCGCAAAGGAAAACACAGUCACCAUUUGUUCUCUUAUUCUUUCAUCAUUAUUGCUUUGUUCUAAAUAUACAAAUUCUACCUUCUUUUAACAAGUGUUACACAUGUGUGCGUAAAUAUUAUAUUUCUUUAUUAAAUAUAAUUUUUAUCGAUAUCAAAUUUUAGUAUUAAAUACAUGCAAUAUAAGAUUUAUACUUACAAUAUAAUGUAGGGAAAAAAAAGAGUUAAAAUUACAUAAUUUCACAAUCUUAAGUUAAUAUGAGAAAAUGAAUUAAUUCAAAUAUUUGCUAAUAAUAAAUAUUAUUAAAAUACAUUAAUAUUAUUUUUUAUUUAAUAAAGAUAGUUUCGUAAAGUAGCAUUGCAUUACAUUACAUUAUUAGAAAAAUAUUGAAUGUACCAAAUAUAUUAAUAUCAUUUUUUUUAAGAUUUUAAUCACUACUUUCCAAUACAUUCCAAAUAUAAUAAAGUAAUUUUGACAUUUCAAUCAGUCAUAUUUCAAAAUUAUAUUCUAUUGAAAUUACAGUAUUAAAAAACACAAAACACCUCCUCCUAGUGUCAGGGACCAUAAUUCAAAGCUCGUGAUCAUCGCACCAAAUGCAUUUGAUAGAGGUCUAUUGUGUAGAUGGGGAUCAUUUGGCCCGCAAGAACUGACCCAAUUCGGUAAGCUGUUGGAGAAGCCUGUCAAAUUGAAGCCUAGUUGGCCCGAUAAUAAAGAUUUGGCAACUUAGGUUAUUUUGGUAAUUAAUUUUAAAAGAUUGAUAGAAUCAUAUCUUGUAAAGAUUUGAUUUGAUAUGGCAUAUCUUGUAAAUUCCUAAAAUCAAUGGAUAUAGUUAAUCUCGUCUGUAGAUGUAAAUGUAUCUUGACCAUCGGUUUUGGGGAGCUCAACUAUAAAUAGAGAGUCUCCCCUCAUUUGUACGCACUCCAUUCAUUAUUUCAUUAUUCUUUGUGAAUAAUAGAAUAUAAAGAGCAUUUACUGAAGCACCUUGUGUGCAUUUUUUCUGUUGUUCUUUUGUUGCUUCUUUUGGCAUAAAUUAUUUUUCGCUAUACAAAUUGGUGCCUUGGAGGACUUUUAAAGGAAUUCUCACUUGAGUAAAGGCUAACCUAGGUGAAUUUAGACGAACGAAUCGCCUAAAACCGCACGAAUCACAUAAAAAAAAUUUAAGUGUGUAACUGUGAGAAUAUGUGAGUUAAAAUUUAGAAAGAGCAACAAACAACAAUCAUUAAUAAUGUGUUGUUCACCUUUCAACUCUUUCAAUCUGUUACUUUUGCAGAAAAAUGGAGAGAACAACCACCAAACUCACAUUUAUUGCAAAUUUUUUAUAUCUGAAGGGAAACUCUUUUCAUGAAUCUUGUAUCUGAUCAUGAAAGGAAACUCAGGCAAUAAAUCAAAAAAAUGAAAUGAAAUGGAUAAGAAAAUUUGCUUUUGUUACAGCUUUAGCCAUUUUUUGUUCUGAAGGAGAAGGAUUUUUUUUUUUCAUUUUUUCUUAGCUUUAGACUCUAAUUAGAUGAAGAUUAAAAAUAACAAUAAUGGUGAGAAUAAUUAUUGUAGUAGUGAGAGUAUUAUUAUAAUGAUGAAAUUAAAAAGGUCAUGAGAUGUAUGUUUUAAUUUAAUAAUAGUGAUAAUGAGGUGAAAAUAGAAAAUGAUCAUCUAUAUCAAUAUUCAAAUGUGUAUACAAAAUAAAAUUAAAAUAUUGUAUCUAUAUUAAAUAAUAAUUAAAAAGUAUUAAAAUCAUAUCUUUAUAAAAUUAAAUUAAUUAUAAUAAUCUGUAUAUUAACUAAUAAUUAAAAUUAUAUUUUUUAUAAUAAAAAAUUUAUAAAAAUAAAAUGCCAUUAUAUAACAACAUGAUUAAUAAUAUCUUUUUUAUAAUUAUUAUAUUUAUAUUAUAUUAUAUUAUAUUUAAUUUUAUAAAAUUCACUUUCAAAAAAAAUUCAUAAAACCCAACCCCAAAAUUGGAAUGAAUAAAAACAAAAAUUUUUAAAAAAAAUUAAAGUGGUAAAAAGCAUUUUCACCUAAGUGGCUUUUUUUCAUUAGACUAUAAACUUCCAGUAGAAAAUAGGAGCUCCAAUGGAUUAAAACACACAAAAGUGAGUUGUAAAUUAACCGAGCUUAAUAAAUACAAUUAUGUUUAUUUUUAAGUCUGUUCAUGUUUAUUAGAAAUUUUAAAAUUUUUGUUUGUGUUUGUUUAUUUAAAAUUAUGUGUAUUCGUAUUCGUUUGUUUAAGUUAAAUGAACAAGUUCGUGAACAUUAAACAAACAUAUAUAAUUGAACAUGUUCAUGAACAAUAUUUAUAAAUAAUAAAUAAACAAACAAUAAAUAAACAUAUAUAUUAUUUUUAGAUAUAAAAUAAUCAAAUAUAAAUAUUAAUAAUUAUAUUAUAAAUAAUAGCCACAAACCAUAAUAAUUUUAUUAAUAUAUACUAAUGGAAUAAUAAACAAGUUUUAAGCAAACAUAAACGAGCUUGUUCACGAACAUGAAUGAACUGAACAAGCUUUGUUUGUGUUCGGUUCGUUUAAUAAACGAGCCUUAAAAUCUUGUUUAUAUUCGUUUAUUUAGCUUAAUAAAUAAACAUAAACAAAUAAAAAUUGAUUUGUUCAUAAACUAUUCAUCGAACGCUUUAUUCAUUUACAUCUCUACACAAAAAUAACCACGAUUUGCUAUCUAAACCGAAAACCAAUACAUUCCCCAAUAUUCUAUCUUACCAUGGGUUCUUUUGAAUCUAAGUGGAGUCUUAAGAAUUUUCUUUUGUUCCCAAUUGAAGUGAAGGCAAACCAAAAUAUGUUUUGCACCCAUUUUCAUUUUCAUUAAUUCCUAAUCGAAGGAGAAGGAUAAUGAAUUUUUGAAGGUAUUAGCUCUUCUUAUUUUAUCGUUAUUUUUUUGGCUCAGCAAUAAAUUUAUUUUAUUAAACAAAAAGGAAAAAAUUAUAAUACCCUAAACCCGACUUAAAUGAAAAGGCUAAGUUUAUAAUGUUACGACGUCUUACCAGAAAAAGUCAUACGUAAAGCAAGACGUUCACCAUCGUUAUAUAAUAAAACAACCACUAUCCAAAACACAGUCAAAUCCUAGAAGUUAGAGACAAUGCAAAACUAAUCAUAGGUUCACACACAUAUAUAAGUCCUAUAGGUGACCGAGUCCUACGCCUAUCGGCCGCUUAUUCCUGAGAGUUCCCUGAAAUUCAUUCAAGCAGUUAGUGUGCUGCAUUGUAAAACGUAAUAUAAACAGACUAACCUAUAUACAAAAAUUCAAAUAUUAUUGAUUAUUCGGAUAAUAAUUCGUCUACUCAAAUAGAUCAAUAACUUAAUCGGAUCCAAGCACAACAAUCUUGAUGCAUAGAAGAUUGAUACAAAUGCACGUAUAACACCAAUACAAUUAUGUGCACACGUCAUACAGUACAGAUGGAGAUGAAAUUUCCUAUUCCAUCUGCUACACGCCAUCUCCAUCCACCUUACCCACCAACAGGUAUAUAAUACACAUCCAUCCCUACACAUUUCAUAGUGUCGAUAUGACACGUUGCAGUGUUUAUAGUCUCACUACCAGAUCAAAUAGUAUCAUGGGUGGUUUGACCACCAGUUCAUUACAGAAUACUUCUUUCAAACCAUAACUCCCGCCCCAUGCAAAUGCAUAACAGACAACAGAUAUCAAUACGUAUUUCAGAUGUAGUUACAAUUACACAUUCCAAAAUAACUGAGUAUAAAUAAAACCAGUUUAUGGUCACAAUAAAACAGAUCAUCCAGUUCAAUACAGUGAUGCCUAUCUUAUAAUAGUCUACACUCGCCUCAUACUAUAAUUACGGCAUUACCGAAGUUGGUGAUUUGGGCUCAUACGCCCAAAUAGUGGUCCGUUUCACCCCAUACAGCUUGGCACACGACCAUGUGGUUACCUGUGUGCCCUAGUUAUCAAUUCAGUGAGUUACACAGCCUGGACACACGUCCGUGUGCUAGCCCGUAUACCUCACACGACUCGGCACAUGCCCGUGUCCCCUACCCGUGUGACUCCAAGUCUAAACUCAGGGAGUUACACAACCUAGACACACAUCCGUGUGUCCUACCCGUGUGACUCCAAGUCUUAACUUAGGGAGUUACACGACCUGGAUACACGCCCGUGUGACUUACUUGUGUGACCUCAAAUUCGAACUCAAAGAGUUACACGGUCUAGACACACACCCAUGUUUCUUUCCCGUAUGACCUACACGACCUGCACACACGCCCAUGUGGCAUCGACAACCUCAUUUUUGAAGGAGAAAAAAGCAGAAAAAGCAAGGGUUUCAAUACCCACCUGUUACACGUCGCUAUAGAGGCACCAACUUGCAAAUUCCAAGUCUAAAACAAGUUUCAAACAUUCAAUUCAACAAAACCUUCACAAAAUACGUAAGUAACAGCAAUCGAACUUCGUCGAAACUUUCAACUCACUACAUGAAACUGUUGAAAGACUACUUACUGCGAAUUCCCAGUACCCAUUCAGUUCCUAAGUAAAACAAAAGGUGUUAGGCAUCUAUUGAAUCUUUCUUAAUGUAUAGAAACACAACGCACAACAAGUUAACAAACCUUGAGAUUUUUGAAGAGUCCUCAAAUCGCACAAUAACACAAAAUGACAAACAAUUGACUCAACUUACCUUGAAGCACACCAGAACAAGUGAUAACACGAUCUAACGUAGCAAUUUACAUAGGAAGAACAAGAUAAAAGAGAAUUAAGAAAGAUGUAAACGGGAAAAAAAAAGAAAAAACAAAUUGGGGAAAAUAGAAAAAAAGCGUCUAUUAACAGUAUAAUAAAGUAUAUUUAAAAUUCAGAUCAGUUUUAUAGGAAAAAAUGCAAAAAAAAAACAUCAUUGUUGCAUACAUAGUGACUCAAACACGAAACUAGAGAAUAGAUAGGUAAUUGACCAGUGAACCAGCAUGCUCAUUCUUGACACAAAAAUGCACAGAACUAAACUUAAACAAGGAAUCCUAAGCUAAGGGUUCAAGUAAGGAACUUAACAAAAUUCCAAAAUUUAUGUGACUCAAACCUCAGAUCUCAAGUGAGCAAACAGAAAACACAUUCAUCGACACAACUUAGAAAUAAAACUCAAAUUUUGGGGCAUUACAAAAAUUCUGUCAUACGAGAUUGAAGCAUCCAAAGAAGGAAACAAAACACCUUAAACAAGAUGCAAGAGACGGACACCAAAACCUAUGACAACACCAACUUCACCCCUCAACGUCCCACACAAAAAAAGCAUCACCAAGAACCUUUCAUAAUCAAUACCUGCAUCUUAAGCCCUUCCACCGUACUCAAAAUUCAUAGCCAUAUUUCCAGCAAGACACCAAAUGUAACAACCCAUUUUUCAGUGGGGUCAGAAAUAGUGGUUUCGGGGCCAUCAAAUCUGACAAGUAAGUUCGUAAAUAUUAUUAUUUAAUAUUUACGAGUCAAAUAUAGUUUUUAAAAGAUUUUUGAUUUGAUAAGUUAUGCUUUUUGAAUGAUUAAUUAAGUUUAAGUGGUAAAACCCUAAGGUCAAGUGAUUUUAAAAAAUGGUGUAUCGGGACCUCAUUUCUAUAAAUCGAGCCGUAAAUAUUUUUAUAAAUAUUUACGGAGUGUCAUUAAGGUGGUAUUAAAAUUUUGUUGGAAAAUUUUAACGUUUCGAUAGUUAAUUAAUUAAAAAGGACUAAAUCAUAAAAGAUGUAAAAUUUGAUCACUAUUGGAUUUAAGUGAUUAAAUGGCUUAAGGAAUAAAGAUAAAGGGACUUAAAUGGUAAUUAAACUAUGGUCAAAGUUUCCAAGCGGUGGUGUCAUGAUUGAAUCCACUAGCUUUUGGAUUGAUUGUUCUUUUAGUCUUAAUUAGUUUAGGAUUAAAUUGUAAAUAAGUUUAUUAAGUUAGAAUUUAAUUUAAUUGAAGGACCAAUUGUGAAAUUAAACCUUCCUUUGAUGGUAAUUAUGCCAUAUAUUUAUGCGAUGGACAAUUAUGGUCAUGAAAUUGGUGUUUUAUUUGUUUAUUAACCAAGGUUAAAAUGGUAAUUUGAUAAAUUAAAUUAAAAUAAAAUAAAAACAAAAGGUUAAUUUAAUAUAAUCUUUUUUGUUUCUUCUUCAACAACCAAAAACACCAUGGAUGUUGAGAUGAAGCUUUCGGCUAUGUUUCAUUUGAUGCAUGUAAGUUCGUUUUAGUCCCGUUUCUUUUAAUUUUUAUAUUUUUGAGAUCGUUGCAACUAGGUCCAGCUUGCCCGUACCUUCGAUUUUGAAACUGUUAAAGAUUUUGAAUGUUUCCAUUGAUGAACCUUGUGAUUUUAGAUAUUAAAUGAUGAAUUUAAAAUGUUGGUUGAUAUUUAAAAGUAUUUUAUUAAGUAAUUUUUGAUGAAUUUUUUUAUUAGGGGUUAAAUUAUUAAAUUAAUAAAAUUACAAGAAUUUAAUGUGAAAUUUUUACAUAAAUGAGCUGUUUCGGAUACCGUGAACAUUCAUCUAAGCUCAAUUUAGGGUAAAAUGGUUAAUUUGCAUGUUUUGGGCACAGGGAUUAAAUUGAAUAAAAGUAAAAAUUUAAGGGUAAUUUUGUAAAAAUGUCAAAAUGACUAAAUUACAGUAAAUGAAUUUUUUUGUCUAAAUUAAUAUAUCGAAUGAAAUUAUUAAUUUAAAUCAAGGUCGAGUAGAAAAUCGGGGAGAAUGGAAAAUUAUCAAAAUGCCCUAUACUUUGACAUUUAUGCAAUUUAGCCAGGUAAGUUCAUAUGGUUAGAAUUUAACAUCAAUAUGAAUUUUUUUGAGUAGAUUAACAUAGUACAACUUGUAUAUUUAUUUUUAAUUAGUGAUAAUUAAUGGUAAUUUGAGAUAUAAUAUUGAAUUUGAUUACUCAGAUUAGAUUGAAUGAAGGAUAGAGUACAAUCGUGAUUUGGUGUGUUACAGGGGAUUGGAGUGGAGAUGAUUACGGAGUGAUGUAUAUUCCUAUUACCCGAGUAAACUGAGGUUCAACAUUUGUUGUGAACUCUCGUGUUAUAUACUCUGUUUGGUGUGUUGGUUGGAUAAGCUCUUAUGAGCAUUGGUGUGUUUGGUUGGACUGACGAUGUACUCUUAUCCAUAAGUCUUUAUUAGUAUGGAAAAUCUUGGUAAGGUAAUUUGUUUAAUGAAUUUUAAAUAUUUGUUAUUUAUUGAAUAUUAACCUGAACAUAAAUGAAUUCAUCAGUUGAGAUUGUGGAUGAUGUUUAGGUUUGUGCUAAGUUUUUGGUUGCAUUAUAUCAUGUUUAAUAUUAAUGAUAUACAUUGAAAUGGUAAUUGUCCAAAUGUAAAUAUGCUUAUGUUCAUAAAAAUGGUGGUAAGAUUCAAAAGGUGUAAUUUCUUAUAAAAUGGUUUAUCAUGUGAUUAACCCCAAAUGAGUUAUAUACAUAAAUGCACUAACUUGUGUAUUAAUGAUGGUGAUUAGGCUUAUGUCAAGCUUGAGAUUAUGAUUGAUGUAUAUGCUUAUGUCUGGUAUUAUACAAAUGAAACGGUAAGAAAAGGUAAUGAAACAGUAAGUUCAUAAUUGAAAUAUGAUAUGAUGAAAAAGGGAUUGAUGAGUUGAAUAAUGUACUUAUAUAUGAGAAAUUACGUAUGUUAUGGUUGAACUUACCUAUGUUAUGAAUAAAUAUAUUAACUAGUUAAUUGAUGUUGUUAUUUAAGUUUUUGCUUAGUAAAUGGAAUGGAAAGUAAGUAAAGGAAGUUAUUCGUAGUUUUAUGAAAAGGUUAGUGAUGGUGUAAAAUAUUUUAUAAAAUCCUAUUAUGUUAGAAAUGAAAAUAUAUAUGAUAUUGAUAGACUUACUAAUUUAUGAGUUGGUGGUUACGUAGUUGAUAAAUCUUGAGGCAUUGGUAUAGUUUUAUAUUUAUCAUAUAAAGUUCAUUAUUGAAUUAGAAUAUUAUGUUUAAAGUUUGUACGAGCUUACUAAACAUUCAUUGCUUACGUAGUUGCUUAUCCCUUACUUUACAGAUUAUCGGAGGCUCGAUCAGUUUGGAAGCUCGUCAGAAAGAUCUAUCAAACUAUCCAGUAAUUAUAUCGGUAGAUUUUGAUGUCUUGGUUAUGGUUAUAAUUGCAUGUAUAGGUGGACUUAUAUCUAAAGUUUAGUUUAUGUUUAUGGCUUGUAAUGUUGCCUUAGAUUUAAGGUACUUAUGAUGUUCUUGAUGCCUUGUUGGUUGUGGUUGAUAUGGUCCAUUUGAUGUAUGUUUAGAAAUAACCAAAUUUGGUAUGUGUUAAUGUAUCUUUAAAUUACCAAAGUGGUAUGUGUUGUAUCGACCUCAAUAUGGCCAAGACAUUGUAUGCUUUGGAAAGGUCUUGAAUAGAUAUGCAUGAUUGAGAUAUGUUAUGCCUAAUAUGAUAAGGUUGAUAUGUGUCAAUUAUGUUAUGUAUUGGUAUGGAAACAAGUCAAUUGGUAAAUGGUAUAAAUGUUGUUAAAUGUGGUGAAGUUAUUUUUGAUAUGGCAUGGAAAUAGUAUUGAGAUAAGUUAGGUAUGUAUGGUUAAGGUUUGAACAAAUAUGCUCAUGUAUAUAUAUAAGUUGAUUCUUGAUGAUUGAGGUGUUUUUUGGCAUAUUGGUUGUAUGAACAUUUGGUAUGGAGAUUAGUCAUUCUUUGCAUAAUUUGAGUAUGUUUAAAGGUCUUGUAUACAUGUACAAAUUUCUUGUAGGUUUAUGCUUGAAAGGGUGAAAGAAAUAGCUUGGAAGUGACCAUUUUCUAGUCCACAUGGGUGUGUGUCUCAGUCGUGUGUGGCUAAGGAGCAAAAGGAGGAAUCCGCCCGAGGAGGUGCUCGCGUCUGGUUAGCUAGUUGGUGAGGCAAUAGCUUACCAAGGCGAUGAUCAGUAGCUGGUCUGAGAGGAUGAUCAGCCACACUGGGACUGAGACACGGCCCAGACUCCUACGGGAGGCAGCAGUUGUAACAGCCUGAUUUUGACCCUAAUCAGACAAAGUGGUUUCGGGACCAUAAAUUCGAGUCAAAAAAUAUUUUAAAAUUAUUAUUAGUAUUUGUAGUAUGUGAAUUACAGUGUGUGAAAUUUUCUUAUGAAAAUUUGAUCGUUUGAGUGCUCAAUUUGAUAAAAAGAGUUUAAUCGCGUAAAAUAAAAACUUAGGGAUUUAAUUUAAAAGCAUCUAUUUGUUGAUGUAUUUUUAAUUAGGAGGUUUAAAAGUGCAAUUAAACCACUAUAUGGAUAGUGGAUGGACUAACUUUAAUGUUUAUAUAUAUUAUAUUUAGUAAAUAAGGUUAGUUAAGUAAAUAGCCUUAUAUUACAUUAUAUGUUAAUUAAAAAUACAUAAAAUUAGGCUAGUUAUCAUCUUCUUCACCGAAUUUAGAAAAUAAAAACAAGGUUUGGAAGCUUGAAACAUUCGGCCAUUGUUGAGCUUAAUUUAAGGUUAGUCUUUGUUCAGUUUUUGAUAAUUUUUACAUUUUUGAGAUCGUUGUUUUGUGUACUACAAGACCCAUGCUUUAAUUUUUGAAUUUGGUGUUGAUUUUGUGAUAUGCCAUUGAUGAAUGCUUGAGCUUUGUGAUAGUUGAUGAUGAAUUAUGAAAGAUAUGUGAAAGAUUAACAUGUUUUGUCUUUGAAUUUUUGGUGAAAUUGAGUAAUUAGGGCUAAAUUGUGAAAUUAAAUUUUUGAGGGACUAAAAUGUGAAAUAAAUGAAAUAAAUGAAAUAUGUGGACUUGUAUGAGCACUAGGGAUAUUCGGCCCUUGUAUAGUGUAGACAAAUUUUGUGUAUUUUGUGUUUUAUGCAAUAGGGACUAAAUUGUAAAAAGUUUAAAUGUUAGGGGCAAAAUAGUAAUUUUCCCAUUUAUGUGUUUUUGGACUAAAUUGAAUCUGAUAAUAUUUCAACUAGCUCAUUUUGAAUAUAUUUAGAUCAAGAACCAAAGAAAUCGGAGUUAGAUCGAGGAAAAGCUAAAGUCGUCGACUAAUCAUCCGGUUUCGAUUUUACACUGUCUGAGGUAAGUCUAUUAGCUAUUUAGUUUUAUUAAAUCAUUAUAUAUGUAUGUAUAUCAAUUUUAUUUUUAUUAAGUUAAAAUUAAAAGUAUAUAAAUCGAAUUGAAAGUAUGAAAUUAUGUACAUAUAUAUGUGUUAGGUUCGAAUGACUAUGAAUAUGCAAAUAUGCAUAUAAAUGUCCUUGUAAUAAAUUUAGGUUUGAAUAUAUAUAUGUAUAAAUUAUAUUUGAAUAAACAUGUAUAUACAUGUAAAUUUUGUUGUAUUGAAUUUAGGUAUGGAAUUACAUAGGUAUGUGAUAUAUUCGAACAUAUGUAUGUAUAUGUGUAAAUAAUAUUUGAAUUUAGUUAAUGUUGUUUGUUAUAUAUGUUUACAAGAUGUCCGAAUAGAUAUAAAUAUAUGUGUAUAAAAUAUUUGUAUAAUUUGGAUCAAAUAAGCAUGUAUACUUAUGAAUAAAUACUUAUAUUGAGUAUAAAUAUGAAAUUAUACUUAUAUAUAUAUGUUAAAUUCGAAUAUGUAUGUGUAUAUAGGUAUAAGUUCUUGUUUCGAAUAUAAGUAUGGAAUUAUAUAUAUGUAUAUAUAUUUGUUAGAUUCGAAUAUGUAUAUAUCUAUAUGUAUAAGAUCUUGUAUUGAAAUGGUAUAUGAAAUUAUAUAGGUAUAUGUGGUAUUCGAAUGUUAAAGCUACAUAGUAUAUUAUAAAUUAAAUCUUAUGAUAUUAGUAAUAGAAUCUAAAGUAUGAGGUUAUAUAUAAAUAUGUUUUGGUUGAAUUAUUGAAUUAUCAAGUUAGAUUUGGUGAUUGAGAUUUAUAUAUCCAUGUGUUUUAAAGAUAUAAGUUAUGAAAUUUGAGCUGAAUCUUUAUGCAUGGAUUUUAUAUACAUAUAUAGUUUGAAAGUAAGAUGAUUCAGACUUUACAUCUUGCAGGCUUGAUGCUGGUGAAAUGUUUCAGACUUUACGUCUAGCAGGCUUGAUGCCAGUGAAAUGUUUCAGACUUUACGUCUAGCAGCUUGAUGCCGGUGAAAUGUUUCAGACUUUACGUCUAGCAGGCUUGAUGCCGGUGAAAUAUUUCGAACUUUACGUCUAGCAGGUUGAUGCCGGUGAAAUGUUUCAGACUUUAUGUCUAGCAGGCUUGAUGCCGGUGAAAUAUUUCAGACUUUAUGUCUAACAGGCUAAUUGUCGGUGUACUGAAUCAGGUUUUAAGCCUAGCAGGCUAAGCACCGGUGAAUCUGUUUAAAUUAUGUGAAUGUUCAGAUUCAUGUGUUUGAAGAAGUUGUGCAUAUAUUCGGCAUAGGUGGUUGAUAAAUGUAUAUAUAUAUGCAUCUGUUAUAUGUAGUUGAAAGGUAUAUAUAUAUGUAUGCAUUUGGCAUAUGAAAUUGAUGAGUAUCCAUAUACGCAAUUGGGGAUAUAUAUAUAUGUAUAUGUGUAUAAACAUUUGCUUAUAAGUAAAUGUUGAAUAAGAAUGCAUUCGCUUAUAUGCAUUAUAUAUGAGUUAGGUUAAAAGUUUAUGAUUGGUAUAUAUAUAUAUUUACACAGAUACGAAAUGUGAUUGGUAUUUUUGUAUAGGUUUGAUUAUAUGUACAUGUUAAGUACAUAUAUGCAUUUGGAUAUAUGCAGGUGAUAAUUACAUAUAUACAUUUGGUUAUAAUAUUUGUUAAGUAUAUGUAUAUAUAUGCAUUCGGCUAUUCAUGUUCAAAGUGUAUAUACAUUUGGAGCUAAUAUCUGUUAAGCAUAUAUGUAUAUAAGCAUUCGGCUAUUCAUGUUUAUAGUGAAUAUACAUUCGGUUUUAAGAGUUGAUAAUUAAGUAUGCAUUUGACUAUAUGUAAUAGUUAACAUAUAUAGUAUUUGUGAAUUCAUUAAGUGUAUCAGGAAAUUACAUAAUUAUUUAUAUAAUUUUUGUUAUGCUAUAGACUCACUAAGCUAGAAAAGCUGACUUUGUUUGUUUAUGUAUUUUUGUUUUAUAGACUUAAAGAUCAAGCUUCAAGCUCGGGGAUCGUCAGCAAGUUCAUCACUCUAUCUACUAUCUCGGUCUUAAACUGUUUAAAUUUUAACUAUGGCAUGUGCAGGCUAGAUAAAUGUUUUGGAAAGUCAUACUUUGAUAUAUUGUAUAUGAAAUUAAUAGCCAUAUGAAAAUGGCUUAUAUUCUUAUGCUUUAGCUCGAUUGUAAUAUUUUUGUUUUGUUUUAAAUGGUCAAAAAAGAAGUUUAAAAUUUUGCAUGUUUAAUAUUAGACCUAGCUAUUUAUAUGUAACAGUUAAAAUUAUUGAAUUAUACUGAAUGUCUGUUCUAAGUUGUGUUUUGAUUAGUAAUGCCUCUUAACCCUAAUUCGGUGACGGAUAUAGGUUAGGGGUGUUACAGCAGUGGGGAAUUUUUCGCAAUGGGCGAAAGCCUAACGGAGCAAUGCCGCGUGGAGUUAGAAGGCCCACGGGUCGUGAACUUCUUUUCCCGGAGAAGAAGCAAUGACGGUAUCUGGAGAAUAAGCAUUAGCUAUGACACGACCGUGUGUCCCCUGUAGUUUCUAAAGAUUUCAAGUCAACCAGUUACACGACCUGGCACAAGGGUGUGUGACUUGGCCAUGUGGCACAAGUCAGUGAGUAACACGGGCUAGAACACGGCCAUGUGUCCCUAUUUUGAAUGUUACACAGCCUGAAACAUGGGCGUGUGUCUCAGCCAUGUGAGGCACACAGCCAUGUAAACCCUACAGUUUGAAAAAUUUUAUCUUUUUCUAUGAAAUUCUAAAUGUUUCCGAUUUAGUCCCAAAUUGUUUCUAAAGUGAUUCUAAGGCCCCGAAGGCUCGAAUAAGGGACGUUAUGCAUGUGUUUGAAUGAAUUAUGUUAUGAUAUAUGAAAUUUUUAAGAAUGAAAGUUUUUAAGUUACAGUUUUCCCUGUAAUACUCCGUAACCUUAUUUCGGUGACAGAUACGGGUUAGGGGUGUUACACCAAAGAACACCUUGAAAUAGAAGUUAGUGUUGUGAGAUGACCAUUCAUGUAGCAUGCACAUUUGAUGAACCCUCAAAGAUUUGUGAACUCACAGUAAGUGGCGAGCUACCUUGUAACGCCCUCAACCCGACCCGAUUCACUGGAUUCGAAUUUUGAGUGUUAUCAUAUAAAACUUAAUUGUUUAACAAAAUCAGCUCACAAUUUUUUACUUCUUUAAAACAUUUCCUAUGGCAUUCCAAUUGAAAUUCUUAAUAUAUGAUGGAAAAUAAAAUGCCCUACCUUGUAACCGCUCGCAAGUUGCCUUUAAUGCUGAUAUGAUGGACCUAAUGAGAGCCACUUUAUAAUACCACUUAGGCCUAUUUUAGGAGGGGGAGUAGAUUGUUUUACAUCAAUAACCUGAGACCUGCACCCUAGAAAAGAUCCAAGCCUCUGACCCAUGACCCGGCCACGAGAGGACAACAAGGCGAACUAGAUUACAAAGCAAGGCUACAAACCCAACUCACAAGAACCUUGCGCGAGCUCAUAAGGUAGGAUCCCAGGUACAGCUCGCAGAGCCAACUCACAAGAACCUUACGCGAGCUCAUAAGGCAGGAUUGCAGGCACAGCUCGUAAAGCAAGCUCACAAGAUAAGGUUACAAACCUAGCUCGCAGAAACCUAGGGAAGGUCGCAGUCUCACCUCGCAUGUAUCCAAGGAACUCGUAGGAAGUGCCACAUGCUCCACAGGCCACCCAUACACGCAUCCAAUAGAUACAGAGCUUGCCCUGAAUGCCAGUCCCAGGAGCAGGAAAGACCGCGUGCUCCAUAGAUACGUGCCCAACAAACCUGAAGAUGUCAGUACUAGAGGCAGUAGAAUCAAGAUAAAAUAAUGGGGCCCUAUCAUGAGUUAUAAUAGUACCAGUAAUAACAUAUAUAAAUACUCGGAUACUCAUAUCAAUAAGACACAAGCAAAAUAUACUUUGAUAAUUGGCGUUAUUAUUAUAUAACUCAAAAUGGACAAAUGUCCUUACAAAGAUCCAAUUCGACCAUUAUAGUUUGUUGUUAUAUAAACAACCUUAAAAGAGAUGGGCCUCAAUUUGUGCGAUUCACUUGAUCAAGUUGGUAAUGGGAAUUAUUGUUAUGUAAACACAUACACUAGGAUCAAUGCCCUUGCCUUCAGUUCCAUCAUUGUAGUUGAAAAGAAUUCUCAUAAUAUUUGUCAUCAUAGAGAUCCAUAAAAUAUACCCUUCCGUCUCAUUAAAUUUUACUUAUUUUUCUUUAAAAGUUAUUAUAAACAAAACUUUCAAUGAAAUAAUUUUAAAUAUUUUUUAUAAAAUCAAAAUAUUUAAAUUUUCACUGAAAAUUGUGACAUUUUUAUUGAAAUAGAGGGACUUUGUAUUCGUGUCAUGUCAAUUGGGCUGGGCAUUGGCAGCUUUACUACUUCCUAUACGGUUCAAGCACCGAUAUAAUUCAUUGGAAAUCAAAUUAUGAGAAACUAAACAGUUUUUUCUUUGUUUUAGCACCAAGGGUUGGGGGGGGGGGGGGGGGCAAAAGACAAUUUCUUUGUGAUCAGAUCUUUCAUCACAAUCUUAUGAUAUAAAAGCAAUAUAUUACGUGCAUCCCAAAACUAUGCUAGAACCAGGCAAAAAUUAUCAUUUACGACUAACCCAUCAUAUCUUCAUAAUUUUCAUUUCACCAUCUCAAAAAAGUACGGACAUGCAGUAAUUCAUGUUAGCGAAACAUUGGCAUGCAGGCGAGCUCAGAGAUCAAAUCCCGUGUUACCGAAACAAGUUACAGUACAGCACCAAUAUCUUCUUCCAACUUACAACCAUAAACAAGCCAAUGAUGUCCUAGUUUGCUUAAAAGCAGGCCAGUGCCUUGAUCAUCCAAGCUCCUAUCCCUCCCCUGUCUCGGCUAAAUUCAUCACUUUUAAUGCAUCCUCAGCUUUUUUUUUCUGAGGGACAUAAUCUGGAAACACCAAAAAAAUUUCCAGCAAUUGUAAAUAAUCAUGGAAAAAGAUGGGAGAAAGCUGGCAAUGCGGAUCAGCAUAUGUAAAGGGAACAAACGGGAGGAGACUGUAAACAAAAAUAAAUUACAAUUAGCAAUACCUGAUAGAAAGUCAUAUCUCUUCUGUUCAUGGACAACUGUUGCUGCAAAAUAAAGAGAGGAGCAUCUAAACACAACCGCAGUUGAAUACAUUUAAACCUUUUUGCAACAAUAAUAAUAUUAAUUUCUUUCAAAUUUGUGCAAUAAGAGCAGUAUGGAUUUGCCCAAGGUCCACUUUUCAAGAAAUGAAGAGUAUAAUAUCAUUCAAUUAUAUAUUUCGUUUAAAUUCUAGACGAAAAAUGUAUAACUGAAACGUCUUAAUGAAACUUCAAGCACCCCAUAACAUGUACAUUCAAUCACAAGAAAUGGAAGGAGAUUAUGUUGUGCAAGAUAUGUGUUAUUCAUACUGAUGCAGAGAAAUGAAACAAUUCCAUUUGAAAAUCAAUUGAUUUCAGCUUACAUUCGCCUACAUGAACCAUAUUAAAAUAUCAGAAGAAAGAACCGAAUCUAACCAUCCAAAAUUUUCAAUUCAAAUGAGAGAACAGCAUAAGGUAGAUUUUGAUGCAAUACAGGAAUCACCAUAAAAGUAUAACCCUAAGCCACAUAAACCAAUUUUAAACUAAUGUUUCUAUAAACUCAUCUAUAGAAGCUUUCAUCCUGCUGACCAAACCGUGAGAAUCCAUUGGCAGUAUCACAUUCCAUAAGAAUCCGACUUUUUUAGCUCAGAAACAUUAUUGUAACAAUAGAUAUUAAUCUUUAUGAACAUAUAACAUAUCUAAGAAAACCACUGAAAACCCCUAUCUUUACCGAAAAUGCAUCUCAAGCUUCAAUCCUGGCAAUAGUUAGCGUUGUUUGAGCAAAUAUGUGUAAGGUCGAGUAAGUCAAGGCUCAUGCUAAUAUUCUACGGUAAUGUCAGAUAGAACCGGCAAAGGAAACAACAUAUACAAGGAGGAUUUAAAAAGGAACGUACAUAGGUGCUUGUAACUAAGUGAUUUCUUGCGAUCUUUAAUGGAGCAUUUGUAUCCAUCUUCGCAGAACUUUUCAAGAAACAAUUCCUGCAAAAAAACAAAAACACAUUUAGACAAUAAACAAUAUGAAACAGAGUGAUAAUUACCUUUGGAUCAAACAAUGCUCAUACUAUACCAAUUCCACAGAGAAGAAGAAACAACAUGCAAAACACCAGUUUUUUUUAAAAUUAAAAAACAACAAAUUUGAGCAGAAUUAAAGCAAUGAUUUAAGACCAACAAUUUCAAGAUCCCAACUUUUCAAAAUACAUUUAAGGCAUGCAUUCAACCAAACAUAGACCCCAUAAAUGACAGCAAAGGAUUAUCAAGCUUUAACCUUGGAGGAUAAACACAUUGGGAAAAAAACCCCACUUUAUGACUUUAAAGACUAAAAAAAAGGAAGGAAAAGAUUCAAAGGAAACCCUAAAGGCAUUCAGGAAAAUAACCCCAAAAAAGGGGGAAAGAAAAAGGAAUUACCGCGGCUUUGUUAACAACAAAAACAACAUCUUGAGAAACAGCCAUAUGUGAAUCUUCAGUCUUGAUUAUCCUCUUGAUUCUGUUCAUUGGAAAUUUACACACCUUUGCUUCUUCUUCUUCCUCGUCUACUUCUUCCUUUCGCUUCCUUUUGCUGUUGGGUUUAACGUUCUUGUGGGAGUUGUUUCUGUUUUCUUGGGGUUCUGAUUCAGAGCUUGAAGAUGGGUCGGCAAUAACCUGGGACUUGACCGGGAUUCCAUUGCUGCUCUGGUUUUUGCUUUUGUCUGGCUUUGAUUCGGGAUUUGGCUUUGAUUUGGUAGGUAUUUUGGAGGCACUUGCUUUCUUCUCUGGUUUUUUAAUGGAUUUUUUUUUGUCUUUGUCAGCGGUUCUGUUGCUCUUCUCCUUAUUCUUCUUCUUCCUGUUCUCUUCUUUGGGUUUCUUGGAAGAGGAGGCCAUUGCGCUCUCUCUCUCUCUCACAGAUUCCGGAAAAUCUCAACUCCGAACUCCAUGGAUCUGAUAUCUAAGGCCAUUAUGUAGAUUGGGUUCUCUCAUGGGCUUAACUUUAAAUGGGCUACAAAACCAAUUCGUGAGUGACAAAAAGUUGGAUUCCCUUUUAAAAGAAGUCUUAAAAAUCCAAUUAACUGCAACACAAUUCAGAUGGGACCAGCUUCAAUAUAUUGUACUCUGAAUUUUAGACAAAAAAAAAAAAUCUAUAAAUCGGUAAUAGUUAAGUAUCACCGAGAAAAUACAUGGACGUAUCACUAAAUCAAAUGCUCAACAAUGAUAGUUUUACAAGCACAUGAGGCUAAGCAAAAGUAGCACCAACAUGAAGAUUAUGAGUACAUUCUUUUAUUACUAACUCAUCAAGUAGUUCAAAAACAUGCAGCAAUUUCCUAUCUCUACAGUUCAUUUCAAUCAGAAACUCCCAACAAUGUGGUUCUGGUUUAAACCCCGUUUCAGCCAAUCCAAACAAUGCUGUAACUGCAUCAUCUACCAUUCCGGCUUUACAAAGCUGAAUCAACACCUCAUUCGACGUUGCAUAAUGUGGGAAAAACCCCCUAUCCAACAUCAGACCCAACAGCUUAGCUGCCUUUUCCAUUUCAUCUUUCUGGCAUAAUGCAUUCAAUACAAUUCUGUAACUUGCUUUGUUCAAGUAAACACCUUCGUAUGGCAGCUUCUCGAGCAUCUGAAGCACCUCAUGGAACCUACUUUCUCGGCAUAACCCACCAAGUAAUACAUUUAAAGUAACAACAUCGGCUUCACAUUUGUUUUCCUUCAUUUCCUUAAGCAAUGACAUCGCCUCAUCGAUUCUACUAGCCCUACAAAGGCAAUUCAUCAAUGUAGUAUAAACAAUUGUAUCAGGUUUCAGACCUGUGCUCUUCAUUUCAACAAAAAGUUGUUUGGCUUCUUCCCAACUUCCCUCCUUGCAUAAGCCAUUCAUCAAAGCAGAGUAAUUGAAUAAAUUAGGGCUGCAUCCAUUGUUUUUCAUAAACUCUAUUAUCUUUCUCGCCCGAUCGACUUUUCCUUCACGACAGAAGCCAUUAAUUAACAAAUUAUAGGUUAAAGCAUCAGGCAAUAUCUGAUCCUUACCAACCAUUUCCUCAAACAAUUCGAUGGCUUCCUUAAGUCGUCUACUUUCACAGAGACCGCCUAUCAAGGUUGAGUAAGUAAUCAGACUGGGAUAAGAAACCUUAGAUUUUUUCAUCUCGUUUACAACUUCAAACGCAGAUUCAAGGUCUCCAUUAUUACAAUGAUGUUUAACCAAGAUGUUAAAAAUGCAGGUAUUGGGUCUCAACCUGAGAGAUUUCUUGGAGUUCAACAGAAAAUCUCGAGCCAAAUCAACCUGGUUCGAUUCAAUCAGGAGAUUAAGACAAGUACUAAUAGCUUUCAGUGAAGGUUUUUCACGAACAAUGGGCUGAAUUGCAUUGAACAUCUCAAGUACCUUAUCAUGUAAACAAAACCUGGAAAAAUGCUUCAUGAGAUUGAGGAAUAUACCUUCAUGAAAUCUACAAGUUUCAUAGCUCAUUUGACGAAGUAAUGAGUCAACGGCCUGAAACUUCUUCGAUUGAGCAAGCUUGUGAAGGAUGGUUCCAUAGGUGGCACUGUUAUGAGUAAAGCCUUUCUGCCGCGACACCUUGUUAAAUAUUUGUAAGGCCCGUUGUGGAUCUUUCUCACGCUUAAUCAAGUUGAUGGCAGUCUCGUGAGAGAUAAAUUUGGGUUUCCUUUGAGACUCAGUAGAGGCAAGUGAGGGUUGUGGAGGAGGAUCUGGUUUUUGGAAGUUGGGUUUUAGGAGUUGUAGGGGGGAGAUCCAUGGAAGUGGAGAUGAAGAGGAAGAGAAGCAGCGCUGCUUACAGAAUGAAACUCUAACCAAAUUCAUGACAAAAUGCCUCCACCUUUACAAGUCUUCAUCAUCCGAGGAACACAACAUUCAAAAAGAGAAACACGGCGGUGGAAGAACUCAGAAGAGAAGAAAAAACCAGAAGGAGGAAAGGAAAAAGAAGGCGAUGGCGGCAAUCGUCGACGAUUUCGUACAAAGAAGUUACGGGUGGAGGAAAGGAUAGAGGGGAAAGCCCCAACGGCGUGAAUGGAGAAGAAGAGCAAAGAGCAUGGUGGAGUUGUGGGUUUCAAUUCAUUAAAUGAGAUGCUUGGUCCAGUCCAUUACAAAUUUACAAAGGGCCCAAUAAAACCCAACCGAACCUUAAAAUAAAGAACAAAUGCUGCUUCCAUGAAGUGAUUAAUUUCAUAAAUAAUUUUUAUUUUUAUGGUGUAAAAAUCAAUAUUUUUUAUUUAAAUUAAUGAAAGCAAUUUAAAAGUUUUAUAUAAAAAAAUUUUAAAUACCAUAUAAAAUUUAAUUAUUUUUAAUUUACUUGAAAAAAUAUUUUUUUAGAAAUAUUUAUAAAAGACUUUGAAACUAUACAAAAUUAUUGUAAAAGGUAUAAUCAAACUAAUUUUAUCAAAAUAAAUUACAAAAAUAAAAAAUUAAUAUGGAAAUAUUGAGGGCCGAAUUAAAAUGAACUGUUUAAAAAAUUUAAAAUAUUUGGUUGAAUUAAAAUGAUCUCACCCCUAAUACCUGCGGUGUUCAUCACCUCAAGUGUAACUUAAGUUUAAGUCUUGUUAAUCGCAUUACUGUUAGGAUUUUAUAUUUCUCUUAUAAUUCACUAAAAACAAAAAAAAAUAGUAUCUUCCAAUAUCAAUAAUGAAAAUUCUCAAACAUAUUGCCACAAUUUUAUAAUUUAGCCAUUCAACCAAAAAAAAAAAUGAAAUAUACUAUUUGAUUCUUUUCUAAUACUCUUUUCAGUUUUCACUAAUAUAUAAUAUAUUACAAAAAGUAAAUAAUUUUAGGGUUUUUUCGUUACAAAAUUUAAGAAAACACUUGAAACGAUUUGUAUAAUAAAGCUAUUUGUGGCAAUAAAAUGAGUUCGAUAAUGAUGUAAAUAAAGUAAAUAAUCGGGGAAAGAUAAAUGUGAAAAUUGAACGUCGAUAAUGACAAUAUAGAAAGAUCGCAAAGAAAAAGAAAGAAAAAAAUAGAAAAUGCAAAUUUUACGUGGAAACCCUUUCAGAAAAAAUCACUGGCAAAGGAGAAGAAAAUUCACUAAUGUCGAAUUCGAAUGAUACAAGAGAAGUUUCGACUACAUCUAUUUAUAGGUUGAAAAAGCCUAAUUCUAUUUAAUGUAAAAUAUAUUAUGCUAAUAAAUGCUAAAUAUAUUAUACUACUAAAUCUUCUACAAAUAAAAUAUAUUUUGUUUAACUUGACUUGCAAGCAAUCUCUUAGAUUUUGUUUAACUUGACUUGCAAUGAAUGUCUUAAAAUUUGGGUCAAACAACUUUAACAAUCUUCUCCUUGACACAAAUUAUUAAUGAGCAAGUUCUCCACCUCUUCCAUAAAACCCCUUAAGGGUUUUAUCUUCAACAAUGAAUACCAAUCAAGUCUAAAAAAUGCUCAAACUUGGUUAUAGAAAGUGACUUAGUCAUCAUAUCUGCAGGAUUAUCAUGAGUACUAAUUUUGAUCACAAUAAUAUCACCAGGAGCAAUAAUAUCACGAACAAAAUGAUAUCGAACAUCAAUGUGCUUUGUUCUCUCAUGAAAUAUUUGAUCUUUUGUAAGGAAGAUGGCACUUUGACUGUCACAAAAUACUGUACUGAUUUGAAGGUCUUCAUUGAGUUUACUAAAGAGUUCAUUCAACCAAAUAGCUUCUUUACAAUCGGAGGUCUUCAUUGAGUUUACUCAGCUUCAGUGGUAGAGAAAGCGACUAUAGUUUGCCAAGUGGCUUUCCAACUGAUUGCACAACUUCCAAUUGUAAAGACAUAACCUGUGAGAGAUUUUCUCCUAUUAAGAUCUCCAGCAAAAUCAGCAUCAACAUACCCAAUGACUCAAUAUCUAGUUCUUCCAAAUUGUAAGCAAACAUCAAUAGUACCUCGUAAGUAUCUCAAAAUCCACUAAACUGCUUUCUAGUGUUCUUUACCAGGAUUCGGCAUGUACCUACUAACUGCACUGACUGCAUAUGAUAAAUCUAGACGUGAACAAACCAUAGCAUACAGAAGAGAUCUCACUGCACUAGAAUAUGGAACAUGUGAUAUGUAUUCAAUUUCAUCAUCUAAUUGUGGAGACAAAGUCGAUGAAAAUCUGAAAUGGGCUGCUAAUGGAGUACUAACAGGCUUAGCACUUUGCAUAUAGAACAUGCAAAGAACUUUAUCAAUGUACCAUUUCUGAUUUACAUACAAUUUACUUGCCUUUCUAUCUUUGAGAAUCUCCAUACCAAGUAUCUUCUUUGCUGCUCCCAAAUCUUGCAUUUCAAAUUCUUCACUAAGUUGAGUUUUAACAUUUCUUAUCUCUCAUUUAUCUUUCAUUACUAUCAAUAUGUCAUCAAUACUAUUUUUCUUAAAAUAAACAUAACUAUCAAAGCUACUUCUUUUAAAAUCAUGAGUAGUCAUAAAAAAAUCAAACCUUUUAAACCACUACUUCGGCGACUAUUUCAAACCAUAAAAGGACUUUUUUAGCAAGCAAACAUAGUUCUCUUUUUCUGAUACUGUAAAGCCCUCUAGUUGUUGCAUGUAAAUGUCCUCCUCAAGUUCUCCAUACAAGAAUGUUAUUUUUACAUUUAACUGUUCGAGCUCCAAAUCAUACAUAGCCACAAUACCAAGCAAGGCUCAAAUUGAACUGUGCUUUACAAUAGGAGAAAACACAUCUGUGAAGUUCACACCUGGAAUCUAGCUGUAACUAUUUGCAACAAGUCUUAUUUUGUAUCUAGGUUCUUCAACUCUUGGAGUCUCUUUCUUUUCUCAUGAACACCCAUUUAUAAUGAACAACCUUCUCAUAUUUAAGAAGCUUCACAAGAUCCUAUAUUCUACUCUUGUGAAGUGAUUCUAUCUCUUCUUGCAUGGCAAACAUCCAUUUUUCUUAGUCUUCAUAGCUAGCUGCUUCAGAAUAAGUUAUGACCCUUGAUUUGCAUCUAUAUCUUCAACCACAUUUAAAGCAUAAGCAACAUCGUUUUGUUGUGGAGUAUGACGAACUAUCAAGUGUCUCACGAUCUCUUCUAAUUUAUAUAAUUCGUUAAACUCAUUAGAACAAAACCUCAAGCCAUUAUCUGUGCGAAUGUGUUUUAUCUAUUUUCCUGUCUAUUUUUCAACCAUAGUUUUCUAGGACUUGAAUGCGGAAAACACGUUGCUUUUCUGCUUCAGGAAGAACGCCCAAACUUUUCUGGAAAAAUCAUCGAUAAGUGUUAGCAUAUAAUUAGCUCCACCUCUCGAAGGCACUUUAAAUGGUCCCCGAAGAUCAGAAUGAAUAUAAUCCAACGUUCCCUUCGUGUUAUGGAUUUCUUUGGUGAAUCGAACUCUCUUUUUGCUUUCCAAAAAUGCAGUGCUCACAGAACUUCAUUUUGUAAAUUUCGUGCCCAUCAAGAAGUCUUCUUUUGCUCAAUUCUGUCAUGCAUUUCUCACUCAUAUGCCUUAAACGCAUAUGCCAAAGUCUAGUAAUAUCAUCAUCUAACAAGGAAGAGGAAGUGAUGGGUGCAUCACUAGUAAGCUGCUUAAUAAAGAAUGAUGGGAAAAUGGUUCGAGAAUGAGAGGGUCUGUUUGAUGUUGUGAAUGAGUAUUUCACAGAUUUAUUCACAUCACAAUGAGGAAUCCGAGCCAUAUUUUGGAGGGGGUAUGCACGUGUAUUAAUGAUGAGAUGAAUGCUUCCCUUACUGCAAGGUAUACAUGGGAGAAAAUUUAUACUACUUUAAAAGCAAUGGCCCUGGCAAAGGCUUUGGGUUCGGAUGGGCUUCCCGCUAUGUUUUACUAGAGCUAUUGGCAUAUCGUGGGACAAGAUAUUGAAGAUUAUUAUCUUGGAAUUUUGAAUGAAGGUAUGUUCCUAGUCGAUAUUAAUAAAACGUACAUUGUUCUUAUUCCUAAAGUUACAAACCCUAUGAGCAUGCAACAGUUUCGUCCUAUUAGUUUAUGCUCGUUCUAUAUAAAAUUAUUUCAAAAAAUGUGGUUAAUAGAUCUGAAAAAGUGUUGAAUUUGUGUGUGGAUGAGGCGCAAAUUGCAUUUGUUCUCGGUAAGCUGAUUACGAAUAAUAUCCUACUUGCGUAUGAAAUUCUUAAUGCGUAUAGAAGGAAGAAGAAGGGAAAGAAAUGGCACUUUGCUCUAAAGUUGGAUAUGAGUAAGACCUAUGACAAGGUGGAGCGGAGUUUCUUGAAAGAAUUAUGUUAAGAAUGAGUUUUCUAGAACAUGGGUGGAUUUUAUCAUUCACUAUAUUAGUUUUGUCUCCUACUUUGUGGUUUUGAAUGGUAAGGUGAGUCAUAACUUUUCUCCUAGAAGGAAGAUUAAACAAGGAGAUCCCAUUAGCUCGUAUCUUUUUCUUAUAUGUUGUGAAGGGUUGUUUUUCCUUAUGUGAAUGACAGUCUAAGAUAAUUUAGUAAGGGUUAGCGAAAAUUAGUUGAGGGGGACCACAAGUUUCUCACUUAUUGUUUGUUGACGAUUAUAUAUUGUUUGGAAAGGCCACAGUUGGGAGAACUUUGGUGUUAAAACAAAAUUUGGAGGUGUGUGAGAGUUUCUUGGGGCAAUUUGUUAAUUUCAAUAAAUCAGUUAUUUAUUUUAGCUCAAAUAUUGAUGAGAUUAAUAAGGAACGAAUAUCGAAUUGUUUGGGUGUUAUGACCUCUUCUAAGCCCGAGUGAUACAUAGGGUUGGCUAAUAUGGUGGGGGUGAAACAAAACAAGAUCUUUUCAAAUAUUGAAGGAUUGUAUAAGGUAUCGAAUUGAGAGCUGGUGUGUUCGGCCUUUAUCACAAGGGCUUUUGGUUACUAGCCUCUUUUUGCUCUGAACUGAAGAGUACUAUUAGUCGAUUUUGGUGGAAAAAUCAUGAGGGUUGAAGGGGAUUUCAUUGGUGUGAGUGGGCAAAAUUAUGUGAUUUUAAAGAAAAUGGGGGUUUGGGGUUUAGAAGUUUGGCAAAGUUUAAUGUCGCUCUGUUAGCAAAACAAUGAUGGAGGUUGAUAAAAAAAAUCUGAAUUCAUUGUUAGCACAAGCUCUUAAAGCAAAAUAUUAUUCAUAUACAGACUUUAUGAGUAUGAGUUUAAGAGCUUACCCAUAUUAUACCUGGAAGAGUAUCUGUGCUGCGAAGGGAUUACUUAAUUUGGGCCUGAGUUGGUGUGUGGAAUUUAAUCCAAUAUAAGGAUUUGAGAGGAUGUUUGGAUUCCAGGGAUGCCAGAACGAAUAAUACAAAAUAAUGAGGAAAAAUCAUCCAUUAUGUUUGUAUCGGAGCUGAUUAACCACCAGAAUAGGCAACGAGAUGAACAGGAAAUUACUUGGUUACUGGGCAGUGAAAUUGCAGAUAAGGUGUUGUGUAUUCCCCUUGCUUAGAACUCACAUGAAGAUUCGGUGGUUUAGGGGAAUGAAGCUUCAAGUGACUUUACCGUUCGGAUGGUUACAUGUUACUUAUUACAUUUGCUUCAAUUGGGAAUAAUGGAAAUUAGAAACUUUUUCACAAUAAAUUAUGGAAACUUAAGCUACCUGAGAAAAAAAAAUUACAGCUUGGAAGAUUUUCCAUAAUUUUAUUCCUAGUUUCUAUAACCUGUUCAACAAGAAAUUGUGGAAUUCAACAGUGUGUCCCAAGUGUUUGGUUGGUAUUGAAACUUUGGAGCAUAUUUUCCGAGUUUGCCCAUCUGUGAAUGAUAUCCGGAAAGAAUUGCAUAUUGUACGGCAUAGUGAUUUUUCAGAUGCUCUUUUACAAAAUUGGCUAAUACAUAUUUUGGAGGUGUCUCCUUUAAAUAUUUACAAAAAGGUAGUGUGCUCAUUGUGGUUCAUAUGGAAUGCAAAGAAUAGAAGGGUUCAUGAUGAUGUUAUUGUCUCAAUCCAGGAUACAAUAUACAAGGUAGAGUCCUAUCUCAAAGAAUUGGAUGCAGUGCAAGAAAAGUUACCUCUUCAACAGAUGAUGUGUGUCACGUUACUAACUAAAAAUACGACAAAGGUAAGCACACCUAUUGAUAAAUAGUAUACCUAUAGUAAGUAGAGAUAUUGUAUCCACGAGGACUAAAAAUAUUAGUAAUUAUCGUUUUCUUACUAUUUAGCAGACAAAUUAGAGUGAUGGGUUUUGAGCUAAAAUUACUAAACUAAUUUAAUUAAGAACUCAACAGAGAAUAAAUCAAGAAAAUAAUCGAAUAAUAACCAAUAAGAGAGACAAUACCUAGGAAAGAAUCCACCUAGACCUCAUCUAUUAUUAUGAAUCUGAAUUAAACGAUUUAUUUACUUGGUAUCUUGAUCUGUAUAAAUCACUAAAUUAUGCUAAUCUCUCUUUUGAGAGUAAGAGUAAUUGACUCUAGGCUGAUUAAUUGAAAUUUCUUUCUAUUUAGAACCUCUAUUAUCGUAUUAACUUGAUCUAUGGAUUCCCCUAUUAGCUUUGACUCUAAUCCGGUAGAUUUAUGUCAUCCUAUUUUUAGGAUUGCAUGCAACUUCACUUAAUUAUAUUAGAUCUACUCUUAAACAGAGACUUUUGCUCUUCUGAUUAAGUACAUUAAACAUGAAUUAAUAUCCCGAAAAUAUUAAAAUAAGAAAUAAGCACAUAUAAUUGAGAACAAGAAUCAAGUAUUUAUUGCGCAAAACAUAAAUUAAAUAAUAGAAUUCAUCAUAGCAAGCAGAUGCAGGGUCUUGAAGGCAGCCACAAAAACUGUCAUCAUCCUUCGGAAAUGAGUUUGGUAGAGGAUGGUCCGGGAUCACACCAACCUACAUGGAAGAACAGAUGAAACAAGGGUCAUGAGGAAAGAGCUAGAGAGACACACAGAGAUCAAAAGUAAACCUUGUUGCUAUCGUUGUGUGCAGGUGUCUCAUAAUGAGCUACGGUAACAGCCAAUCCGGAGCCAUCAGAUAGCUGAAAAACCGAUUGGAUCUUGCUGCAGGUGUGGAAUGGAUCACUCUAGUUAGGAUCUACAAGGAUAUAGGAAGAUGAUAUGCUUGUAUAUAAACUGUAGUAAACGAAGUGUAAAUUACCCUUUCCCGUAUGUCGGUUCUCCGAACAAUACUGCACGCUUAUUAUCUUUCAACGCACCAGUUAAAAUUUCACUCGCACUUGCAGUACCCAUGUUCACCUAAUGAAAAUUCGAGUAACGGAAACCAUGAUCUGACAUACAGAAAGAGAUUUGACAUUGUAACAGUAAGAAAUAAAGUCCUUUUGUUUAAACCGAGCUUACCAGUACAGCUAGGGGUUCUGAAGCUGCUAUUGCUGAGCUUCCAUCCGUGUCGUAUAGAUAUCGAACUCCAUGAUUAUCACAAAUAUACACAAUCACGCCCUUCUCUAACCUGUUCCACAAAAACAAAUGAUGAUAACUUGUGCUAUGAAACUUGACAUGGAUAAAAGAAAUUUUUAAUUUCAAUGGCUUUAACUUACCAAAUCUUGGCGGUUUCGAUUCCUUUGGGUGAAAGCCCACCACUGCAGCAAAUUGAAUCUUUUAGAAAAACCUGUCUUAAGGGCGAGUUUAAAACGGAUCAUAUCAAAAGCUAAUCACCUAUUAUCAAGAAGGUCCAACACAAAGGCAUUAACGCUAUUACUCCUUAAAGUAUAGAUCACUUCCUUGACAGCAGCUACAGUAAAUGCAAUUUUUUAGGAUAAUACCCUAUAUAUAAACUAAAGAAGGAUGGGAAGGGUAUCUCCGAGAAGUCCCCCUCGGAAAGAUGCUAACAAGGCUAAAAAGAGGCACAACCGAACUAGAAAGAGGAAAACAAAAAUGCACAAAAAGAUGAAGAAAACAAAAGGAGGUUGUUUAUAAAAAGAGAUAAAUUCAAAAGUUUAUUGUGUGAAUGGACUCCUAAGAAACUAUAGGAUAUACGAUUUCAUGGCUUAGUCCAUAUCUUCAACAAACAGAAAGAGUAUUUGCAGUCAAUAUCUCCACUUACCAGAAGCCUUUUGGUUGAAUGAUGUUAGCUUAAUAUAACUGAUUUUGGGGUAGUUCUUUUCCGAACCAGGACCUUCGCAUAGCCUUGAUUUUACAGGAUUCAGUGAAAUCUUUGCUCACCUAGAAAGUUGCAGUCGCAGAUGGGUCAAUCUUAAAUCUCUCACAAAAGAGGUAUAAAAGAAUGACAAAAUACAUAUUCUCAUAUUCUACCUCACCUAAUUUGGAAUGCAUAAUAACAAUAGCAUAUUUUCAAAUGCUGAAUUAAUUAAUAUUGGUAGAACUUCGGAUAUAGUUACUAAUAUAUCAAGUUCAAAUACAUCAUAAGAUAUUCAAAUGAAACACUUAACUUACGUAAGAGCUAAGUGCUUUAUUUCGGGUCUGGUUUGAACUGUUAAUUCCACAGAACUUCCUUCUGGUCCCCUGUAGUUUAUUCAAAAAGACGAGCAUAACAGUAAACAACUGAAAAAGAAUGUAUAAACCGACGCAUUAGCAAAGAAAACGGAAUGAAAGAUCUAUGUAUGGCUCUGCUGAAUAGAUAUAUCUUCACCGAUAGUAACACGCUUACUGCAAUCUGUCUGCUGCAUCAUAGACAUAUUCAUCUAAUGAUCAAAGGUUUCCAUCAUUUCAAAAUGGCAAUAAUGGUUCAUUGCAUAGGAAGAGAGCAAAAUGUGCGGAAGAAGAAAGGUUGCCUGCAGAUAAACCGAAUAAUCACAACAAACAAGCAGGGACCUCUAGAGGAGAAGAAGACUUGUGCUCGUCAGCUGAGUCUUCAGUAUCGAAGAGGCAAAGUAUUAGCAGCAUGUCAUUCUCUGUUCCCCAGUCUUGUUCUUCGUCCGAUGGCAGGCCUAUGCUGGAGUGUGAAUCGCCUGAUAUGAAGCGAUCGUGAGAAGCUGCAAAGUUCGAUAUACUUGUGGUUCUUGCUGUUUAUCUGUCUGAUACAUUGGAUUAAGGCAGCCAGCAAAGUUAAGCCUUCGACGUUGAGCCUGGGGUGUCACGAAAUAUGCUCACUAUAGAUAGAUAUAUAAGUUGAAAUAAUGUGUUUUAAAGUAGAUGAGCAUUACAAAUCAUGGGAUGAUAUAUUAAUCAGCCAUUACCAACAACAAUAUGUAGUUUUCUGCAAUAAAUGAGCAAAACUUAGACUAUAUUUGUAUGAAAUUUGAGGCUUGAUUUCAAAUGAAAAAGAUUAUGUCCCAGAAUAGCUUUUCCAUGCGUCUGAGAAGUGAAACACGGUAUAUAAGAUUUGUUUCAUUCAUCCUUAAUCUUCAAAGUACAUCAUCAACUAAACUGAUUAUAUACAAGUGUUUAUGAACAAACUGAUUCAAAUUUACAAGUGACAAUCAUGUGAAACAUUUCAGAUCAAGAUAGAUUCACCAGAUUGUAAGAUGUGAUCCAAAAAUAAGUUGGAAGUGUACAAAUCUGCCGAAAAGCCCUUACCGACCAUUUCCGUAAGAAGUUGUGGUAUAGUCAUUUUGAAAAAAUCCCCGGAUCAUUACAUUAUAACAGCAACUGUUAGGCAAACAAUCAUUAUCUCCCAUGCUCUUAAACAACCGGUAUGCUUCAUCUGGCAAUCCCUCUUUACACACUCCAUUAAUCAUUAUGCAAUAUGUAUAAACGGUGGGUUUUAAACCACUGACUGAGAGUUGACAAAAUAAUUCCUUUGCAACUUCGAUAUGCCCAGCUUUGCACAAGCCAUCAAUUAGGAUGGUAUAAAAGAUGGUAUCGAGUUGCCAGAUUUGGAACUUGUCCAGAAGCAAGCAUCUUUCUCCAAAGUUCAUAUGCAUUUGAAACUCUCCUUAACUGAAACAUACCUUGCAUCAGAGUGUUGUAUGUGACAACAUCAGGCUAAAUGCCUUGCUUUCUCAUUCUGCCAAAAAUAUCUUCAGCUUCAGAAACCAUACUAUUCUUGCAAAGUGAAUCCAUCAAUAUAUUAUACGUGAUAACAUUAGGUUCAGCGCCUUGCUUUCUCAUCGUGCAAACAAUAAAUUCAGCUUCAGAAACCAUACCAUUCUUGCAAAGCGAAUCUAUCAAUGUACUAUACAUGAAAACAUUAGGUUCGAUGCCUUGCUUUCUCAUCAUGUCAACAACAACUUCGGCUUUAGAAACCUCCCCCAUCUUGCAAAGAGUAUCGAUGAAUAUACCAUAUGUGAUACGGGGUUGCGCGCGAACCAAGAUCGAGUUGCCAAGUCACGGGAAACUCCUACGAAAACCCUAAACAAUUAGAUCUGAAACGAAAUAGAAAAUUAAAAGAUUAGAUUUUUGAAUUUUCAGAUCUGAAAUAAAAUCCCCAAAUCAGCAAAGAAUCAAAUUGAGAAUAGAAAUAAGUGUUAGGGUUCUUGAAACCCUCAAGGAGAUUGUGAUUCUGCCCAAUUGAACACCAAGAUAGUUUUCCCCAAAUUUCGACAAUCUAAUUUCACCCAAAAAGAGUAUGGAAAAACCCUAGAAAUUGGGGAUUUUUGGGCUGAUUCCUUAAGAUAGAAAAAGGCUGAAAACACAAUAAGAACAGAAAAUAGAUUAGAUAAUGAUUCAGCACAAGUAGAAAUAAAGAAAGAAUUGACAGUAAGAAAUUAAAAGAUAAGUCCUAAGAAGCCUUGAAAUCUCGAAAGAUCUCACAACUCCCUUCAAACGGCUCUAAUCUCCCCUCCAAAGAAUAUCAAUGGCAAGAAGAAGGUUGAAGAUGGCUCCCACAAUCACAAGAUUGUUAAAACAACUUCUAAAGAAAACUCAAGAGAGAAAUCUUGGAGAAAACUCAAAGAAAAUUCUGCUCUCAACAAAUCUGAAAUUUUAAUAAUAAUGAUAAGUGUUUAACAAGGUGGACAGCCAUGCCUUUAAAUAGGCCUUAUAACUAGUCCUAAUCUAAUUAGAAAACUAAAAUAAAAAAAACUCCUAAUUAUUUUAAUAUGGAAAUUCGGUCAAAGGUCAUUUUAUCUGGGACUCUUGGACUGAAUAUUGACAUAAAAAUUUAAACUAAGUAAAUAAAUAAAUAAAAAUAAAAAUAAAACUUUACAACUUGGGCCACUUUGACAAUUUGGCCUGAUUUUCAACUAAGUAUGGAUGGAUUUCUUGAUUAGGCUGGGAAUUUUCUUAUUGGGCCUUGCCCUCAAGAAUUUGGGCUUGUGAUCCAUCUCCUACCGAAAUUGAAUCGUUGAUGCUCGUAAUGGAGAUCCAAUGCGCUUUGGCUGCAAGAUUUGGUGUCUUGGACCAAGAUUCCCAAUAUUUGAAAUCUUGAUUUUCCCUUUCUUUUGUGUACGCAUCUAAGGCCUUACUAACAAACUCCUGGAUGGUCCCAUUUAGUUUGGAACGCAUUUGUCGGGCCUUUGAUCUCGUAUCAUUCCCCCCUUCCUCAAAAAGAUUCGUCCUCGAAUCUGAAAAAUCAAAUGGGGACAAGUCAGCCACAUUAAAAGUAGAACUUACAUUGUACUCACCAGGUAGAUCAAUUUUAUAGGCAUUAUCGUUGAUCCUCUCGAGUACUUGGAAAGGCCCAUCGCCCGUUGGGUCCAACUUGGUCUUUCUUCUUGCAGGAAAUCGUUCUUUCCUCAUAUGGACCCAAACCCAAUCUCCGGGUUUUAGGACAACCCGUUUGCGCCCCUUGUUUGCUUUGUUGGUGUUGGCAUCAUAUGUUUUGGCUAUUCGUUGCCUAGCCUGCUCAUGUAAGGAUUUCACCAACUCAGCUUUCUGUUCACCAUCUAAAUUAACAAUGUGUUCAAGUGGUAAUGGCGCAAGAUCAAGUACUGUUAGUGGGUUAAAACCAUAAACAAGUUCAAAUGGAGAAUAACCAGUUGUAGAAUGAAUAGAUCUAUUAUAUGCAAAUUCAACAAACGGUAGGCAUUCUUCCCAAUUUCUAAUGUUCUUUCCCACAACAGAUCGUAAUAAAGUCCCUAAGAUCCGAUUAACUACUUCAGUUUGGCCAUCAGUUUGGGGGUGACAUGUAGUGGAAUAAAGUAAUUUAGUACCAAGCUUACCCCACAAUACCUUCCAAAAGUGGCUAAGAAAUUUGACAUCUCUGUCAGAAACAAUUGUUUUAGGGAUGCCAUGAAGUCUUACCACCUCUUUAAAGAAUAAGUCUGUUACAUGUGUAGCAUCAUCUGUUUUGUGACAAGAAAUAAAAUGUGCCAUCUUUGAGAACCUGUCAACAACAACAAAUAUACUAUCUCUUCCCUUCUUAUUUCGAGGCAAACCUAGAAUAAAGUCCAUGGAUAAAUCUACCCAAGGUGAAGUAGGAAUCGGUAAAGGAGUGUAAAGGCCAUGAGGCAUUACCUUAGAUUUUGCUUGUUUGCAUGUAAUGCACUUGGAACAUACCUUUUCGACAUCCUUUUUCAUAUGUGGCCAAUGGAAGUGUUCUUGCAAGAUAUCUAGUGUUUUGGCCACUCCAAAAUGUCCCAUUAAACCUCCACUAUGGGCCUCAUGAAUCAAUAAGUCUCUCAUGGAACACUUUGGUAUGCAUAACCUGUUCAUACGAAAAAGAAAGCCAUCUACAAGAUAAAAUUUAUCGAAAGCAGUAUGUCCACAAUUCUUAUAGAUAUGGCCGAAAUCAGCAUCAUCAUCAUAUAGUUCCUUAAUAUGUUCGAACCCUAAGACUUUAGCAUUCAAUGUAGUUAUUAAAGUAUAUCGUCUAGACAAAGCAUCUGCAACUACAUUAUCUUUACCUGUUUUAUAUUGUAUCACAUAAGGGAAUGUUUCAAUGAAUUCUACCCAUCGAACAUGUCUUUUACUCAACUUACCUUGUCCCUUUAACCAUUUAAGAGAUUCGUGAUCUGUGUGUAUGACAAACUCAUUAGGCAGCAAAUAAUGUUGCCAUACUUGAAGUGCACGAACUAAUGCUAAUAGUUCUUUGUCAUAAGUCGAGUAGUUUAACUGUGCACCAUUCAAUUUCUCACUAAAAUAAGCAAUAGGUUGCUUAUCUUGCAUUAAAACAGCGCCAAUUCCAAUUCUUGAAGCAUCACACUCAAGUUCAAAAGUUUUAGCAAAAUCAGGUAAUUUAAGCAAAGGAGCAGAACAUAACUUAGCUUUUAGAGUUUGAAAAGCUUUUUCUUGGGUGUCACCCCAUUUGAAACCCACUGAUUUCUUUAUAACUUCAGUCAAUGGGGCAGCAAUAGUAGAGAAAUCUUUCAUAAAUCGUCUAUAAAAACUGGCUAAACCAUGGAAAGAUCUCACCUCAGUUACCGAUUUAGGAGUCGGCCACUCCUUAAUUGCCUUAACUUUGUCCUCGUCGACAUGAAUACCUUGAGCACUAACUAUGAAACCUAAGAAUAUUAGUUUAUCACAACAGAAUGUGCAUUUAUCAAGGUUGGCAAAUAAUCUUUCAGUUCGUAGAAUAUCCAAAACGGUUCGAACAUGGAAAACAUGAUCAUCUAAUGACUUUGAGUAAAUUAAAAUAUCAUCAAAGUAAACUACUACAAAUUUACCCAAAUGUAGCCUCAAAACAUGAUUCAUUAAUCUCAUAAAUGUACUAGGUGCAUUAGUAAGGCCGAAAGGCAUAACUAACCAUUCAUACAAUCCAAAUUUUGUUUUAAAGGCUGUUUUCCAUUCAUCCCCUUCCCUCAUUCGAAUUUGAUGAUAACCGCUUUUUAAAUCAAUUUUUGUAAAUAUUAUUGAACCAUGUAAUUCAUCAAGCAUAUCAUCAAGUCUAGGGAUUGGGUGUCGAUACUUUACCGUUAUCUUGUUGAUUGGGCGACAAUCAACACACAUACGAAACGUACCAUCUUUCUUUGGCACCAAUAAGACAGGAACAGCACAAAGACUUAGGCUCUCACGAAUGUACCCUUUGUCUAGUAAUUCCUCAACUUGCCUUUGCAAUUCCUUUGUCUCCUCGGGAUUGCAUCUAUAGGCUGGUCGAUUUGGGAUUGAAGCUCCGGGUACUAAGUCAAUUUGAUGUUCUAUCCCUCGUAAAGGUGGUAAACCUUUAGGGGCCUCACUAAAAACAUCCUCAUAAUCCUGCAAAAGAAAUUGAAACACACUAGGCAAAUUUUCGUUAAUGUUAGAUAAAGAUAAAUAAUUUUGCCUAAACCUCACAAGGAUACAAGGCUGUUUAUUAAGUAGGGCUCUCUUCACAUCUUUUUUUGUUGCCAAAAGAUUUUUUUCGCUCAUUUUACCACUAGAGGAUUCACUCACCUUUGAGCUUUUUAAAUUUUGACUUUUUCCACUACUAUUAGCCUCUUUUCUCUCUGUCUUUUGUACUUGCUCUUUCUCCCUUACCCCCUCACAAAAUUUUAUCAUCCUCAAUUGAUCUUUAUAUACAUCAGUAGGAUUUAAAGGAGCAAAAGUGAAUUUCUUGCCUUUAAAUACAAGGGAGUAUCGAUUAAGUUUACCUUGGUGUGUAACAUCGCGAUCAAAUUGCCAAGGUCGUCCAAGGAGCAAGUGUGCCGCAUGCAUGGGGACUACAUCACACCAUACGUCAUCCUCAUAAUUGCCGAGUUUAAAAGUGACCAAGGACUGUUUCGUAACUUUAACUUCGGAACAUUCAUUAAGCCACUGAAGGUGAUAUGGCUUAGGGUGUUUGGUUCAAGGCAACUUUAAAGAAUCCACCAAAUAACUAUUCACUACAUUCGAGCAACUCCCACUAUCAAUAAUGAGUGAACAUAAGUUACCUUUAAUAAAACACCGAGAAUGGAAAAUAUUGGUCCUUUGGCUCUCAUCAUCUUUCAUCUGAAUGUUAAGGGUUCGGCGAACUACAAAGCAAUGGAAAUUAGCAAAGUCCCCAUCUUUUGGUGGUUCGACCAACUCUUCGCCAUUAUCACUGUCAUCCACAAGUUCUGGCAUAUCUGGAUCUGUUUUAUCAGAGUCGGAAGUGUACUCACCAUUAUCUUUCAGAAGAAGUAAUCUCGUGUUAGGGCAUUCCCUACUAUAAUGACCACGCCCUUUGCACUUAAAGCACUCAAUCUCACGAGUCCUCUUCGCACUCGAAUCUCCUAAAUUGGGCUGCUUAGAAGGUGUUUGCGUUUUAACAGGAGCCCCUUUUUUCCAAUCUGAUUGCUUGCUUCCAUUACUCAAAGAAGGCUUGUUAGUAACGAAAGGUGAUUUUGAGCUCUUAAAAUCAGAAUUGGAAUUGUUACCUCGGUAAUAUUGCGAAGUCGAGAAGGAACCAAACCUUUGUUCCUUUAGUUGUUGCUCGAUCUCAAUGGCUUUAUGAACUGCUUCUUCCAAAUCAAUGUAAGUUUGUAGCCUCAAUGUAUUAGCUAUCGGCCUGUUCAAACCAUCAAUAAAUCGAACCAUAGUUGUUUCUUCAUCCUCCUCCACAUUAGCUCUCUGAAUGAGCAUCUCCAUCUCUUUAAAAUAUUCAUCCACUGUCCUACUACCUUGGAUAAGUCUUCUCAGCUUUGUUUUAAUUUCUCUAUAGUAGUGAGGUGGAAUAAACCUUUUACGCAUAAUCUGUUUCAACUCAUCCCAUGUCGAAAUCUCACCUUCAUAAUUCCGAUGGCGGUUUACCCCAAGUUGAGUCCACCAACUUAAUGCAUAAUCAGAAAAUUCCAGUGUUGCUAACGCUACCUUUUCAUCAUCCGGACAUUUAUAAUACCGAAACAUAAGUUCAAUCUUAGAUUCCCAUUCACAAUAAGCGUCAGGAUCAUUCUUACCACGAAAUUGGGGAAUUGUGAAUUUCGGUUUUGCCAAAGAAGGUUGCCCACGAUCAUGAAAAUCAUCAUCCAUUCUAUUGACACGUCGAGGGCCGCGCCUCUUGGGUUCCCUAUCUUCUUUGAUUGGAUCUCGAUAUUGAGGUUCUUGAUUCAACUGCACCUCAUUGAUGGUAGCAGUCAAAGCUCGAAGAGCAGCAGCCUGUUCAUCCAACUGUUGUUGGAAUUUUUUAAAUAUGUCACUAUUAUUAUCACCUGUAGACAUUUUUUUAAAACCUGCAAAACACUCAACACUCAAAAAUAAAAGUUAUCAAACCUCACCGUUAAUCACUCAAAAAGAAAAAAUCAAAUUCUCAAUGAGGUCGAAUUCAACCUUGUGAGUUCUUUAUCAGAGUUUAUAUCAACCAAUUAGAGAGUGUGAACCAAACUACCAAAGAAUCCUAAUUUGCACUAGGAUGCCAAAAACUGACGAGACACCAAUUGAUUCGUGUUGCACCGAGGAAGAAAUUGUGCACACGUUUAAAUCCUACUAACACAAGAAACAAGAAGGUGUUAGAUAACGUAAAGGAAGAAUAAAGGUAAACAAAUGAAAACCUACAGCUAAGAAUCAAUAAAAAUUGCUGAAAACAGAAAACUCGAAAAACUGCGGAGUAACUUGACAACUUCGUUCGAGGUGUUCCCGAUCUCCAAAAAUCACAAAAUUAAAUCUGGAAUGUCUUAAAAUAUUGAAUUUUUGAUCUGGAAAAUUUGGGCACCAAAUUCAACCCGCUGAAAAUUUUUUUAAUUUUUUAUUGGAUUUCGUCCUUUUUCAAUUUUUUGACUUUUUCGACUUAUUUUUUUGCGGGAAAUAUUUUUUUAUAUUCAAUAACAGUGCCAAAAAUAUGUAUGUAAAAUUUCAGAUCAAUCAGAAAACGUUUACCCACUAAAAUGAAUUUUUUUCGAAAAUUUUUCUGAGUAAAACUGCUGUUUGUAAUUUAAAAAAUAGAGAUCAGUUUAGAAAUCAACCAAGAACCCCCAAAACGCCAAAAAUCUGAUACCAAAUGAUACGGGGUUGCGCGCAGACCAAGAUCGAGUUGCCAAGUCACGGGAAACUCCUACGAAAACCCUAAACAAUUAGAUCUGAAACGAAACAAAAAAUUAAAAGAUUAGAUUUUUGAAUUUUCAGAUCUGAAAUAAAAUCCCCAAAUCAGCAAAGAAUCAAAUUGAGAAUAGAAAUAAGUGUUAGGGUUCUUGAAACCCUCAAGGAGAUUGUGAUUCUGCCCAAUUGAACACCAAGAUAGUUUUCCCCAAAUUUCGACAAUCUAAUUUCACCCAAAAAGAGUAUGGAAAAACCCUAGAAAUUGGGGAUUUUUGGGCUGAUUCCUUAAGAUAGAAAAAGGCUGAAAACACAAUAAGAACAGAAAAUAGAUUAGAUAAUGAUUCAGCACAAGUAGAAAUAAAGAAAGAAUUGACAGUAAGAAAUUAAAAGAUAAGUCCUAAGAAGCCUUGAAAUCUCGAAAGAUCUCACAACUCCCUUCAAACGGCUCUAAUCUCCCCUCCAAAGAAUAUCAAUGGCAAGAAGAAGGUUGAAGAUGGCUCCCACAAUCACAAGAUUGUUAAAACAACUUCUAAAGAAAACUCAAGAGAGAAAUCUUGGAGAAAACUCAAAGAAAAUUCUGCUCUCAACAAAUCUGAAAUUUUAAUAAUAAUGAUAAGUGUUUAACAAGGUGGACAGCCAUGCCUUUAAAUAGGCCUUAUAACUAGUCCCAAUCUAAUUAGAAAACUAAAAUAAAAAAAAAUCCUAAUUAUUUUAAUAUGAAAAAUUCGGUCAAAGGUCAUUUUAUCUGGGACUCUUGGACUGAAUAUUGACAUAAAAAUUUAAACUAAGUAAAUAAAUAAAUAAAAAUAAAAAUAAAACUUUACAACUUGGGCCACUUUGACAAUUUGGCCUGAUUUUCAACUAAGUAUGGAUGGAUUUCUUGAUUGGGCUGGGAAUUUUCUUAUUGGGCCUUGCCUUCAAGAAUUUGGGCUUGUGAUCCAUCUCCUACCGAAAUUGAAUCGUUGAUGCUCGUAAUGGAGAUCCAAUGCGCUUUGGCUGCAAGAUUUGGUGUCUUGGACCAAGAUUCCCAAUAUUUGAAAUCUUGAUUUUCCUUUUCUUUUGUGUACGCAUCUAAGGCCUUACUAACAAACUCCUAGAUGGUCCCAUUUAAUUUGGAACGCAUUUAUCGGGCCUUUGAUCUCGUAUCAAUAUGUGACAACAUUAGGCUUAAUGCCUUGCUUUGUCAUUAUGCCAACAAUAUCUUCGGCUUUAGAUAUCAUUCCUUGCUUGCAAAGCGCAUCGAUCAAUAUACUAUAUGUGACGACAUUAGGCUUAAUGCCUUGCUUUAUCAUUUCGAAGAAGAGAUCAUGAGCCUCCUUUAGCAAGCCCUUCUUACAAAGACAGUUAAGGACAGUGCUAUAUGCUACAACAUCAGGUUCGAAACCUCUUUCUUCCAUCAUCCUUAGAUACCUAAUAGCUCCAUCAGUAUUCCCAGUUUUACACACCCCAUCCAGUACUGUAGUGUAAACAAUUAAAUCAGGUUGAUACCCUUUCUCAAUCAUUUCAUCAAACAAACUCAGCCUCAAAAAUCUUACUUCGAUUACAAAGUCCCCUAAUCAAAGUGGAAAAAGUAACAACAUCAGGUUUAACACCUAGCUUCAACAUUUUGCCCACAACUGAAAACCCAGAAUCAAUUCGAUCAAGUCGACAAAAGCAAUUAAUCAAGAUGUUGAAAGAAUAAUCAUUCUAACAAUGGCUCUUAAUAAUUUAGUGAAUUCAACAAUGGAAGGCUUCGGGUGCUCCACAAUCAUCUUGUGAAACAAAGUCAGAGCAUCAUCAACAUUAUUGAAGCGAGGAUAGGAUUUUCGAUUUUCCCUCACAGACAUUGAAUUCUCACUUAAAGCUUCUAUGUGGGUAGAAUGUAAUUAAAAUAAGGAGAAAAAGACGAGUGGAGCUUAGAAAGGUUCCUUCCACCAUUAACAGCUGAAGCAAGAAGCAGACCCAUAUCUUGCAAUUACAGGGAAAACAAGAGCUAAGCUUUGAAAAGAAACCCCAUAAAUGGCGGCGGCGGCUGAACUAGCAGAAGAAUACUAUACUCCGUUUAAAGGCUCCAAAAUUGUUUGUUUGUUUGUGCACCAAAAGUGGAGGGAGAGUAGGGUGGGUUUUGUUUGUUUGUGUUCCUUACUCGCUGAUCUUAUUUGCAUACGUUUUCAUAUAUUAUUUGUUUUUUUUUUCAAAAUUAAAUAUUUAUAUUUGGAUUUUAAGUUAUUAUCCAGAAUUUAAAAUUUUUAAUUUUGAUAUGUAAGCGAAGGCAACAAUGGCAGUGGCAGUAAGAGAAGCGGAAGAUAAAUUCUCACAAUCAAAUUGAUAUUUGAAGGUUAAUUUUUUAAAAUUAUGAUUAAAUUGAUCUCAUGUGUAAAUGUUAAAAGGGUUAAAUUUUAAAUGUCACACGAGUAAAAUUUGAGGGAAACUAAUGUGGGUAGGGAAACUAAUGUGUAAAUAUUAAGGAUUAAAUUUUGAAUGUCACACCACCCUUUCAAGUUAGCGUUUGAUCAAACCGAGUGAAAAUAUUUUGAGCAUAAGCUCUUUUAUGUGUGAGAGAGCAAAAUUUGAGGGAAACUAAUGUGGGUAGGAUAUUUAAAUAAUUUCACCAUUAUCUGUGCUUCGGAGUUUUGUUUGUUUGUUCUACUAAGCUUACUUAUUUAACGAAAUUAGGUCACGGAUCUUAUUUGUAGAAGCCGUAAUAUAUUAUUUGUUAUCUAUUUUUUUCCUCCAUUUUUUUAUUGAGAGAAAUUUUUACUCUAAUUAAAUAUUUUUAUUUAGUUUUUUAGAUGCUAUCCUGAAUUUAAUUUUUUUAUAUGAUCUAAUGAAAUUAUUGAUAAUAAGCAAAGUCAGAUCAUUGAUCUUAUUUGUAGAAGCCUUAAUAUAUUAAUACUUUUAUCUAUUUUUUCAUCAAAAUUAAAUAUUUAGAUUUAGAUUUUAAGUUAUUAUCUAUAAUUUAAAUUUUCUUUUAAUUUUGAGGUGAAAGUGAAGGCAACAAUGGUAGUGGCGGUAGGAGAAGUAGAAGAUAAAUUUUGAUGAUCAAAUUGAGAUUAUUUCUAAAUUUUAAUAGUUAAAUUUAUAAAAUUAUGAUUAAAUUGAUAUCAAAUAUAAAUGUUAAAGGUUAAAUUUUUUAUUAUAUCUAUUUUUUAAAUGUCACAUCACCCUUUCAUAUAAGGGUGAACGUUUGAUUGAAUAGAGUGAAAAUUUUUUUAGAAUAAACCCUUUAUGUGUGAGAGAGUAGUGUGGGUAGGAUAUUUAAGUAAUUUCACCAUUAUCUGUGCUUUGAGGUUUCGUUUAUUUGUUUGUUAUGCUAAAUUUACUUAUUUAGUGAAAUCAGGUCACUAUUCUUAUUUGCGAAGCCUUAAUAUAUUAUUUGUCAUAUAUAUUUUUUCUCCAUUUUUUCUAUUGAGAGAAUUUUUUACUCCAAUUAAAUAUUUAUAUUUGGUUUUUUUGUUAUUAUCCCGAAUUUAUUUUUUAUAUGAUGUAAUGAAAUUAUUGAUAAUAAGAAAAAUCAGGUAACUAAUUUAAACAAAAUGAUUAGUAAGCAUCCUUUAAUUUUAUUUUUUAUUUGACAAGAAAUUUGUAAUAUCAAGUGACAUGUAGGUCUUUAUUUUGAUGGAUUCAAAAAUAUGUGGACAACAAAGUUUAUUGCACUUUAAAGAAGAAAAUUUAAGUUCAAAUUUUAAAAAUAAUAUUGUUAAGAGAGACAGUCACAACUUCCAAAAAAUUUAAUUGUCAUAAAUAGUAAAAUGAAUAUAAAUGAUACUUUCAUCAUAAUAAUAUAUAGGUUUAUAGGUAUAAAAAAUACCCUUGAGAAAUAAAAAAAUAAAAUAAAUCAAUUAAGCCCCUCGACUUAAUUCGCAUCCAAUAUUGAGCCUUUGUUGUUAACAUAAAAAGUUAAUCAAGUCCCUCCAUUAAAAGUUUCUCUCUCUUUGACCAUGUUAACUAUUAAAAUUAAUUAAUGGACCAAUUAGAUGGCAAACCCUAUGUAAUCUUUCAUUUUUUUCAAAAAAAAAUGAAAAUAUCAUUAAAAAUUAUAAAAAAAUAUUAAAAUUUUAUAAAAAAUAUUAAAAAUUAUGUUUAAGUAUUUCAAAAGGUCCCUAUACUCUUUUGAAAUUUAAAAUUUAAUCUCUCUACUUUAAUUUUGAGACAUUGAGUCAUUGGGAUUUUAUUAUUUAAAAAUCUUGAUCCUCCAUUUAAUUUUAUUAUUAAAGCUCUAUUCAACCAAUCCGUACAUGUUUACAAGUCAACUGAUUUUUAAAAUUAAAAUUUUUUAACCUUCAACAUUAUAGUUUCUUUUUCUCAAUUUGGUCCUCACCCUUUAAAAUUAUGUAAUUUUUUAAGGGACAAAAUCUCAAAAUUAUGUGCAAGUUGAUACAUGAACUUUGAUUUAAUGCAAUUAUACACAUGAAACUUUGAUUAUGGUUUAAAUAUAUACAUGUGAUCUGUUGUAUUUUGCUACGUCAAAUUAGGCUUUCCAUUACGUUGAAAAAUUAGGUUUGGAAAAUACAACGGAAAAUAUAUUUGAGGAAAAAUAAGAGUUUUAAUUUUUUUUUUCCAAAACUAGAACUUGAUUGUGUUAUUUAAAGUAAUAAACAUUUAAUUAAAAUCAUACAUUUUUUAUUCGUCUAGGAUGAACACUUCGACCGAGUAUUCUUCUCCGCUAUCCUCAAGCUCACGUCUAUCGAGUGUGGGCUCGCUUCAAAUUAGAAAAUUUUUCACAAAAUUACUAGUGGGGAAAUUUUUUAAUUUCUCUAAAUUUUUGGAGUCAAGUUGUAAAUAUGAAAAAUAUCUAUAGAAUUUUUUUAAAAUAAUUUCUUCAGAUAAUUUUCUUUAACUUUCUUGUGUGAAAAAUAAUAACCCAAAGCUCUCUUUAUAAAGUUAAAGAGCUCAAUUAUGAUUAAACUUAAUUACUUUAAUAUUAAAAUAAUUAUCAAGAUAAAUAUUAAAUCUAUUAAAUUAAUAUGCUUAUGUGGAAGACUAUUGGUAGGUUGUUAAGUCUCAGAGUUCAAGGCAUUUUUGUUCAGUCCCUUGUUCCUCAAACAAGUAAGCAUUGAUCUCUCUUUUAUUAGUUUUCACUUUCUAUAAUCUUUUUCAUAACUUUAAAUUGCCUUCAGAGAUUUAAAUAGCAGUCGAGUAGCGGAAUACCGGCGUUAUAUAGCAGUAGCAGCGCCAUCCAAAAUUGUUAUUAUUGAAAAUAGCGGUGUAAAGCGGAAUCACACCAAUAGCAGUGGAUCACGGUCGCAAUUUAACAGGUAAUGGCCAAUUGCGGCAAUAACAGGCCGUUGUUCCCUUAUUGUUCCAUUACAGUAAAAUUAAAAAAAAUCCAACUCCUUAAAAAAAUCAACAGAAAUAUAAUUAGACAAAGCCACAAAGGGAAAAUAUUCUUCAUUUGCAAAAUCAAAUAAUUUUCAAUCAAAAAAAAGAAAAAGCAGUCCAAAAUCAAUAGAAAAAAGUAGUCCAAAAGCAAUAGAAAUAUAUGAAUCAGUACAAGAAAUUUGUUCAAAAAACAGAAAAAGCAUUCAAAACUCUAAACAAAAAAAUAUGAACCGUGAUAGGAGAGCCAGUGGAGACGGUGGUUAGAUGCGUGUUUGAGUCCGAGCUUGGUGGCGUUUGGUAUGUCCGAUGAACUUGAUGGAUUUGAAGAAGACUAGAGACACUACACCAAAACAGGCUUUUAGCGGCGCUUUUUUAGGCCUUUAGCGGCGCUUUUUAGCGCCGCAAAUACUUUUAGCGGCGCUUUGAUAAGCGCCGCAAAAGAUGCCGCUAAAGGUGUUGGUCUAUAGCGGCGCUUCUAUCACAAACGCCGCUGAAGACUAAGAGCUUUAGCGGCGUUUUUAAUAUAACCGCCGCUAUAGAUUGGUGUCUUUAGCGGCGUUUUUGUUGAAAGCGCCGCUAUAGAUCAGGGUCUUUAGCGGCAUUUUUUAUAUAAGUGCCGCUAUAGAUCAUGGCCUUUAGCGGCGCUUUUCCCAAAAACGCCGCAAUAGACCCUGAUCUAUAGCGGCAUUUUUCGCACAAACGCCGCAAUAGACCCUGAUCUAUAGCGGCGCUUAUCCAGAAAACGCCGCUAAAUACCCUUUGUCUAUAUAGCGGCGCUUCGCGCGAAAACGCCGCUAAAGACCCUAAUCUAUAGCGGCGCUUUUACCAAAAACGCCGCUAAAUUUGACAGAUUUGUAAUUUUUUUUAUAUUUUCUGCCAUCCUGUAAAAAAACAAAUCAAAAGAAAUCAUAUCUAAACCAGCCAAAAGUAACAAAUCUAUGGAUUAAACAAAUAAUAUAAUAAAUAUCAAUAAAUAUAAAUAAAUUCGUAUUAUUCUUACAAAAAUGUUAAAAGUUAAAAUGAUAAUUGAAAGUCAAAAUUGAAGUAUAUUUACACGAUAGUCUAAGACGGCGGCUGUUGCGACUGCUGAAACAUCUUCAUCAUACUCUGGAGCUGCUGCUGGAGUUUAUCGAACUUUUGACGCUGCUCUGCUUCCCUCGCUGUAGCCUCUGCUUCCCUCGCUUUAGCCUCUGCUUCCCUUGCUGCAGCCUGUUCUUCUCUCGCUGCCGCCUCUGCUUCUCUUGCUGCCGCAUCUGCUCUAAGCUGCUGCUGGAGUUCUUCAUACUUUCGUUGAACCUCAGCUUCUCUCGCUGCUGCAUCUGCUUUAAGUUGUAGCUGGAGUUCUUCAUAUCUUUUUUGAACAUCAGCUUCUCUCGAUGUUGCCUCCGCUUUAAGUUGUGUAAUUUGCUCAGUUGUUGUCGCUUGCAUCAGAGCAAUCUGGUCUCUUAACCUCUGAACUUCAGCUUCAGCUCGACUCCCUGAAGGCAUAUACUGUUGCGAGCUAGAUCCAAAAUAUUGGGACGGGUUAACAAAAGAUUCUUGGAAUCGAACCCGACCAUACCUUUCAGGACCCAAAACUUCAGUGAUAAUCCGGUUAUCAAUGUCAUCAAUAUGAACAGAACUAUCACUGGAUGCAAUCACGUCGUACUCCGCCUUUUUAUUCUUUAAUUUUUCCUAAAAAAUAAAUCACACAUAGAUAGGAACACAAUAUAUAUUAAAAAUAAGAAUGCAACAUAACUUAACAAUAUUUGCAUUAUAAUAAAUGAAAUAAAUCAUUAGAAAGUAAACACUAUAUAAAUAAUUAAAACAAGUGAAAUUGUAUUAAGAAAACGUACCAUAAUUUCUGCAGCUUCAGGAGUCAUAGGGUUUCCAUCUUUCUUCCUAUGUGUAAUGUCAAAAAGUUAAAGUCGUCUAACUUUUUGACCGGACGACAAUUCCUACAAUACAAUAGUAAAAAUAUUAAUUGAUAGAAAGUAAUAAAUAUCUGCCAACAUUAAAAGCAUUUCAAAAUACCUCUGCAUGAGCUACACACGCAAAACUUUUCGACCCAGCUGUGUGAGUGAAUUUUUGUUGCUGCCUACUCUGUUUUCCAACUUGUUCACGAUCCUACAUUAUGGAAUUAUUAGUACGUUAAUUAGGAAAUACUAUACACCAAAAUAAUUACAAAAUUUUAUAAGUUACACAUACCUCUCCUUUCUUCGAAGUCCAAAAUCUAACGACCUCUUCCCACUGGUACCUCAGCAUUCCCGGCGGGACAUUUUGUAAUCUCUCGUCGAGUGUUGUUUUUGUUUUAAAAUAUUCUUUCUUUAAAGUGCUCUUAUGGUCUCUCCAUCUUUUUCCCAAUGCCUUCUUUACAUAAGCAUCGGAGACCUCUAGAGCAAAUCUCGCCUACAAAAAACACAACUUAAGAAAGUAAAUGUAAACGAAACUUAAAUCCAAGUAUUAUAAAUGACAUACACGUUUUGUUACCUUAAUGCUAUCGAGAGCUUGGUUCUUGUUACUCUCGGGCACUUUAUGCCAUGACUCGAAGUUAAUUGGCAACAUAUUUGCAUUCCGUGCUAGAAUGCCCAUGUAUCCUGCUAAAAGGCGGGCUUCUGAUCCAACAGGCUGACCAAAGCUAUUACUGGAUACUUGGACACGCUCGACUGGAUCUAGGUCGUAUAAAUCGCUCAGUACUGUAUGUCCGCGAACUCUCCGCGUCUCACCAGUUUCAUCUGAAAAAUAUAAGUAUUGUAAUAUACGAAAUUUAAAAAAAAUAAACAAGAAGUCAGCACACAUGAAAAUUAAAUGUUAAAUUACUUUGAACUUCUAUAUGUUCCUCAGGUGUAACCGGAACAUUCGAAGAUCCAAUUGCAGUCUGUUGUUCAGUGCUGUUUGUUUCCGCCGAGUUUGGAGUACCUUGAACAAUGCGGUGCGAUCGCACUUUUCUUCUAGGCAUUUUAUCUGCAAUACAAAUAAAUUAGUUGAAAACUUAGUAUACAAUUACAACAAUAACAUCAUUCGUAAAUAUAAUUAGAUAAUCGUAAAAGCUGACUACAUUAUAAUUCGUAAAUAUCUUCAUCCGUAUCCUGGCGGACCCAUUGAAAUUGUGUACUAGUACUACGGAUGUUUUCGUUUAAGUUUUGUUCUGGAAAUGGUAAAGUUUGUGUUCUGUCGUCAAUGUCAUCUCUACUUCCACUGCCCAUGUCAAACAAGUCUCUAGGGAUGUUACGGAGUACAACGUACCAACCCUCAUCAGUUGGAUCUUUUGAGUAAAAAACUUGUUUGACUUGAGAAGGAAAUACAUACGGCUUAUCAAUCAAUUGUUGUCCUGUGUGAAUCAAUCGAGCGAAGUUUACCAUUGUGAAACUAAAUUGAUCUUGCUUGAUUCCACGUGCAGUAUUAACAUCGGCCCAAUCACCUCGAAAUAAGACAACUUUCCAUUUGCCGUAGUAAUCCAACUCAAUUAUGUCAGUAAGAAGUCCAAAAUAUUCCACAUUUCCCUCCACAGGAUUAUUGUCCCUGGCAUUAGCAUAACUUGUAAUUGAGGAAUUAACAACUAUUCCACAAUUUUGCGUUUUCCUCAAUCUAUCGCGAUAUUUUGUAUGAAAUCUGAAUCCGUUUAUGAGGAAUGCACUAUAUUUUUAACCACCCGAUUUGGACCUUGGGAAAGCCAUUUAACUUCGUCGGUGACGUUCUUCCCACUCCAAACCUAUUGAAUGGAAAGUAAAUUGAGUAAUUAAAAAUGUUUUGAACAAAUAUUAUUAUUUGUCGGUGAAAGCUCCAAUUACAUACCGUUUGACUUAACCAUUCAUGAAAAGAUUCUGUAAACAACUUAUUGAUAUCUCGAUGUUGUGUUCUUCGGGAGCGCGAACGAGAUCUCAAUAUUUGUUUGUACUCACUAUGUUACAAAUAUGUUAAGUUUGUUAGACUAUAAACAAUUUUGAAAUAAUAAAUAUUUAUCAAAUUUCUAGAACUUACUUGCGUAAAGGUUCCAUUGAUUCGUGGUGAAACAGAACAUAUCGAUGUGCUUGUACCCACGAUAAAUCAUCUAAUUCUGCAAUUUCAACUUUACCGAUUGGUUCUCCAAAACUUUGGAACAAAUAACUGUCGGCAAAGUUACGAUCCGUGAGUCCAGCAUUUCUAUUUGGUCUGUUCAACCUUGUUUCAACAUCUUCCAAAUAUCUUGAAUAGAAGAUCAUACAUUCCUCUGCCAAGUAGCCUUCAGCAAUCGAUCCCUCUGGAUAACGCUUGUUGCGGCAAUAAGACUUUAAUUUUGAUAGGAACCUAAACACAAUAUACAACAUUGUCAAAAGUUGUAACUAAAGGCACAUGGCUGAAUGAAGGAAAAUUUACAAAAUUGUAAUUAACACCUUUCUAUGGGAUACAUCCAUCGAUAGAAAACGGGUCCGCCAAAAAUUACUUCAUGCGGAGAUGGAUUAUCAAGUGAACCAUAAUAGUGAAGAAGGAAGGUGGGAAGAUUUUCUCCAUGUUGCAUAGAGUUAAAGCGGCUCGAUCCUGUACCUUCUGAACUUCUUGAACAUCCAAAACUUUGCCACAAAUGGCUUUCAUUAUAUUGGAUAGUUCAAUUAUAGAAGACGUCACCUUCUUCGAAAUACAACAUCGUAGAGCAACUGGCAGUAAAUCUUGCAUCAAGAUGUGAUAGUCAUGUGACUUUAGCGAAUAUAGUCUUCGAUCUUUAACACUAACACAUCGAGAUAUAUUUGAUGCAUACGCAUCUGGAACCUUUAUAUCCUUCAACACCAUGCAGAACACUUCUUUCUCUGUCUUUGACAUUGAGAAAAUUGAAGGCGGUAACCGAUAUUUACCAUUCGGAAGUGGAUUCGGAUGAAGAUCAGGUCGAAUUCCCAUCUGAACUAAAUCAAGUCGACUCUGAAGAUUGUCUUUUGAUUUUCCGUGUACAUUCAAAAUUGUACAGACAAUGUUCUCGCAGACAUUUUUCUCAACAUGCAUAACAUCAAGAUUGUGUCGUAAAAGGUGGUGCUCCCAAUAAGGUAACUCAAAAAAAAUACUUCUUUUUUUCCACAAGUCCGCCUCAUUAGGAUCGUCCUCUUCAUCAGAGUUAUCAUCAGCUUCAUCAUUUGAUCUUCUAUUUCUUUGCGUGUUUGCCGGUUGAUUCAUCUUCCCAUAACUGAAAUUCAUAUCUUCCAACAUUAACAAGAUUUCAGAUCCACUUGUCUGCGAAGGAGCUUCUCUGAACUCUUCAGUACCGUCAAAUGCCAAACUCUGAAAUCUAAAUCUAUGAUUUUCUGGUAACCACCGACGAUGCCCCAUGUAAGAGAACUUCUUCCCAUUGUAUAACCAUUGCGAGCAUGUUUGUGCAGCACAACAAGGGCACGUAUAACGACCCUUGGUACUCCAACUGGAUAAAUUGGCAUAAGCGGGGAAGUCAUUAAUGGUCCACAUCAAAGCUGCACGUAAAUUAAAGUUCUCCUUUCUCAGCACAUCGUAUGUCUCGACACCAGCCCAUAAUUGUUUUAACUCUUCAAUAAGUGGCUGUAAAUAAAUGUCGAUAUCAUUCCCGGGCCCUUUCUCUCCAGGGAUAAUCAUAGAUAAGAUAAGGGAAGAUUGCUUCAUGCAAAUCCACGGAGGUAGAUUGUAAGGAACAAGCACCACUGGCCAUGUACUGUAUGCAGUACUCAUGAUCUUGUAAGGAUUAAAUCCAUCAGAUGCUAGGCCAAGCCUGACACUCCUCGGAUCGCUUGCAAAGCUUGGAAAUUUAUUGUCAAAUGAUUUCCAAGCUAAAGAAUUUGCCGGAUGCCUUAAUAGUCCAUCAUCGGUUCGUCCUUCAUGGUGCCACGUCAUUGACUCCGCUGUCUUCGACGACAUGAAAAGCCUUUGAAGCCUUGGUAUCAGCGGAAAAUACCACAAAAUCUUGACCGGCUUCUUUAUUGGCUGUGCAUCAUUUUCAUCGUCGUUCCCAUCUUCUGUGUUUCUAUUCAUCCAACGGGAUUCGCCGCAUACAUGACAGCACUGUUGGUUUCUCCGAUCGCCCCAGUACAACAUGCAAUCAUUUGGGCAACUAUGGAUUUUGUUGUACCCAAGACCUAAGUCUUUUAUCAUUUUCUUCAUAUCUUUGCAUGACUGAGGGAUUUUUGCAAACGGAAACAUUUCUCUCAAAAACUCUAACAGCAUUGUCAAUGAGUUCCCGCUCCACCCUCCAAACAUUUUAACUGGAAAAGACGAAUGCAGAACGACAUUUUUGAAAAUUUCAAUCCCUCAUAUAGUUAUUCGUUCAUCUCAUUAAGUAGCGCGUAGAACUUUGCCGCUUCUCCAUUCGGCUCUUCAUGAUGUUGGUUUCUUCCGGGUUCGGUAAAAGCAUUUCCACCGAGAUUACAAUCAUCAGAUGGCACAAAGUCGGGUGGGAACGACUGUAAACCAUGACUGUGAAUAUUAAAUGCUUCCCGCAACUUCCCUUCCAUGUCAUCCCCUCUAACAGACUGAUGGUAGGCAGUACUAUCAUAAGAUACAUUCAUCCUUGAAGAGGAAGUACUAGGCGGGCAUUCUCCAUGAAAAAACCAUUGUUUAUAACCACGAACAAACCCAUCAACAAUUAGAUGCUCGUAUACAACUUCACGAUAAUGUCAGUUUAUGUUGACACACUUCUUACACGGGCAAAGAAUCAUGUUCUCUUGGCUUGCAUAUUGAAAUGCAAAAUUUAGAAAAGUUUGUACUCCAUUUCGGUAACCGUCGCUUACCCUUGACAAAUUCAUCCAAGACCGGUCCAUUUCUUAUUUCUUGAAGCCUAAUCUUGACAAUAAAUUGCACGGGUUUAGGAUUUAGGAAUAAGUAUAGUUAAGCUAUGUAAGUUAUGUAUUAUGUAAGUUAUUUAUUACCCAAAUUAUGUAAGUUGUGUAUUAUGAAAAUUAUGCUAUGUAAGUUAUGUAAGUCACAUAAGUUAUGUAAGAAGUUAUUUAUGUAAGUUAUUUAUUAUGAAAAUUAAGUAAGUUAUGUAAUUUACGAAUAAUUAAAAAUAUGUAAGUUAUGUAAGUUGUAAGUUAUGUAUAAUAUUAAUUAACUAAGUUAUGUCAUUUAUGUAUCAUAUUAAUGUAAGUUAUGUAAUUUAUGUAUAUUAACUAAUUACUUUAUGUAAGUUAUGUAUAAUAUUAAUUAAUUAAGUUAUGUCAUUUAUGUAUAAUAUUAAUGUAAGUUAUGUAUAAUAUUAAUUAAUUAAGUUAUGUCAUCUAUGUAUAAUAUUAAUGUAAGUUAUGUAUAAUAUUAAUUAAUUAAGUUAUGUCCCUUACAAUAAGAGACUAUUGAUUUUAUAAUAUAAACAUUGGAUAAACAAUUUUGUUUAAAAAAAAGAUUGGAUAAACAGUAUUUUAUAAUAUAAUAUUAAUUUUAGAUACAAAUAUAAUAUUAAUUUUAGUUACAAAUAUUAUACAAAUAGUAUUUUAUAAGGUAAAUAAGCAUUUUGCAUGCAACUUGACUAAGAAAUUAGUAGCAAAUAGGGAAUUGAGUUUGUAUAAAAAACGUGGACCGUCUCUCUAUUAGGUAGCUGUCAAUGGCAUUUUAACUCCAACCAUCUCACAUUCUUACCGAAUUGAAUGUGUGUUUUAAAUUCUCAACCCAUCAAAAUAAAAAAUUAAAGAGAAAAUUUGAAUUGAACUUUAUAUACAAAAUAGAAUACAAUAUAUUACCUCCUUUUCUUUCUACCAUUUAAUCAAAUGAAAGUUAUGGUUAAUCUCUUCUUUUCCUUAUCUUUCCUCAUUUUAGAUAAUCUAAUAAAAGAAUAUAGUUUAAUCCAAACGUAAAAUUAAAAAUUAAACAUUAUUGGGAGGAACAGUAACAAACCUUAAAAUAAUUAAUUUUCAUGGAUAAUCAAAUAGACAUAAAAGCAUAAAUUGAUUUCAAAGAAGACGAAAUGUAAAUAUCCAACAGUAAAAAAUAACUUCAUAAUUAUUAAAUGUCAAUAUAGUCUACUUACAAAGAAAAUAACUCAAGAUAAUUUAAGAUAUAACAUUAUUUCUUAAAAUUGAUCAUCCUAAUUGAGUUAUACUCUUCAAUUUUUUAUUAAACCGAAGCCAUCAAUAAGAGAAUUGGUUGAAAAUUGUUAAGCUGUAUCCUUAUCAAUUUUUUAUACUGGCUUUGGUAGUUUCGAUUAAGGGUUGUAUUUGCUCUCCCUCCUCCUUUUUACUUGCGAUCUGGUGUGUUUUUUUUUACUGAGGUUGCUGGUAGUGGAUUUGGUUAUGAUGAUGUUCGGAUUGACUGGGGUUUUGGGUGUGAGGUUGACGGUAGCUGCAAGCUGAAGUAGUGAUCUGGACUCUGAUUUAGUGAAUAGUGUGAUGGUAGGGCUGGAGUAGAGGUUGCAGCAGUUGGCGCUGGUGAAGAUGGGAGAGGGAGUUGUCCUUGGCAGUGGUGGUUGGCGACUUUGACUCCAUCAACAGGCUCAAGGUCAUAUGGACCAAAUAUUGUAAAAUAUAUUUUCAGAAUUAUAUAAAUCUAACAUUAAUGGUCAAAGCCAAAAAAAUAUAUAUGUAUUUAGCAUAAAAAAUAAAAGGAUCAUACAUUACCCAAAUAGUGAAAAUGGAUCCAAAUUCAAUCAAAGUCCUCUAAUUAAUUUGUCCAAAUCAACAUUGAUUCAGAAUUUAGAAUUUUCUUUUCAUUUGAAAAAUUAAACUCAAUAAUUGGUAGACUUAAAUAAAAUUCGGUGUCUACACUACUCAAUAAUUAUCAGCUAACAAAGUGAUGAAUUCAACUACAGUAAAUUUGGUUAACAUCAGUUUUGGAUUUCAUUCAUGGACUCAUUAAGUUAAUAAUAAUCAUAAUAAUUAAAGUAAGAAAGUGAUGAACAUUUUCUUUAACUAAUAAAUUUAGCAAAUUAAAUAUACAUACCUCUUAAAGUUCACAAGGAAGUAAAGGCUGCAAGGAAGUAGAGGCUGCAAGUUCCUGGGAUUGCUUCACGAUUGAAUUUCCAGCAGUUUAUCAAUUGAUCAAAAAGUCUACUUUCUGCUGCAGUUGACUAAGAAAACAUUAUACAGGGUCAUCUAUACAGAGAUGAGCCAAGCAACAAUAAGGGAAAUAACAUAUAUAAAGAGAAAGCCGUAGUUUAAAAUAUACAAUAUGCAUAUAAUUUUUUAUGACAAAACAUGCAGACAUAAAUUUUAAAUUUCAAAAUAUACAUAUAUUCAUACCUAACACUAAUCUCAUUUAACUCGAAUUCAUACCCAACACUCAUCUCAUUUAACUCUAAUAACAUAGAUGGCAAAUACGUCAGUAAGACUAACCAAAACCAAAACAUGUUAAGGGAUAGUGAAAGUGAAUCUAGUGAGCUCUCCCCUAAGCCAAUGUUACAAAAAUGAAUUUCCAUUGAUCCAAACCCAAAAUGCACAAAAAAAUAUGGGAAAGGGGAAGUCCAUCGAUACCAGAAAAUAAUGUUGUUCGGCUAUCAGAAAGGGAUUGAGCAAUUGGGAAAUUGGGGAAAAUACUUUGGGGAAGAAUAACUUGGGGGAAAUUGGGGGAAAAGAAGUUGGGAAAUUGGGGAAAUGAAAUCGUGGAAAUUUGACUUGGGGGAACACUAAAGGAAAUUCCCAAAUUCCCAAACCCUUGACACGCAAAAACGCCGAAAUUCCCUGAAUUCCCAAACAAACAGGCCAAAGGUUGGUGAUUGAAUUUAUUAUUUAAACCCCAGUUUCCCAAAUUACACUUAACCCAAACCCUAAAUCAAGAUACAGCAAUUUAAAAGACAAAAAGCUUACCUUUUUCACCACAAAUUCCGCAACUUUGAUAGUAUCCUGUCAAGAUUGGCUCAACUGUUGCUUCGUUUCACCCGAUUUAUGAGUUCUCCUCUCCCUUUUUUCCUUUGUAUUUUCUCUUUCGAUAUUAUAGCUUUUGUUUUCUCCUCUCUGAUUCUGUUUCUGUUUGUGUUCUGCCUUACAGAAAAUGAUAAGUAAAAACACGCGGAACAGAAACGGCGUCGUUUUGCCAAAAUUUUAAGACACCAUUCCGGCGUUUGUUAGGAAAACGCCACUAUUUCUUGUAUAUUUCCGGCGUUUCCAAAAAACGCCACUACAAAUUGAAGUUAUACUCUGAAACGGCGCCGUUUAAUAAAGCUUUAAUGCAUAUUUCAAACUAUUUUUUAACUUAUUAAACUUAAUUCUAUUUAAAAUAAUAUUUAAAUGACAAAAACAUUAAUAUAAUUGAUAUCAAUUGGUACUUUAAUUUGAUUUUUUAAAACAUUAUUUAAAGAAAUUAAUCUAAACUAACCUAAUUAAAAUCCUUAUCCGACCCCCUGAAACCCUAAACCAUAAAUUCUAAACCACUAACCCUUAGCCCGUAACUCGUAAAACUUAAACCCCUAACCCUAUAUCCCAAACCUUAAAUCCAUAUAUACCCCCUAAUCUUUAAAAUAGCACGACCAUCAGAAAUAAUCCCUAAAUCUUUAAUAAUCAUAUAUAAAAUAGUUAUAAUUGAUUAAAAAAUAAUUAAUAGUAAUAAAAACUUUUAAUAAUUUGUAAUAUUACCUUUAUAAUAUUUAUUUUUUUGUAUAAAGUUUGAAAUUUAUAAUAUUUAAUUUUAUUGAUAAAUAAAUAAAUUUAAACUAUAUACUCAUAAUUUAAAUAUAUUAAAUUUAUUAUAUAUUAUAUAUUUUAGAAAUAUAUAUAUAAGAACAUAUUUGAUAAAACUAAAUUAAUCUAAUAACUUAAACUCUAACAUAACUGUUAAAACCCUAAACCCGGCCCAAAUCCAUAACCCCCUAACCUCUUACCCCUAAAUCCCCUAACCCCUAAAGCAUAACCCUUAAACCCUAAAUCCCCCUAACACCUAAACCUUAAAUUUUUCAAUUCCACAAACAAACGGUGACGGGUUAACAAAAUUGUAGACAUAUUGAUAAUUAUCGAUUAAUCGACAUGCAUAAAGUGAUCAUGAUCUACCUAUUAUAAUAUUCAAUAUAUUAAAUUUAUUCUUGAAUAUCUAUUUUACAAAUAUAUAAGAACGUAUAUAUUGAUCACCAUAAAAAAUAAUAAAAAACAAAUCUAAUUAAUUAAACCCUAACACAUGACCGUUGAAAUUAACCCUAAAUCUCAAACCCCAAAACCUCUAACCCCUAAAUUAACCUUAAAUCCCCAAUUACCUUAAAUCUAUACCCCGUACUCAUUAAAAUACCGUCCAUAAAAAAAAUUCCCUAAAUCUUUAAUAUAUAUAAUCAUAAUUAAAUUAAAUAUAGUCAAUAAUUAUUGUUAAAAUAUAUAUAAAUUAGUCGAACAAUAUAUACGUACUACCAAAAUUAAUUUAUUACUCUUAUAAAAAGUUAAUUCUAUUUUUAAUUUACUCUUUACAUUAAUACAACAAUUUAAGUUUUACUAUAUUUUAUUUUAUUCAUAAUUUAAUAUAUUUUCUCUCGUAAAGUAGUUUAAAUCAACUGUUAUAAAUAGUUAGCUGUUACAUAUAUACGACUUCUCUUUAAUAAAAACUUUUUUUAUUAAUCAAUAUUAUUUGUUAAUUAUAAUUUAAAUGUAAAUUGUCCCACUAUAUAUAUAUAAUAAAUAGAACAAAAUAUUAAUUAUUUCAACUUAUAAGAUUUUUGUUACUAUUAGCGGCGCUUCGGCAAAAACGCCGCUAAAGGUUAAUACAUUCGCGGCGCUUAGAUACAAACGCCGCUGAAUACAGGAGAAUUAGCAGCGCAUAUAUAAAAACGCCGCUAAAGACCCGAGCAUUAGCGGCGCAUAGGCGAAAACGCCGCUAUAGACCCGGAGCAUUAGCGGCGCUUAGACGAAAACGCCGCUAAAGACUCGGAGCAUUACCGGCGCUUAGACGAAAGCGCCGCUAAAGACUCGGAGCAUUAGUGGCGCUUAGACGAAAACGCCGCUAUAGACCCGAGCAUUAGCGGCGCUUAGACAAAAACGCCGCUAUAGACCCGAGCAUUAGCGGCGCUUAGACAAAAACGCCGCUAAAUGUUUAAAAAAUCGCAAAAAACGACGCCGUUCGUCUUAGGUUUUUUGUGGCGCUUUAUAUAAAAUGCCAUUAAUUCCUAUUUUUAGCGACGCUUCCGUAUAAACGCCGUUGAUGCUCUACCUUUAGCGGCGCUUUGGCUAAAUCGCCGCUAAUGCUCUAUUUUUUGUGGCGCUUUUGUUCCAAACGCGGCAAAAAGUGCCGCUAAAAGCCUAUUCUGGUGUAGUGAGAAUGGCUGGAUGGUAACUGGAUGAUUUCGAUAGGCAUUUGGUCUCUUGUUUCACUGAUGCAAAGAAGGUGUUGAUUGUUUUGCUUUUCAAGGAAGGGGUUUUAGGCCUGGUUUGUUAUUUGUUUUUAUGUUUUAUGUUUUUGUUUGCUUCAUUUUCUGGUUUUGUUUUUUGUUUUGUGCAUUUUCUUUUUUAUUUUGAUUAUGUGCUUUUCAAGGCACCAUUUGGGUGACCAAUAAGGGAUGGUGUAAUGCCCCGAAAUCUUUAAGUUUUGUUUUGGUUCAAUUUUAUCAUUAGUCGGUAUCUAGUUUAGUGGGUAAGUGUCUUUAAUGUGGGUUGAAGGUCAUUGGUUUGAGUCUUUGCGUGGGAAGGGGGUGUUUUUAUUUUGUUAAAUAUGGAGCCUGCUUAGUUCGAGUCUCUGUUGUUUUGAUUUUCACAAUUUGUUCUUUGUUUCUUCUUUUUUAUGUUUUGUUUUAUUUUUCUUCCAAGUCCCCACGCCGCCAUUCUUCUCUAGACUUGUUCUUGGGUUUUCUUUGUUUCUUUUUGUUCUUUCAUUCUUUCUUUUCACAACAUCACUCCCAGUCCUUUUGUUGUGCAUUUCGUUCUCGACGUCAGUGGCUCGUGUAGGUGCUAUUGAAUCUUGUUUUUGUAUUGUAAGUGGGGUUUAUGCUUGCUGUUUUCUUUUCUUGUUUAAUUUUAGGUUGGAAGUAUUUUGCGUGUUAAUCAAUUACGUUUUGGGUGAGGUUGGAGAGGCGAUUGAUCCCUUGGCGAUUUAGAAUUGUUGAUGAACUGCUGUUUUCUAGAAGAUGAAAAGUGCAUUUGAGGUUUAAUGUCAGAUAUUGAUGUUAGUACGUUGAAGUUAAUUUUGAAAACCCACUCUCUGUUUGACUAGUAUUUUCAAGUAAUUCUCAGACUUAAGCGGAUUGGUGUAAUCAGGACUCAGUUAAUGUCAUAAUCUAUUUGUUUUAUUUAAAUUUUGGUAUUUGGAUUCUAUAAAUUUUGGACUCUCUGGACUUUUUUUUUACUGUUUAGAUUUAAAACUUUAUUUUCGUAUUUUUCUUAAUACUGUUCAAACAUUUUAGUUAACAAAAUUUGCUUUUUCUGCAAAAUGAAAGAUUUUCAAACAACGAACUGUGUUUUCCAAAUAUCACUUUUUAAGAAAUUUCCGUUGCAAAAAUUAUAAGUUUUUAGAAAAUACAAACAAACAACGUUUUUAAUAAAAUAGUUAGAUAAUAUUUAAUUUUUGAAUAAAUCCAGUAUUUUGAGAGUUUAUGAUGAUUUUUCAUAUACUUGAAAACUAAAUUUUCUAUCAUAUUACGUAACAACUUCAGAUUUAGCCAUAACGUCUAAGCUGAGUUUGAGGUGUUAUAGAUGAAUAGGUAGGGUCAAGGUAAUUAAGGCCUGUAACCAUUUUGAUUUCUCUUUUUGAAUAAUAGCAUCAGUUGUUAUUUUCAAAAAAUAAAUAAAUUAUGAAUUAUGCAAUAAAUUUAAUUUUUCAAUGUUAGUGAUUUUUUUUUUGGUAUUAUAUUGUUGAUAAUAUAAGUAAUGAAUUGCUUAUAUUUCUAAAUAUAAUUUUAUGUUUCUUGUAUAUAAACAAAAAUAAAGCAUGCCACCACAUAAAAAGUUCCUGACUAAAGGACUGGAGGGUGCACCUAGUAAUGAUAUAGGUUGACACUUUGGAACUCCAGUGCCAAAUACGAAAGUAAAUGUCGUAUGUAAAUUUUGUGGUAAAGUUGUGAAAGAAUGAAUAACACGAUUUAAAGAGUACAUUGCUCAUAAAACUGACAAUGUUGCACCAUGCCCUAAUGUUACUGGUAUGAAGAAGUAUACACAAGGGAAGCAAAUACUUCGACCCUCUCUUACUCGAUUUGCAACUGAUUUCAUUCAACUUGAAGAAAUAACAAGGCAAAAGUAAGGUUUGAGUGAAAUAUUUAAUUCAAAGGUCAUUAUUUUAUAAUUAGUUAAUAUAAUUACUUAACUAUAGCAACCUUUAAUGAUUUUAUUAGUUCCAAAUAAUUUAAAUUAUAUUAUUUUACAAUUUUUCUUAUGAAUAUAUAGGAAUUUAAACUAUACCCACCUCCACCUCUCAUGUAUCCUCCUUCUUAAAUAUAUCCUCCAUGUCAACUAUAUGAAAACCAAAGUGAAAAUGUUACUUUUUUUCAAUAUAUUUUCAGAUAAAGGCCAAGAGAAUCAAGCCAAGAACACUCUCAAAAUGAAGGUGAAGGAAAUAUGUUUCCUGAACCUAGGAGAGAUAGAAGUGAACCUAGAGCUCUAUCAAAAGGAAAAAGGUAAGAAGCAUACUUCUGUAGGCUCUUCAUCUGGUAAAAGAUCAAGCUCUAGUAACCUUGGGUAUAGUGAUUCAUCUACUAGCACUAAAGGUUUUUAUCCAUCGGAACAACAUUCAUAUUUUCAACCUUCACAUGGUUAUCCACAAGUAUGUGGUUAUUAUCCACCAUUUCCUAAUUAUGGUGUGCCAUAUCAGCUUCAAAUGCAUCCUCCACCACCAAUGCAUUACCCACCGCCACCUCUCAUGUAUCCUCCUCCUCAAAUAUAUCCUCCAUGUCAAUUAUAUGAAAACCAAGGUGAAAAUGUUACUUUUUUUUAUAUAUUUUCAGAUAAAGCCUAAGAUAAUCAAGCCAAGAACGCUCUCAAAGUGAAGGUGAAGGAUCUGAUCCUUCUCGUCAUUCUACUAAUUGGUGAAAACUAAAUUGUACCACUACCACUAUUUGUAAGGUAUGUUUUUUUUAAAAGAAAACUUUUGUUAAUGUUUUUAAUUUUAAUGAUAUUAAAACAUUUAAAAUAUAUCUUUAGAUAAAUGAAUGGAGUAUAUUUUAUGAAAAGAUAAUUAAGAAUUGAAGCAUGUUAAACUAUAUAUGAAAGUAGAAUGAAAGUGAGAAUAAGUGGUAGGAAAUAGAAAUAAUUAAUGAAAAUCUAUACAUUUAUCUAUUCAUUUUUUCCUUUUGCAACAUAGAAUGUUUUGAUAUCUUCACUAUCUUCAAACCUGUCAAGAAAUAUUGAAGACCUCUCUCAUGCAUGAAUUUUCAAUUAUUUUAUCUAUAAAAACUUUCAAACUUAUUAAAUAAGAUCAAUGUUUAAUAUUUCCUAUUUUUACUUUGUUAUUAGUUAAUAUAAUAUUCUUAGAAAAUUCGUAAAUAAAUAUAAAAAUAAUUAAUGAUUGUAAAAAUUGUGUUAUCAUAUUAAUAAAAGUUCAUAAGUGUUAGAAAAUACUCUAAAAAUCAUUAAAAGUGACUUUUUAUAAUUAUAAUUAUAAUGCUUUAAAAUAAGUUGCACAAAUUUUAAAAAAAUCACGACUGCGAUACUUGUAGUGACCACAAUAGCAUCCGUUAUGUCCUCAAUCGUGAUAAACACAACACGACCGAAAACACGGCCGCAACCGCAAUAUAAAUUCCUGAUUGCCUUUACUAUAUUUCAAUGUUUUGUUUUGUUAUUUCCCCCUUAAUGUUUGUUUCAAAACUCUAAUGAAGAGAGAGAAGGUGUCAUCUUCUUCUUCGUUGGGAAGAGAAGAGAUCCAAGGGAGUGAGUCGAGUCGUUCGAGUUCUGGGACAUGUUUUGUUUCUUCCUCUUUUUAUUCUUUUUCUUUGAAAGUGAAAUCGAUUGUGUUUUCUUCUUGUCGUCCUUGCAACGGUGAAGGUGUGGAAUAGAUCACUCUAGUUACGAUCUACAAGGAUAUAGGAAGAUGAUGUGCUUGUAUACAAAAAGGUAGUAAACGUAGCGUAAAUUACCCUUUCUCGUAUGCGAUUCUCCGAACAAUAUUGCAUGUUUAUUAUCUUUUAAUGCACCAGAUAAAAUUUCAUUUGCACUUGCAGUACCCAUGUUCACCUAAUGGAAGUUUGGGUAAUGGAAACCAUGAUCUGGCAUACAGAAAUAGAUUUGACAUUGUAAUAGUAAAAACUGAAGUCCUUUUAUUUAAACCGAGCUUACUAGUACAGCUAGGGGUUUUCAAGCUGUUAUUGCUAAGCUUCCAUCCGUGUCGUAUAUAUCUCGAACUCCAUGAUUAUAAAAAAUAUACACAAUACUCCUUUGUCUAACCUGUUCCACAAAAAACAAAUGAUGAUAACUUGUGCUAUGAAACUUGACAUGGAUAAAAGGAAUUUUUAGUUUCAAUGGAUUAAACUUACCAAAUUUUGGCGGUUUCGAUUCCUUUGGGUGAAAGCCCCCGCUGUAGCAAAUUGAAUCUUUUAGAGAAACCUAUCUUAAGGGCGAGUUUAAAAUGGAUCAUGUUGAAAGCUAAUCACCUAUUACCACAAAAUUCCAACGCAAAGGCAUUAAUGCUAUUACUCUUUAAAGUAUCGAUCGCUUCCUUGACAGCAACUAUAGUAAAUAAAUUUUUUAGGAUAAUACCCUAUAUAUAAACUAGAGAAGGAUGGGAAGGGUAUCUCCAAGAAGUCCCCUUCGAAAAGAUGCCAACGAGGCUAAAAAGAGGCACAACCAAACUAUAAAAAGGAAAACAAAAAUACACCAAAAUAUUAAGAAAACAAAAGGGGGUUGUUUAUACAAAGGGACGAAUUCAAAUUUUAUCGUGUGAAUGGACUCCUAAGAAACUAUAGGAUAUAUGAUUUCAUGGCUUAGUCCAAAUCUUCGACAAAAAAAGACAGAGUAUUUGCAGUCAACAUCUCCACUUACCAGAAGCCUUUUGGUUGAAUGAUGUUAGCUUAAUAUAACCAAUUUUGGGGUAGUUCUUUUCCAAACUAGGAACUUCGCAUAGCCCUUUCACCUUACAGUGAUCAAUAUUCCAUUGAACCUUUUUUUCUGAGAUUGUUGUUGCACCUUUGAAGAAUACAAGACUAUUGUAGCAUUAAAGGGAACUUCUGAACUAUGUUCCCGUUGAGAUUCUUCUUAAGUCAUCAUUGAUUAUUUAAGAUUUACCAUAGGUAAUGGUUGCAUAAGUAAAAUAUGACUCCGUACAGUAGCAUAAGAAUAAUUCAAGCCUAUCAAAAACUGAAACAAUCUCUAUUGUUGAACAUCUAAAAAUAUUUGGGACAUUUCAUAGGUACAUGAAUAAACUUGCACUAAGGCAUCAUACUCGUCCCAAAGUAAUUUCAAUUGAGUAAAUAAAACGAGAUGGAGCUAGUACCUUAAGCAUGCAAAGUAAUCUCCCAGCGAAAAAAGAAGAUACGUGACCCAUUGAACUUAUCGUAACGUUCCUUAAGGUCUUUCUAUACUUGGGCUAUUGAAAAAUGUGCCCAUAUUGUAGUAAACAUGUAACUAUUUUCUAUCUAUUUAAUUUAACUACGAAUAAAUAAAUAAAGUUAAUUUCACAUUUCACUAUUGUCUUUUGUAUUUUCUGUCUUUUAUAUUUUGCAUGCAUAGCGAAAGUGUAACAAGCAAAUAUUAACUCAUUGAUUGUUUAAAGUUCAAACUGAAGAUAAGUAGCAUUGUAAAGGAUGUUUACAUUGCGAGAAAGAAAAUUUACUUCAGUAGAUAAUCUAAAUGAGUUCGUAAUCCCGUAAAAGAUUCAAAGUGAGUAUUUGAUUCAAAUACUAAGAAUGAUUAUUAUGUUUUCUACAGUUCCAAUUGAGGAGAUGGCUAGUCUUGGCUAUCAAAGCAGUUGAAUCCAUGAGUAAAGAUAUAAAUGUAUUCAUUGGUAGAAUGAUACAUUGGACUGGACCUAAGAUGAAUUAAUUCUGAAUCCGUUUGUGAAUUAAUUCACUUGUGACAUUAAUGAUGUGAUUUACCUAAAUCCUGAGUUAGUUACUGACCAUGCGUAUGCAACUCAUGUGCUUUGAUAUAAGUGGAGGCUUAUGCUCUAAAGAUGAUCAAGCCCAUAGCCAGUAAGUUGGGUAUGUGACUUGUGUAUGGCAUGGCUUUACUAGCAAUAGUGGAAUUCAUAGCUCAAUUAAAGAGUUAAUGAUAUCCUCUCAUUGGCACUGUGUGGAUUGAUAAAUAUGGAACGUGGCAACGGGUUACUUGUUCUCGAAUCAGCAAUUUAUCAUAGUCAUUUGUUGACAGUGAUCAUAUUAAUCAUUAAGAAGACACAAUGGUGACAAUAAGAUAAAAUAGGAUUGUAUUUGUAACAGCUCGAUUUUGGGCCUAGUCGGAACAGUGAUUUCGGGACCACAAAUCUGACGAGGGAAAAUAUGAUUAUCAUUAUAUUUUUAUGGUCUACAAUUUCACGGAGAAAUUUUUUAAAAAUUUCGUUCGAAAAUUUCGACAUUUGGGCACUUAAUUUAGUCAAAAGGACGAAAUUAUAAAAAGUGCAAAAGUUGAGUUCUACAUGUUAGAAGUGCCUAAUUGUUAUGAAAUUAUAAAUUGGGGGCCUUAUAUGGUAAUUAGACUAUUAGUUAAUUGAUGGACAAAAAUAGACAUUAGAAAUGAGUGAAAUAGAUUUUUUUUAAAUGGGGGCAUUUUAGUCAUUUGGAAAUAAAAAGAAUAAAAAGUGAAAAAGAUGGCAAAAAAUCAUCUUCUUCAUAGCUUGCUGCCAAAUUUAGAAGGACUCCAUAGCUAAGGUUUCUUCACUUUCUCAAGCUCAUAGUAAGUGCAUCCUAGCCCCGUUUUUAAUGUUCUUCGCAUUUUUGAAAUCCUCGUAGCUCGGUUUAGCUUAUUCUACCAUUAAUUCAUGUUAGGGUUCAUAUUUGGAAAAAUACCCAUAGGUGAAAUGUGUUUAUUUUUCUGUUUAAUGGUAGAAUAUGAAGCUAGGAAUUAUGUUAAACAACUUUUGCUAAGCGAUUUUAAGCGAAAACGGGUAAAAUGACAUAAUCGAUAAAAAUAAUUAAUGUUCAAAAGUGUGUGUUAGAGUGAGAAUUUGAUGUUGCCAUAGAAGGGAAAAAUGUUCAGCAUGUCAUAAAACAUAAGAAUAAGAGAUGAAGUUUAAUUUCCGAGCUUAGGGACAAAAGUGUAAAUAUGCAAAAGUUUGGGAGCAAAAUUGUAAUUUUUCAAAAAAAUUGGGUGGAGGACUAUUUUAUUAAAUGUGAACAUUAAAUGAGUUAAAUUUUCUAUUAUAGAUCAAGAAAGACGAGAAGACUACCUCAAACGGGGAAAAGAGAAGAUAGUGGAGUAAAUUGCAAAAUUACGAUAUUUUGCACCGAGGUAUUAUCUAAUAUAUGAAUUAAUGCAUUAUUUUGAUAUUAUCUAAUAUAUGUUGAGAUUUAAUUGAACAUAGAAUAAAUACUUGGUAUAGAAACUAAAAAUGUGGUUAAGUUGGGAAAGGUGGUAAAGUGAUAGAAAACGAGGUUUCCGGUUGAACAUUCGGAAUAAGCUGGAGUAUAUUGAAUAUAAAAGGGGCUGCUAAGUGCUAAUUCCCUGAUUCAUUGGUGGUUGCUAAGUGCUGAUUCCACCAUAUCUUGGAAUAUAAAGGGGGUUGCUAAGUGUUGAUUCCCCGAUUCAUUGGUGGUUGCUUAGUGCUGAUUCCACCGUAUCUUAAAUGUGAAAGGGGUUGCUAAGUGCUGAUUCCCCGAAUCACUGGUGGUUGCUAAGUGCUGAAUUCACCGAUAACGGAUAACAUUUCGAGUGUUCAACAGGGAAAUUGGAAAGGUGAAUAUAUAUAUAUAUAUAUAUAUAUAUAUAUGGUGGAUAAGAUUAUAUGAGCAAUUUUGGGUUUGAUACUUAAUCAACCCAUAUGUGAGAUGGAAGGAAAUAUCAAGACUACAAAAGAGCAAAUUUAAAUACAAAACUGUUGUGAACAACAACAGUUAGGCAACUUUGAAAAAUCACUAUAAAUGGUGGAAAAUGAAUUAGAAGUUGAGUAAUAUAUGAAAUUGAAGCUGAAUGAGUCUUUUUUUCAUAUGAAAGAAAAAGGGGAAGCAAAAGAGUUGUAUAUUUGGGGAUAUUUGAAUUUUAUUGAGACAGUGGUUGAAUUGAUUUCGAAAUCCCCUAUUCCAACUUUGGAAAAUCACCAAAAAUUGUACAAAAAUAAUUAUGGCUUGAAAUUGAAUGCUUGAAUUCCUUAAUGAGUUUAUUUUUAAGAGAAAUAAAUGAGAACAUUGUUUGAAUUUUGUACAGGGAGAUAAGUAAAUUUUAGUAAGGAGAGGUCAGAACUAUCAGACAGUGAAAUAGGAGGAGAUUUAAAGAAUAAACUGUACUAAUUGGCUAAACCAAAAAUUCUGAAAAUUUUAUGGUGGAAAUUUAUAUGAGUCUAGUUUAGGAGAAAAUUUACGGAACUUAGGUUGGAGCCUUUUAGCUCCAGAUAAAAAUAAAUUGGUGACUGUGACACAGAAAAAUAGCUUGCUGGAAGUUGAGCAAACAAUGAAAUUUGUGUGUGGUUAAAAUUAUGUUACUUUGUAAUCAUGUGAGAAAUUUAUUUAUUUGUCAUGUGUUUACUUACUAAGUUAUAUGCUUACUCUUCUUUAUUUUCCCUUGAUUAUAGUGAUCGAUCAGCCCGAAAAUUGGACGAAUUCAGAACAUCAUCCACACUAUCAUCAUCUUUUGGGUAUUUUGUAACCAACACUUUUGAAACAUGGCAUGUAUAGAUGACUUACUGUGAUGUGGUAUGAGUAUGUAUAUAAAAUAUUGUUCGGUUUAAAAUGUUGGUGUUUAUUAUUGGAUAGAUUGUGUAUGCACAUAUAUAACUGUAUUUGGUUGAAAUGUUGAAAUCGUUUGAAAUUGUGAUUUGAAAAUUUGCAGGGGGUUUUUAUGUAAAAAUAAGUAGAAAUGCUGUCGAAAUUUUAUAAAAAAAAUUUAGUAAUACCUUAUGCUCUAUUCCGUCAAGGAAUACGGGUAAGGGUGAGGGGUGUUACAAUAUUGAAUGAAUUUAUUUAACUCAAAGGAAUCAAAAAUAUCAUAUAAGGGUAACACACACAUGGCGAAGCCAUUGAACAAAGCAGUUGGAUGAAUUGUUUUUGUAAAGAGUAUACAGUAAGGAGUUUUCAAUCAUGGUACUUCUUGUGGACUGACUCUAUGAUUAAGUAAUUUCGAAUUAUCGGAACGAUGCUUCUGGACAUAGUUGCAAUCACUAGAGUCUAAUUGUAUAUGUCUGAUUAGUCCCUCCGCUAGCUCAACAAAAGCUCGAUCGGACUACAUUUGAAUUAGAAGAAAAUUUUACAACUUUGGGAAUAAUUUAAUUGAGUUGAUUUAUUCGAUAUGGAAUUAAAUUAGGUGGUCGUGAGAAUUGUUCAAUUAGAGAGUUUGUUUAAAGAAUUUUCUUGAAAAUUUAAUUUGGAAAUCUAAGUGACUUUUGGAAAAAUUAAUUUUGAUAAAGUAAAAUUAAAUUAAUCAAAUGAAUCAAUAUUAAUAUGAUAUUUUUAGAAGUUAAUUUUCAAGCCAGACAAUUGGCCCAAUGGGUAUUUGAACUUGAAAAUUGGACCCGAGAUCGUAAAUUGGGCCAGAGAUCCCAUAAUCAAGACCAAGACCCAAAAACUGGUCGAACCUGACCCGAUAUAUGAAACGGGGCCAAUGUUCCAACCAGUGGCUAUACCAAACCGGUCGAGUCAUCAUUGACCAGGACUGAACCGACUUGGGGUAUCGUAAGAGUGUCGCACCUACAUCACCAGACACGGCGGUGCCGGUGGCAUCCCGGUGGCCGGAGGCAGUUGGUCAUCAAUGGUUGAGUAGUGGAAGAGUUACAGUCCUACUGAGACUUUACCAGAGAAUUUGAUUUCAGAUUAAUUAUUCUAAAUAUAAUAUUAUUUUAAUAGUUUAAUAUUAAUAUUAAUUUAAUACUUAUCUUAGUAGUAUUUUAUUAAUUUAAUAUUUAUCUUGUAGAUAAACAUUCUAGUAUUUUAAUCAUAGUUGAACUUUCUAAACUCUCCUUAUAUAAAGAGAACAUUGGGUCAUUUUUUAUACACAGUUGAAUUCAAGAGAAAGUUGUAGAGAGAAAAUUCUCUGAAGAGAUUAUUCUAAAAAAAAUUUAGAGAUAUUUUUUCUGAUUUACAACUUGACCCAAAAGUUUAGGAAAAUUGUAAAAUUACCCCAAUGGUAAUUUUUGUGAAAUUUUUUUUGAUUCAGAGCGAGCCCACACUCGGCAGACGUGAGCUUGAGGAUAGCAGAGAAGACUACUCAGUCGAAGUGCUCAUCCUAGACAAAUCGAAAAUGUACAAAUUUGAUUAAGUGUUUAUUACUUUAGAUAUUACAAACAAGAUCUUGUUUUGGAAAAAUUUUAAAACUCUAAAUUUUCCCUAAAUUUAUUUUCCACUGUGUUUUCCAAACCCGUUUUUUCCAACAUGAGCAGCAUUGGUUCCAAAUAGGAUUCCAGCGAAUAGAUUGAUAUUAACAUUGUUCAAGAUCCAUGAAAGAACAAUUGCAUUACAAUGACCAUAUUGUGACUAAAAGAUUUAUUGCACUGACUAUCUUGAGCAAGAUUCAUCAACAAAACAAGCUUAUUAUUGGCCAGCAAAGCAAUUCACAUGGAUAGGCUCCAAACAACAUAAUUUUUCUGACUCAUUAAUUGAUGCAAAACUAACUGAGUGCCUGGUGUGUCUGAAGGAUGCAAAUACAUUGGAUAAUUGAAAUCCAUGGUGACGGACUCUCCACGUCUUCCAUUGCAAUCUGUAAUGGUCAUUGCAAUAGAGAAAUCCAAGAAAUGCAUAACAAAGUAGAGAAGAAACCAAGAAAACUUGAAGCAGAAAGCAAGAAAACCGAAGCAAACUGAAGUAGAAAUAAAAAAACACAAACUGAAGCAGAGAAAAACCAUAAAGCAAGAAAGUUGAUCAAUCGACAGCCUCCUCUACUAUCACUGUCGUGAAUGAAAAGCACAACAAUCUAUUGAUAAAAAAAACAAUCAACUGAAACUAAGAACAAAUGAUUGAAACCAAGAACAAUUGAUUAAAACCAAGAGUAAAAAGAUUUUUUUUAAUUGUAUAUCAUUCCACAAUAAGCUUACAAUAGUUGACUUAUGUACAUAUUCUACUAACAACUUACUAAACAAACUUAAGAACUACUAAAUAAACUUAAUAACUGCCUAGCCAUAUUUAUAACUUCUGCAUGUUAUGGGCCAACAAACUGAGUUAAGAAAAUGGGUGUGUUUUGAUGAUUUGAAAUUUAAGUGGAAACGUUGCAUUUUGGUGUGCAAACUAUGGUAACCUAAUUCUAAACUAUUUGUUUUAUUUUAUUUUUAAAGUGUUGUAAGAAGAAAAAAGGACAGUAUUCUGCUAAACACAAAUUCUCUAUUCUCCUAAUUACUAUAUUUCUCUUAUCUUAUUCUUUACUCUUCUCUACUUUCCCUUCUCUUAUUCUGUUAUUGUGAUUUUCUAGUUCAAUUCUUAUCAGAGGUGUUAGAGCUUCAAUAAUUGCUAUGGCCAGAGAUGGAAUCACAACGCGUUUGCAGAAGGAAGUGAAUGUACUGCAAUAAGAGAUGAUGAAGAUUUAGGAAGAACUAUCUCACCUGGAUGCUAAGCUGGAAGCUAAGAUUAAUGUGAUGUUGCAAGGGUUCAAAGAUGAGAUAAAAGGAGAGGUACGGUCUGAACUUUAUAGCUUAUUUGAAUAAUCUUUUGGGAAUACGAUUUCCUCUAAUAAUGCUAUUGAUCAGGCUAAAUGUAAAGGUGUAUUGGGGGGCACCUCCUAAGUUUUUCCCCAAGGAACCUUUGGAGGCACAACAAACUCUUUUGGGGUCUAGUUUCGAGGGAAUAACCCCGUUUUGCUCAAGGUCAUCGUAAUAUCAAACUUAUAGGUUAGAGUAUCCUCAUUUCGACAUUCAAAUUUUAAGGGCUAGUGGUCCAAAUUAGAAUAGUACUUCAUAGCUAAAGGGGUACCAAAUGGGGAAAAAGUUUGAACGGUGAUGUUCAUGAAGCACGAAGCUUCAUGCAUGCGAGUCAUGCGUACUAAGUAUAAGAUUACUGAAGAUUGCUCACACAGCAUAAUAUGAAAUGAUUGCUCUUUUGUUUGGCAGUCGCUAUCACAGGUUUGGGAUUUGGUUCUUGAUAAUGUAUGUUGGUGGCUUGGUGAUAGUAACUCAGUUCGUUUCUGGGUUGAUGUUUAGGUUCCGAAACUUAGCCCUCUUUGGAGAAAUCGUACAAGUUUAGACACCGAUGAUAUUUCAUUAUUAGUGUCGAGUUUUGUUGAUAAUAAUGGCAAUUGGUUUGGAACGAUUUUGCUAAUUGCUUGUCGCAUGAGGCUAUCAUGUAUAUUGUUGGAACUAAACCUGUAACACCCUAAACUCGACCUAGACGAUAUGGCCGAAUCUGGAAAAGUUACAUCAAUUUGUUUGAAAAACUAAAAUCUAGCUUAAAAAUUGUGUGAUUUGGAAAUUUAGCUAAGCUCAUACAAGUUUCAGGAAAUUCUCAAGUUUGAAAACACUUAUUUUCACAUCAUGAUCUCUUAAACAUUUAAUUAUAAAAACAGCAUAAACUUUAAAAAAUUUCACUCUAACUUUAGUAAUCACGUGAUUGAAAAUAUUAAUUUUUGGAAAAACUCUUACAUUGUUAUUUAGAAAAACUCAUGCACAAAACUUACUUAUUUUACAGAAAAACAUUUAGUUUAACACUUAACUUUGCAGUAGAUAUUUCCAAAGUUUUUAAGUUUUGAAAACUGAAUUCCAAUUUGUCAAAUUCAUAUGAUUUUGCAGUUUUACUUUUAAGAACACUCAAAAACCAACAAAUAGAUCAAAAAGCUUAAUUAAAAUAAUUCGUUUUGUCUUAUGUGGAAAACUAAUCUAACCUCUCGCACGUCGUCCGAUCCUAAACUUACUGAUUACCUAAGAGGAUAACAUACAAAGAGUGAGCUUUACAAGCUCAAUGUGUAACGCAUAUCAAGAAACAAAUCAGAUAUACAUAAAUAAAUAUAUACGUUUUCAGAUACAGAUUCAAACAUGUUCACAUAUACAAAUUUAGAUGUAUUUUCAUAAUCAAAUACAGAGGCGUAUUCAGAUUCAAAUACAAAUGCAGUCACAAAUCCUACACCCAUCCUCUACACACCAACUCCAUCCAACCAAUCACACCAAUUAGGACUAUAAGAGUCCAUCCAUCCAAUCAUACCAAGUUGUGGUGGUAUGCCACUCAUAAAGGUGCAAAUGAGCUGCUAAGAUAUUGCGGUUUAACCGCCAAAAUUGUACUAAUACUACCAGAAUACACUUCCUCUAUCACAUAUCAAACCUAUCCUGAUACACAUGCAUAAAUUAACUAACACAUAGAUCCAUAAACAGAUGUCAUGCAUACUUUUCAUAUGUAAUCAUGCUUUCCGAGUUAUUAGAACACAAAUCGUACAUAUAUUUUUUUCACAUACCUUACCUGUAUCACAUACAGACACAAAUCAACAGAUGUCACAUUUCAAGUCUUAUUUAAGCCAAAUGGACCCAUGAAAGGUAUAAUUAUGAAUUUCGAAGUCAACAAGUUUAGGUGAAAUUUUUUAAACAAUGGGCCCACACAGCCCAACUGGCCCAGCCCAUGUGGCUCACAUGGCCUAACAUAUGUUCGUGUGACCCAUAUAGGCUGGCCAACCACACGACCAUGUAACCUACAUGGUCUGGCACACGACCAACCACACGACCGUAUGACCCCCAUUGUUUGUUACACGGCCUACCACACGGCCGUGUGACCCAUAUGGUCUGCCACACGACUGUAUGGUGUCGACAGAAAGCUUUUCAGCUUUACGUCAUUCACUAUUUUCACAGAAUCGAGUCACACAGUUGAUCAAUUUUUUAUACCGAUUCAACACUCACAAUUCCAGAACCUAAACUCAGCAUUUAUAUAACUAAUUUUAGUAACAACACACGAAACUUAAUCAAGAUUCAGAACACUUACCCAAAAGAAACAUCAAUUAAAAUGAAUUCCUCAGUUUGUUGGAGGGUUAAUCGCAAGCAAACCUUUACCUAAAGAUAAAUUCACAUUGUGAAAACUAUAAUUACACAGUACAAAUAAAAAAUCGUAUCCCAAAUGUAACAAUCCCUAAAACUAAAUUCGAAACUUAGAACCACAACCUUACCACAAAUGACCCACACCGGUGUAGAAGAAACAAAGGAGGAGAAAUCCCAAAAGCAGAGAAAAGUGUAAAAGAGGAAGCCACAGGAGAAAAAUCUUAUUACUAAACUUGAAUUGAAUAGCAAAGGAAAGAAACAAAACAAAAAUUUGCAGGAAAGAAUAAGCUGACGUGAAAGUGGAGGGGCAAAAGAGAGUGGACGAUUUGAGGGAGAGAAAUUUUUGGGAUUAUGCCAAAUAUUACUAUUCUUUUAGAAAAAAUUAACAAAACAAAGAUAAUAACAAUAAUAAAAAUUAAAGAAUAAACACUUAACUAUCCAAAUCCUAUCAUACUUCUAAGAUUUGAAUUAAAUUCAAAAUUUGACUACAUGGCCGCACGAACAAAGAAUAGCAAAAGUAUUUUCUCUCCACAUACAUAAAAUUCAAACACGAGACCUUUGGGUAAGCUGAAGCCUUAUCAUUGAACCAGUAGGCUCAUCCUUGUAAUUAAUAGAUGCACAAAAAUAAUUUAUAAAUUAAAUGUUCAAAGAUAGGGGUUGACAAAAAUAAAAAAAGUUUAAGGAAAGGGAUUUGAACAAAAAAUCUCUCACACACAAAUACAACACUUAACCACUAAACCAAAUCAAAUCAUUUAUCAAAAUUUUCACAAUCUAAACUCAAAAACAAAACAUGAUCACUCUUGAUUUCACUAACCUGAUUUCUACUAACCCGGCCGGUUUUUGGGACGUGACAAAACCACCAUGUAUUCAAGCUAAUCCAUAUAUUUGUGGGUGGAGAUGGACUCAAGAUGGUCGAGCCUCGGUAGCAAGUGCCCAUAAUUAUUUAUCUUGUAAUUCUUGGGGCCCAAAAUCUCAAGAUUGGCAGGACAUUUGGCACUUAAAGGCCCCUCGACGUGUUCGAAAUUUCUUGUGGUUGCUGUUUCAAGAGAAGAUUUUAACCAACUAUGAAAGGUGGAGACACAAACUUACAGAUGAUGCCUCAUGUCUGGUAUGUAGAAGAUGUUUUGAAUCUAGUAGACAUAUCAUGAGAGAUUCCCCAGUCACUAGCACCCUUUGGAAAAAAUAGUACGACAUAAUGUGUAGGUUCAAUUCUUCUCUUGACCUCUUAAAGAUUAGUUACUGUUUAAUAUUCAUAAUGAUAAUCUGUUACCUAGUGAUGCUUGCGAUAGUUCGUCUCGUUUUGGAACUUUGUGCUGGAGAAUUUGGAAGCAGCGCAAUCCUGUAGUGUUUCAAGAGCAACAUUUUUUCUCUGAAGAUAUUUUGAUGCAAAGCGUAAGCUGGGCUGCAGCUUAUAGACAGGGUAGUCAGAAUCCCAACAAAAGGAUACAUAGGCAAUUGUUGCAAGUUGGGUGGAAACUUCCGCCUACGGGCUGGGUAAAGCUCAAUACGGAUGCAACUGUGGAACGAAGUAGUCUAAGAGCUUCAAUUGGUGGGUUGCUGCGUGGCAAUUAUGGCUCGUGGAUUGUCGGGUUCUGCAAGAAUGUGGGUGUUUGUUCUGUUCAAAAGGCAGAACUUUGGAGUAUCAUGGAAGGUUUGCAAUUAGCUUGGUCUAAAGGGAUCAGAAGGCUUAUAGUUGAGAAUGAUAACAAAACCAUUAUACAUAUGUUGAAUGGCAAUGAGACCUCGACCAAUCCCUGUGGGACCGUUCGAGGUAUCGGUGAGGUUUGUCGACGCAAGUGGGAGAUCAAGUUCGAGCAUAUAUACCGAGAAGCCAUCAAGGCUGCUGAUUUCUUGUCCAAGUUGUCUUAAGGAACUGAUUUUGGCCUACAAAGGGGUUGCUAUGUUUUUGUUAUGUGAUUCAGCAGGAACCACUUUUGCUAGGAAUCGUUUUGUUUAAGCUGCUACCUUUGUCUUUGACUACUCAUUUUAUUACCAAAAAUAGAAAAAAAAUGCCUCCAACUGAAAAAUACGUACUUUUAUUAUACCAAAGAACAUCAUGUAUGUUAUUUUUUAUUUUAGUUAUUUGAGAUGGACAUUAGUCCUUAAAUGCUUGCAAAAUCGACUUGUCCUUUGAAUUUGCAAGCUUUGCAGACAGGAGAAUACAGCGAUGGCGUUUGGUAAUUGUCUUCUCCGCCCAUCAUCGGCAUCGGAACGCCUCUUUUCACCGGGCUGAUAUAGUCCGGUUGGUAGGUUUUCCCCAACACUCCUUCGACGAGAUCGGUCAGGUUGGUGAACUUGAACUGCGUUUCCAAAUGCGCAAACGCAUCGUUCGCCGGUAACUGGUAAUUAUGAACCUUGUUUUCUUCUUCUCCAAUGGCUCUAACUUUCACGUUCAGCUCCACCAACCCCGCGACCGUCACUUUAACGCCGUUGGUUUCGUCGGUUCUUUCGAUCACCACUUCUCGUUCAUCGGAAUCGGUCGCCCUCCAUUCGGCGUCGCCGUCGGUGGGGACAUUAACUUCCUCGCCGUCCCAUCGUACGAUGAGCGCUUCGAAGCUGUCGUCCCAUUGAGAGACUCUCUUGGCAGCGAGGACGAGUGUGUGACGGUCGAACAUAACUGCUAGGGCUUGCACCCAUGUGUAGUCCCGACUCCCGAGUCCUUCCUUGGGGGCGGGUUCCAAUAAAGUGCGCAUUGAUUUGAAGGUUAUCGUCCGAAACAAUGGCGAAGUUCCCUCCCUUGGCUCCGUGGAAGUAAAACAUAACUCCAUCACCACCCACAAACCUUGGAUCGUAGCAGAGAGACCCAUAUCCAUUACAGUUCGGUUUCCUCCCUGAAAAGCAACUCAAAACCAUCAGCAAUCAUCAAUCAGCACAUAUACACACAUGCAGUUAGAUCGAGAGACUUACAUUUGCAAGUGACUUCACAUUUGCUACUGCAAUCAACGAAGCAGCCUUUGUUCUUCUUGUUCUUCUUGGGUUUCCUCUCGGGGCAUUGACUCGGACAUGUCAGGUGCUUUCCAUUACAAGCUCCUCGUGCAAGGCAUAGAAAUUUUUCUUGUCCUUUCUUGCUGGGUUUCAAAACUUCGUAAUGUGUCGAAGCAGCGUCAUAGGGUGCCUUCUUGUUGUUGCCAGCUUUGCCUUGACCUUGAGCCAAGCUGGCUCCCAUGGAAAUGAAAACCAGAGCAAGGGCAACCAAAAGGAACGAAUAUCUUCUUCCAUCCAUGCUUGAAUUUUGCAAGCUUUUUUGUGUUUUAUCAGUUUGUUUUUCGUAUAUAUUCGGAAUGAUUUUCAAGUUUUGCAGAAAAAAGGACUAUAUAAAGGCCAGUGGGGGCAAGAAAUUUGGCUUGAAAUUUGGUUAAAUCCAUGUGAGAUUUCUUCAAUGUGAACAAGCAAUUGGGAGAUUGAGCAUUUCAUUAUGAUUAAGAAAUGUCAUUGCUUGAGAUCGGAACUUCGGGAAACUGCUAUGCUCUAAUAAAUUUGAUGCUUCAAGCUCAAGCACUAACAUCUGCUAGCUAGUUAAGCAAGACGAUAGCCAAGACCAGCUGAGCAGCCGUGGGUGCCAAAAAAAGGUUUUUCUUUUACAGGAUUAACCUACACUGUUUACUCUUUGUCUAGAAAACACGGGACAGUAAAGUUUGUAAAAUACUUUACGCUGCCAAAAUGCGUAUAACAUUUUACUAAAAAAUACGAUUACCGGUAGUGAAUCCACUAAAAAAAUACCUAAAUUUUAGUUGACUUAUAAAAUAUUUUAGGUUGACUAAAUUUAUUUUCAAAAAAAAAAAAAUUAUUUUACACGAAACAAACCAUCCUAGAUUUAUUUCAUUCUAGGAGUCGUGGAAGAUAGUCAUAAUACAGCUUUAUGCCUUUAAUGCAAUACCAAGAUCUGCCUCCACCACACCCACCUUUCCUUCAUUAAAUUAUACUUAAAAAGAAAAAAGAAAAAAAACUAAAUAUCAGAAAAAUGCCGAAAAAAUAAAUUACAUGUUUAGGUCAUUUUCUCGAAAAAUGAUGGGAAUAGAUCAAUUUUACAAAAACGCUUUCAACUGGUAGUAUUUCUAGGUGAAAUACAAAAAAUCACAUCCACGUGAAAGCGUUUGCAACAUAUGUGUUGAAAAACGCUUCCAAUUGAAAGCGUCUUUCUGCAUUUCACCUAACAACCCUGUCAGGUGGAAGCGUUUUCCAUGUGUAACAUUUUAUUUUUUAAAAUUAGGUUAUGGUUUAGGGUUUUUGGAUUGUAGGGUUUAGGAUUUGUUUUUUUUAUAUAUUAUAGUUUUUUUAUAUUUUUUAUAUAUUAUAGUUUUUAUAUUUUUUAUAUAUUAUAUAUUAUAUUAAUUCUUUUACACUUUUUAUAAUUUUUGGAGAUGUAAUGUUAAUAAUUAUUUAAUUUGAUCUUUAGAGACAUCCUAUUUACACCAAUCAUUUAUUCUAAUUAUUUGAAUUACAAAAUUUAAUUCACAUCAUAAUUGAAACUCGAACUACUCGGUUUGAUUAAAUAUUCUAGUGCAUUAUUUUCGAAUACUAAUAUAGGUUCAGAAAAUAUAUCCUGGGAAUCCUAGGAUAUACGAUGGUUGAGUGGCUAAAAGUUUGGGUUGAAAUUCUUAGAGAGAAAGUGUUUCACAUAAGACGCUUUUUUAGUGCAUGUCAGAGAAAAGCAUUGAAAGUGCCUCCAAUUGGACGCCUUUUUAGCUGAUGUGGCAGGGAAACGCGUUCUGCCAGAGGUGCUUUCAAUGCUUUUCACUGACAUGUACUGAAAAAGGGUCCUACAUGGAGUGCGUCUCUCUAAGAAAACUCCUACUAAUCCCGAAAAAUUUUCUAAAUCAAUUGGUAGUCACCCUUGGGUCUAUAAAAGCAAGUUAUUUCUAGGUUGAUUGCCAUAAGGAAUUUACGAGUAAAAAAAAUUGAAUGAAGAUCAGAAGAAGAGAAGUUUGUAGAUUAGGGGUAAUUUAGAGCUACUACGCAAUUUGCAUAAAGUAAGGAUAUUUUUUGUUAUUCAUAUUUACUUACAACACUAAUUAAUGUGUAAAAGAGUAAUUAAACUUUUUUUUGUCAUUUGUAUUUGGAAAUUGUUAUAUAACCUUGCAUCUUGAAUACUAAAAAAAACAAGAGGGAAAAAGCCUCUCCUUUAUAGGAAUUUAUUUUCUCAUGGCAAAUUCUUUUUAUCUUAUUUGAGUUCUUUGUAUAGUGUUUGUUUUGGUGAGUUAUUAUAAUUUUGUUUUUCAUGUUUGAGGUAUAAUGUUUAUUUCGCUCCUUUUACAUAUUCAUUUCUAUUAUUUAAAUUGAUUAUAUGGAAAGAUUUGAAUCAGUUGGAUCAGAAAGAAAAUGUGUAUUAGAAGGCUGAUGGUUGGCUUGGGCAAUGGUUCAUCUUUGAGGAACAGGCAAGUUCCAUGGCUCUCGAAUGAACAAAUUUAAAAAAUUAGAGGGUUUCAUGGUUGGAAUCCAAUAUAGACGGAGGUACUCUUCCAACAAGUUCAUAAUUUAUUUGAUAAAAAACUGUACAAUAUUAACAAAUUUGUUUAAUAAUCUUGAGGAAGGUAGUUUUGGAUAACUAAAAUCCUUUACUUAUCCAUUUGAUCAUGAAUGUUAUAGGUUGGAGUUGUGGUUUGUGUGAGGGAAUGUUAUUUUUGAUCAUUUAAAUAUGCAUCUAUUAAUUAGGAAAUGAAUUUCAACAUAAUUAAAUGUGACAAAUAAGAAAGAAAUUAUACAAAAAUAAAACCCUUCCAAAAUGUUUAAAUUAUGAUCACAUUAUAUUUUAUAUUUAAAAAAUUAAAUUAGAAAUUUCAAGAUGCAAUUUAAAAUAUAAGAUUAAAAAAUUUAAAAUGAUUUUGAAUUCCUAAAUAAUUUUAUUAAUUUACUUCACUUUUAAAAUAAAUAUAAAUAAAGCGAAAGAAAAAGAUUUCAUAGAAGAAGAGAAACGACACCAUAAAAGUAAAAUUAAAGUAAAAAUGAACUAUAAAAAAGACCAUAAAAUAACUUUUUUCUUCCAAAUUUUCCUCGGUUUCAUACCAUUGUAAAAAUUUUAUAUUUUACGCAUUAAUUUUUAUUUCUCUCAAAUUUUUGAGAUAAAUAUCAAAAUUAUAAUAAACUUUGAUCUAAUGUGCAAUUUGAUACAUAAUAUUUGAUUUUGUGCAAUUAUACACAUUAAAGUUUGAUUUUGAUUCAAUUGUACACAUUUAAAGAAAUGAAUACAUCAAUUUAUUUUUAUGUUAAACUAGAUUUAUGGUUUAGAAUUUUGAAUUUUAAGGAUUAUGCUUUUAGGAAAAUGGUUAAAUUAAGGUUGGGUUAAGAUUUAAGAAGGAUAAGUUUAGGAUUUAAUAUUUAGAGUAUAAAAUUUAGUGUUUAGGGAGGAUUUUAGGAGUUUUACAAUUUUAUUAAAAAUAAAUUUAUUUUAUUAAAUCUCAAUAUUAAAAAUCACACCAAAAAAUAUAAAGUUAAAAUUUAGUAGUAACUUCUCUUGGGGGACUUAUGGGCGAUGAGGGUAGCCAAAUCCUUAUUUGUUUGUUUAUUAGAACUGAAGUAUAAUAAUAAGAGUUAAUUUACUAUUGUUUGGUAUAUUAUAUUAUUUUUGAACAUUAAUCUUAUUAUAGGGUCUUAUCAUAUAUGCUAUUGUUGAUAUAAUGCUUAGAACUGCUAAUAGCACCUUCUCAACCCUUAAAUAGGAGGAUAAUGCACUUUAACCUACUCGAAUCUACGUCCUCCUGCACUGACAACAAUGUAAAUCCCAAUCGUGCAUCAAACCUCAAUCUUAAAUCUUCUCAGGUAUUUGAUUUUCUUUAUUUGUUUGUUUCUUAAUGCAUUAUAUUAUUCAUAUGGUGUUAUAUUCAUAGUAAUAGAGUUAAAUAAUAGUAAUAGAGUUAAUUUGUCGUUUCUUAAUGUAUUAUAUUAUUUAUAUACUCUAAAAUAAUAUGAUGUGUUAUAUUAUUAUCGAGUGUUUAAAAUGUGAAUUUUUAAGACAUUUUAAUCUAAAUUAUACUGUUUUCUUUUAUUUGAUUUUAUUAAUUUGAUGAUGGUUUAGAUCAUAAAUACUUACUUUUGUUUGAUAUCACCAUAUUAUUAAUCUUGACAAUCAAUUAAAAUAAUUAUUAUAAAUUUUAAAAUUUAAAAGUUAUUAUUUAUAACUCUGAUGAUGACUUUGUUAAUUGCAUAAAAUGUAAAUAUAUAAUAAUUUAAUAUAUAAAAUUUUUUAUAUUUAAAAAUAAAUAAUUAAAAAUAUUAAAUUAUUUAAAAUUGGUUCCCAAUUGAAUUGAAAAAAUAGUAAAUAUUCAUUCUUUUAAUGAAGUUUAUAUUUGAAGUUGUAUUUUAUAAAUGAUGAACAGUAAAGUGUAGACUCUGCUACUCGCUUAAAUUCUUCGCACGCUUUGACAUGUGAUUAAACCUUCUAACAACGGUGCCUUGGAUUCCAUCCCAAAGUUGUCAACUAAAAUUUAAUACAUAUUAAUUGCAACUUUUCAAAACAUUUCAUCAAAUAUUGAAUUAGAAGUUAAAAAAUUAACCAUCAUUCAUGAUCUCAACCUAUAUGGCAUGUACAUUAUGUAACAUUUUAUACUUGACUUAGACGAUAAGGUUCAAGCAUGGAGAGUUAUAACGAACGAUAAUUAACCACAUUCUACAAUUCAUAAUAACACACCUUUAAAAUCUGAUAAAGUUUUAACAAAGACAAACCAGUGUCUCGAGAUUAUCUUCCUACUAACUGAAACUUCGAAAAUAAUUAACAUGGUUCAUAAUACUAAAUGGUAUAAACACAUAAUCGAGCUCCCCAUCCGCCAACCCGAUCAAGUAUGUGAUUUACCUGAAAUUCAUUCAGGAAUAGCUGAAUUAAUAUACUAGAAAGGACCCAAUUAUUUACAUAUUCAAUAGACUAUCGGUAAAACCAAGAUAUCCAAGUGUAGAUGCUGAUCCAGAAUCAAAAAGCAAUUCAUUCAGUUACAGAUCAGAGUCAUACAGACGGAUAACAGAUCGAGCUAUAAUUAGAUGUAGAGUAAAACAUAAUAGAUGCAGUUACAUAAUACCAACUGCUACACACUAUCUCCAACCAACCCAACACACCAAAUAAGGUAUUCAUUACCCAGCCAACCCUACGCACCAUUCAGUGUCGGUUUGACACGUUUAAGAGAUUGUAGGCUAGCUGCUAGAUUAGUACAUAGAUACCAGGGAUUUAACCACCAGUUCAGUACAUAAUACUUCCUCCUUAUUCAAUUCCCAUCCAAUGCAUAUGGAUACUUCACAUAACAGUUAUCACAGGGUUUUAUACAAAUAUUCAAAUACAACUCAUACUCGUAUACAGUAGAUCAAUUCUAGUAAAAUUAGUUAAACACAAUACACACAUUGAUAAAUAAUAUUCAAGUUCCAGAUCACAUAAUAUCAAUUUAUACAGUUAAAUUCGGUUCAAACGACCUCACAGAAGCCUUGUAUUCAGUCCGAGCGAUGCUCGAAAUAUGGUGAAAUUUCAUAAACUAGCCUACAUGCCCAUGUGGUCCCACACGACCUAGGUAGCUAGCCCAUGCGGCCCUACACGACCUGACACAUGCCCGUGUCCUUGGCCCAUGUGAUCAUUAUCUUAUAAUUACUGAGUUACACGGCCUAGAUACACGCUUGUGUCCUUAGCCCGUGAGAUCCUUAUCUUGUAAUCAGUGAGUUACAUGGCCUGAACACACGUUUGUCUUCUUGGCCCGUGUGAACCCUACACUAACAUGGCCACACACGGCCUGGACACACGCUCGUGUUCCUUGCCUGUGUGGCUCUUACUUGGCAAAUAGUGAGUUACACGACCUACCACACGGCCUGUCACACGGCAGUGUGGCUUCGACAACCAUGUUUUCUAGCAUUCAAAAUUCGUAAAACUCGGGUUUCGGUAUGCACAUGAAAUAGUUUCAAAGUAGGAACAACAUAGAAGGCUCCCGAGACCUAAAACGAACAGUCCACCAAUAAUUAAAUGAUAAUUCGAAACAAACACAAAGAUUAUCACACCACCAACUUCGUCGAAUAAUUUUGACACAAGAAAAUCCUAAAUCACGUAGUAAUUGCCUCCACACUACCGUAAAUCAUGAAUCUAGGGCAUCAGAGAGACUGUUAUCUUUGAGACCUUCCCCUAAACAACAAUCGAACAUAUAGUCAAAAGGGUUCGAGCAAUUACGCAAACGUCACUCAGCACGGAAGCCAACAAUCGAUGUUUUCCCAAGUUAGAUGACUGAACACAGUAAUUUAACAGAACACAAACUUACCCGACAACGGUAGCAGACAAAACGGUGAAUCUAAGCAGCAAUUGAAUGAUAAAAAGAAAAAAAAACUAAAGGGAAAGAGACAAAAAAAGAAGAAGAAGGGAAAAGAGAAAAUGGGAAAGGAGAAAGGAGAGGGAACGUUUAAUUUAAUUUAACCAUCGAUCAAAAUUCUAACAUGAAGCAAAAAAUAUUACCCACUGCAUACACUGAGACUCAAACACAAGACUAAUAGAAUACAAAAACUUAACCAAUGAACCAACAAUGUCAUUCUUGAUAUAAUUUAACACUGAAUUAAACUUAAGUUGAUGACUUAGGAAUAAAUGUUAGCUUAAAUUAAAAUAAUAAAACUUUCUAAAAUACGACUUAAACUCUUGACCUCGAACACAUAAAUAGAGUGCUUAACCACAGAUACAAAGAUUUAAUUACUUUAGAAUCCAACACUUAAACACUCAAAAAAUUUUGGGCGUUACACACUAAUAUUUAAAUAAUAGUUAAAAAAUUAUUCAUAAGUGAUAGAUAUAAUGAUAAGGCAUAUUAUUUUCAAAGAUAAAUAAUUUAAGUUCAAACUUUAUAUAUAAUAUUAUUGUAAGAGAUAGUCAUGAAUUUCAAAAGAAUUAUGAACCGUAAACGGAAAUAAAAGAUACUUUCAUUAUAUAAAAAAAAUAAAAAAUUUCAACCAUAAAUCAAUUCAAGAUAAGUAAAUUAUAUUUUCUUAAAAAUAAAAGUAAAAAGUUAGAAAUUAUUUAGUAAAAUUGAUAACUUAAAAACAAUAUUUAAUUAUUAUACUAUUUAUAAGUGUUAAAAAUAUAAAGUUAAUAUUUAAUCAAAUACAUGUAAAGAAAAAUCAAGUUUUUAUGAAAAUAUUAAAAAUAUUAAAAAUGAUUUAAAGUUAUAAAAAAUGUAAAAAAAAUAUAAAAACUUGAAACGGAUCGAUUAGUCCAAAAUUAGCAACGGAAUUGAUUCAGGAAAAGCCAUUAGAUUGGUUGACCUAGGAACCAGAUGGUUGAAUCGAUUUUUUAUUUUUUAAUAUUUUUAUCAAACCAAAAUUUCAUUAUCCAACUAUUAGCAUAUGCCAGAAUGAAAUAUUCUAACCAAGGUUUUUAGAACCAAAUCGGUGGUUGAACUGGUCAAGACAUCAGUUUACCAGUUUGACUGAUUUAUCCUGUUCAAUUAAAUAAAACAUUCAAAAAUAAUAAUCAGUUCAACCGUCCUAAAUCAACUGGUCUAAUGACUUUCUUCGAACCGAUACCCUUAUCUAUUUCGGCCUAAUCGGUCCAUUAAAAAGUAUUGAAUUGGGUUACUUCCAUUCUUUAACUCUAAUAUUGUAUAAAAAUAAUUUAUUUUAUCUAUUUUACUUUAUUUUAAAUAUAGUAAAAAAAAUUAUAAAUAACACGAAUGCAAUCCAUUAAAAGUUAAAUAGAAGUAAUCGAUUGAUCGCCCGUGAAAAAAGUUGAAUACUACAAGUUGGAAUAAGUAAAAGGAAAAUGGUGAAGAAAGUCAAAUACAUUAGAUUAGAUGAUAACUUCACCCACAGAAAUGUGGCUAUAUUAAGAUAGCAAGUGGGACAGCUUAGAGUCAGCUCCAUGCUGUUCGAAAUGCUUGGUGGUAGUGUAAUGGAAACUCUGUCGGUUUGCUCAGGUCAAGUGCAGGAAUUGGCGUUUAAGGAACUAAUUUCUUUCUCUCUUCAUUAACUUUGAACAUUGACUCAAUGGAGCUAAUUAAGUUGCUUAUGGAAUGAAUAUUUCAGAACCAAGAAACAAUUUCUUUUGCCCCGAAAAACUGAGAAAUAUUUAAUAACUAAAGUAUCUACAUAAUUUAUCAUACGUUGAUUUUUUCCAAAUAAAUGAAAAAAAAUAAAAAAAAUUUAAAUACUAGAUUAUGGGGAAAUAUAUAUAUAUAUAUAUUUAAAUGAAUAAUAGUUUUCUAAAAAUAAGUAGUAGUUUAAAAAAUAUGUAAGGCCUUGUUUGAUAAUCAGUAUAAAAAUUUUAGUAUUUAAUUUUUUAAUACUUAAAUUUUCAGAUUAUCAAACCGCACCUAAUUUAAAUAAAUAACGAUUUUUAAAAAUAAUAGUCAUUAAUAUUUUUUAAACAUUUUGAUAUAAGUUAAAAGCCACAAAUACAUGUUUUAUAUGCAUUACUAACUUAUGGAAAAUGAUUUUUACGUUUUUUUAAUUGAUUUGAUGUUUGGUUAACUCGUAACACUAACUUAACAAUAGUUUUAAUAUAGUAUAGACAUUUUUAUAACAAUUAACUUAUACAAGGUAUUAAGGUAGACUAUAGUUGUGGUUCACACCAUAUGUGGUAUAGAGAAUCUUCGAGGAUGGAAGCUUAAAAUGGUGUUUUAGCAUAAUGAUGGCUAAUGAUCAAUGGUUGAUCUCUUCUAUUGUAUGUUAUUGCUGCCCUCACCUCUCUCUCUCUCUCUCUCUCUCUCUCUCUUUAUGUGUCAUGUCCCUUUAAUCUUGAAAAAAAUGAGUGUCUACAGGAUAAAGAUGAUUUAGAGUGAAUCCUUUGUAUCAUGAUUAUCUUUUUAGUAGAGUUCAAUAUAGACCCAAGGGUAUGACUUAGAUGUAUCCCAAUAUGGGGUUGGUGAGCUUAUCUGAUGUGACAACUAUUCUUGAUGAUGUUAUGGCAAUAUUCUCUUAGUAGUGCAUAAGUGUCUAAGUAUAGGAGGUAUAACAAUUGUCCCCCUUAACAAUGGAAGAGAAGUUUAUAAAAUGAGCUUCUCUAACAAUGGGUGUCAUCUUUUAAGCAAGGGUGAAAUCUUUGUCAUUUGAACUAAUCGAAUAGAAAUCAUGAAUGUUAUGAGGCAUAAAAUGGCAUCUUUAAAAAAUAUUUUUGACAUGACAUCUGUACAAGCUCAAAUUUACCCGGGGCCCAAAACCCAUUACCAACCCAAUUACAAACCCAACUAUCCAAACCUUAAACCAAACCCACUACCCAAACCCGAGGCCCAAUAGUCCUAGCCCAAAACAUAUUUUCAGAAAAAGUAACCCUAACCUUAGGUGUGCCGCACCUAGGGUCGCCCACUUGCACCUGCCGCUGCCGACAUCAGUGCCAACUGCUCCACCGCUCAACCACUCCUACAAACACGCAAGAAACAAUGCAAAACAGUAGAAAAAAUAGAUAAAAUACAUUGUAGAUUGGCUAUAAAGAGCCCAAAAACAGAUUGUAAAAGGGGGAAGUUUUUUUAGAGAAAUAAAAAGCAAAGAUCAAACAUCAAUAAAAAAAAACGCAAGCAACUAAAGGGAUUUGAAAAAACGAAAACGCAAAGGUUUUAUUUAUUUAUUUUCAAACUCUUUUUUUAUACGUUUUUUUAUAUAUAUACACAUAAAUAUAUAGCAAAAAAAAGAAAAAAGUUACCUUUUCGAAUUUUCCGGCAACCGUGGACGGUAGUGCCGUCACUGGAAACCGGCAGCCGCCACGGUGGUCCGGCGCCAGAGCCUUCGCCGGACCUUGGGCUCCGACCAGAGGGAGAGGGGAGAGCUCUCAGCCUUUUUUUUUUCUGAAACCAGGGAUCAAAUGAUUUUUUUGUUUAAAACUUGGCUUUUAUAGGCCCUCAAAACGAUGUCGUUUUGGGCAGGCCUCUGAGGCACGAAAACGGCAUCGUUUUGUGCCAUCCAACCCGACCCGACCCGCUUCAGGCCAGGAUCCGCAUGUUUUUGAGCGAAAGGGCUAAUUGCGCUUUCAGCUCUUCCGCUUUUAAAUGAUUUUGCAAUCAAGUUCUUUUUGUUUUUUAAUUUCGCCCUAUAAUUUAUUUUUCUUUACAAUCUUGUCCACCUUGAAACGUAGUAUUUUGGAAGGAAGGAAUAUUUCCCAUUUUGAUCCCUCUAUUUUUACGCGCGUCACAUUAGGGCCCUAAUUCGUUUUUUUCUUUUUCUUUUUUUAAUUUGGAUCUCAAAUUUUAUUUCUCUCUCAAUUUAGUUCCUUUCGCGUUUUAUUUUUAAUUUGGGCUCUCAAUUUUAUUUUAACUUCAAUUUAAUACAGUUUUCAUUUAUUAUCAAUUUUUUUAUAUAUAUUUAUGUGUACCCUUUUUAUUCAUUUAUUAUUUUUGUUUGCAUAUAUUUUUAAUUUUUAUAAAUGUAUACAUAUAUAUACAUAUAUUUAUAUUUUUCAUAUUUCAUAAUUUUUAUAUACCUACAUAUAUAUACAUAUUUUACUUCAUGUACAUACUUAUAUAUAUUCUUUAUAUUUUAAAAUAUAUAUUUUAUAUAUUUUUAUAUAUAUUUUAUAAUUCACAUAUACAUACAUAUUUUUAAUUUAUAUCUAUAUACAUAUAUAUCUCUUUACAUUUUUAAUUGUAUUCAUUUUUUUAUUGUUAUUUACAUGUUCAUUAUUAUUUUGAAAGAAUGUUUUAAUUCUAUUCGUUUAUUUAUUUGCAAUUAUAUGAUUGAUUUGUCUCUUAUAUUUAUUUAUUUCAUUUUUGAUGAUUGAUCAUAUUAUUCAUAUUUACAUUAUCGAAUUCAUUAUUGCUUUGUACGCGUAUUAAUAUCGAGUUUCAUUUCUACUAUUUCAUGUUAGAUUAAUUUUAUUCAAUGUAUAAAUUAUGAUUUUGAAUAAGCAAAAUCUCGUGUUUAGACUCGAUAAGGUCGUACCCUAACUUACUGGGUUUCGAUUUUCACAAUAAAUCUAAAUACACGAAUCUUUUCAAACUCAAGUUUUAAACGAUCUCGAGAAUUAUGAGGAGAUCGUGUCCUAACUUACUGGAUAUGAUCUCUUUUUCCUAAAUUUUAAACGAUCUCGGGAAUUAAUAAAAGAUCGUGUCCUAACUUACUGGGAAUGACCUUUUUUUUAAAAUCCGAGAUAGCCAAAUAUUUUCUUAAGGAAGUAAAUUUUUUGGCAUGUAUUCUCGUAUCGGGAAUUCGAUACAUUGUGUCCUAACGCAUUGGAUAUGACGUGUUGUUUUCUCGAUAUGAUGAUUUCUCUAAAAAAUAAUUAAGGCAAUAUUUUGUGUUUGGAAAUUCGAGAAAACAUGCCCUAAUGUGCUGGGUUUCGAUUUCUCGUUUGACCAAAUAGCCAAAUAUCCUCUUAAAAUUUCAAAGUAUAGGUUUUGGAACCAUAAGGUGAUCUUGGUUUUGAGGGUUUAAAGUAUUGUAUCCUAAUGUGCUGGAUGUGAUAUAUAUAUUUUUAGAACAAGAGAAUCCUAAAUUCCAACCCAUGUUAUUCGAAAUUUUUUUAGGAUCGUAUUUUUAAAAUUCUUCAAAGUUUUCAAUCUUCGACACUAAAGACACUAAAUAAUCAACUAGGUACCAAUUUUGGGCGUUACGAGGGUGCUAAUCCUUCCUCGUACGUAACCGACUUCCGAACCCGUUUUUUCUGAAUUUCGUGGACCAAAAUCGUCGUUUUAAUAAAAUUAAAUUGUUUAUUAAAAACAACCACUUUUCAAGGUGGCCUGAUCACACCUUAUCAAAAAGGAUUGGUGGCGACUCAUGUAUUCAUUUUCUUUUUCAAAAUCUAAGUCGACCCCGUUUUAUCAAAAAAUGGUGUCAACAGCAUCUCUUCAUUAUUUAAUGUUUAUUUUGCUUGGGAACACUUUUCUUUCAUUUUGUUAUCAUUUCAAUACUUAAACCUUUUCACAAUAAAUAAGGGCUUUAGGUCUUUUUUAAGGACUUCACUUCAGCGCUUUUUGAGGAACAUUAUUACUUUUUUUCUUGUUUUUUGUGCUCUUUUUAUCUUUUAAUAGAGUUCAUAAAUUUCCUUCCUUCUACAUUGUUAAAUUAUUUUUUUGUUGUUGUAUUAUCGCCUUUUGCGAGUUCUUGCCUUUAGGAAAGCUUUUGUUUUUUGCCUGUUAUUUAUUUAUAAAUCUUUCUUCAUAAUCAACAAUAGGAAGUUCAUCAAACAAGGUUAGUAAGUGACAAUUGAAGAUCCAAGAAUAUGAUUUCCUCACUACCAAUGAUCAUAUUUCAUGUAUGGCCCUAGUAAUAGACAUGCUACGGGUUUUCAAUUUAGGGGGGCUGUAGAUCCCCAUUAUAAAUAUAGUUUUUUUGGUUAGAGACGAUGUUCACCAAUUGAGCAACGUCGUUGGCAAUGAUAAGAGUGUUUUCUUUCCCCUAUACAUUUUUAAAUGGAUUUCCAUUUGUCUUUGUACCCAUGGUUCGUAGAGGUCCUCAGCUCUUUUGGCAUGCCCCCAAGGCAAUUGACUUGGGGUUCAUGGUUUCGUUUGGUGGCAUACUUCCUAGAUUGACACAAGUAGAGGGGGGAGAGCCCGCCGAGCAGCUUGUAAAACUUAUACUUCUUUCAAUUCUCUCACAAACUGGGUUACCAGGGACUUUGCUAGUUCCAACAGCACAAGAAUAUGAACUCCCCAAUUUCUAAUUGUUAGGAUCGUCCCGAUUAAGCAACAAACAAGUAAAAAUAGCAGAAGAAAUUGAGAAGAUGAACACACAAAUUUAACGUGGAAAAACCCCUCCAAAGAGGAUAAAAAAACCACGGGCAAAGAUAAUUUUACUAUAAUGGCAAAAGAAUGAAGAGUACAAAAGAUGGAGAUAAAACUAAACCCCGAAAACCAGAAAAACAAAGAACCCUCAAAACGUAAACACAAAAUUCUCUGAAUGUGUUAUGAGUUCUAAUCUAAUGGGUAUUCUUUCUAAGAUUGUAAAAGAGCCUAUUUAUAGGCUAAAUUAGUAAGUCAAAUAAACUAUACUAAUAAAUGUCAAAUAUAUUAUACUAAUAAAUACUAAAUCUUCUAGAAAGAAAAUAUAUUUUUGUUUAACUUGACUUGCAAGCAAUCUCUUAGAAUUUGGGUCACACAACUCUAACACUAAUAAGCCAAGCAAAUGGGACCAAGGGUUGGUUCAUCUGUGUAGAGGAUAAGUUGGAUGUGUUUUCUUUCCUUACGGAGUGGAAGGAACUUGGUACUAAAAAAUUUAGUGGUUGCCCAACUUGGAGGAUGACAUUGCUAAAGGUCAAUAUGAUUGCUAUAAGCCAGGGUUUUACUCCACCUUUGCUUAUUUUCUAAAGUUAAACCUUAUCAUGGCACACUACCUUCAAAAGAGGAGCUCAAAUGGUAUGGCUCCAUUUGUCGACACCGAUAUAUAACUUCAUGGAUAGGUUGGAUGCCUUGACGUGACCUACACAAUUUGGGGGUUGGCCAUUGUGAGCCACAAAUGAUAUUGGCUAGAUGAUUACAAGCAUGCUAGAAGAGCUUGAAGUUUUCUACAAAGUUGAGAAAGGAUUUCGAGAAACGAAAGAAAGACAAACACUUAGUUGCGCAGGUUUCCAGAAAGCAUAGGGUUGUUGAUCUUGUCACCCCAAGUCUCUAGAAAACAAAAGGUGGCCUACCAAUUCCACCUAGUUCUAUUACUGACAUUCCUUAAGAAUGAGGAGGUUUGCCAAGAACCAACAAGUUCUUUUGUCAAUGAUUUUCCCAAUGAGGAGAAGGAUGAUUUAGAUAAGGAGAUUAAUAAUUAUAGGGACCUUGAGUCAAUGUCUUUUGCAAGUGUAGAGAACGUGGUCCUUUAAUUAUUGAGGAAUCCUUUAGGAUUGGGGAUUCCAAUAUGUAGUAAUAUUGUAAUUAUUAUGACAUGGUUAAGCUUUGUUUUUCAUGUACAUAUCAAUUUAUGUCUUUUUGAGAGAUGGCAACUUAUUUGUAAAAAGGAAAAAAGGUUAGCAGUGAGGUUGGCACUACUACUACAUUAAUUAGGACUAUGCUAACUCUUACUCCAACAAUUACUCCCUUAGAUGUUGCUGUGCCUGCUAUUACAACUCCUCAUAUCAUAUCCUUGCUAUGCCGGUUGUUGACACUCCACCUUCAACUAUGCCUUUUUCUUUGUCACUACCCUGUUGGAAAAAUACAAUUUAGAAAACAUAUUAUUCGCACAAUGAAAAUUUAACAGCUAAAAAUCAAGCUUUUAUGAUAUUUAUAAUUAUAAACCGUUUACUCAAAUUGUAUCUGUGUUUUCUGAAUAUGCGAAAUAAGUCGUUCCCAACUUUUUACCUUUCGAUCUUCUUUGCUAUUCUAGACCUUGACUCGUUAGAGUGUGGGCUCUAUUCACGUACCGAUGAACAUUAACAAAAAUUUUCUAGGGUUAGAAAUUGAUUACUCAAUAAAGAUAAAGUUAUUUGUCUAAAAUAAUUUUCAUUAUUUUCCAGCAGAGUAACCUCAUAGGUGAAUGGUGUAAUUUGACCUAGCCCAUAGUCUCUAUUUAUAAAGAAAAUAAUAAAAGUCUUAAUUAACAAAGUGUAGCUAGAAAAAAUAUUAUUUUCAUCGAAAACACAUACUCCAUGUAGGAGUACAUAGCAUGGGCGUUGACAACACCCUUUAGGUACCAUUAUUGGAAAAUCGGGUUUCAAAAACGCAGCGGAAAAUAAACUUAAGGGAAAAACUAGAGUUUUAAAUUUUUUUUCAAAAACAAGAACUUAGUUGUGAUAUCUAAAGUAAUAAACAAUUAAUCAAAACUGUACCUUUUUGAUUCGUCUAGGAUGAACGCUUCGAGAGAGUAGUCUUCUCCUCUAUCCUUAAGCUCAUGUGUGCCGAGUGUAGGCUCGCUUCGAAUAAUUUUUUUUUCCACAAAAUUACCAGUGGAGUAAAUUCACAAGUUCUCUAAACUUUUAGGCCAAGUUGUAAAUAAGAAAAAUAUCUCUAGAAAUCUUAUGAAAUAAUUUCUUUAGAUAAUCUUCUCUCUACAACUUUCUCUUGAAUUCAAGUCUGUGAAAAAUAAUGACCCAAGGCUUUCUUUAUAUAUGGAGAGUUUAGAGAGUUCAACUAAGAUCGAACUUAAUCACUCUAAUAUUAAAUUAAUAUAAUACUUAUCAAGAUAAUUAUUAGAUUAAAUUUAAUAUUAAAUUUAUUAAAAUAAUAUUAUUUUUAGAAUAGUUAAUCUAAAACUAAAUUAUCCGGUAAAGUCCUUGUAGGAGUGUGCUUCUUUCACUACUCAACCACCGAAGACUGCCGUCGUCAAUCAUCCGCCAACCACUGAAAUGAUGUCCUCACAGCCGUCGGCACUACUGUGCUCGGUGGUGUCAUCGUAGGCGCAACACCCUCACAUCACCUUGAGUCUGUUUGGUUUGGGCCAGUGAUGACCCGACUGGUUCAAUCUAGCCACCGAAUGGACCAUAGGUCCGGCUGCACAUAUCAGGCUCGAUUCGACUAAUUGUGGGUCUCGAUCUUGAUUUUUUGUUCUCAGUUCUAACUAGAGGUGAUCAUGGGCCGGGUUGGGCCCAAAAAUUUUUUUGGCCCUCGUCCUAGGCCCGGGCCCGGCUCGGCCCAAAAUAUGGGCCUAAAAUUUUAUCCAGGCCCGGCCCGGGAAAAAAUUCCUAAGCCCGAGCCCAGCCCGACCUAGCCCAUUUUUUAAUAAACACCAAAAAUUUAUUUUAAAAAUAUUUUAAAAUUAAAAAAAUUUUAAAAAUAUAUAUUUACUAUAUAUUCGGGCUGGGCUGGGCCCAGGCCAAAAUAGUGGUGCCCGAGGCCUGCUCGUUUUCUAAAUGGGCCUCAUUUUUUCCCAAAUCCAUAUUUCGGGCCUAUAUUUUUACCCGAACCCUCCCAUAUUUCGGGCGGGCCGUCGGGCCGGGCCGGGUCGCCCGCCCCAUGAUCACCUCUAGUUCCAACUUUUGAUCUCAACUCUAAUUUUCAAGUUCAAUUACCCAUUUUCCAAUUGUCUGACUUGAAAAUUAAUUUCCAAAAAUAUCAUAUUUAUUUUAAUUAAUUUGUUUAAUUUAAAUUUGCUUGAUCAAAAUUAAUUUUCCAAAAAUUAUUGAGAUUUUCCAAAAUUAUUUUUUCAAGAAAAUUUUUUAAUAAAAUUAUCUAGUUGAGCAAUUCUCACAACCGCCCAAUUUAAUUCCACGUCGAAUAGAUUGACUUAAUUCAAUUAUUUCAAAAGUCAUAGAAUUUUCUUCUAAUUCAAAUACAGUCUGAUCGAGCUUUUGUUGAGCUAACAUAUGGACCAAUCAGAUAUAUACAAUUAGACUAUAGUAAUUGCAAUUAUGUUCAGAAGCAUCAUUCCGGUAAUUCACAAUUUACUUAACCAUAGAGUCAGUCUACAAGAAGUACCAUGAUUGAAAACUCUUUAUUGUUUACUCUUUACGAAAGCAAUUUAUCCAACUGCUUUGUUUAAUGACCUCGUCAUGUGUAUGUUACCCUCAUAUGAUAUCCUUAAUUUCUUUGAGUUAAAUCCAUUCACUCAAUACAAUCUUAUUUUAUCUCAUUGUCAACAUUGUGUCUUCUAAAUAAUUAAUAUGAUCACUUUCAACAAAUGAUUGUGAUAAAUUGUUCCAUAUUUAUCAAUCCACACAAUGCCAAUGAAAGGAUACUAUUAGCUCUUUAAUCGAGCUAUGAAUUCCAUCAUUGCUAGUAAAUCCAUGCUAUACACAAGUCAUGUACCCAACAUACCGGUUAUGGGCUCGAUCAUCUUUAGAGCAUAAGCCUCCACUUAUAUCAAAGCACAUGAGUUGCAUACACAUGGUUAGCGACUAACUCAAGAUUUAGGUAAAUCACACCAUGAAUGUAAAAAGUGAAUUAAUUCAUAAAUAAUUCAGAAUUGAUUCAACUUGGGUCCAAUCUAAGUAUCAUUCUUCCAAUGAUUACAUCUAUGUCUCUACUUAUGGAGUCAAAUGCUCUGAUAGCCAAGACUAGCCAUCUCCUUAAUUGAAAUUAUAGAUGACAUAAUAAUCCUUCUAAGUAUUUGAAUCAAACACUCACUUUGAUUCUUUUAUGAGAUUACGAACUCGUGUAACACCCCAAACUCGGCCCGGACGUUAUUGUCAAAUCUGGCAUGUCACAUUGAAGUGUCUUUCAAAAAUUGGACUUAUUGGUAAAAAUUCGUUUCCAAAUUUAAAAACCUCUUUAUUAAUGUUUAACAAAACAUCUAGCUAAACCGAUUGCUUUGUUGUCUGCUUUUGUUAUAAUAAGUUGAUCUAAAAAUCGCGGAAGCUUUUGAAACUCUAUUGUUUAAAUUUUGUGUCUUUGAAAACAGUAAUUAUUUUGAAAGUUCGUCAUCUCCUAAACUAGCAGUUUAAAAUAAUUAAUUAAAAACCCAAUUAAAAAUUUAAUCAAACUUAAAGGCCUUAUUACAUAGAAAAAACCCAAUAUAAACUUUAAAUUUAAAUAAAAGCAAGUGUAGCACAGCUGCAGUUGUGUGGCCACCUCUGAGUCUCUCGCAGCACCAAAUCGCCUAAGGCUGAGGGUUAGCUGUACAGUUAAAUAGAAAAAAGUGAGUUUACGACAACUCAGUGUGUAAUCCCCUAUCAGUCAAAUAGUUUACAACAUGCAGUAAAGUCUGGGCCUAAGCCCUAUUUAAUAACAGUAUAGUGUGAGCCUUAGCUCAAUACAGUAAUAGUAUAGUACAAUAAUGCAACCCAUCCCAAUCCAGCCAACACACCACUCCAUACCACCAACACACCAUGUGGGAUAAAAUCGACCCAUGCAACCAAUACACCAAUAUCGCAGCAAAGCUGCCGGUAAUAGUAUCGUAACAAAGCUGCGAGUAACAGUAUUACAGCAAAACUGUCAGUAACAGUAUCGCAGCAAAACUGUCAGUAACAGAAUUGCUGACCUUAGAACGUAUUUUGGCACAUAAACCUAACUAAACUUACUCAAAAUGGGCUCACAUGCUAGUGUGGCUCACAUGGUUUGGUACACGACCAGACACAUGAUCGUGUGGCGUCAAAAGUGAGUUUUCAGUUUUGUGCAGUUCACAGAUUAAUCGGGUUUAGAGUCACACACCUAACUAUAACAAAAUACCAACACAACAACAAUUCUAGAUCCUACAUACGACAGCCAACUAAUUGGGUUAGCAAAUAAACACAAGAAUCUGCCCCUACUUGACAAAACAUUCAUUCGAAAUUGAACGCUCGAACCUCACUACCAAAUUAAUAAAACCAUCCCUUAAACAUAGGUAUUCAAACACUUACACUUAGCGGUAGAGGUUUCAAUGCACUUACGAAGCUAAAGAAAGGUGCACCGCUUGAUUCUCCCGAUCCUCACCUAGAAGAAUACAACUCAUAAGAUCAAACACCCCUAACAAAGAAAACCAAGUUUAAGAAUUUAACAUAUGAUUUCAAAAAUGACACUACACUAAAGCUUCUAUUCACACACGAGUAACACCACUUCUAGAAACUAAAGACGACACUUGCACAUUAUAAGAAAAAAAUAGGGUGGCAGUAAUAAGAGUAGAGAUCAAAAGAAGAAAAUCAAAAGGUUGCUAUGAAAAUGUGAAAUAAAACAAAAGAAAAGAGGAAAGCCAAAAGAAGAAGACAACAAAUGCAAAAUUCAAUAGCAAAAAAGUGAAAAACGAACUAAUAUUAUCUAAAUUAAGUUUGUUGGAAUUUGAAUUUAACCCAAAUUUUGAGCAUAGGCGGCAGAACAAGGAGAAGCAAAAAUAAUUCCCUUUUUUACACAUAACAAGAUUCUAACUUAGGACCUAAGGGUAAGCUAAAGUCUUACCACUGAACCAACAAACUCAAUCUUAUCAACAAAUUUACAAAAAUAAAAGAUAACCUAUAUGUGACUAGUCAAGUGAAAGAAUAAAAAUAAUAAAAAUUCAAGGGAAGGGAUUCUAACACAAGACCCCAGGCACAUAAACAGAACACCUAUCCAUUGGAACAAAUUAUUUUUCUUGACAUAUUUAGCAAUUGAAAACUAAGAAAUUUAGGGCAUUACACUAUUUCUCUAAUUCUUUGUUUCAUUUGUUCAUCACAUCGAUUCAUUUACAAACUGUCCAGAGUCAUAUUAAGCUAGCGGGGGCACCGAUUGGAUAUAUAUAAUCAAGGAUCAAAUAAUUUUUAAUCAGGUUUCGACUCUUCAUUUAUUAAUUACAAGAUUAUUUAGUCAUGGAGUCAUUCCACUAGAGUACCAUGACUGAACUUUCCCUUAUUAUAUACCAUUAUGAAAGAAACUUACUCAAGUGCUCGUCCAAUGACCUUGUCAUGUGUGUGUUACCUUCAUAGGAUAUCCUUAAUCUCUUUGGGAUAAAAUUUGUUCUCCUAAUAUGACUCUAUUUUAUCUCACCGUAUCUAUUACAUCUUCUUUCAUGAAAAAUUCAUUUACUAAUGAAUAUUAAUUAAAUCAUUUGUUAUAGACAAAUGACCUGUGUCCAUUUUACUUUUCCAUCUAUCAUGUAGUGUCGAUGAGAAGAUAUCAUUUAUCCUAUAUUGGGCUAUGAAUUCCAUAUUUUAAGUAAAACUAUGUCAUGCAGAAGUCAUAUACCCAAUGUACCAGCUUUCGGCUCUAUUACUUAUUAAACUCAGGCUUUAAUACAUCAAAGUAUAUAAGUCAUGCACACAUAGUUUUCACUUAUCGACGAUUGAGGUAAGCAACACUAUGAAUAUUACAAGUGAAUAAAUCCAAAAAUGAAUCUAGGAUUUACUCUACUCAGGUCCUGUCUGAUACACUAUCAAUCCAUAUAGUCACACCUAUGUCUUUAUCUUCUUGAGUCAUCCGCUCCAAUACCCAAGACAAUGUAUCUCCUUAAUUGGACUUGAUAGAUGACAUAAUAGUCUUUUGAUCGACUCUGUCAAUUUCAAUUAGACUAUGAAUAUUUUAGAUUAUCUAAUAAUAUAAGUUCUCUUCUCGCAUUAUGAUCAACCACAUAAUGCAACUUAAUAUUAGUUAAACAUUAGAUAAUUAGUGAGCUAAUAUUUGCUUUCAUUUUGCUUUGCGUGAAAAAAUCAUUGAGGACAUUAUUCAAAAUAUAUUAAUAAUUAUGAUGGAAUUUUAUAAAACCAAUCUAUUUGAAAAAUUACAAGUACAUUUUGAUGAUACCACUACACUAAGGGCACUAGAUCCCAAUAGUCUCCCACUUGCCUUAGUGAAGAGGAUAAGACAUAUUCUGCAUUCCCUUAGCCUUUACAUGUUUCUCAAAACUCCUGGGCACUAAAGUCUCAGUAAAUGAAUCUACAAGAUUGUCCUCAGAUGCAACUUUGACUACAUCCACUAUUCUUUUUGCCAUUGCCUCUUGUAUGAUAUGAUACUUUCUAUCGAUGUGUUUUGUCUGUUGGUGGUUUCUGGUUUCUUUGGUGUUUGCUAUUGCCGUGUUUUUAUCACAAUAUAUUGUGAUAGCUUUUUCUAUACCAGGAAUAACCUGAAGAUUUGUAAAGAACUUCCAAAGUCAGUCUAUUUUUUUUGUUGCCUCAGAUGCAGCCACAUAUUCGUUCUCUAAAUUGGAGUCAAUAGUACAAUCUUACUUGACACUUCUCCACACAUGGCUCCGUCGCCCAAUACAAAAUCACAUAAUGAUGUUGAUUUCCUCGAAUAUUGAAACGUUUGAAAGUUAGAAUCUAGGAGUUAGGUCUUCUUCGAAAUAUACAAGAAUUUAAUCUCUCUUUCUCUAUAAAUACUUGAAUAUAUGCUUAACUGUCUACCAAUGCCUUGGACUUGGAUUUGCUUGAUAUCGACUCAACAAUCCUACUGCACAACAAUAUCUGGAUAUGUGUAUAACAUCACAUACAUAAAACUUCCUACUACAAAAGCAUAAGGAACCUUUCUCAUAUACUUUGUUUCUUCGGUUGUCUUCGGACAGUCCUCUAAAGCAAGAUAGAAGCUCAAUAUAGAAGGUUGUGCACCCUUUUUCGAAUCAGUUACAGUAAAACGUUUCAGUUAUGUAUGAAGCUUGUGAUAAAGCUAUCACUUUGUUCUUACGAUCCCUAAGGAUUUGAAUAAGUACAUUAGUUUACAAAUACAUUAGUUUUUUUUAAACAACUUAAUUAAAAAAAUCAAUAAAAGUAAUUUAAAGCAAUAUUCUUUUGUCACUGGUUACAUACUAAUUUUGACAUUUCACCAAUAUUUUCCUAAUAUUUUCUCAUUAAUUACAUAGUAAUUUAAAGCAAUAUCAUAUCGUAUAUUAUAUAUCAUAUUAUAUAAAUUAUCUAUAGCAAAGGUUUAAAACAAAGAAGGAAAGUAGCUUAGGUGGAUUUGUUAUCAUUUUGACAAGUGAUAACUAUUAUUGUUUAAUACUUCAUUAAUUGUAAUUUUACAAAAUUAACUAAGACCCACCAUUAUGUUGUAAACUAUUUUACAAAGUCAAUUUAAAAAACAUUUUUCUAUAAUUUUUUAAUUUUAAUAAUUUUUAUAAACAUUUUAAAUUAUUUUUCUAUAAAAAUUUUCUAUAAAAUAAAUUUAAAAAACAUCUUUUAUUUUACAUCAUCACUUUUAAUAAACAUUUUAAUUAUUCUUUCAAAUAAAAGAAAUUGUUUUCUAUAAAUUUUCUUCCUAAAAACAUAAAUCUAAAAGAAUUUUGUAAAUUAAUAAUACAUUACAUUUUAUUUUAAUAAUUAAAAUAAAUUUUAAAAAAUAUUUUAAAAAUACUAUACAAAAAAUAACAUUUUUUCAAAAACUUAUAUUAUUAAUUGUUAUUUUCUCAAAACUUGUAAAAAAAUUAUUUAUGAAUUAAUAAAAAUUAAUACUAUUAAUUAAUAUUUUAAAUUAAAAUAAAUAAUUAAAAUAUAUUAAAUAAAACCAACUCGCACCGAUAUAUAUAUAUAUAUAUAUAAAGCUGCACUGGCGUAACUAGGAGUACAUGGAAAGCGAAUAGUAUGGAUUAUGAAUGGAAGGGUGAGUAUAAGCUAGCGACCGAAAUCUGUUGGCUUCACUGACUUCCAUUUUAUUUCAUUUCAUAUAUAAAUUAAAUUUGCCAUAUCCAACUUGCAGUAAACGUUUAUAAUAUAUUUAAAAAAAAUACAUCUUGAAAAAGCAUAAAAUCUUAAAAUUUUAUGGGUUGACUCAUUGUUAAGUAUAUCUCGUUAAUCGCACUAUUAUUAGAACUUUACUCUCCUUUUAUAAUUGAUUAAAAAACACAUAAAAUCUUAUAAUUGUUGUUAAUUUAGGUAUUUAAUUAUUUGAGUCUCUUUGCUCAUAAAUCAGAGAUUUAAUUAUCAAAACCUUGCAAAUUUCAGUAUAGAAUUCAAAAUUCAAAAGUUGAUGGUGUCAUUCCUAUGGAUGGUAAUUUCUAUUUCAAGUAGACUUUGAUAUAAUUCACCAUCCAAAUUGCAGAAAUUUUAAUUUAACCUAGUAUCAUCAAUACUAAUUAUUUAUGGUUUUGACUAUAUCUUGUAUUAAAAAAUAAAGGGAUAAAUCUCUAAAUUAUACAUGAACUUUAAUUUAAUAUACAAUUGUAUAUAUGAACUUUAAUUUGGUGCAAUUAUACACAUGAAACUCUAAUUAUAGUUUUAAUGUAUACUUGGAACUUUAAUUUUGAUUUAAUCAUACAUAUUUAAAGAAAUAAAUACAUCGAUUUAUUUUUAUAUUGGAUAAAUAUAAUUAUUUAUGUAUGUAAUAUAUAAACAUAAAAUGAUGUUAUAUCAAUAAUUUAUAAGAAUUGGAUCUAAUCAAAAUUUUAUGUAUACAAUUGCACAUUAAACCAUAGUUUAUGUAUAGUUUUCAGACUUAUUCCAAAAAUAAAUGAUAGCUAAGUUGGAUGAAAUACAAAUGGGAUAAAUUAAUAUUUGUUAAGUUUAAUUACAUAUAGUAUAGAUAGGUAAUAUACCAUUUUCUUUUAGGAAUAAGGUAGGGAUAAAUAUUAAAAUUAUACAUGAACUUUGAUAUAAUUUGCAAUGCUAUACGUCAACUUUAAUUUGGUGUAUUUGUAUAUGUCGAAACCACUUUUUAUUUUAAAAAAACGGAAAUCGACUUUUAAAAAUGGAAAUGGAGUCGCCACCGAUUUUUUAUUAAGGUGUGAUCGGUUCACCAUUAAAAAUAAAUUUUAGGUCUGCGAGAUUUGAGAAAAUAGGUCCAGGAGUCGAUUACGCACGAGGAAGGGUUAGCACCCUCGUAACGCCCAAAAUUGGUACUGAAUCGAUUGUUUAAUGUCUUAGUGUCGAAACUUUGAAAAGAUUUUAAAAUACGAUCCUUUGAAAAGAAAAUUUGAGUAAAAUGAAUUGGACGAUGAGAUUCACUUAUUUCAAAGAAAUAAAUCGUCACACUCAAUAAGUUAGAGUGCAACAUUUUAAAUCCUCAAAAUUAAAUUCAUCUCUUGACUUUUAAAACAUCUGCAUUUUGAGAAGGAUAUCUGAUUAUUUGGGUCAAACGGCAAAUUAAAACCCAAUAAGUUAGGGUUUAAUUUCUCGAAAUUCUUAAACAUCAAAUAUUGCAUUUAUUUUAAAAUCGAGAUAACAAAAUGUCAUAUCCAGUGAGUUAGGAUCCGACAUCUUGAAAUCUCAAAAAUUUUAUUUUGAAAUUGUAUGGUUUUAACAAAAUAAGUACUUGGCCAUCUAAAUUCAUGGAAAAGAAUUGAAACCCAGUAAGUUAGGGCACAAUCCAAUCGAAAACAAUGAACACCAAGCCUUUCUUUUGAAGAUUAUGAAAUAGCAAGAUUGUAGUGCUUUAAUAAAAUACAAUUUUUACAAAUGAAACCCGAUUGAAUAGCAAUACAUAAUGUAAAAGAUACAAUUCAUAAUCUAGAUACAUAUUGGGGAAAAAUAAACAAAGAAUAAAUUCAAACAAAAAUGGCUACAACAAUUUUUAUCAUAUUAUGCAAAUAUCAAUCCUAAUUGUCAAAUAUCAAAUGAAUUAAAUACAAUAACAUUUAUUAAUAACAACAUUAUUAAGUUGAAACAUUUACACAUGAACUCAAAAUAGACUUGAAACAAAAGAAUAACAUUAUGGAAUAAUAAUAUGUAAAAUAAAUUUGAAACAAGCAAUACAUUUAUUAAUUUAUCUCAAAUAACACAUAUAAAAUAACCAUGUAAAAGUUUUAAUACAUAUAUGAUUUAAAAAAAGUAAUCACCUAGAUAGGUUUUGAAAGAAGUAAAUUAUAUAUAACUAAAAUUGACUUAAAGUACAUAUCUAGAUAUAAAAAUACUUAAAAUUUAUAAUCAUAAUAAUAUCAAACAUCAAAAUAAUAAUAUAUAUAUUUUAAAAUAAUUUAAUAGCACAUAUAGUAGCAUUCAAAACAUUAUAUCAAAAGAAAAUUAAGUUAUAACACAAAAUGAGUUACUAAAAUAUGUUCAAAGUAUGUCAAAUUAUUAUAAAAAAACAUUUUUACAUAUAGAUAAUGAAACAUAUAAUGAUAUAAAGUUUAAAAAUAAAAAGGAUAAAUUUUAAAACAAUGUUAAUAAACUCUAAACAUGUUAAUAAUAAUUUUAAAUAAUUGUACCUUAAAAUUAUAAUAAAAAAUAUUUGAAAACAAUGUUAAUCCUAAUAUUUAAAAUUAAUUAAAAAUAAACAUAAAAAAAUACUAAGUUAAUUUUACAUUAUGUUAUAUAUAAAAACUAAAUUUGAAUGAAAUUUACUUUAAUAUAUUCACUAUAAGAGCCAAUAAUAUUUAUGAAAUUUAACAAAACAUUAUGACUAAAGAGAAAUAAAAAUAAAAUAAAAAUGAUUAAAUCGAAAAUACAACACUUAGAAGACUAAAUUUGCAAUCAACCGAAAGCAUAAGGACUAAUACAACAAUUAAACGCAAAAAUUCAAGAAUUCAAAUUCAAGUAAUGAAAACGUCGCCGUUUAACAAUGAACCAAAUUGAAACUAGAGUAAACUAUAUAGUAUGAAUCGAAAAAUUGCAGAAAAUCAAAUUAGAACAAUACAAAACAAGGGAGGACUGAUUGCGCAAAUAGACCAUCGAGUAAAAAUGCGCAGAUCCUUCCCUCGGGCUUGGGUCACCGCGCGGGUCAGGCCGAUUCGACACCGUUUUGGAACCAUGGGAUAAGGCUCAAACAGUGUCGUUUCAGAAAUCCUAUUCAAACUAAAAAACCUAAUUGAUCUUUAGCCAUUCUUAAACUAAAUCAAAGCCUUAGCCACAGCAAUAUGGAAGAUAAAACGCCCUAAGGUUCUCCCCUCCAUCUUUCAUCGUUUCAAAUCCCAGACUCCCCGUCUAAUCCGAUCGGAACAGAGUAGACGAGGAUUCCUACGGCGUGAUAUCACAGGUAAGAUCCUUCUCUUUUUCUUUUUGUAUAGCAAAUAGAAAGAAGCAAAGAAAAAUAAUAGAGAAACGCAGAAAAAAAAACAAAACAAAAAUGGUGAAUCACCUUCUCAAAACUCAAAAAAACUUUGUUUUUGAUUCUUUCUAUUGAUAUAUUGUGAUUGUAUGCGUGGGUUCCCCCCUUCAAAUACAGAAAAAUGGCUUUUUAUAUAGCCGGAUCCAAUAGAAAAAUAAAUCAAAAUACAUCUUUUUUUUUCUGCCCUCUCUGCUAUUUUUUCGUUUUUGCCUGCUGCUUUGUUCGUUUUGUUUGUUGCAGGUGUACGAAGCAGUGGACGUGGAGGCUAGCGUGUAUUUGGCGUGGAGGCACAACACGCGUGCAGGCGCAACACGUGCGAGAAGGAGGCCUGGCUUUGCUGCGGCGCUGGAGGUUCUAAGGUUCCCUGCUGCUGAUUUUCUCUGUUUUGGGCUGCGGGUAUUUGGGCUUGAUUUUGGGCUAGUAAUUUGGGUUUAGGUUUAGUAUUUGGGUUAAGGACUGAAUUGGGCUUUAAGUCUGUAAAUGGACAUUUUUUUUAGGUUUUUGGUUUGAUUUUAAUAUUUAUAAAAACUAGGCUGUUAAUAGUGGAUGUUUUAAUUUAAUUUAUUUUUUGGUAUUUAUUGUGCCGAGCAAAAUGGGUUAUUACAGUAUAUAUCAAAUUUUAAUUUUAGUUCAAUUUUCACAUUUCACUAACCUCAUUAUUUAUGUAACACAAUGUUCCAUUAAGUCAUGCGUAAAUUGCUGAUAUGGCAUUUUAUUAGGUUAAAAAAUAAAUAAAUUUAAAUUAUUUCCUACUAGAUUAAAAAAAUUCUUGAGGGAAAUAAGAAACCCUCUUCCCAAGUGUGCUUAUUUUUUUUAAUUUAGGUGAAAAUGAUUUAAAUUUAUUUGUUUGUUUUUUAAUUUAAUAAAAUUUCAUAUCAACAAUUUACACAUAACUUGAUGAAAAUUUGUGCUAUAUAGAUAACGGAUUAAUGAAAUGUGAAAAUUGAACUAAAAUUAAAAUUUGAUGCAUACAAAUGCACCAAAUUAAAUUUAAUGUAUAAUACUACAAAUUGUAUCAAAACUCAUAUAUAAUUUUGGUAUUUAUCCCAAUAACAAAAUAUAUCAUGUUUCGCACUGAUAUAAUGAGGAUGAGUAUUUGACAAGUAGGACAGUGGAUGGAUUAUAAAUGGAAGUUAGGGUCUAAGCUGGCCACCCCAAUCCUUUUUUUUCUUACUUUCAUUUAUCAUUCUCUCGAUUUGCAUUGAAUUGAUUAUUUGUUAGUGUCAAAUUAUACUGUAUGAAUUUAAAGGUUAAAAUAUAUUCUAAUCCUACCUUUUGGUUUUAAAAAUUUAAAUCCAAUUGUUGUCAUGGUUAAAUUAUUUAUUAAAAAACGCCGCUAAAGACCGCGUCGCUAACUUUAGCGACGCUUUUCCCACAAACGCCGCUAAAGACCAGGACCUUUAGCGGCACUUUUCCCAUAAACGUCGCUAAAGACCAAGACCUUUAGCGGCGCUUUUCUCACAAGCACCGCUAAAGACAAGUAACUUUAGCGGCGCUUUUCCCACAAUCACCGCUAAAGAUCAGGACAUUUAGCGGGGCUUUUGCCACAAACACCGCUAAAGACCAAUACCUUUAGUGAUGCUUUUCCCACAAACGCCGCUAAAGCUCAUGACCUUUAGCGACGCUUCUAUUAAAAACACAAUUAUAACAUUGACUUUUAGCGACACUUUUCACAAAUGCCACUAAAAGCAUAACCUCUAAAAAAAUUAAUUAAAUAAUAUUUAUUUCUAUAAUAAAUAUUUUAUUUUAUUUUAUUUUUGAAAUUUAAACUUUAAACUAUAUAAAUAAGGAUAAAAAAUUAAUUAAAUUAAAUUUUUUAUUAAAAUUUUAACUUUAAAGGUAAAUAUAAAAAUUAAUGAAUUAAAAUAUUAUGUUUAAAUAAAUGAGCAAUCUACCUCACAGCUCAUCUGAUCUAUAUUAACUUGGUCAAAUACAAAAGAAGCUACAAAACACGUAAUAAUUAACAAUCAUGAUUAAAGAAGCUAGUACACAAGGUAGCUACAAAACCCUGUUUCAAUAACACCUAAUUCAAGUUUCGACUAAGAUAAACGACCAUGGAAUACAACAUUAAAUAACACUUUACUUGAAAAAAGUGCUAAGCCUUGCCUUUUCCAGCUUGAAGAGAUUGAAUCCUCCACUACACCUUCAAUAUCUAAAGGAUGCAAAACCAAAUGAUCAGAUAAACCAACAAACUUGGUAAACAAUAGAGAUGUUAAAAAUAAAAAAUAUAUAUAGCCAUUAAGUCUCAAAAAAAAAAUAUAACAAACAAUUAUGUGCAGCUUUAGUUGCAGGUUGAACUAUACUAACAAACAAUCUCAAUCAUAGCUCUUCCAUGUGUCACAAAUAGGCAUUCUUUCUAAUGAUUGUCUAAACUAUUUAAUUUUUUAACAAGGAACAAUAGUAUUAAUUUGCAAAAAGCAGAACAGAAACAUGCUAACUGUACUACUGUUGUUUAACGUUAUAUAGAAAUGUCUUAUAUAGCAUAAAAGAGAACUAAGGCACAGGAAAAAGAAGAACGCUAUAAUAAUUAAAUUGAUCAUUGAUAUAUUCAAUUUUUCCAAUACAGGUAUAUUAAAAUUUUCCAAGUUUUUCCAUUAUUAAUUUAAAAGUGUAUAAGUUAUAAAAACACUUAGGUGAAAAUUGUUUUCAUUUUAGGGCCUUUGGAUUCCAUGUUUAGUAAAGUUAAUAAAGAAUAAUUUUUCCUAUCUAUUUUGAGCUGAUUUAAUAAAUAAUAUAAAUUUAAGGGUUAAAAAGAUAAAAUUAAAUAAAGGAUUGUAAUGAUUUUUUUGUAAAGUUAGAAGGAUAAAUAAAUCAUUAUGUCUAUUUUAUUUAUAUAAAUUUUUAAAUAAUAAUUGAAUUAGUUUAACACGUGAUGCCGCCUUUUAUUCCAUAUAUAAGGUUAUGCCAUAUAUUCUGUUUAAAAGAACUUAUAGUAUUUUAAUUUUUCUAUUUUUAACAAAUAUUUUAGAUUAUAUUAAAUCCCUGAGCAUUAGCGGCGCUUUUUAAAAAAUGCCACUAAAAAUAGAGAAUUAGCGGCGCUUCUUCAAAAACGCCGCUAAAGCCCUGAGUAUUAGCAGCGCUACUUCAAAAACGCCGCUAAAUCCUUGAUCAUUAGCGGUGCUUUCCCAAAAACGCCGCUAAAGCCCUGAUCAUUAGCGGCGCUUUCCCAAAAACGCCGCUAAAGCCCUGAGCAUUAGUGGCGCUUUAUCAAAAAACGCCGCUAAAACCCCGAAAGCUUCGAAAACGGCGUCGUUGGGCAUAGGUUUUUUGCGGCGCUUUUUGGAAAACGCCGCUAAUGGUUAUUUUUAGUGGCGUUUUCCAUAAAGCGCCGCGAAUGCUUGAUCUUUAGCGGCGUUUUUUAUCCAAACGCCACUAAAAAUGCCGCUAAAAGUCUAUUUUGGUGUAGUGUUUAAAAUUAAAAAAGUUCACUUGGUAAUAAUUAUGUAACAAUAAAAAUAAUAUUAAAAACGUUUAUAUGAAAAUUUUCUUUUAAAAAUAUUUAUUUGAACUCAUCAUGAUAAAAUAAUUUUUUUUGUUGGAAUAUUGUUCCAUUUCACGUCAACAAUUUUAUUAAAAUAGUUAACAAUAUUAAAUAUUUAGACUAACUAAUGACAUUAUAAAAGUAGAAAAAUCAAAUUGUAUAAAAAAAUAAAUUAUAUAGUUCAAAUCCUAAGUUUCAGCAUAGUAUAAGGCUAAAAUUGAAUUUUGAUCAUUAUCUUAUAAUGUAAAAGAAAAUGCAACAAGGAAAACCUAAAAGAAAUAGAAAGCUACGUAUCCAUCUCUAAGACCCUUAGGACAUUCAAAUUAUAUAUAAUCACGUAAUGUAAUCGAAAAAUUGUUGAUAUUAACUAUUUGGACUAGUUAAUAACAAUAUAAAAAUACAAGGACCAAAUUACAUUAGAAAUUAAAGUGUGCCAGCUAAAUAUCAAAUUUAAGCAUAAUAGAGAGACCAAAAUUGAAAUUUAAUCAUUUUUUAAAAAUUGCAAAAAUAAAAAAGGUAAGACGUACACAAACCUAAAAGAAAUUGUAAAUCAUAUGUUAGUUUCUAAGACUCUUAGGGUAAUCAAAUUAUAUAUAUAACCAUGUAAUGUUUUAAUAAAAAAAAGUUAAUAUUAACUAUGUGGACUAAUUAAAAUAUUAUAAAAAUAUAGGGAUCAAUUUAUGUUAAAAAUUAAAGUAUAGAGAUCAAAUCUCAAAUUUAGACAUAUUAGAGGAACAAAAAUUGAAAUUUAAUCAUUUUUGUAAAAUGAAAAAAAGAGAUCAAGGGAUCAUGGUUUGAGUGUGAUGUAAAAGGAAACCAUAUAAAAAAGUAGGGACCAAAUUGUAUAAAUUCAAAUAUAAAAUUAAAUCUUAAUGGUAGGCAUAGGAAAAGGAGCAAAAAUAAUAUUUAAAUAUUUUCAUAUCAAAUAGAAAAAAGAAAAAUUCACACGUGUCAAUUUUGGACCUAUAUUUAAAUAGAUAAUCCAACUUGCGGUGAACAUACAAAGAAAAGUUCACUGUGAAAGCAAUAUAAAUAGAAUCUUAUUAGUUUUUUAAUUAAAGUAUUUGAUUAUUAGGUAAAUUACCCUAUUAAUCAUCCUAAAAUAUGAUUUCUUUUGAUCACUUCAAAAAAAUUGUUAAUUUAAUCACUACCGUUAGUUAAAUUGCUCAACUGGUCACUAUGUUGUUUUCUCCUAAACGGAAAGAUGACCAAUCAUGCCAUGUAAUCAUUCUUUUUUUUCUAAUUUUUCUCAUAAUUAAAAGGUAAUAUACAUUCCUUAAUCAAGCACUUCAACUCCUCCAAAGCUUGCACUUUUUUGCAGUCUCAACAUCACUUUUUGCUUCCGUAAGUUCAAGAGUUUGGCUAGCUUGUCUGGUUUGCUAUUGUUUAUGGCUUUCUUCACUGAUUUUUUUGUUGUUGGACUCUUUUAAUACUAACUGUAUUUUGGUCGCGGUGAUGGGAGGAGGAGGAAGGGGGGACGACGUCGAUGAUCAUUUUUUGCAUAAGCUGAUGACAAUGGCAAGAACUGGAGCCAUAGCUUAUGGCAUCAAAGAUUUUUCUUUGAAAUAAGGUGUUAGAGAAGUAGGCCUGGCCCUGAGGUUGUUUGAGAGUCUUGGCCCUGCAUAAGCCCUGGGGCUUGAAAUAUCUGUCAAGCCAACAUUUGGAUAAAAAGUUGGCAUGCCUUGACAAGAGCAUCUAGUAUCAAGAGAAUUAGCUAAAGAUACUUCAUUGCUAGAGGAUUAACGCUCAUCGAUAUAAGUUAGAAUUUAUUGCUCAAUAAUAGUGAAUGCACUUGACAUUCUUGAAUUAAAAAAGGGUAAGAAUGAACUCGAGGAAUAUGGAGAGUAUUCUGGUUGGUUGGUUGGCUGCAGAUGUUGUGGGAACCUACAAUUUCUAAUUUCUUUCGAAACUAAUUGUUUGAAUGGAAGUGCUCGACUGUAAUGGCUGCUUCGGUUGCAACAACGAUUAACAACUAAAAUAGAGUAAACAAAAGAAGCAAAGAAUUGUUUACACAAUUUGAUUUCCCUAAGUCUAUGGAGCCUAGCUUAGUGAGCAAUUUUACUAUCUUUAAUCCACAAUACAGUAAUUGAAUCAAGUCUUCUCACCCUCCAAGUAUAAAGACCUCACUUUUGUACAUAAAGACUAGAACACUCACCUCUAAAUUCUCUCCCUAAUAGUAUAUUUGUAAACACAAACUAUUUACUCUCAAAUGUACUCACAAAAUGUUGGAAAAAAUAGAUUUUUUGAAGCUUUGAGUCAUAUUCUUGAUUAAUAAAGGUGGAGAUUUGAAUAAUAAAAUUAUGGUUUUAUAUUCUACCCCAUGUGACCUUUACAACGGUAUAUCAUAUGCUCAAAAUGGUUGAGUGGUGAAUGAGAAAUUGAUGCUCAAAGUAACUUGUGAAUUAUGUUAAGGAAAAUGGAAAGCUUAGUCCCACAUUGGUUAGAUAUCAAGUGUAGAAUAUGUUUAUAUAUAUGAACCAACUUGAUGGUUAUUGAAUGACUAAGCUAGUGUUUUUCCUCACAUGCAAAGGAGUGCGAAUCCAAACUUGUGGGUGCAACCAUCAAAUGAGGGUGAUGCGAAAUAUCUAGACUAGUUUACCCUUCUAAGCUUGCACAGAUAUUUUAACCCAAUACAUAAUUUUAUUUUUCCUCAACAGAGCUUAUCUCUUCAAAUUCUGUUUGGAAUUAAAAGGACAAAUAUUAAAUUGAGGUUAAUGGCUCCUUAAUUCACGGACAUUAAUGACUCCAUUAGUCAAAAUUUCCAAAACUGAAAUAAUCUGCAGGAAAAAGAUACAUUGAAUUUUUCUCUAUUUUUCUUGCAAAAAUUUUGAGAUCUUUUCCCUACAUAUUUUGAACCGAUUAUCGGUGAUAGAAGAAAGCUAGGCUACAGUUCGUUGAUCACUAUAGCCGUGUUACUACUGUGCUCAUCUCGUUGUUGUAUCCUGGGAGACAGUCGACCAACAUUUCUCCAGCACCAAAGGAUCGGUCGAAUCUGUCUUAAGGAAAUUGUGAAAACAUGCCUCAACUACCAGUCGAAUUUCUGCCUACCUACGAGUACACAAUUUCGAUCAAGUUUUAUUUCCAAUUUCUGUUUUUUUAGUUUAUAUAUAUAUGUUGUGAUUUAAAUCAAUAUUUUACAUUAUUGUUUAUUUCACUAACGUAUGUGCAACACAAAAUAUGUUCCUUAAUGAAUAAUAAAGUGCUCUCUAAGUUCUCAUACAAGACCAAAACAAAUCAUUCAAUAAAUAGAUGUUUUCAAGACUUGCUAACAUAGUAAAGAUCAAUUACAAUCCAACCCCUUAAUAAUAGCAGCUACAAAAGAACAAAAGGAAAUAUACUAAUAAAUUCAAAUGUAAAGUGAAUUGAUGUAGACUUAUUCUGCAAUAGUAUCUUCAAGGAGAUACCCAAUUCGUUCUCUAAAAUCCAAGGGGUUUAAUUGUUUGAUUUGAUCAAAUCCAAUUCGUUCUUUAAAAGGUUUUCUCUUCAAAGUUGGGCUUUCAUAUCUCCAUAAUAUCAACAUUAUUCAAAGCCUAAAGAUUUUGUUUUGAUAAAUUGCCAACUCCAAAUAUAGCAAGUAACAGGUUGUCAUAAGAACGAUGGAAGUAGACACUUUUGAUUGGCACAAACUAGACCACUUUAAAAACUUACAUUAACAAAUAUAAUUGCUACUGAUGCUGAUGGAAAGUUCUUUUUUUGCUGCUAAACUUGAACUGAAGUUUGCUUUUAAAUUUUGCUCUUUUUUAAAUUUUAUACUGAUAUUUUCGGACUUGUAUGUGAUGGUGAAAUGUCCUUAGAUUGUUACUUAAUAUUUUCCUAACUUUACCAUGAUAUUUUUCUAUUUAUUGUUUUAACUGUUAAUGUUGUCGUUACUUUGAAUUAAUAGUUGAUUCCACUACUUAAAUUCAUUGUUGAGUGUAUGGUUUAAGGGGGAGGAGUAUUAAGUGUGUCAUCCGCUGCUAAGUUUUUUAUUCAAAAAUGCCAAAGAAAGAGAUUAUUAGCGUCCGUUAUAUCUGCCAGCCACAACGCCAGUUGAAAACAUUAUAACUCACAUUAUUUGAUAGACCAAUUUUACUUGGACCGUUAAUUGCUAGUUUUCGAGGAUAGUUAGCAGCAUAAUAGUGAAGACUUUAUGUGAAAGAAUCAAGCCAAGUAAGGAUUAGAUUUAAACUUCUAAUAGAGUUGAAGUUCUCUUGAAAAAGGAUAUAAUCUUAAAAGGAGUUUGAUAUUGAGAGGAUUUUUCCCCGUAAGUUAAUUAUUUGGAAACCUUUUUAAAUUGCUAAUUUAGAGGAAUUAAUGAUUGUACUUCAACAAGCCUAUUUUGUAUUUACAUUGAAUGACUUGUUUAGGUUACAACAAGAAUUAGAGAGCACAUUACUUGUUCAAUUAGGAGCUGUCUUUGAGGGAAAAUUUUGUAAGUGAAUUGGAUUGAGUCAACUAGUUUACAUCUAAGCUUUUGAGAGGAAGAUGUUGCAAUUUGGUGAGUGAGUUCACUCACUACACCAAAACAGGUUUUUAGCGGCGUUUUUUUAAGCCUUUAGCGGCGCUUUUUAGCGCCACUAAAAGUAUUUGUGGCGCUUCCUAAAGCGCCGCUAAAAUUGCCGCUAAUGACAACGCCACAAACAUUUGCGGCGUUUAUUUUUAAAAGCGCCGCUAAAGAACAUGUUCUUUAGCGGCGCUUUUUACACAAACGCCGCUAAAGGUCAUGUUCUUUAGCGGCGCUUUUAACACAAACGCCGCUAAAGUUCAUGUUCUUUAGCGGCGCUUCUAACACAAACGCCGCUAAAGCUAAUGUUCUUUAGUGGCGCUUUUUACACAAACGCCACUAUUUGUUUGGUUGUUUUUAGCGGCGCUUUUUUAAAAAACGCCACUAAUUUUGGGGUUUUUGAAAAAUGCCAAUUUUUUUCAACCCUCAUGUAGCAACAAAUCAAAAGCAACUAAAUCUAUACCAGCCAAUAGCAAUAAAUUUAUAUAAUAUUUCAAAUUAAACGAAUAAUAUAAUAUUAAUAUCAAUAUUCUAUUAUUUUCACAAAAAUGUUAAAAUGAUAAAAAUAUUUAUUUUCACAAUAAUAUUAUACUUUAAGUUGUAGCUGGAGUUCUUCAUAUUUCCUUUGAACCUCAACUGUGGUCGCUUGCAUCUGAGCCAUCUGGUCUUUUAACCUCUGAACUUCAGCUUGAGCCUGACUCCCCGAAGGCAUGUAUUGCUGCGAGCUGGAUCCAAAAUAUUGGGUUGGGCUAACAAAAGAUCCUUGAAAUCGAACCCGGCCAUACCUUUCAGGACCCAUAACUUCAAUAAUAAUCCAGUUAUCAAUGUCUUCAAGAUGAACAGAACUAUCACUAGAAGCAAUCGCUUCGUACUCCGCCUUUUUAUUAUUUAGUUUCUCCUAAUAAAUAAAUCACAUAUUUAGGAACACAAUAUAUAUUAAAAAAAUAAAUGCAACACAAGUUAACAAUAGUAGCAUUACAAGAAAUGAAUUAAACUAUUAGAAAAUCGUAUUAAGUAAACGUACAAUUAUUUCUGCAGCUUCAGGAGUCAUAGGAGAUCCAUCUUUCUUCUUAUGUGUAAUGUCAAAAAGUUGAAGGCGUCCAACUUUUUGACCGGACGACUGUUCCUACAAUAUAGUAGUAAAAAUAUUAUUUAAUGGAAAGUAACACGUAUUUGACAGUAUUAAAAAAUUAAAAAUACCUCAGCCUCAGCUAUACAAGCAAAACUUUUCGACCCGGCUGUGUGCGUGAAUUUUUGUUUCUCCCUGCUGUUUUUUCCAACCCGUUCACGAUCCUACGUUAUGAAAUUAUUAGUACGUAAAUAGUAAAUACAAUAAACCAAAAUAAUUACAAGAUUUUAGAAGUACAUCAUACCUCGCCUUUCUUCGAAUGCCAAAAUCUAACCGCAUCUUCCCAUUGGUACCUCAGCAUACCCGGCGGGACAUUUUGCAAUUUCUCAUCGAGGGUUGUUUUUACCUUAUAAUAAUCUCUCUUUAAAGUACUUUUAUGGUCUCUCCAUCUUUUUCCCAAUGCCUUCUUUACAUAGGCAUCCGAGACUUCUAAGGCAAACCUCGCCUACAAAAAACACAAGUUAAAAAAGUAAAUAUAAGUGAAACUAAUUCCUAAGUAUUACAGAUGACAUUAACGUUUUGUUACCUUAAUAUUAUCAAGGGCUUGAUUUUUGUUACUAUCGGGCAUUUGAUGCCAUGACUCGUAGUUGAUAGGUAACAUAUUCGCAUUUCGUACUAAAAUGCCCAUGUAUCCUGCUAAUAGUCGAGCUUCUAUUCCAACAGGCUGACCAAAACUGUUUCUGGAUACUUUGACACGCUCGACUGGAUCUAACUCGUACAACUCGCUAAGUAGCGUAUGACCUCGACCUCUGCGCGUCCUACCAUUUUCAGCUGAAAAACGGUAUAUUAUAAUAUAAGAUUUUAAAAAACUAAUUCCUAAGUAUUACAGAUGACAUUAACGUUUUGUUACCUUAAUAUUAUCGAGGGCUUGAUUUUUGUUAAUAUCGGGCAUUUGAUGCCAUGACUCGUAGUUGAUAGGUAACAUAUUCGCAUUUCGUGCUAAAAUGCCCAUGUAUCCUGCUAAUAGUCGAGCUUCUGUUCCAACAGGCUGACCAAAACUGUUUCUGCAUACUUUGACACGCUCGAUUGGAUCUAACUCGUACAACUCGCUAAGUAGCGUACGACCUCGACCUCUGCGCGUCCUACCAUUUUCAGGUGACAAACGGUAUAUUAUAAUAUAAGAUUUUAAAAAAUAAACCAAUUACAAGUCAACAUAUAUGUAAAUUAAAUGUAAAAUUACUUUGAACUUCUGUAGGAUCCUCAGGUAUAAUCGGAACAUUCGAGGAUCCAAUUCCUGUCUGUUCUUCACUAUUUAUUUCUGCCGAGUUUGGAGCACUUUGAACAAUGCCUACCUCUCGUAUUUUUCUUCUGGGCAUUUUUUCUGCAAUACAUAUAAAAUAGUUGAAAACUUAGUAACUAAUUACAAUAGUAACAGCGAAUAUCAAAUAGUUGAAAUAUAUAAUAAGACCAAGAUUUAAAUUAUGAUAUACAUAUAAUUAAACAAUCGUAUAUUCUUACUACAUCAUUAUUCGUAAAUAUCUUCAUUUGCAUCCUGGCGAACCCAUUGAAAUUGCAUACUAGUACUAGGGAUAUUUUCGUUUAAGUGUUGUUCCAGAAAGGGCAGAGUUUCUGAUCUAUCAUCGAUAUUAUCUCUACUUCCACUGCCCAUGUCAAACAAGUCUCUAGGGAUGUUACGGAGUACAACGUACCAACACUCGUCGGUUGGAUCUUUUGAGUAAAAAACUUGUCUGACUUGAGAUGAGAAUACAUACGGCUCAUCUAUCAGUUGUUGUCCUGUGUGAUCAAUCGAGUGAAGUUGACCAUUGUAAAACCAAAUUGAUCUUGCUUAAUUCCACGAGCAGUAUUAACAUCAGCCCAAUCACCUCGAAAUAAGACAACUUUCCAUUUGCCGUAGUAAUCUAACUCAAUUAUGUCAGUAAGAAGUCCGAAAUAUUCCACAUUUCCCUCGACAGGAUUAUUGUCCCUAGCACUAGCAUAACUUGUAAUUGAGGAAUUAACAACUAUUCCACAAUUUUGCGUUCUCCUCAAUCUCUCGCGAUAUUUUGUAUGAAAUCUGAAUCCGUUGAUAAAGAACGCACUAUAUCUUUUAACCACUCGAUUUGGACCUUGGGAAAGCCAUUUAACUUCGUCAUUCACAUUCUUCCCACUCUAAACCUAUUGAAUGGAAAGUAAACUGAGUAAUGAAAAAUGUAAUGAGAAAACAUUAUUAUUUUUAAAUGAAGCUCCAAUUGCAUACUGUUUGGCUUAACCAUUCAUGAAAAGUUUCAGUGAACAACUUAUUGAUAUCUCGAUGUUGCGUUCUUUGGGAGCGCGAACGAGAUCUCAAUAUUUGUUUGUACUCACUAUGUUAAAAAAAUGUUCACUUUGUUAGAAGAUAAACAAUUUUGGAUUGAUGAAUAUUUAUCAAAUUUCUACAACUUACUUCCGUAAUGGUUCCAUUGAUUCAUGGUGAAACAGAACAUAUCGAUGUGCUUGUACCCACGAUAAAUCAUCUAAUUCUACAAUAUCAACUUUGCCAAUUGGUUCUCCAAAACUUUGGAACAGAUAAGAAUCGGCAGAGUUAUGUUCCGUGGGUCCAGCAUUUCUACUUGGUCUGUUCAACCUUGUUUCAACAUCUUCCAAAUAUCUUGAACAGAAGAUCAUACAUUCUUCUGCCAAGUAGCCUUCAGCAAUCGAUCUUUCUGGAUAACGCUUGUUGCGGCAAUAAGACUUUAAUUUAGAUAGGAACCUAAACACAAUAUACAAAUUAUCAAAAGUUGUAACUAAAACAACUAUAGGUGAAUGAGGAAAAAUUUUAAAAAUAAAUUAACAUCUUUCUAUGGGAUACAUCCAUCGAUAGAAAACGGGUCCUCCAAGAAUUGCUUCAUGCGGGAGAUGGAUUAUCAAGUGAACCAUAAUAAUGAAGAAAGAAGGUGGGAAGAUUUUCUCCAAGUUGCAUAAAGUCAAAGCAGCUCGAUCUUGUACCUUCUGAAGUUCUUGAACAUCCAAAACUUUGCCACAAGUGGCUUUCAUUAUAUUGGACAGUUCAAUUAUACAAGAUGUUACCUUCUUCGACAUACAACAUCGUAGAGCAACUGGCAGUAAAUCUUGCAUCAAGAUGUGAUAGUCAUUUGAUUUUAGCGAAUAUAGUUUUCGAUCUUUAACACUAACACAUCGAGAUAUAUAUUUGAUGCAUACGCAUCUGGAACCUUUAUAUCCUUCAACACCAUGCAAAACAGUUCUUUCUCCGUCUUGGACAUUGAGAAAAUUGAAGGCGGCAACCGAUAUUUCCCAUUUGGAAGUGGAUUUGGAUGAAGAUCAGGUCGAAUUCCCAUCUGAACUAAAUCAAGUCGACUCUGAAGAUUGUCUUUUGAUUUUUCGUCUACAUUUAAAAUUGUACCGACAACGUUCUCGCAGACAUUUUUCUCAAUAUGCAUAACAUCAAGAUUGUGUCGUAAUAGGUGGUGCUCCCAAUAAGGCAACUUAAAAAAAUACUUCUUUUUUUCCACAAGUCCGCCUCAUUAGGAUCAUCCUCUUCAUCGGAGUCAUCAUCAGCUUCAUCAUUUGAUCUUUUAUUUCUUUGCGUGUUUGCCGGUUGGUUCAUCUUCCCAUAACUGAAAUCCAUAUCUUCCAACAUCAACAAGAUUUCAGACCCAGUUGUCUGUGAAGGAGCUUCUCUGAACUCUUCAGUACCGUCAAAUACAGAACUUUGAAAUCUAAAUCUAUGAUUUUCCGGUAACCAUCGACGAUGCCCCAUGUAAGAGAACUUCUUCCCAUUGUACAACCAUUGCGAACAUGUUUGUGCAGCACAAAAAGGACACGCAUAACGACCCUUGGUACUCCAACCGGAUAAAUUGGCAUAAGCGGGAAAGUCAUUAAUGGUCCACAUCAAAGCUGCACGUAAAUUAAAGUUCUCCUUUCUCAGCACAUCGUAUGUCUCGACACCAGCCCAUAAUUGUUUUAACUCUUCAAUAAGUGGCUAUAAAUAAAUGUCGAUAUCAUUCCCGGGUCCUUUCUCUCCAGGGAUAAUCAUGGAUAAGAUAAGAGAAGAUUGCUUCAUGCAAAUCCACGGGGGCAUAUUGUAAGAAACAAGCACUACUGGCCAAGUACUGUACGCAAUGCUCAUGAUCUUGUAAGGAUUAAAUCCAUCAGAUGCUAGCCCAAGCCUCACACUCCUAGGAUCGUUUGCAAAGCUUGGAAAUUUAUUGUCAAAUGAUUUCCAAGCUAAAGAAUCUGCCGGAUGCCUUAGUAAUCCAUCAUCAGUUCGUCCAUCAUGGUGCCACGUCAUAGACUCCGCUAUCUUCGACGACAUGAAAAGCCUUUGAAACCUCGGUAUCAGUGAAAAAUACAGCAAAAUCUUUACUGGCUUCUUUCUUGACUGUGCAUCAUUUUCAUCGUCAUUCUCAUCCUCUGUGUUUUUAUUUAUCCAACGGGAUUGGCCGCAUACAUGACAGAACUAUUGGUUUCUCCGAUCGGCCCAAUACAACAUGCAGUCAUUCGGGCAACUAUGGAUUUUGGUGUACCCAAGGCCUAAAUCUUUUAUCAUUUUCUUCAUAUCUUUGCAUGAUCGAGGGAUUUUUGCAAACGGAAACAUAUCUCUCAAAAACUCUAACAGCAUUGUUAAAGAGUUCCCGGUCCACCCUCCCAAAUAUUUUAACUGAAAAAGACGAAUAUAGAAAGACAUUUUUGAGAAUUUUGAUCCCUCAUAUAGUUCUUCGUUCAUGUCAUUAAGUAGCGCGUAGAACUUCGCCGCUUCUCCAUUCGGCUCUUCAUGAGGUACACUUCUUCCCUGUUCGGUAAAAGCAUUUCCACCGAGAUUACAAUCAUCAGAUGCCACAAAGUAAGCUGGGAACGACUGCGAACCAUGAUUGUGCAUAUUAAAUGCAUCCCGCAACAUCCCUUCCAUGUCAUCGCCUCUAACAGACUGAUGGUAAGCAUUACCAUCAUAAGAUACAUCCAUCCUUGAAGAGGAGGUACUAGGCGGACAUUCUCCAUGAAAAAGCCAUUGUUUAUAACCCCGAACAAAACCAUCAACAAUUAGAUGCUCGUAUACAACUUCACGAUAAUGCCAGCUUAUGUUCACACACUUCUUACAGGGGCAAAGAAUCAUGUUCUCUUGGCUUGCAUAUUGAAAUGCAAAAUUUAGAAAAGUCUGUACUCCAUUUCGAUACCGUCGCUUGCCCUUGACAAAUUCAUCCAAGACCGAUCCAUUUCUUAAUUAUUGAAGUCUGACCUUGACAAUAAAUUGCACGGGUUUAGGAUUUAGGAAUAAGUGUAAUUAAGGUAUGUAAGUUAUUAUUUAAGUUAAGGUAUAGUAUCACGGUAACUUAUAAGUGUAUUUAACUUAUUUGAGUUCCACCACAUAAGGGAUAUUUAUGUAAGUUAUGUAAGUUAUGUAUUAAGUAAAUUAUGUAAGUUAUGUAUUAUGUAAAUUAUGUAAGUUAUGUAUUAAGUAGGUUAAGUUAUGUCUUAUGUAAGUUAUGUAAGUUAUUGUUUUUGUGUAUUAUGUAACUUUUUUAAUUUAUGUAGGUUAUGUAUUGUAAUAUAAGUUAUUAUGUAGGUUAUUAUGUAAGUUUUUGUAAGUUAUUAUGUAGGAUAUUAUGUAAGUUAGGAUAUUAUGUAGGAUAUAUAAUUUUAAAAUUAUAUGUAUUAAAACUAUAUAUAAAUAUUAAUAAGUUAUGUAGAACCAAGUAUUAUAUAUUUAAAUUUUGUAAAUUAUGAAUUAUGUAAAUUAUGUAAAAUACGUAAGUUAUGAAAUUUGAACUUUAAAAAAAAUUAAAUAUUUUAAAAAAUUCGUGAUUAAAAUAAAUUAAAAUAUUUAAAAUAUAACUUUAAAUAAAAUUUAUUUAAUUAGGUAAAUUAAAAAUAAAAGAGAACAAACCAAAAUAUAUUUUUCCUAAUUAAAAUAGCAUAAAAUAAAAUAAAAAUAUAAUGAAAAAGGAAAACAUAUAAAUAUUUAAAUAGUUUUGGACCAAUUUAUUUAUCCAUGUUAAUAUUAGUUACACAUUUAAAAUGGGAUUUUGGAAAUGAAUUAGUUGACAAAUGGAAGAAGAUUUAAACAGGGUAUCAUAAUCGAUAUGAAUGAAAGUUAAAUGUGAAAAGAAAUUAGAUUAGAAAAGGAUACUCCCAAUUUUAUACAAUUAUGUAAUUUAAUUAUUUAUUUAAUUUGGGUCAUACGAAUCCUAUGCAGUAACUGAUGCUGUAAUUAACGGCAAUGGUGAUGGCAGGGCACAUGAAAACAUUAUAUUUAGAUUCCUUUAGUAAAAGUAUCAUCAAUUAGUCCCUAUACAUUAAUAUACAAAAUCUAUACAAAAUCAAAUCAAAUAUUCCACAUUAUACUACUGUCUAAAUUUGCUCCAUUAUCUGAGACAUUUUUUCCCAAAAUAUUUAUGGUAUUUGGGUGAAUUAAAUAAAUGUGCAUUCUUUCCUUAAAUAAAUUAAAUAGAGACAUGGUGAAAUAGAUGCAUGAUUAUAUAUUAAAAAAGAAGCGGCAGCAGCAACAUGCACCACCAUAAUACCAUUAUAUCAAUUAGUCCAAAUAAUUGAAAGGAAAUCCAACAAUUAAAUCUAUACAUAAUCGGAGCCCCAAAAGAUUAAAUUUUCAAAAAUCAUCAUGAUAAAACUAUUAUUGAUUAGAAUUUUGAACUAAAAGGUACCUUAAUAAUUUCAACAACCUGGACUACUCCACUCUCACUAGCAAACAGAGGCUGCAGUCAGAAAAAUGGUAUUUGUUAAGUAAUUUAAAAGGAAAAUGCAUAUAAAUAAGCAAAUAAUUUUUGCAACGAAUCGUGUACCUGCCCAAGCAAUAUUAAUUCAGGUGUAUUCGGUUGCACCAAAUAUUAAUUCAGGUGCUCGAUAGUACCUAGAACAGAUGUAAGAUUAUAAGAUUAGCACAUGAAAAUAUUAUGUAAGUCAGUUGAACCAAAUAUAAAAACUUUAUCAAUAUCACUACCAUAUAUUAAUUCGAAGAUUAAAUGCCAGCUUCAGUUGAACCAAUAUAGUUGCAGGAGGAGCAGGAAGCAGUAACUGAUUAAAUGCAGCAGAGGGCUGCCGACAAUUCCACAAGUCAGAAUAUAUACAAGAAUACAAAAAAUAUUAUAGAGGAUAAAACUUAGUCAAAUCUAAGGGUAGAAAACUACUAAGAUAAAACUUAGUCAAACGAAAAUAGUAUUUGUUUUCGAUAGUUCAGUGCAUAAACAAUUGCAACUUCAAUAAUAAUUCCCAUUAACAUAUAAAAUAGACAUACAAAUGCCUCUAGUUUUAUGAUAUACUUAGACCUACACAUGGUAAAUGACAAUAACCAAUAACAAAUAAACAGUUUUACGAUUUCCAAAAUACAAAAUACAAUUAGAAUAUAUAAACAGAAGUUUUUAAAAGAUGGAAUCCAAAUUCAUAGUUUAUCAUUAUGGCAACCCAAAGCCGCACUCCUGCAGUAACUGUUGACUGUUCUUUUUUAUAAAUAGAACCAACAAUUUCCUUAAACAUGAGCAAAAUAAUUACAUUAAAGCAGAAAGCAAGGCACCAUGCUACAACUUACUUGAACCUUCUUACUUGUCAUUUUACCGAAAAUUAAAUAUAAGAGGGUUGACUUUUGUCCAUAGAUGCUUAUAAGUGUUUCUAAGGUGUUUUUAAAAUUAAAAAAAAAUCAAAUUACAAUUCAAUUUUUAAAUCGUAAAAGUAUUAGGUUUUUGAUAAAUUUACUCAAAAUUGAUCUGCGUCUUAACCUGCUCUAAACUUAUAAUAUUAGAUGAACUAUAUUUUUCAUUGCAAUAAAAAUAAACUUUUAGUAUGAAAGGAUUGUUGUAGAUAAUAAUUUAAUUAAGUACAACAUUUAACUAAUUAACUGCAACCAAUAUUUAUAACAGAGAAGGGAUUAUUAUAAUGAUAAUACUAAUUCAACAAAAAAUUAAAUUAAAAUUCUAUACUACCGGGAAAAAGAAGGAAGAACACUUACACCCCAAAAUCGAGAAUAAGCAAGGGGUCGAAUGCUCUUGCAGGAACCAGAAUAGAGUAACGGCGUUGUUCCUGUCUUGUAUGCGACGCAGUUCCAAUACCUUCGGGUUAAAGAUUCGAGCUUUACGGCGGAUUGGAAGAUUUAAAUUUUGAAAGGAAACAGUUUCGGUUUGGGAGAAAAUGGAAGUAGCAUGGCCGAACCGGAUAAGAAAUAAUGGGAUUUGGGGAAUUGGGGGUUUAGAUCACAAUGGGAUUGCAAGUUUCGGGAUUGGGGAAAAAAUUUGGGGAAGAAUAACCUAGGGAAAUUUAGGGGAAACAGCGAAAGGAAAUUGGGGAACUGCAGUCGAUCGGGUAAAUCUGAAUUGGGGGAGAAAGUAAAGGAAUCCGGGGUUAAUAAAACGACGACGUUUAGGUUAGUUUAAUUAAAUUUUGUGGCGUUUUUUAAUAAGCGCCACUAAAGCAUAGGAAAAACGGCACUAUUUGGGAAACUAUUAAAAUCUAUUUGUGGCAUUUUCUGCUAAAGCACCACUAAAGCAUAGUCCUUUUACGGCGUUUUACAAAAAACGCCACUAAAAUUUUGCAUCAAAAUGUACCGUUCCGCAGUAUCAAGCACAAAUUUUGCGGCGCAAUUUAAAAAAACGCCACUAAUUUCUAUCCUUUUGCGGCGUUUGGUAAAAACGCCACUAAGAACAUAGAUCAAAACGCAGUGUUUUGCCAUUUCUGAAACAAAGUUGCGGCGUUUUCUAUAAACGCUACUAGUAACAAAAAAUAAAACGUCAUCGUUUUGCAUACUGUGACAUAUUUGUGGCGUUUUUUUUACUAAAACGCCACUAAUGCAUAAACACUAAAAUAAAAUCAAUUCCACAUGUCUUUUUUAAUAAACACUAAAAUAAAAUUAUUUCUAAAAAAAGGGAAAUUAUAAAAAUACGUAUAUAAAUUGGUUUUUCUGUAGAAAUUCAAAUAAUUCCUUGUAAAAUCCAAGUUUGUACCUAUAAAAUCCAAGGUUUCCCUUUACUUUGGUUCAUUUUUAGGCAUGAGGACUUGAAUUCGAUCCUGAACGAUUUUAUUUUUGAUUCUGAAUCAUAAAAAAAUAAAAUUGAAAUUAAAGCCAAAACAUAAAAAAUAAAAUUGAAAAAAGAUAAAAUAAGAUAUUAAAAUGAAAACUUAUAAAAAUUGGAUUACCGAUUGGAUAAUUUACCUUAUUAAUGCCAUUUUAAACUUAAACUAGAUUCAUCCCUAUUAAAUUAUUAUUUUUCAUUUCAUUUUUAUAUUAUAAAAGUAUACAUAUAUAUAAAUACAAAACAACUUUUAAAAUUACUCUCCAUAUAUUCAAACAAGCAGUGAACUUUCAAAAUCGGGGAAAUCUGACAUGGGGGAAAUUAAAGGAAAUUUAGGGUUAAUAAAACGACACCGUUUAUGUUAGUUUUAAUUAAAUUUUGUGGCGUUUCUUAAUAAGAACCACUAAAAGCAUAGGAACAAACGGCACCGUUUGAGAAACUAUUAAAACUUAUUUGUGGUGUUUUUUGCUAAAGCGCCACUAAAGCAUAGUCCUUUAACGGCGUUUAACGAAAAAACGCCACUAAAAUUUUGCAUCAAAACGUACCGUUUUGCAGUAUCAGGCACAAAUUUUGUGGCGCAAUUUAAAAAAGCGCUACUAAUUUCUAUCCUUUAGCGGCGUUUUGUAGAAAACGCCACUAAGAACACAGAUCAAAAUGCAACGUUUUGUCACUUCUAAAACAAAUUUGCGGUGUUUUCUAUAAACACCACUAGAAACACAAAAUAAUACGUCAUCGUUUUGCAUACUGUGACAUAUUUGUGGCAUUUUUUACUAAAACGCCACUAAUGCAUAAACACUAAAAUUAAAUUAAUUUUUUUCAUUUUUUAUAAACCUUAAACCGUUACAGCCAUAAACAAUAAGAGACUAACAAUUAAAAACUAUACCAUAAACCAGACCCUAAAUCGUAAACCCUAAAUCCAAAUAACAAACAUUAACCACUGAACCUAAAAUACUAAACACAAAAUGUACCUUAACACCCUAAACUUUAAACCAUAAAUAUAUAUUAUAAGUUACAAUUAAAAGUAAUUAAAUAGAAUCUUAUUGCUUGUUUGAACCCUAGAAUAACUUUAUAUUUUUUUAUCAAAAUCCCUAACCCUUAAACCCUAAUACCCUAACUGGCCCUUAAAACCAUAAUUAAACACUAAGACUUUGACUGUAAAAACUAAACUCCAAACAACAAACUUUAAAACACUAAAUCACAAACCCAAUAUAACAAACCCUAAACCAUAAACUAUAAAACCCUUAAACUACAUACUAUAGUAAAUAUUAAACAUUAAACUAUAAAACCCUUAAACUACAUACUAUAGCCCUUAAACCACCAAUUAAACCCUAAACCCCAAAAUUUAUAAUCAAUAUUAAGUACUGCUUCCACAAUUUUUUAUAAACAUAUAUAAGCUUUUACAUUAAUAUAUAUCUAUGUAUAUACAUGUACAUCAUGUUUACAAACAUAUAUAAGCUUUUACAUUAAUAUAUUUUUUUGAAAUUUUUAGGGGUUUAGGGUUUUAAGAAUUAUGAAUUUAGGGUUAAAGGAUUUUGAGAAAGCCAUAUAGCCGGCGUCGAUUUUAACAGCUUAAUGGUAACUUAAAUGAAAACUUCUAAUUUUAAUUAAUAUAAAUAAAUCAAUUAAAUAAUAAAUAGGUAAAUAAUUUUUUUGCGGCGCUUUCCAAAAAUGCCACUAAAUGAAGAGCAUUAGCGGCGUUUUUUAAAAAAAGCGCUGCUAAAGGCCUGAGAAUUAGCGGCGCAUCAAUAAAAACGCCGCUAAAGCCCAGAACAUUAGCGGCGCUUACUUAAAAAUGCCGCUAAAUCCCAGAACAUUAGCGGCGCUUACAUAAAAACGCCGCUAAAGCCCAGAACAUUAGCGGCGUUUAGAUAAAAACGCCGCUAAAGCCCAUAACAUUAGCGGCGCUUACAUAAAAACGCCGCUAAAGCCCCCGAAAAGUCAGAAAACGGCGUCGUUGGGUUUCGAUUUUUGCGGCGUUUUUUUUUUAAAACGCCACUAAUUAUAUUUUUUGUGGCGUUUUAUAUGAAGCGCCGUUAUUUCUCCUUUUUUAGCGGCGUUUUCUAUCUAAACGCCACAAAAUGUGCCACUAAAAGUCUAUUUUGGUGUAGUGACUUAUACUUUUUGUUGAUAGUAGAUUACUCUUUGAGUAAGGUAUUGCAAAUGUAGGUGAAUAAUUUUCUAAUGUUCAUAUCUAUUGUAUUACCAGUAAUUACUUCGUUCAAUCACAAUGAAAUAAAUAACUAACAGAUAAAAACAAUGAGCUUUCAAUUGUUAAAUAUGUUAUAUAUAUUUUUUAUGAUACAAUACAUUUUUAAGGUGCGUAUGAGUAAUGGUUUUAUGGAAGAAAUUCACUUGUAUAGAAAUUUUUAGAAAGUUAAAAGUGAUUCUUAAAAUUUGAAAUAUGAAUUUUUGUUGAUUCGAAUUUUAUUUUUAAAUUCCGCCUGUAGAUGUAGAAUUUGUGAAAGAAAAAAACCAUUAUGUAAAAAAUAUAUUUAUUAAAAAUUUACAUAACAAUCAAAUGAAAUUUAAGUAUGCAUUUUCUUAAGUUCAAAUUCUAUUAAGUGUUGAUUGUUAUUGGGCUUUUAUAAAUAAAAAAUAAAAAAUACUUUCAUAAUAUAAUUUAUUUUGUAAGAAUUUUGAUUGUUUAGUAAUUUUUUUAAUUAUAUUGAUAUUUGAUUGACUCAUGACAUCAGCUUAAUCAAUAAUUAAUACUAUAUAGUAUAAAUCAGGGGUGAAGCCAAAACAAUUUUUUAAGGGGGCCGAAUGAAAUUUUAAAUUUUUAUAGUCUAUAUCUUUAUGAUUUUUAAAGGAUUAAAUUAAAUUUUUAUAAUUUUAGGGGGACCAAAGUACAAUUUUAUCUUUACUAAUUUAAAAUUUUUAAACAAAUUUAAGAACCUGAAUAACAAUUUUCAAGAACGAUUUCAAACUAUUAAUCAAUCAAAUAAUAUGAGAAAUACGUUGAAUAUUUGACGAAAAACAUGAAAGAAAAAGGAAUAUGCGCAAAUCAAAAUCGGAUGGAUAUUUACUUGGAGUAGAACAUAAACUUAAAAAAAUUGAAUAAAAAAUUGAUGAAACUCUUUCAGGAUCAAGAAAAUGACAUCGUGAUUUGGAUUGAACCCCAAUGAAAAAAAAUAGAUCAAUGAAAAGUUUGUACGAUAAGUUUAGCGAAUUUUUUCUAUAGGAAAAUGGGCCAAAACUUAUCUUUCUUUAAUUUCAUUUUAUUUAAAAAAUGGGCCAAAACAAAUGUUUCGCCAUCCAAAUUUGGUAAAAACAUCCAAAAGCUGUUUAGUUAAAAUUUAGAUAUGGAAUUGCAGUCAAGAUAAAAACAAUUAAAUAUGGAAUUUCCAUCCAAGUGGACAAACUCUGACGCACUACCUGAGCAUUAAAACAAAAUUGACAAAUUGAGGUUUGGUAAAAGCUCCAAGCAUUUAAACCCAAGCUUAAUUCAUGCCCAAUAAUAUAUUUCCCAUCCAAGACCAAGACGAGAGAGACCCUAUUGGCUUAUUGCACGGAGUAGAUGAAAGUGGGCGAGUGAUGAUGAGAAACAGUCGUACUCCCAAAUCCGAUAUCCUUUUUGUGAAGAAAGGGAAAAAGAUUAUUUUAAGGCUGAUGAUGAAGCCAUUGUCGUCUUCUUCCAAUUUCUUGCUCUACUUCUUCUUCUUCUUCCUUGUUUUCUUUCGGUGCAUCCAAUCCAUUAAUGCCCAGAACGCCACCACCGAUCCUUCAGAAGGUGAUCUCUCCCUCUCUUUGUUUAAUCAACAAAUAAUUUCUUACAGGGGAAAGGCUAUAUUGUUUCCCCUUUUUUGAUUAAUUAUUGUUGGGUUUAAGUUUCAUAUCAUGUUUUAACCCAUUAUUUUAUGAAUGUAAAACAGUAAGGGCGUUGAACUCAAUCUUCCAACAAUGGCGUAUACAAGCGGUGGAUUCAUGGAAUAUCAGUGGAGAGCCAUGCAGUGGAACUGCUCUCACCCAAAGUUCAUCUGUGUUUGAGGAUCCUACUAAUAAUCCUGCUAUUAGAUGUGAUUGCUCUUUCAAAAAUAACACUCUUUGCCACAUUACUAGCUUGUAUGCUUCUUUCUCUCACGUUUCUGCAAUAUUUUAAAGCCAUUACUAUAGUAUAUGAAUUAAAAGCUAGCCCUUUCAUGUGGUUUUUAGGAUUUAUACACAGCAAAAACCUUCACUAUUUGCGGGAAGUCUAAUUUGUACUGAUGUUGUACUUGUUUUUGUCAGGAGGGUAUAUGCUCUAGACAAACGAGGAGUGAUACCAAAGGAGCUUUUAGAUUUGCCUUUUCUGGAGUUCUUGUAAGAAUAUUCUUAAUAUCUUUUCUAUCUUAUUAACCCAACUUUCAUUUUGAAUAUAUUCCAAGUGGUUACAGAUUUUGAAAUGGUUACAAUCUGUCGUAUCGGUAUAUGCACCAUUUUGUCGGUUUCAGUACGUAUUCAUAAUCACAUUUUUUUUAAAAAAAAUUUAUCCAUGUUUUUGAUUUUUUUUCAUAUCCAUGCACUCAUAUUUAUAAUUUCUUAAUAAAUUAUAUAUUAUAUAUACAUUAAAUAUAUCUCAAUCACACCUACGUAAAUAUAUUUAUGUCUAAAUAUAAGUUUUAAAAAUAUUAAUUAUAUUCAAUAAUUGUUAAUUUUAAAUGUCAUUAUAGAAAAACUAAAAUGUUCAAGAUACAAAUUUUAAAAUUUAAUUUAAAAUAUAAAAAAUUUGUGUAAAUUAGUAUGGGCUCAUAUACACUCAAUAUUGAUCAAAAUGGGCCGAAAUACAUCAAAAUAAUUGAAAUAUACUAAAAUUUUGAUUGGAACGAAACAUAAACUAUUUAUAUUAGUUUAGGACUAAAAUAUUACGUAUGAGUACGGUACCGACUAUCAUGAUUACAAUAUGUGCUUAAUUUUAUAGUAACUGAUUAUAAUAAUUUAUAUUGUUUGGUGAUGCAGGAAGAUUGAUAAAAACUUCUUUUCUGGCCCUUUACCAACAUUUCUUGGAAAUAUGUCUAAAUUAUGGUUAUUGUGAGUACUCAAUCUAAUUAUAAAAGUAUUUCGUUAUUUCAUUGUUGGCUCUCGGGCCUUAACAAUAUCAUACAAACACUCAAAAAUAAACGUAUAGGCUGUUGUGUUAUCGUUCAACACUUCCAAGUCUAAUUGGUUUUUCAUAAACCUCCCAAUCCCAUCAUGAAAUUACUUGUACCCAAAAAUUAGAUUAGCGUUUGACAUAUUAAUUCUUUUUAAAAAUUUAGUUUUUAUAUACUUGAAAAGUCUUUUGAAAAAUCAUGUUCAUACCAUAUUUGCAAAAUUAAGAGUUGAAGCAAGUUUACAUGUUUGAAGCUAUUGACGGGUGGAACUCAACCCAAUUCUUAAAAGAAGGUGAAUUAAUAAACUGUCAACUACAAUUACUCUUUUGAUUUACUAGACUUGUUUAAGGGUUGGAUAAUUCGUCUGACUCGAUAAGUCCAACUCGAUUUAAGUCGGAUUUAAACAAAGAUUUUCACACUUCAAAUUAAUUCAACCCGGAUUCAAUUUAAAUAAAAAAUGAAUUUUUAACUUAAAUUUAAUUAUAAAAUAUAUAAAAUAUCAAUUAAAAUACAUGUUUUAAUAUUUUAUUAUGUUUUGAAUAAUAAAAUGGGUUUUUUUGGUGAAGGCAGAUUGUUCCAAAAAGGGGCCUAGAACCGAACCUUGGCCCUGCCCAGCCUAUACAGCUCUACAACAUACUGGAAUAACUAAUAAGAAAUCAUUUUAUUACUUAAUUUUAUGUAUCUUUUCUUCACUAUUACUGUUUACUAAUUUCUUAUAUUCAAGAAUACACCUUUCUUUGGAUUAUUUAUAUAGGUCAAUGGCCCAAAAUAAUUUCAAUGGACCCAUUCCAAAGGAGCUUGGAAAUCUUAAGAAGCUAUAUUUGUUGUAAGAUUUCAACCGUUGUAAAGGAUAAAUUAGUUUUGUUUUUAAGCAAACAUUUGCUGGUAAAAUUAAAUGUGGAUGAAUCUGAUGCAGGUCGUUGGGUAAUAAUAAUCUCUCCGGAACAUUGCCUCCAGAACUUGGUAAUUUAGUGGAGCUUGGAGAGCUGUAAGUUAUAACUUUCUUUAGUUGUUUGUAGGGAGUGAAACGUUGUUGCAGACAGAGAAUAGUAUACUUUAAAGAAAACAUAAGAACACCUAAGAUGUUUAGAGUCACCUAUGUCUGUGUUUGCAAGGUCUUGUGAUCCGUUAGUUAAUCCCACCAAUUCAAUCACUCUACCAACUAACUUUUCCUUUUGUAAAACCUCAUAAAUAACAAUUUGCACGGGAAGAAAUGUUCCACGAUGAAGUGAUUUGUGCUCUCUAAAUUCACACCAAGUGUUGAAAGAUGAACAUUCUCUAAAUAGGCUCGACUUGGUUGUGGGAAUAAAUAUUCUUAUUCGUUCAUGAACUUCUCAGUCCAUCUCCUACAAAUGUAACAAAUUUUCAAUCCUCUCCAAGAAAAGGAUUCUCCCAUAUCUACUUUCCUUUUUAUAGAUAAAUAUCCUAAAUAUGUUGCUACUAAAAAAAAUACAAGCCAAAAUUGCCAUAUGUAAAAGACUUGGAUAACAUUGCACAAAAUGUUGUAAUGUGAUGUUGCAGCAUGCUGUGUAACAUUCUUUCGGUAGUUUGCAUUAACAAUUUCCCUGUAGGCAUUUUUAACAAAAAUAUAUAACCAAAAUUAAUAACGUCCCAUACACAAUGUUAUAAACAAGAAACGAGAUGUACUCAUAAAUGAGUCCAUAAACAACCCUCUGGUCCAGCAUGCUAACAUACCAAAGUAGCGGUACCAAACAAACCAUAAGAGUCUUGUUGAGUGUUAUUCUCUUGUCCUGUAUGAAGGGAAAUAUAGGGAUAUUUAUACACAUUCCUACUGCUACUAUUACAGCUCACAAUAGGGCCCACUAUUUUGUCUUGACCGCCGAGGGUACUGACAUUCCCUAUCCCUAGUGUUGACAUUCUCUGGGCCUCCUUUGGUUUAUUGGACGCUUGCCUGCGGGGUACGUGGUCCUUUCUAAUCCUGGGACUGACUCUCCCAACGAGCCUCUCACCUGCCAGUCACGAGCGGGAGUCCUGUUCACAGACAUGGCUCGUGACCUCGUCCCUACAAGGUUUACACGAGCUCUCCUCUUGCGAUCUCAUUUGUGUGAAGCUUACGCGGGCUCCCCUGCGUGAACUCUUUCUGUGAACAUCUUGCAUUCCCGCGAGGUUCUCAGUUGACUGUGCUUAUAGGCAAACAUUCUUUUUCCAGGUCGGAGGUCCAGAUCCUAUCGGUCAUUCGGACUAUCGGUUCCCAAAUCCUAACAAAUCUAAUGUUGGAAAACCAAAAAUAAACAUUCGUUGAAGAAAACAAAACAUCCAUUCUCCCUCUCAAGUUCCUUCCCCCCUCCCCCAAUUAAGGAGAUGAGAAUCACAUCUCACCACUUUUCAAAUCCAUAAGAAAUUAAAGAUACAAUUUCUUUUCUUUUGGUUUGAUGAAGUUUAGGGUCAAGAAAAAUUACUUGAGUAAUUAAAAAUUUUAUCAUCCUAACUCAUUAAGCCUCCAAUUUUCGUGGUUGAGUUUUUGUUGCAACAUUCUCUUCAGCAACAAAUGUGUCAAAUUUAUUAUCAGAAUCAAGCUCAUCUUGAAGUAGAGUAUAAUCGUCUACAUGUUUCCCUUUCUUUAAGUAGAGGACAAUGCUAAAAAUAAUCAUCUUUACAAACAAUAUUUCUAUGUUCUAUCAACAUCUGGAAUAUGGGUGAAGGAAAAUGUUGUUCAGAAAAAGUAUUUGUUGUCUCUGCAUGUGAAAUGAUAUGGUAAAAAAAAAAAGAGAAGCAAGAUAGAAAGAUGUUGUAUCAACAGAGAGCUAACUAAAGGCACAAAAAGAAAAAAUGGGAAAGGAUGAUGAAAAUUCAUUAAUCAAGCAAUGUGUAUAUACAAGACUCAAGCUAAAAAAACUCUAACAAACUCAACUUCUAACUCCUACUGUCAAGCUAGCAAACUUAGCUUCCUACUUCUACUAACAAGUUAACGAUCUCCCUAGAAACUAAUACUUUAACUUAGGCUACCUUAAUGACAAAAAAGACUUUGUAGCCCUUGAGACACUAACAUUCUCCACUUGAUUCAAGUGUUGCAGACACCAAGUUUGUUUCUAAGAAACUCAAAUCGACUAACAUGGAAAGACUUAGUAAAAAUAUCUAUCAUCUGGUUCUUUGAUCUACAAUAAACCUUAACACUCCUCGCCCGAUCCUAUCGUUAGGUCAGAGCUACAAGCUACCACUUUCAUUAACAAAGUAACUACAGUCAAUUAUACAAUAACAUAAUCAUUUAAACAUACAAUUAUAUGUUAAACACAUUUACAUUAUGAUACACAAUCAAAUCUGAGUCUUAAUCGAACUUACGAAAGCCGUUUUGUUGACACGAUUAUGGAAUAGGACCAAAUUGUAAAGUUUCAAAAUCUCUAGGCCGAUGUCGUAACAUCGUCAAACAAUAUGUCAUGUUGCGACCUCAGGCCACUCGGUGUCACAACAUGACUCACUGUCAGUCGACGUUGCAAUGAGGAAGAUAACUCAUCGAGACGAGGACUCUGUUUUCGGUAAAAGUGAACCAUUUGAUACAUAUUUCAAUGCUACCAAAUAACCUAUUCAAUUUUCACAACAAAUCAACAUUUUUACUUGAUUCAAACAAUACUAAAGAUACACCAAAGCAAAUCAUUUAACCAUUUUCAUAUGAUCAAUUCAAUAUAAGUUCCAUUUAUCAUAAAUUAUAUCAUUUCUACUUAUUCAAUUUCAUAUCAUUCAUCCAACCAACUAGUCAUUCAAAUACCAACUUCUGAUCUAUGUUAAUCCAUGUCCAAACAUGCUAUUUUAGUUACCAUUCAAAACUCCAAACAUGCUAUUUUAGUUACCAUUCAAAACUCCAAACACAUUUACCAAAACCAAUCAUUUCAACUAAGAUUAACAUUGCCAAUAUCUAGCAUUAGAUAGGUUUCAAACCACCAUUAACAUUUAAAGCUUAACAAAUUCACAACACCUAUUUACAUGCCACAAAACCAAACUUAAAACAACCGAAAAGCUACCAAUUUGAAAAUGGCAUAGUGUGAGCUUCUAGACAACCCGCUAGACACGUUCUACAAGUUGAAAUUUACAGGAAAAGGGGAAAAACAAUGAGGUAAGCAUAUCGAAUCCUUAGUAAGUUCAUAGGCAUUAAACAAAAGCUUACCUUAGCUUACAACUGAAAACAACAAGCUACUUAGCUUGGCAAAGUUUGCCUAAACAUGGAAAAUCACAAAAAAAUAAGGUGAGUUUAACAUAUAACCAUAUUAUAUUGUAAUUCAAACAUAUAACCUUUCAAUUCACAUAUAAUCAACAUUUCAAUACCAUUCUCAUAAUCAAUCCAACAUUUAGUCAUUUGCAUAUCAAACUCAUACCAUUUCAUAGCAAAUGUCACUUUUUAUUAACCAUUUAGCCCAAUAAACUCUAGUGAAUAAAUUCGGAUACACGGGUAACUACACCACACCAGAUUGCUCGUUACAGUAGUAACUACACCACACCAGAUUGAUUGUCAGAGUAAUAACUAAACCACACCAGUUGCUCUGGCGAGCAGUAACUACACCUCACCAACGCAUUGAAGUGCAAAGACUAUAGGAUAUCAUACAUAUAAUCAUAAAACAAUACAUCCCUCCACCACACCAAGGUCUCCGUAGAGAAAUACAAUACUUAAUGAUCCGUACAAAAUGUUGGAUCCCAAUAUAAUCUGUAACGAUCUUCGUACAAUCAAUUACCCCGUAUAAUCAGAUAUCCUGUACAAGUGUGCGUAUAACUCUACUGGCAUGCCAAUCGUAUCCCAUCCUUUAUUAUGUUCACUUGGGCAUCUUUAACAUAUAUAACCAUUUCUUUACAAUUUACUCCAUAUAUCACCUUUUGUAACAAAUCACAAACAAUUCAAAUUACAACCAAACAUACACAUAUUCAUAAUUCAAAUACAUAACAAUUUAAAAACAAUCAUACCAUAUAAACUUACUUGGUAAAAUAUGCAAUUAAGCUGGAACUUCAAGGACUAUUCAACAAAUUUGUCUUUUCCCUAACUAUUUUCGAUUUGAUCCAAUUCCCGAUCUAUACAAUUAUUCAAUUUGAUUUAUUAAUAUCAAACACUUUUAGAUCAUCCCAUAAUAUGCAUGAGCCAGUUUAAUUUAAUUUUUAAAAUACCCUUGAAUUUUUACAUUUUAUUCAAUCCAGUCCCUAAAAUCAAAAUAACAAUAACUUUUAAUUUUGAGCUUCGAUUUCAGAACUGAUCUCAAUAACAUCCGUCUAUGACCCUCCAUUAUCUAUUAUUAUAGAAAUUUCAUGUCAAAUUUACAAAUUUUACACUCUAGUCCUUAUGUUAAAAACUAACAAUUAAACAUUAAUUAGUCAUUUUUCACAUCUAAGCUUAAAAUCUAACAAUUUAACACCAAAUUCUUCAAGAAAUCAUCAAUGGAAACUUUUAAAAACUUUAACAGUUUUGCAAAUUGGUAGAUGAGUUAGCUUUCAUGACCUCAAAAACAUAAAAAUUACAAGAACAAAGAACUUUAACCUUUAUACUUGAUUAUCCACAAACACCUCAAAAACAUAAUAUUUGAUUUUAAAAUUCUUUGUUCUUGCAUGAAAUACAGGAUUAAAUGAAAUAGCUAAAGUAGCUUGAUUAUCCAUAAACACCUCUAUACUUCCUUCUCGCUUCAAAUCCAUAUCAUCCAUUAGCUUAUUCAGCCAUAAGGCUUGAUUCACAACAUUUGUAGCUACAAUGAAUUCAGCUUCAGUAGUUGAUUGAGCCACCAUCUCUUUCUUUCUUGAACACUAAAAGAAACAACUUGACCCAAAUGUGAAGUUAUAGUUUGAAGUGCUUCUCAUAUCAUCAAUGCUUCAGCCCAAUCAUCAUUAGAAUAGUCUUGUAGCUUGAACUUCUCAACUUUACUAAAAUUGAUUCCAUAUGCAAGUGUCCCCUUUAAGUAUCUUAAUACCCUAUUUGAAGCAAUCAUAUGAAUUUCACUUGCACAGUGGAGAAAUCUAGACAAAACACUUAUAGUGUACAUGAUGUCUAGCCUAGUGGAUGUGAGGUACAAGAUACAUCUAACAAGACUCAUGUACACCUUCUUAUCUGCAGGAUCUGCCCCAUCCAUCUUCUGAAGUUUUUCUUUUUAGUUUAUUGGAGUACUCACACUUUUGCUGUCCUCCAAUUAAACCUCUUCAAAAUAUCCUUCACAUACUUUUUCUGGCAGAGAAACACCUCAUUUUGACCAUACUUGAUCUUCAUUCCCAGAAAGUAAUGCAUCUCACCAAGAUCAGUCAUCUCAAAUACCUCCACAUACCUUCUUAAAUGUUUCAAUCCAAGUUGCAUCACUUCCUGUCACCAAUAUGUCAUCUACAUAGAGAGAUAUAAUGACUAGAUCUACUCCUAACUUAUUCACAUAGAGAGUAGAUUCGCCUAGGCUUCUCACAAAUCCUAAGUUCAACAAAUGCUCAUCCAUCUUGCUCUACCAUGCUCUAGGAGCUUGUUUCAUCCCGUAGAAAGCAUUCCUUAAGAGUUAAACCUUCUCUUCUUGACCUGGUGUAAUGAAGCCCUACGGUUGCUCAACAUGUAUUUCUUCCUCGAAUACUUCAUUCAAGAAUGUUGACUUCACAUCCAACUAAUACACCGUUUAACCUUGUUGAGCUAACACAACAAGAAACAUUUUGAUUAGGUUUAUAAAUUUCAAUAGAUUGCAAUUAAAAAUUAUGUUUACUGGUCAUCCUUGAAAUUAUAACAACAAUUGGUUUAUAAAUUUGGCAGAUACAUUAACAGUUGUGGAUUAGGUGGUGAGAUUCCCUUAACAUUUGCUAACCUUAAAGAACUACGAAUUGUGUAAGAAAGACCUUUUUUUUUUAAAUAUUAUUGCAUUUUCCUCUCUUGGUCCUACAAAUUGCCUUAAUUGUCUUAAGUACUUACCUUACAAUAAUAACAAUAAUCUCUAUUGAAUUUUAGGUGGGCAUCUGACAAUGCAUUCACAGGAAAAAUACCAGACUUUGUUGGCACUAAUUGGACAAAGCUUACAUCAUUGUAAUUCAUCAAAAAAUCUUGGUUAUAAUAUUCGUAUAAGUUCUCUCUAAGUUAAACAUCUAGAAGGAUAGCUUUACCUAGAUUCUAAUUAGUCUGACUAGUUUGCCAAAUGUUUAUACAGGAAAUUUGAAGGGAACUCUUUCGAAGGUCCAAUACCAUCCAGCUUUGCAAAUUUAACCUCAUUGACAUCAUUGUAAUUACAAAUAUCUUACUUUCCUGAUAGUAUACUUACCACCACUGUUGGACUCUCCCUUUGCCCACAUAUUCAUGCAUGAUGCAAUUUUGUAUGUAUAUAUGUAUGUACUUAUUUUUUUACACUCAAAUAUCAUGUAGGAGAAUUGAAGGUAUAUACAAUGGGAGUUCUUCUCUUAAUUUUGUUAGAAAUCUAAAAAACUUGACUGACUUGUAAGUUAACUAUUCUUUACUUCUUGUUUUAAUUAAUUUUUCUCUCUCAUUUUUUAGGGAUGAAAAUUUUUAUUUAUAUUUAUGCAAUUAACAUAUUUAAUUUUCUUUUUUUUUUCACACAGGGUUCUAAGAAAUGUCUUGCUCAAUGGUAUUUUUCCAUCUUAUAUCACAGAACUACAAUCUUUACAAAAGUUGUAAGUUUUAUCUAAAUGUUAAUUUCUUCAGUAAUUUAUUGUUUGCUUCGUGUUUCUAAUUUCUUUUUGUUAUAGGGAUUUAAGUUUCAACAACUUAACAGGAAAAAUUCCAAAUGCUUUGUUCAAUAUGAAUUCUCUCAUAUACUUGUAAGUAACAAAAAAAAAACCCCUAAAACUAUCCCCCUCCAUAGCUGAAAAUAUCAACUUAAGACUUACAGUUUUUACUUAACAUUAUUAAUCUCUUUCUUAUUAUUGAAUUUGUCAGGUUUCUUGGAAAUAACAGACUAUCAGGUUCCAUUCCUAGCCAAAAGAGUGAAACUCUUCGGACCAUGUAAGUCAUCUUAUCUAUUAGAGGACCAUGUAAGUAAUCCUAUCUAUUAGAGGUAUUCAUAGGCUGAGUUUGGCCCGGUUUGGGUCAAACCUAUGCAUGGUAUUCAUACCAUAUAUAAUUGACUAAGCUUAUUAAUUUAAUAGUUAAUAAUUAUAUAUUUCUUUUAUUAUUCUAUAUUUUUAUUAAAAUUCUAAACAUAAAUAACUUAAUAUGUAUUUUAAUAUUUGCAUUAUAAUAUAAUAAUUUUAAGUUUCAUAUAAUAAAAAUUAUAUAAUAUAUAAAAAAUAUUAUAAACUAGUAUUUUUUAAAUCUAACUCAAGCUGAUAUUAGAGCUGGAGCUCGUAAUAUCUUUUGUCCAAACAUAUAUCAUAUGAUAUUAAGCAUAAUCAGCCAAGGGGAGAUUUAAGGGGCUAGCAGAGACUACUCUACAAAUUGGCCCUCUAAAUAAUUAUCGGUAAAUUAUGUUUGGUCUCAGAAGUAUUAUUGAUUUGAUUGUUUUCUUUUUUCUUUUUCUUUUUUUGACUAAAUUGACUGGUUUUAUUUAAAAAUAAAGUUGUAAAAGAAGCAAACAUUCUCCUGCAUCUUGGACUUGGGUCCAAGUAAAACAGGUCCAAAUAAAAUAACAGCAUAAAUCAGGCAAUAAACGAAAAUGGCCCAUAAAUAAAUAAAGAAAAAAAUUGAUAAAAACAUUGAUUUGAUUGUUUUAGAAUUCAUAAAAUGUAUGAUAAAAUUUGAUAAUAUUUUUAGUUUAAAUUUCACUUAUUUUAUUAGCUAAUAUAUUUAUUGUUUUCAAUCAAUUAAAUAAAUUCAUUAACAUUAAUCAUAGUAUUAAUAUUUAUCAUUAUAUCUUGAUGAAAAAAAGAGUGAGCAUCUUCCAUUUAGUGAACCAUCAAAUAGAGUAAAGCAGUUAAGUUCUCCUGAUUUUGGCAAUAUAUUCAUGAUGCAUACUCACUUUCUUCCAAGAUACUUAUGUAUGCAGAGAUUUAUCAUACAAUUUUCUAUCAGGAAACUUGCCUUCUUGGAUAAACUCACGCUUACAACUGUAUGUAUCUUAAACCAGGAUGCUUCCUUUACUUACCUUUGGCUUUCCAAUUUUAACACUGAUUUGUAGCAUAUGGCUUCUUUUUUGAUGCUCAAAUGGAGCUUUAUUAUUGUUGAUAUCACACUGUAAAAAAUGAACCAAAUGCAAAUCAAUACCAAUAAGAGCUUGUUUCAUGGAAUUUUAUGCAGGAACUUUGUGGCCAACAACUUCACACUUAACAGCUCAAACAUAAGGUGAGUUAUCAUCCCGCGGCAUCCCAUUUUCUCUUCUCCUGAACUUAUCUCUAUGAUAACAAAUGCUUACUAUUAUCUCUACUAUGCAAUGCAUUCGUUUAAAGUUCCUAAUCACAAAAUUGUUUUGAAAUUUCUCAGGCUUUUACCAGGAUUAGAAUGCCUUCAAAGAAGCUUCCCAUGCUUUAGAAAUGCUCCACGAUGUACAAGCUAAAACUUUGAAACCAUUAUCUAUUGUUGAGGAUUUACUUAUAAUAUUUAAUCCAGGCCAAUGCUUAAUGCUUUUCUAACAUAUUUUAAUGUCCGACAUUGGUAGAUGCAAACUUUUCAAUCAAGUGUGGCGGACCGGCAAUGAUAUCUGAUGGGAUAUUAUUUGAGGCUGAUAAUAGCACUCUUGGUGCAGCAAAUUUUAAUAUAACCAGUACACGUAAUUGGGCAGUUAGCAAUGUAGGUAUGUUUGCAGAUAGACAAAAUCAACAGUAUGUGGAAAACAAUGGAGGACAAGUGAGAAGUACCAACACUCCAAUGAUGUAUCAAACUUCAAGGCUAUCCCCUGGAUCACUCAGAUAUUAUGGCCUAGGCCUCGAGAAUGGACCCUAUACUGUAAGACUGUUCUUUGCAGAGACAGGUUUCCAUGAUCGAAGCUCAGGUACUUGGACUAGUCUAGCAAGGCGUGUUUUCGAUAUAUAUAUUCAGGUAUUAUUUCAUUUGAAGUAGAAAUUCAUAUCAUUCUAUUCCCCUAUAUUUGCAGUGUUUCUAUUAUCACAAUUAUGUUCAUAUAGUUUUACACUUAGAAAUACUUCCUGCUAUAAUAUCUCAUCAAUGCUUCACUAGGGAACCCAAGGAUUAAAGGAUUUUGAUAUAUCAAAGGAGGCAGGUGGUGUUCAGAGAGCAAUAACUAGGAAUUUCACUGCUAAUGUAACUGAGAACCAUCUUGAAAUUCACCUGUUUUGGGCUGGUAAGGGGACUACCGGUACACCAGAAGAAGGUUAUUACGGUCCAUCUAUUUCAGCUAUUAGUGUUGUUCCAAGUAAGGCACCUUAACACUUUUGAAUCCUCAUGUAAUAUAUGCAUGCUUUAUGUGCUUAUCUUUUUUGUUCUUUAUUUCUAAUACAUCUGUUUUGUUUCUCAGAUUUCAUACCAACUGUUAGUGGGAUACCGCCGGGCAAUCCUAAAGAGAAGAACCACACAACAUUGAUUGUUGUUGUUUCAGUUCCUAUUGUAGCAUUGGCUUUGAUACUUGUAUUUGUAAUCCUUUAUGUGAAAAGAACCAGAGAAGAUGAGGAGGAGGAGGGUAAGAGCAUUAGUUUAUCAUAAAAUAAUUCAUUCAAUUAUAUAAUAUGAUUAUUCAUUUCAUAUCAGAAAAAGGUGCAUCUUUACAUCUAUCUUCAAUAUCAAUGGAUUAGUUUAUACGAAAAGACACCCAUUAAUUGAAAAGAAAGGAAGUCUUCUGCCUUUAAAACUGGGAUGCUCAGCAUGUUACUAAUUGUGUUACUUAACUCUACAGUGCUUCUUGGCAUCAGCCCUAGACCAAACACAUUUAGUUAUUCUGAAUUAAAAGCUGCCACUGAAGACUUCAAUCCUUCAAAGAAGUUAGGAGAAGGGGGGUUCGGAGCUGUGUACAAGGUAAACAUGUCUAACAUUUUUACCGUGUUAAUUUGCUUAUCGUACAAUGAUAAAAUUACCAAGAGAGGAGCGUUUACUAAAUCCUAGUAUGUUUUUAGGGUACACUUUCUGAUGGGAGAGUUGUAGCUGUGAAACAACUUCUAGUAGCAUCAAACCAGGGAAAAGAUCAAUUUGCUGCCGAGAUAGCUACCAUAUCAGCAGUACAACAUCGUAAUCUUGUCAAACUAUACGGGUGCUGCAUUGGAGGAAAUAGGCGCCUCCUUGUUUAUGAGUAUCUUGUGAACAAGAGCCUUGAUCAGGCACUUUGGGGUAUGAUAUAAUAAUUUUAUGCUUUCCACUCUUUGUUGAUUAAUGAAAAACUGUAGGAGAUUUGUUACACUACAAAUGCAGGACAAAAUGAUUUGCAUCUUGAUUGGCCAACACGCUUCAAUGUCUGUUUAUCAACUGCAAGAGGGAUAGCUUAUCUUCACGAGGAGUCUAGGCCAAGGAUUGUUCAUAGGGAUGUCAAGGCAAGCAAUAUUUUGCUUGAUGCAGAGCUCUGCCCGAAGAUAUCUGAUUUUGGAUUGGCGAAGCUUUAUGAUGACAAGAAAACACACAUCACCACUCGUGCUGCUGGAACAAUGUAAGACCUUUCAACCUUUUUUGUUCAUGAGUCAUGCAUUAAUUAGUAUAGCAUGUUAUUUUUGUUCCCAAGUUGCUAGAUUUAGUAUUUUAAUCAAUAAACAUUAUUCAUCAAUGCAAUGUAAUUAUCUUGAAGUGGCUACCUGGCACCCGAGUAUGCAAUGCGCGGGCAUCUUACAGAGAAAGUAGAUGUUUUUGGCUUCGGUGUUGUUGCUUUGGAGAUUAUAAGUGGUAGACCAAACUCAUAUAAUGCCUUAGAAAAUGACAGAACUUAUCUUCUUGAAUGGGUAAUCCAGAAGUAAACCUUUCCCUUUUGCAGUACUAUUUGUUCAAAAACCUCGUUAAAUUUUGAAUGACUUACUCAUGAUUACUAAUUUGUUCCUACAAUGUGUCUAGGUGUGGACCCUGCAUGAAAAUAACCAACUCUUGAGUCUGCUUGAUCCAAAAUUAGUAGAGUUCGAUGAAAAUGAAGCUCUCCGAGUGAUAAGGGUGGCACUUUUAUGCACCCAAACAUCACCAUCUAUGCGGCCACCCAUGUCCCGUGUUGUUGGGAUGCUUGCGGGAGAUAUUGAAGUCAGCAAUGUUACAACAAAACCAAGUUAUAUAACUGACUGGGAUUUUAAGGAUAUAACAAGCACCUUUAUGGAUGAAGAAGCACAAACAUCCAUUGCAUUUGAUCUUAACAGCAGCGACAUCAAGAGUAAGAACAUGAGUGUUAUAGAGGCAGAUGAUCAGCCAAUACUCUCUCAAGUAAAUAUUACUGAAUUUAAGGAGAGUAUUCGAGAAGGAAGGUGAGAGAUGUUUAUUCUAUGCCUGCUAUACUGUGUUAAAAAACAUAGAAUUUAUGUUGUUUCUUCAACUAUGUCUACUUUGUAGUUUUAGAAACUAUCAUUUCUAUAUAUAGUGAGUUGUAUUGUAAUAAACAUAUAACAAUAUUAGGAAAUUCAGACAAACAAAGACUUAUGGUGUUUGGAAUUCUUUUCUUUUGUUCAAAGCUUCAACUUAAAUUUAGGAUAUCAUGUAAUAAUUAUCGACAUAAUAAACUAAAAAUGUGAUGUCUACAUUACGCUUUCAAAGAAAAAACGAGAUUUAAACAUUAGAAAUAAUAUUAUUAAGAAAAACAAUCAUAAACUUUAAAUAUAAACUAUAAAACAAACCUAAAAAAAUUGAAAUGUGAAAAUGUAUAUAAAAUGUUAAAUUUUUUGUUUUUAGCUUUGUAAGGUAGCAAUUCAAAUUUGACAAAGAUAACAAAUAUUUUAUUCAUUAAUGGUAAUUUGUUCAGUAAUUGGUAAUUUGACAUGCUAAAUUACGUGUUAAAAUUGGGUUGGUAACAUUCACUCUAUCCCAUCCAACAGAACACACACAUACUAGUUUUUAUGACAGGUGCUAUGCAAGUAAGAUUAUAAAAUUUAUAUAUACUGAUUUUACUUAAUAAUUUUUAUAAAAUAUAAGUAAUAUAAAAUUUUAAUUUAAUUUCAAAAUUUAAAUAAAUACACUCAAAUUUUAAAUCGUAAUAUUAAUAGAAAUAAAUAUAUAAUUUUUCUAUAUUUUAAUUCUACUAUAUGCAUUUAAAUGUGAAUUAUUUUAAAUAUGAAUAUUAUAAUAUUUUAAUGAAGUUAUGUUAAUUAAUUUAGUGUAAUAAAUUUAAAAACAGAUAAUUGUUAAUUUAAUUAUAAGUUAUUUUUAAAAAAAUUAAUUUUUCAAUGGAAAUAUAUAUUUUCAAUCAAGUAUCAUAAAGCUUAUAAUAUUUAUAUAAAUAUAUAGUUUUUAAAAUUGUAAAUAUAAAAUAUAAAAUUGUAUUUUAUUAUCAUUAUUUUUAUGUAUGUUAUAUAUCAUUUAUUAUUUUAUGCAUAAUGUUUUUCACCUGUAUUAUAAAUUAUUUAUUACUACAUUUACAUUUAUAUUAUUAUUUACUAAUAUUUUAUAUAUAAUUCGAAAAUUACUUAAUCAAUUACCGUAGUAAAUAUUAUAUUAAAGUAUAAUUUCACUUUGAAAUUUUAUAAAUGAUGGUACAUAAUUAAUAAUUUAUCCCUAUGCUAUCAUAGCUACCAAUCAUGUAUUAUGAUAGCAUCUUUCUACAAUUUUAUUUGCUAUGGUUAAUAUUACUACUAUUUAUAAAAUAUUUAUUAUUAUGUUAUUUAUCAUAUGUGGAAGUAUGUUUCGUAUUUCGAUCAAAACAGUGUAUGGCAUCGUAACGAGAAGAAGUUUUUCGUCCCGACGAGCAGCCGACAUCACGACGAGAAGGAAGUCCUCGUCUCGAAGACACAAUCCUUCUUCGUCCUAAUGACUGAACGCCACAUCACAACAUGGCGACGUGCUCUUCAAGUUUCUCGAUUUUCUUCUCUUAGCUAAAUUUUGUUUUAUGUUUUCCACUUAAACUCUGAUUAACCUAAGGUGAUUCUAGUCAUAAAUGCUACGAAUUUCAGCCUAUAAAUAGGACUUAGUUACUCUAGGUUUUAGAUACAACAACAGAAAAUAUUAGGAUUGGGAGAAUUAUGUUAUUUGAGUUUGAAGGGUUUUUUCUUUUUGGAUUUCAGGUUUUCUUUCAAUUCUCUCCAUCCCUUGUACUAUUUUCUUAUUUAGUGAAAUCUCCCUUUACCCGUAGUUUUUUUAUCCUAUUCGAAGAAGUUUUUCCACGUAAAUUUGUAUGUUUGAUCUUUUCAAUUUUCUAUUUUGUUUACUUGUUAGUUGCAUACACGGGUUAAUUCCCAACAAACUGGCAUCAGAGCUAGUUCGAUCUUCAUAUUCAACCCAUUCAAAGAUGGCAACGAUAAGGUUUAAUAUUGAGAAGUUUGACGGAAUCACAAAUUUCAGUAUAUGACAAGUUUGUAUGACGACAAUAUUGGUUCAAAACGAUCUGAAAAAAGUCGUUACAGGGAAGAAGCCCACAGAUAUGAAUUAGUCAGAAUGAGAAGAGCUUGAUGAAAAAGCUCUAUCUGCAAUUCAACUAUGCCUUACGAAUAAUAUGUUAUAGGAGGUUAUGGCCAACAGGUUAAUGUUAAAACAACGUCUCUACACGUUCAAAAUGGCCAAAGGUGAGUCCAUUAGAUCCCAUAUUAGUGAUUUUGUUACCUUUCUUAAUGAUCUAAAGAAUCUCGAAGUAGAUAUUAGCGACGAGGAUCAGGCUAUGUUGUUGUGUCCUUUGCCCUCUUCUUAUAAAACUUUUAGGGAAACCCUAAUUUAUGGGAGAGAUAAUCUCUUAUUCGAGGAUGUAAAAGGGAAUCAUUGAGCAAGGAUAAACUCGACAAUGAGUUAGGCCAAAAUAAGAAGUUAGAUGAGCAAGCCUUAGUUCUAGUUGCAAGGGGCAGACAACAAUCCCUAAAGCAGAUUGAAGUAGAUCUAGGGCAAGAUCUAAAUCUAAGAACCAAGACAAACAAUUUGGCUAUUACAAGAAGAUAGGUCACAUUAAGGUAAAAUGCUAUAAACUUCAGAAUAAGAAUAAAACGGAUCCUGAAAACAAUAAGAAUGGUAAACAGAAAGCAUAAGUUGCUGAUGCUAGAGAUGAGGAUUUCUUGUUGGUUCCAACGAGCGAAAGCUCCAAGCUUACUUCUGAAUGGAUCUAGAUUCAGUGUGCUCCUAUCACAUAUGUCCAAAUAGGGAUUGGUUCUCUACGUGCAAUUCAAUUGAAGGUGGAGCUGUGAUGAUGGGGAAUAAUUCUUCACAAAAGAUAAUCAGAAUAGGAACAGUACAAAUCAGGAUGCACGGCGAAAUUAUUUGAACGCUGUCAAAUGUUAGGUAUGUACCAGACUUAAAGAAAAACCUCAUCUUAUUAGGAAUUUCAAACUCUAAUAGUUGCAAGAUUAUUACUACUGAGUCAAACGUCAUACAAGUUUAUCGUGGAGCUGAUAAGUUGUAAAAGUCAUAUAUUUUAAUCUCAUUCUUAAUGCAAUUUUAGAUGAUUAAUGAUGUAAAUUAGUGAAUUUGAUGCUCCUAAUCCUUUAAAUUCAUGUUCUUAUACUUAGGAGAGCAUUUGGAAGUGAAAAGAGUGAAAAACGAGCCAAAAUCGAAUGAAUAGAGCUUUUUCCAGGAUCCACACAGCCUGAGCAUUUCCACACGGGAUGGCCAUCCGCCCAUGUGCCAACCUGUGUCAAUAUCGCACCCUUCUUCCCAAAUGCGCAGAAAAAUCUAAUUUUUAGGCUUUCUGAGCAUUCUAAAGUCUAUAAAUAUCAAUUUGAAGAAGAUCUAAGGGAGCACUCAAAGAAGAUUGAAGAAAUCACUCGAAGAACACCAUCGGAUCCAACUCAGAAGUGGAUUUCCUUCAAGAUUGAAGAUCUCUUUUUAACUUCUUUCGAAGUUUUAUUGAAUUUCUUUAUGUCUUGUGGUUUUUUUGAUUUUGAGAUGUUUUCAUUUCAGAUUAUGAACUAAAUUCCCUAGAUACCUAGGGAAGAUAAAACUUAUGAUGAAUCUUAUUAUUUGAUUUCUGAAUUACAUGAUAAAUACUUGAUUCUUGUUCUCAAUUAUGGAUGCUUAUAUCGUGUUUUAAUAUUAUCAGGAUAUUAAUUCAUGUUUAAUAUGCUUAUUUCAGUGGAGCAAAAGUCUAUGUUUAAGAGUAGGUCUAACAUAAUUGAGCGGAGUUGCAUGCAAUCCUAGAAAUAGGACGACAUAAAUCUAUCGGAUUAGAGUCAAAUCUAAUAGGGGAAUCCAUAGAUCGAGUUAAUGCGAUGAUAAGGUUUUUAAUUAAAAAGAGAUUUCAAUUAAUCAACCUAGAGUUAGUUGUUCUUACUCUCGAAAGAGAUAUUAACAUAAUUUAGGGAUUUCUAUGGAUCAAGACACAAGUGAAUAAAUUGUUUAAUUUAGAUUCAGAAUAAUAGGUGAAGCUUAGGUGGAUUCUUUACUAGGUAUUGCCUUUCUCAUUGGUUGUCUUUGAUUAUUUUUCCUAUUUCAUUCUCUGUUGCGUUCUCAGUUAGAUUAGUUUAGUAAUUUUAGAUUAAAAACAAUCACUCUAAAUUUUCGGCUAAAUAAUAGAAAAACAGUAAUUAUAGUUAGUUUAGUCCUCGUGGAUACAAUAUUCCCUACUCACCAUAACUAUACUAUUGUUCGAUAGGUGCGCUUGCCUUUAUCGUAAUUAUAGUUAGUUUAGUGACCAUCAAGUUUUUGGCGUAGUUGAACGGGGACUAAAAUAUUAGGAACACUUGAUUUUUAUUAAUUUAGCUAUUUAUUUUUAUUGCAUUUUAUUUUUGUUUUGAGUUUAAUUUUUGUUUUCUAAUUUUUCUUUUAUUUUCUUCUGGCAGGUUCCUUUAGUUUAUGACUAGAAGAAACCCGUUGAGACCAUUAGUAUUUGAUAGUGAAAUUGAAAGUCCAGCUCGCAGAAAUUGUAGAGAAGCAAGGCAGAGUCGACAGAGUAUAGUGGAAGAGUAAGAAGACGUUAUUAUUACUGAGGAGAUGGCUGAUAAUCAGAAUAAUCAGUUACCUCAUGUGGUUGCUACGACUCUUGCAAAUCUGAAUCCUGCUCUUCGUACUAUGUACAAUUAUGCCAAGCCCACUCUAACUGGGGAUGAAUUAAGUAUUGUGAGACCCACCAUUUCUGCGAAUAAUUUUGAACUGAAGCCAAACACUAUUCAGAUGAUACAACAAUUUGUUCAGUUCGAUGGUUUGCAGGACGAAUAUCCAAAUACUCAUUUGGCUAAUUUUCUGGAAGUCUAUGAUACUUUCAAGAUAAAUGGCAUUUUUGACGACACCAUUCGCCUACGGUUGUUUCCUUUUUCAUUGAGGAAUAAAGCUAAACAAUGGUGGAAUUCCUUACCACGAGGUUCUAUCACUACAUGGGAUCAAAUGACUAAAAAAUUCUUACUGAAGUACUUCUCACCGGCUAAGAAGGUCAAGUUGAGGAAUGAUAUCUCUUCCUUCGUUCAAAUCGACUUAGAAACCCUAUAUGAUGCAUGGGAGAGGUAUAAUGACUUAUUGAGACGGUGCCCUCACCAUGGGUUACCUCCAUGGCUACAGGUUAAAACCUUCUACAACAGUUUGAAUCCCUCAACUAGGCAGUUAAUCAAUGCAGCAGCCGGUGGUACACUGAACAAUAAAACAUUUGAAGCGACUUAUGAGUUUAAAGAGGAGAUGUCAGUGAAUAAUUAUCAGUGGCAAGUCAUGAGGAUAGUGCCGACAAAAGUGGCCAGUGUUUUUAACUUAGAUGCGGUCACCAUGUUACCGAAUCAGGUAGAAUUUUUAAAUAAAAAAAUUGAUGGUUUAUGUGUUUUUACGCAAGUACAUUCGAUGAUGCAAUGCGACGCAAAUGGAGGUGGAAUAAAUAAUUCAAAAUAUUUACCCUUCGGUCCUAGCAUGGAGAAUGAGCCAAUAAAUUAUAUGGGUAAUUGUCAAAACCAGUCUUUUGAAAAAUAAAAAAAAAUUAGUAGUCGACUUAAAAGAUGAAAAUUAGAGUCGCCACCGAUCUUUUAAAGAGGCGUGAUCAGAUCACCUUGAAAACGAUUUUAAGUCUACGAAUUUUGAGAAAAUAGGUUCGGGAGUCAGUUACGCACGAGGAAGGAUUAGCACCAUCGUAACGCCCAAAAUUGGUACCAAGUGAUUAUUUAAUGUCUUAGUGUCGAGAAUUUGAAAAGAUUUUAAAAUACGAUCCUUCCUUUUUAUUAAUGUUAAUUUUAUAAAAGAUGCUUGGAUAAAUCGAAGCGAAUGCUAAAGACCUUCUCAUCUCAGAGUAAUAAAAUGUCACACCCAAUACAUUAGGGCACGACAUUUUUAGUCCUCAAGAAUAAGCUUGUCUUUUGAUUUUCAAAACUCGUGUGGUGAAGUUUAAAAAGGAUAUUCAAUUGCUUUAAGUCAGAUGAAAAAUCGAAGCCCAAUACGUUAGGGCAUAAUUUCUCAAAAUUCCGAGCAUUGAAUAUUGCCCUUAUCAUUUUUUUGAAAAAUUCUCGUCUCGAGGAAUCAACAUGUCAUGUCCAAUACAUUAGGACACAAAGUAUCGAAUUUCCGAGAGUAAGCUUUUUGUUUAUAUUUUGAUUAAAGCAUAUCCUCAAUUAUUUAGAUUCAACGAGGAAAAUUGGAACCCAAUACGUUAGGGCUCAAUCUUUUCGAAGAUCCCAAAUGUCGAGUAUUGCGUUAUUUUUGAAAACUCUUUGAAUAAAAUGUUCUCGAUACUUGAAUGAUAUUAAAUGUAACUUUUUAAACAAAUAGAAAUGCGAUAGAAAGAUGAUUUACAACCAAAAUGUACACUAAUGAAUACAAACAAUCAAUUGAUACAAUCAAACAAUACCAUAUACAUAAGAGCAAUGGUUUCAUGUAAAUAUUAACAUUUAAAAGCUAAUGAAUUAAAAAUCAAUAAUAUACAUAUAUUAAUCUAAAUAAGUAAUACAUAUGGGAUGAAAAACUUAAUAUAAAUAAUAUAAAUAUAUAUAUACGAGUUGAAAUAAAUUAAGUGUAUAAUAAAAUAAUGUUUAAAAAUAGGCAUGCAAAAUAAUUAAAAUAGAUGAUAAAACUAAGUAAACAGUAUAUGUAAACAUGUUUUAAAUAGUGAAUAUGAAUCAAUUUAAAGCAAGUAGUAUGGGUUAAUUUUAAAAUAAGAAAUAUGUAGAAUAACUUAAAAUAAAAUAAUAUAUAAAGCAACUUAAAAUAAUAAUCUAUAAAGCAAGUUAAAAUAAUCAUAUACAAAUUUAAUAUAAUAUAUACAUAUAUACAUACUGGAAAUUUUAAAUAAAAUAAACCAAAAAUAAACUAAUUUUAAAAUAACAUAUAAAAUAAAUGACUUAAACUAAAUAAUAUAUAUAAUAUGUGCAAAAUAGUAUUUAAUAUUUAGAAUUCAAUAAAAUUACAGGAUGACAAAUAGCUAAAUAAAUUAAUAAAUAAAGCUUAAACAAUUUGAUUGGGUAAAUAGGGAUUAAACAGAAUUUAAAACAAAAUCAGAAAGAAAAAACGCAAAUAGAAUAAAGUUGAGGGGCCAAAUGAAGCAUGCGCAUUACGUAGGGGACUAAACGGGAAAUAUUCCCUAUCCAUCAAAACGCAUUACAACAGUCUGGGCCAAAAUGAAACGACAUCAAAAAUACGGAGCAAAUUUAGAAAAUAAGGGAAAACCAGAUUAAAAUAUGAAACAAAUCAGGAGGGUUAAUGGCACAAAUAUUCCCUUCGAGACCGAAGCGCGCGGAUCUAGCCGUGCUCGGGUCGGGUCAUCGAGUCAGUGCUAAUACGUCACCAUUUUAGAGCCAUUGAAACAGGCCCUAAAUGGUGCCUUUUCUUAUACCCCGUACAGACUAAAUCGAAACCCUAAAAUCCCCAAUAUUUAACCCCCUCUUUUAAACCAUUAGAGAAAAAAGAAAAGAAAAAAAAACUAAAUCCUUUCGCCCUACUCCGCCGCCUUCAAACCCAAAACCUCAUCUGACUUCGACUUGGAUGGAGCAAACGAGGUUUCAGCAACGCCUAUACGAAGGUAAGUACCUCCCUUUUUUAUCCUUUACUGAGUUCAUGGAAACAAAUCAAAAGAAAGAAAGAAAAAUAAUAAAGAAGAGAAAAAGGAAAAUCAGAAUCAGAAAUCACCUCCAAAGUAUGCUAUAUUUGUUGUUUUCUUGAGAUUUUUUUGUAUCUUUGUAUUGAUAUUGUGUGUAACCUUUACAGAUUCCGUUUAAUGGCUUUUAUAUAGCCAGAAAAAAUGAAAAAUACAAAAGAAAUCCCUAUUUUUGUGUUUAUCAUCUGGCUUUUUGUUAUUGGCUUCUUCUUUGCUGUCGUUUGUUUGUCCUUCUUGCAGGUUCGGUGUACGGAGGGUGGGCGAGGCACGUACGGAGGCGCGCGUGAGGUGCGGCUCGAUUGCGGUGGUUGAGGCUAUUUCAGAAACUACUAGGGUUUUUUGAUUCUUUCUUUGUCUUGGGCCGGGGUUGGGUUGGUGGUUGUAUUAGGCUAGGUAUUUGGGCUAGGGUAAAUUUAAAUUUGGGUCUGUGAAACUUUAGGCUAAUUGGGCCUUCUAAUUUUGGGCCAAUGUAGUAAAAUUUUGUAUUUGGACCUUAGACUGGUUUUUUUAUUGUUUGGUCUUAUCUGUUCUAUUUGGUUCGGGCCGGGAAAAUUAGGCCAUUACAGUAAUAAUUUUAGACCUCAAAAAUAAUCCUUAUAGUAAUAACUAUAGUGCAGGAUGGAGGAACCACCCAAAUUUCUCAUGGGGGUGGUCGAGGAAACCAAAGACCACAACCCCCUUCAGGCUUUCAACAACCUUACCAGCAAGAGAAGAAAUCGAACCUUAAAGAGAUGUUGGAAAAUUUUAUUUCGGUGUCAGAGACCCAUCUUCAAAACACCGAGACAACUUUAAAAAAUUAGCAAGUGUAAAUUCAUGGGCUCGAAAAUCAACUUGGAUAGCUUGCUAAAUUGGUUUCAAAAAGGCAGCAAGGUAGUUUACCUAGUAACACCGAACCCAACCCAAAAGUGCAUGUGAAAGAAGUUACACUAAGGAAUGGGAAAGUGUUGGUUGAACCUAAAAAAAUGCUGCAACAUGAAUCUGAUAAGGAAAAUGGCGAUGGGGUAAAUCCCAAAGUGAUUGAAACACCGGUGCUUAAAAAAUAUAAACCACCAAUCCCAUAUCCAGUAAGGUUAAAGAAAGACCGCAUGGAUGCACAAUUUGGUAAAUUUCUUAAACUUUUCAAACAAUUGCAUAUUAACUUACCUUUUGUUGAAGCUAUUUUGCAGAUGCCCACAUAUGCAAAAGUUUUGAAGGAGCUAUUAACAAAUAAAAGGAAGUUUGAAGAGCUAUCCACUGUGGAACUCAACGAGGAAUGUUUAGCUAUUCUUCAAAAUAAACUACCAACUAAGCUGAAAUAUCCAGGAAGUUUUACUAUUCCCUAUUUUAUUGGUAGUUUAAACAUUGAGAAAAAAAUUAGCUGAUUUGGGUGCUAGCAUUAAUUUGAUACCUUAUAAAAUGUUCAAGCAGCUUGGUCUUGGAGAACCAAAACCCACUAGGAUAAGUAUUUAAUUAGCUGAUAGAUCAGUUAAAUAUCCUAGAGGUAUUAUUGAAGAUGUCCUUGUAAAAGUAGUUAAAUUCACAUUCCCUGUUGAUUUUUUUAUGCUUGAAAUUGAUGAGGAUGUUGAGGUGCCUUUAAUUUUAGGCCGCCCUUUUUUAGCCACUGCUAGGGCUAUCAUUGAUGUAGGUGAUGGUAAACUUGUGCUUAGGGUAGGUGACGAAGAGAUUAUUUUUAAAAUCUAUGAUGCCAUGCGAUUCUCUAGAGAACAAAAUGAUUCUUAUUAUUUUAUUUACUUUAUUGACCAUGUUAUUCAAGAUUCAUUACAGGAAAUUGUUCAUAAGGACAUGUUGGAACUGUGUCUUGUCCAAUGAGAGGAGGUAGAUGACAACAUUGUUGUGAUAAGUGAGACAAAAAUUGAUUUAGAUUCUAAUAAGUCUUCACUGAGACAGAAGAAUUAUGAGGGCAUUGAGGUAAAUGAUGAAUUAAAAUUAAAACCCCCUAUUGAAGAACCUCAAAAUUGGAACUGAAGCAAUUACCAAAUCACCUAGAGUAUGCGUUUCUUGGAAACAAUUCUACAUUACCAGUGAUUAUUGCUUCAGAUUUGCAGCCAAAUGAGAAAGAUGAGUUAUUGCAAGUAUUAAAGGAGCAUAAAAGAGCUAUAGCUUAGAAGAUUUCUAACAUUAGAGGGAUCAUUCCUUCUUUUUGCACCCAUAAAAUUUUAAUGGAGGAUGAAUACAAACCAUGUGUGCAAGCUCAAAAACGGCUAAAUCCUAACAUGAAGGAAGUCGUUAAGGCUGAAGUAAUUAAACUUCUAGAUACUGGAUUUAUUUAUCCUAUUUCUGAUAGUACUUGGGUAGGUCUUGUGUAGGUUGUUCCUAAGAAAGGAGGCAUGAUUGUUGUAGCCAACGAGAAGAAUGAGUUGAUUCCAACGAGAACAGUCACGAGACAGAGAGUUUGUAUUGACUAUAGGAUGUUUAUCGAUGCCACAAGAAAAUAUCUUUUCCUCUGCCAUUCAUAGAUCAAAUGUUGGAAAGAUUAUCUGGGCAUAUGUAUUAUUGCUUCCUAGAUGAACUCUCUAGCUACUUUCAAAUCCCGAUAGCUCCUGAGGACCAAGAAAAAAUGACAUUUACAUGUCCAUAUGGUACGUUUACUUAUCGAAGAAUGCCUUUUGGAUUAUGUAAUGCUCCUGUUACUUUUCAGCGAUGUAUGUUGGCCAUCUUUGAUGAACUUGUAGAAGACAUUAUGGAGGUAUUUAUGGACGACUUCUCGGUAUUUGGUAAUUCUUUCCAUCUUUGUCUUCAAAAAUUAAAAUGAGUUCUAAUGAGAUGUGAGGAAACAAACCUUGUGUUAAAUUGGGAAAAUGUCACUUUAUGGUUCGAGAAGGGAUUGUGUUGGACCAUAAAAUUUCUAGUAAAGAGAUUGAGGUUGAUAGAGCAAAAAUUGAAACCAGUGAAAAAUUAACUCCCCCUAGUUCAGUUAAGGCUAUUCGAAGCUUUUUAGGACAUGCUAGGUUCUAUAGAAGGUUUAUUAAAUAUUUUUCUAAAAUAUCUAAGCCUUUAAAAAAUUUGCUAGAAAAAGAUGUAGCCUUCGAUUUUAGUUAGGAAUGCUUAGAAGCAUUUAAUACAUUUAAAGAAAAAUUAAUUAAUGUUCCGAUUGUGGUUGCACCUGAUUGGAAUUUACCUUUUGAGCUUAUGUAUGAUACGAGUGAUUUUACAGUAGGUGCAGUUCUUGGAUAGUGAAGAGACAAGCAUUUUCAACCAAUUUAUUAUGCCAGCAAGACGUUGACAGAUGCACAGGAAAAUUACACUACUACCGUAACAUCCCUAACCCGUAUCUGACACCAGAACAGGGUUACAGAGCAUUAUCGGACUUAUAGAUCAAACAAUCAUACAUUUCAUGUUCAUUUUUCAUUCGAAUCAAAAACCAUUCAAAUUCAUUCAUAUAGUUCCUAAUACGAGCCCUCGAGGCCCAAAAUAGACAUUAAAAAUGGUUCAGGACUAAAUCGAGUACUAAAGAAAUUUUUAGAAAAACUUUGAAAUUUUUCAAUAUGCAGGGGACACACGCUCGUAUGGUCAGGCCGUGUGGGCAUUCGAAAUGGGGACACACGGCCGUGCCCUAGCCUGUGUCCACACCGGUGUAACUCACUGACCUGGGUCACACGGCCAGACCACACGCCCGUGUACCCUUCAAAAUGGCCUCACAUGCUCGUGUGCUAGGUCGUGUGCUAGGCCGUGUGAAGCUACUAGCUUGCUUUCUAUAUAAGUAUUAGGGGACACAAGACACACGGCUAAGACACAGGCCCAUGUCACCUGGCCGUGUGUCACACACGACUAAGACACACGGCUGUGUCUCUGCCCAUGUGGACAAAAAUAGGUCAUUUUCCAAGCCAUAUUUUUCACCCAAAUUGGUACCAACCUAAGCUCAACAAUGUACAUACAAUCAUGGAAUAAAUAUGCAUUCAAAACCAACCAAUGAAGUUUAUAACAUGUUAUAAUAUCACACACAAUCAUGAUACUCAUAGGUACCUCAAUAGACCAUUUAGCAUUUAUAACAUGCCAAAAUUUGUCUCCAACCUUUACCAAAAUGGUCAAACAUAUAUAUGAGACAUUGUACCUAAAACUUAAUAUGCAUGCCACUUCUCAAUUUCAACCAUUUGGUACUCAAAAUACCAAUUCACAACUAAGGCAUUCACAUAGCAAACAUACAUCAAUAUGACAAGGCCAUUUACUCAUCUAUACAUAACAAAAUAUACCAAAACAACUCAAAUCAAAUGGCUAAAUACAUGAACAAAACAUAUAGGCUACAUUAGCCAAAUAACCUAUACAUGCCAUUUAACCAAAAUAUAAAGUCUAAAGUACCAAAAUAAGUGUUUCAUAGUGUGCUGUAAUCUCCGACAACUUCCGAACCGAACGAGCUUCCGAAGCAUUAUAAAAUACGAAAAAUAAAACAGAGUAAGAAACUAAACUUAGUAAGUUCGUAUAACUAAAAAUACAACUUACCAAUCAACCACAAUUUAGGUAAACAAUAUUAAGGCAUAAUAUAACUCAAUUUGGCCCAAAAGCCUAACACAUAAUCAUUAACCAUGUUAGCCAUGAAUCCAUAUGUCAAUAUAUACCACUUCUUGUAUUUCACAUAAAUACUUGUACUGGUUCGUAUUGAAAUCAUAUAAUCCUCGUAACAACAUUGUUCCCGUUGAACCAUUUGGAAUACUAUCGGAUAUGCGGGUAUGUAGCACACUAGGUGCCAAAACGUGGUCAAAACCACCACUAUCUUAUAUCUCGUAUCAAUGCUCUCUCUCAAGCCAUAACUGGGUCUACUCAAACAGGCUGUAAAGUAACCACAACACAUGUCGAAAACUUAGCCACCGGUAAGACGUACGAGACCAACACCUAAAACACGGUAACCCCUAAUAACAUGUCAUUUGUAUCCUAUCUAUUCUUAAGGUUCAAUCGGGAUCCUUACGUCGUUGAAACUUUGUCGAAUAUUUCUGUAGAUUCGUAUCAUCACAAUUAUAAUAAUAAAGCAUUUAAAACACAUAAAAUUUAAUGCUUAUUAACAUACAAACUUACCUUGAAUUAAUACGAAAAAAAUCGACCAAUCAAUCCACUACUUUAUCUUUCCCCAGAUCGAAUUCCGAAUGGUACUUUUCUUGAUCUAUACAAUCAAAUUUAACUAAUUCACUCUUUAUUCUAUCCAACUCAAUCCAAAAUUCAUGUUAUGGCAAAAUUACCAUUUUACCCCUAUACGUUUAACUUACUUACAAUUUAGUUCCUAGGCUCCUAAAAUGAAAUUCUUGAAAUUUCAUCCAUACCUAAGCCUAGCCAAAUUUGAUACAUGCUCAUAGCAGCCCAUACAUUUAACAAUUUAACACAUUUAUCAAACAAUUUGCACAUUUCUCAAUUUAACCCCUAAUUGGCAAUUUCAUAAAAAAUCACUUAACAAAAGUUGUUUAAUUAACAACAAAGAUUCAUUUUCUUCCAUUAAAAUUAGAAAACAACUAAAAAGAUCUCAUGGUAAAACCCUAAGCUUUCAACCAUUUUGCAAAUUAGUCCCCAAGUUAGCUAGGUUAAGUUACAACAAUCCCGAAAACAAAAAAAUAAUUAAAAACGAGCUUAAAAAUCACUUACAUGCAAGAGAUUUCUUAACCAAAAGUUUCAAGCUCUGAAAGCCUUCCUUUUUGCUGAAAAUUUCAGUUGGGGAAGAUGAAUAAAGAUGACCAUUUUGUUUAUAUUAAAUUUUAACCUUUAAUUACCAAUUUAUCAAAUUACCCUUAUCAAACUUUAAAAUUUUCAUAAUUGCCAAGCCAUGCACAUCCACUAUCACCUUUAAUGGUCUAAUUAUCAUAUAAGGAUCUCUAAUUUAAAGUUCUAUAGCUAUUUAAUACCUUUAGCUAAUAGAACGCAACUUUCGCACUUUACGUGAUUUAGUUCUUUUCAUCAAAUUGAGCAUGCAAACGGUAAAAUUUCUUAACGAAAUUUUUAUACUAUAAUACUAUCAUGAUGUAGAUAUUAAAAUAAUAUUAAAAUAAUUUUUUUUGAAUUUAGAUCUGUGGUCCCAAAACUACUGUUCCGAUUUCACAGAAAAUGAGCUGUUACAACUCUCCCCCUUAGGAAUUUUUGUCCCCGAAAGUCUUACCAGAAAAUAGGUUAGGGUAUUGUUUUCUCAUGGUUCCUCGGGUUCCCAAGGAGCCUCCUCAAUCUCGUGACGUUUCCAAAGAACUUUUACUAAGGCUAUGUUUUUGUUUCUUAACUCUUUGAUCUCUCGUGCCAUAAUUUUGAUCGGUUCUUCGUUAUACAACAUGUCAGGCUGAAUCUCAACCUCUGUCGGAGAAAUUAUAUGCGAAGGGUCUGACCGGUACCGUCGUAACAAAGAUACAUGAAACGCAUUGUGAAUCUUUUCUAACUCUGACUAUAAUUUAAGUCGAUAUGCCACUGGCCCUAUUCUCUCGAUAAUCUCGUAUAGUCCGAUAAAUCGCGGAAUCAACCUUCCUUUGUGACCAAGACGGAGAAUUCUUUUCCAGGGCAAUACUUUCAAAAACACUUUAUCUUCGAUAUGAAAUUCAAUAUCUUUACAUUUCAAAUCCGCAUACGAUUUCUGUCGAUCUGAAGCUACUUUCAAACUGUCACGAAUCACCUUCACUUUCUCUUCGGUCUCUCUAAUCAAAUCAACCCUGUGUACCUUUUUCUCACUAAGCUCGGUCCAGUAUAAUGGAGUUCAGCAUUUACAACCAUAUAAAGCUUCAUAUGGUGCCAUCUUUAUGCUCGAUUGAAAACUAUUAUUAUACGUAAAUUCAACCAACGGUAAUUAUUUUUCCCAACUACCUUUGAACUCUAAAACACAACAACGAAGCCAAGAAUCUAAAUCACUCUCUCAAACUGACCAUCGAUUUGAGGGUGAAAGGUAGUGCUAAAAUACAACCAGGUACCCAAAGCCUCUUGUAACUUCUUCCAAAAUCGGGAUGUAAACCGCGGAUCUCUAUUCAAAAAAAUAGAGACCGGCACUCUGUGCAAUCUGACAAUCUCAGAAAUAUACAACUCAGGUAAUUUGACAAGAGAGAAGUCUGUACGUACUAGAAUAAAAUGUGUCAACUUCGUCAAAUGAUCAACCACAACCCAGAUAGCAUCUUUCUUUUUCGGAGAUAAGGGUAAUCUCGAUGUGAAAUCCAUCGUAACUCUAUCCUAUUUCUAUUCUGGUACAUCACUGGUUGUAACAGUCCUGAAGGCACCUGAUGUUCGGGUUUGACCUAUUGACAAAUCAAACAUCUGGACACAAAGUCAGAAAUGUCGUGUUUUAUACUCGGCCACCAGUACAUAUGUCUCAAAUCACUGUACAUCUUAUUACUCCUCGGAUGAAUAAACAAGCUACCACUGUAAGCUUUGUGCAAAUUUUUUUGUAUAAGCUCUGGAUUCUUUGGUACACAAACUCUACCUCCGAAUAACAAACAAUCAUCGAGUUCGACCUGAAACUCUGAAUCAGAAGUCGACUCACACUGUACUCGCUUAGCUUGCAAAUUAUUAUCACAUUUCUGAGCUUCGUAGAUUUGCUCUAGAAACAUCGGUUUAGCUUUUAACUCAGCUAAUAUUGAGGUAUCAUCAGACAAAGUCAAUCACAUAUUCAAACUUUACAUCUUUCUACAAUAACCGAGCCAUCAGUGUAGCUAUCAUGGAGAGCCCUUUUACAAAUCUCUGAUAAUAGUGCGCUAAUGCUAAAAAACUUCUAACCUCAGAUAUGUUUCUUGGUGGUCUCCCAUUAAUAACUGAUGAAAUCUUACUUGGAUCAACUCUGACGCCAUCUGCCAAAACAAUGUGUCCCAAAAAUCCAACUUCUUAGAGCCAAAACUCGUAUUUGAUGAAUUUCGCAAACAGUUGUUUAUCUCUUAGAUUUUGUAACACAAUUCUCAAAUGCUCGGCAUGUUCAAACUCGUUUCGGGAAUAAAUCAAGAUAUCAUUAAUGAACACAAAAAAAAAUCUGUCCAGAUACGAUCUAAAGAUUUGAUUCAUCAAAUCCAUGAAUACUGUAGGAGCGUUAGAUAACCCAAAUGGCAUAAUAAGAAAUUCAUAAUGCUUGUACCCGGUUCUGAACGUAGUUUUCGGCAAAUCUGAAUCUUUAACCCGCAGCUAAUAAUAUCUGGAAGGUAAGUCAAUCUUUGAGAAUAUCGAUGCACCCUUUAGUUGAUCAAAUAAAUCAUCAAUUAUCGACAAUGGAUACUUAUUCUUAAUCGCAACCUUGUUAAGCUAUCAAUAAUCGAUACACAAUCUCAUAGAUCCAUAUUUCUUCUUUACAAGCAAAACUGGUGUACCACAGGGCGAGAAACUCGAUCGUGCAAAACCUCUAUUUGUCAACUCUUGCAACUGCGAUUUCAAAUCUUUCAACUCUGUAGGAGCCAUUCUGUAUGGAGCUAUCGAUAUCGGUGAUGUUCCCGGUACUAACUCAAUAGCAAACUCGACCUGUCUGAUCGGUGGCAACCCGGGUAACUUUUCUAAAAACACAUUUGGAUAUUCACAAGCUACUGGCACUGAUUCAAUCUUCGAUUUAGACACUUUAGUAUCUAGUACAUAUGCAAGGUGAGCAUCACAACCUUUUCUCACAUACUUUUGCACUAACAUAGCAGUUAUCACAAUAGGCAACCCACUCGUAUCAUCGGAUUCAAUACGAAGAGUCUCACCGUUCUGACAUUUUAAUACAAUAAGCUUUCGUCUACAAUUUACAACAUCAUCAUGCAAAGUCAACCAAUCCAUGCCCAAAGUCACAUCGAAUUCACCAAACGGUAAAAGCAUAAAAUCGGCUGGAAAACUGUAACCCCGAGUCUUCAAAGGACAAUUCUUACAAACUUUAUUAAUUAGGACAUAUUGACCUAAAGGGUUCAAUACCUUAACCACGAAUUUAGUAAACUCAAUAGGUAAACUCUUACUAGACACUAAAUUCGUACAUACAUAAGAAUGGGUUGAUCUAGGAUCAAUCAAAGCAGUUACAUCAGUGUUAUAGAGAGAAAAAGUACCGAUGAUAAUAUUUGGCGCCGAUGCAUCUUUACGAGCGCGAAUAGCGUAAGCUCUGGAUGGCGCCCGUGCCUUGGAUCUCACAGCAGAAUCCUUCGUUGAACCUCGGCUACCACUCAUAUCUCCAGUAUUUUGGGGUGGUCUCCCUCUUGCAGCUGUAUUGCUUGGUCGAGUAGUCUAAAGUUUAUCUUUUUCGAGUAAUUCAAGACAGUCCCGAAUAAAAUGUUCCUGCGAGCCACAUUUGAAACAAGCUCUGUCAUUCAUCUGAAAUUCACCAAAAUGUCAUCUUCAACACUGUUGACACUCAGGUCAGUUGGCCUUAACACUACCAACGUUCGUUACUGAAGUGGCUUGAGCUUUUGGACUUGCGUAUUCUUUUUGUGAUCUCUAUUAGAAUACCCCACUGAAGCUGUUGAAUGAUUAUGGAAAUCCUUUAAUUUAUUUGAUGAUGAAUGAUAUGAUUUACCCGUUGACCUCUUUCUCAAAUCUCUAGCCUCAGAAUAGGCUCUUCUCUUUUCCUUUCUAAGCUCCUCAGCUUUGUGAGCUCUAUCAACUAAAAUCACAAAUUAUUUCAGUUCAAGUUUCCGACUAAAAGAUUAAUAUCUCCAUUCAACCUGUCUUCAAAAGGUUUAAACAUAACCACUUCGGUUGGAAUGCACUCUCAGGCAUACUUUUUUAGUCUCAUAAACUCUCUUUCACGCUCGGCUAUGGUUAUACGACCCUGUUUUAGCUCUAAAAAAUUCAUUGCGCUUUUGAUCAAGAAACUGUUGGCUUAUAUAUUUCUUUUUCAACUCUGUCUAAAAACAUUCCCAUGUGACUCGUUCUCUCAGUACAAUAGAAAUUAACGUGCUCUACCACUGGUAUGCGACAUCUUUCAAAAGAGACAACACAUUUGGCACAUUCUAUUGGCAUACAAGACAAUCAUCAAAAACUCUGAUUGUAUUCUCUAGUCAAAACACGACCCUCUCCAGAUUGUCCUCAAUAGUAGCUCAAAACUCUUUGGCCCCAUAUUUUUGAAUUUUAUCUACUGGUAGUUUGCUCAUGCAUACAGGUUCCAACACUUGAGGAGCUACGAGAACCAGUUGGGGAAAAGGUGAGGGUGGAGAUUGCUGAGCAGUCGGAUUAGUUUGGACAAACUCAGUGAACCACUCGUUCAUCAUUUGGAACAAGGAUUCCUUAGCCUCUCAUCCACGACCCUCAGAUACAGUCUCGAUCCAGACGACGCUGCUCCGCGAAUGGAGGCCAGUGCAUAACUUUCUACAUCACCAGAGUCUGCUCGAUUGGAAUCCAUUACUAUAUAAAAACAUGAUUGUGUAGGGGACACACGCCCGUGUAGCCAGGCCAUAUGUCUCACACGGCUAAGAGACACGCCUAUGUCUCAGGCCGUGUGGGCAUUCAAAAUGGGGACACACAGCCAUGUCCCAGCUCGUGUCCGCACCUGUAUAACUCACUGACUUGGGUCACACAACUAGACUACACACCCGUGUGCCACGCCGUGUACCCUUUGAAAUGGCCUUACACACCCGUGUGUCAGGCCGUGUGCUAGGCCGUCUGAAAACUAGAGGGUAUACUAACCUGUGCCACACGCCCGUGUGCUAGGCCGUGUGAACCUACUAGCUUUCUUUCUAUAUAACUAUCAGGGGACACAUGGCCGUGUCACCUAGCCGUGUGUCACACACAGCUAAGACACACGUCUGUGUCUCUGCCCUUGUGGACAAAAAUAGGCAAUUUUCCAUGCCAUAUUUCUCACCCAAAUUGGUACCAACCUAAGCUCAACAAUGUACAUACAAUCAUUGAAUAAAUAGGCAUUCAAAACUAACCAAUAUGAAUUUUAUAACAUGUUAUAAUAUCACACACAAUCAUGAUACUCAUAGGUACCUUAAUAGACCAUUUAUAACAUGCCAAAAUUUGUCUCCAACCUUUACCUAAAUGGUCAAACAUAUAUAUGAGACAUUGUACCUAAAACUUAAUAUGCAUGCCACUUCUCAAUUUCAACCAUUUGGUACUCAAAAUACCAAUUCACAACUAAGGCAUUCACAUAGCAAACAAACAUCAAUAUGACAAGGCCAUUUACUCAUCUAUACAUAACAAAAUAUACCAAAACAUGUAAAAUCAAAUGGCUAAGUACAUGACCAAAACAUAUAGGCUACAUUAGCCAAAUAACCUAUACAUGCCAUUUAACCAAAAUAUAAAGCCCAAAGUACCAAAAUAAGUGUUUGAUAGUGUGAUGCAAUAUUCGACAACUUCCAAACCAAAUGAGCUUCUGAGGCACUAUAAAACACGAUAAAUAAAACAGAGUAAGCAAUUAAGCUUAGUAAGUUCGUAUAACUAAAAAUACAACUUACCGAUCAACCACAAUUUAGGUAAAUAACAUUAAAGCAUAAUACAACUCAAUUUGGCCCAAAAGCCUAACACAUAAUCAUUAACCAUGUUAGCCAUGAAUCAAUAUGUCAAUAUAUACCACUUCCCUUAUUUCUCAUAAAUAACUGUACUAGUUCGUAUUGAACUCGUAUAAUCCUCAUAACAACACUGUGCCCAUUGAACCAUUUGGAAUACUAUCGAAUACGGGGGUAUCUCGCACACUAAGUGCCAAUACGUGGUUAAAACCACCACUAUCUCAUAUCUAGUACCAAUGCUCUUUCUCGAGCCAUAACUAGGUCUGCUCACACAAGCUGUCAAUCAAGACGUAGCUACAUGGUGCUACUCACACAAGCUGUAAAGUAACUGCAACACAAGCCCAAAACUCAGCCACCGGUAGGACGUAUGAGACCAGCACCCAAAACACGGUAACCCCAAAUAACAUGUCAUUUGUAUCCUAUCUAUUCCUAAGGUUCAACCGGGAUCCUUACGUCGUCGAAAUUUCAUCAAAUAUUUUCAUGGAUUCAUAUCAUCCCAAUUAUAAUAAUAAAUCAUUUAAAACACAUAUAAUUUAACGCUUAUUAACAUACGAACUUACCUCGAAUUAAUAUGGAGAAAAUUGACUAAUCAAUCCACUACUUUAUCUUUCCCCUGAUCUAAUUCCGAACGUUGCUUUUCUUGAUAUAUAUAAUCAAAUUUAACUAAUUUAAUAUUUAUUCUAUACAAUUCAAUCCAAAAUUCAUGUUAUGAAAAAAUUACCAUUUUGCCCCUAUAUUUUUAACUUAUUUACAAUUUAGUCCCUAGGCUCGUAAAACGAAAUUCAUGCAAUUUCAUCCAUACCUAAGCCUAGCCAAAUUUGAUACAUGCUCAUAACAGCCUAUAUAUUUUACAGUUUCACACAUUUAGCAAAUAAUUUUCACAUUUCUCAAUUUAACCCCUAAUUGGCAAUUUCAUAAAAAAUCACUUAACAAAAGUUGUUUAAUUAACAACAAAGAUUCAUUUUCUUCCAUUAAACUUCAAAAACAACUAAAAUGCUCUCAUGGUAAAACCCUAUACUUUCAACCAUUUUGCAAAUUAGUCCCCAAGUUAGCUAGGUUAAGUUACAGCAAUCCUGAAAACAUAAAAAUCAUUAAAAACGAGCUUAAAAAAUCACUUACAUGUAAGAGAUUUCUUAACCAAAAGUUUCAAGCUCCCAAAACCUUCCUUUUUGCUAUAAGUUUCAGGUGGGGAAGAUGAAUAAUGAUGACCAUUUUGUUUUUAUUAAAUUUUAACCUUUAAUUACCUAUUUACCAAAUUACCCUUACCUAACUUUAAAAAUUUCAUAAUUGUUAAGCCAUGCACAUCCACUAUCACCUUUAAUGGUCUAAUUACCAUAUAAGGACCUCCACCAUAAAGUUAUAUAGCCAUUUAACACCUUUUGAGCAUGCAAACAGUAAAAUUUAUUAACGAAAUUUUUAUACUAUAAUACUAUCAUGCUAUAGAUAUUAAAAUAAUAUUAAAAUAAUUUUUUUGACUUUGGAUCUAUAGUCCCGAAACCACUGUUCCGAUUUCACAGAAAAUGGGCUAUUACAACUACAAAAAAUGAAUUGCUUGCUGUGGUUUUUGCAUUCGAUAAAUUUAGACCAUAUUUGAUAUUAUCUAAAGUUGUUGUUUACAUUGACCAUUCAGCUCUUCGUUAUCUCCUUACUAAAUCAGAUGAAAAACCUUGACUUAUAAGAUGGAUUUUAUUAUUGCAGGAGUUCAAUUUGGAAAUCCAGGAUAAGAAGUGAGCUGAAAAUCUUGCAACAAAUCACCUUUCCAAACUAGAUAAUUCACAUCUCAAGAAGCUUAAUGAGAAUGAGAUAAACGACUCAUUCCCAGAGGAAAAAGUAUUGGUUAUAACCGAUUCUGAAGCCCAUUGAUUUGCGGAUAUCGCAAAUUACUUAGCUGCUAACAUCCUACCAAAAGGGUUGACAGAUCAUGAAAAGAAGCGAUUCUUUGCUGAUGUGAAAAUUUAUUUUUAAGAGGAUCCUUUUCUUUUUUGUGUAUGUGCAAAUCAAGUAAUUCAGAGGUAUGUUACAAAAUUAGAAGCGAGUAAAAUCUUGGAACACUGCAACUCAAGACCAACAGGAGGGCAUUACAGUGGGACUACGACAGCACAUAAAACAUUUGAAUUAGGUUUUUAUUGGCCCGACUGUUCUAGGACACUAACAAGUAUGUUCUUGUGAUAGAUGCCAGAGAACAGGUAAUAUUUCUAAACGUGAUGAAAUGCCUCAAACUUAUAUGCUCUCAUGUGAAAUUUUUUACAUCUGGGGCAUUACUUUUAUGGGCCCAUUACCUAGCUCGUUUGGUAAUAAAUACAUCCUAGUAGCAGUCGGUUAUAUGUCAAAAUGGGUAGAAGCACAAGCUUUACCUAGCAACGAUGCUAGAGUGGUAGUUCGAUUUCUUAAGAAGCUCUUUUCUCGAUUUGGAACACCUAGAACAAUUAUUAGUGAUAGGGUAUGCAUUUUUGUAACACUCAAUUUAAUAAAGUUCUUAAGAACUAUGGGGUGCAUCAUAGAAUAGCUACCCCUUAUCACCCUUAAACUAGUGGACAAGUUGAACUUGUGAAUCGAGAACUUAAACGUAUCCUAGAAAAAAUUGUAGACUCAAGUAGAAAGGAUUGGGUGAUAAAAGUAGAUGACGCUUUAUGGGCUUAUAGAACUGCUUAUAAAACACCCAUAGGAUCAUCUCCUUACAAACUUGUAUAUGGAAAACAUUUACCAUUUGAACUAGAGUACAAAGCAUUCCGGGCAAUAAAAUUCGUAAACUAUGAUCUUAAACUUACAAGUGAGAAGAGAUUGAUGCAGCAGAACGAGUUAGAUGAGUAGCGAGCAAAUGCUUACGAAAACUCACGACUAUAUAAAGAAGCGACAAAGCGACGCCACGAUGCCCGUUUGAAGUAGCCCAAACAAUUCACAGUUGAAGAUCUUAUCCUUUUAUACAAUUCAAAGCUCAAGUUGUUUCCCAAAAAGCUUAAAUCAAGAUGUUCAGGCCCAUUCGUAGUACAAACUAUUUUCUCAUACAGUAUGAUAUAGGUAACCCAUCUAGCAUAUGGCACAUUAAAGGUAAAUGAUCAUCGACUCAAACUUUAUAGUGGUGACAAAUUUAGAAAUGAUAUAGAGGAGCUUCGGCUCCACGAACCUUUGUAAUAAUACGCACAAGGUAAGUUAAGCUUAGACUUUAAAUAAGCGCUUCUCGAGAGGCAACUCGAGUGUUAACAUUGCUAAUUUUCUUAUUUUUAUUUCAUGGUAAUUUUAAAAUUAAUUAAAUAUAAAAGAAAGUGUUUUUUUGACCCAUACGGCCUGGGACACGCCCGCAUGUGUCCCAAGCCAUCUGCACUAAAAAGGGUUUGACAGUGAGUUACAUGGCCUAGCGACAUGGGCCUGGGCACACGGGUGUGUCCUUGGCUGUGUAGAUCUUAAGACUUACUUUUAAAAUUUUAAGAAAAUCAAUAGUGAGUUACACGGCCUUGUGACCUAUACGGCCUGGACACACGGAUGUGUCCUUGGCCGUAUGAAUCUUGGGACUUAAAUUUCAAAAAAAUUGACAGAGACAUGGCCUGAAAUAGUCUACACGACCGUGCAACAAAGCCGUGUGAAACUCGAAACUAAUUUUUUCAAUUUUUAAACAAGUCAGAGCGUUACACGGGCAAGGCACACGAUUGUGUGCAAGACACGACCUAGCUACACAGGCGUGCGGAAGUGCACAUCGACAUGGAAGAAGCGAAAGAGGUCGCACACGACCAGGCAACACAGUCGUGUGAAGACUAGGCUUAUAUUUUUAAAACGUACACGGACGGGCCUAAACACGACCGUGUCACCCUUUUUAAAGUAAACCCGAAUUUAUUUUUUUAAGUUUGUCUUCUUCCUCCCCUUUUCAACCAUUGCCACCGCUCUCCAAACACUAAAACCCUAACCGCUGCUUAUCAUUUUGGCCACCGUCCCUAUUUGUUCCACGUUCUCCCUCGGCCUUCUCCUUCUCUCACCGAACCCAACCCCCUUACUUCUUUCUUUUUCCCUUUCCAAGCCCCCAUCGUCGCACCCACCAUUUUCCCCUUCCCCUUCUCCUCCCUCACCUUUCCCUCACCCAUCUCGUCCGCCCUCUUGCUCCCCAAAUCUCUACCUCGUCACUCUGCUCACCACCACCACCCACGACCCUCUCCCCUCUCAUUUCCCUUUCUUCCCUUUCCCUUACUUUCCCCUUCUCUUUCCCCCGAACGCACCACUCCUCACCCUUUCUCCCAUUAUUUCUCUCAUCACCUUACCCUUUCUAGGCUCAACCACACACACCACUCAACCCCAUCGCACAGACCACACCUUCUUAUAUUCAGCCCUUCUCCAUUGCGUCGACCACCAGCCGCCGCGCGACCCUUCUCCAUUGCUCUAUUAUUAUUUAUUUCUUUAUUAAUAUUAUUUUAUUUUAUUAUUUUUACUUCUUUUACUUGUUUCUUUAUUUAUUAUUAAUUAUUUAGUUUCUUUAAUGUUGAUUUUGUUUAUUCUUAAUGUAGUUCUAGACAUGUUUACUAUUUUCUUUUACUUUACUUUAUUUUAUUCCUUUCAUUCAACGGUAUUAUACAUUUAUUUUGUUUUAAUUGAUUUUAUUUUUGAUUUUAUUCUUGCUAGUCUUGAUUAUUCAUUUUAUUAUUGAUCAUUAUUAGUUUUAUUUAUUCUUACUAGGUUUUUGUUUGGUAGUAGCAUUUUGUUUAUUAGUUUUAUUAUGUUCCAAGUCAAUUUCUCUUUUAGUCUGAUUGUUGAGCUUCACUUAGAUCUUUUAUUUCUUAUUAGCGUGCCUCAAUUAUGUUUGUUCGUCCAUUUAAUUUAUUUUGAUUGAUUUAUUGUAAAUUCAUUAUGACGAACACACGAACCAAGUUCAAGGUCGUUGUCCCCACAUUAAAAAAGUGGAGGACCCCUAGCGCGACUUCCUCCUCGAUCGCCCCUACUAAAGCCUGUCACCCUUAUCUCCUAUUUUCAACGAGUCCCUAGGAGGACUUAUUAUAGUUACUUCAAGUGCGACCACUCGGCUUAGGCCAAUGUAUUGAUUGGGCCGCUUUGGAGCAAGUCUAGCUAUCUAAUCUUGUUGGCCCUUUUCUUGCCACAGCCCCGUGAAACCAGUUCUUCUCUAUCAUCGAGCCGACAUAUAUGGAGUUGAAUUUAGAGUUCUACUCGACAUUUACACUCCAGCAUGCGAUGAAGACUCAUGAUGAGCCUGGCACCAUAACUUUCAGACUUGGUGGCUUGGUGUGCCAUAUGAUUGUCUCUGAGUUUGGCACUGCUUUGGGUCUAUAUACUGAGGAGUUUAUGAGUUCCGAAAUCUUCCUCCACCUACAUUGACACAUCCACUACUCACCAGCUAGUUGUUAGACAGAUCUUACAGUGACUAUGACACCCUAUGACGUGAGUCGCUCAAAGGUGACUUCUCUCCCUCCGGCUUUACAGUAUAUUCAAGCCCUUUUAGCUCAAACUUUGACUGGUAGGAGAGAGAGCACCGGAGUCAUUAGUACUACCAAUGCCUUUUUUAUGGAGUAUGACCACUGGGCAUAUUUUUUAUUUAGCUUACUUCAUCGCCAUCACUUUUCGCCAUCAGAUAGACGGCAACAGGAAGGGUCCUAUCUAUUUAGGCCCUUAUAUGACUCGAAUAGCUCGACACUUCGGUCUCCUUGACACACCGGAGCAGUCCUCUAUGCUUACACUCGCCGUUAAAAUGUCUCUAUAGAAAAUCUCGAGCAUGAUCCAUAUGAGGAUGAUCGAGCUGCGUCGUGGAGUAGAUCCUCCUCAGUACCGAUUAGUUCAUUCUAACUCUCAGAAUGAACCCACGGACUUCACUGAUGAUGUCCCUUUGCAUCACGAGGACCCACCUCAUCCUCCACCUUCGAGUCACCAUCCUGUUUCUUCUGCUGCUACUUUAGUGGACCUCUCAGAGUGGUUCACUCGUUUCGAGCAGCAUUGCUUUCAAAGGUUCGACACUAUUGACGCGACAUUACAACAGAUCUGUCAGCAUCUCCAUAUCUCCUCCUCAACGCUGACGACUCAUGACACCGACGCUUCUAAUGAUGAGGACCACUAGUCUAUUAUUUUUGCUUUUAUUUUUAUUUUUAUGUUUAAUGUUAUUUUCUUAAACUUAAUUCGUUUUUAUCUUUUGAACUAUAUUUCUAUUUUAUGGUUGUUUCUAAUCAAGUUUUAAUCCCUUAAUUCCACUUUUCACUAUACUGGGGAUUUCAUCCAAUAUUCGAGGUAGUUUCAGUUUUCUCCAUCUCUUAUGAUAUUUUGUUUAUAUUGUGAUUAUCUAUGUUUGUACAUUGAGGACAAUGUAAAUCUUAAGUGUGGGGAGGUUAUUUAUAUAAUUAUUAGAAAAUCCCUAAAUUAUGUCUUGUGUUUAAGUAAUUUUCUCAUACUUCUAUUAGAAUGAAUUUUUAUCGAUUUGUGAUUUUAUUGAUGUGUUUUGGAUUAAAUUUAUAGAUAAUCAUGUAUUGGUUGUUUUAAAAUUUAAGACAUGAGAGAAUCAAGCUUGAUAAGUUUAUUUUCAGAAUUAAAAAUCUGUAGGUUGUUUCCCGGAAUUGAGGUAUUACCUUGAAGUUUGAGAUUUGCAAGAUUGACAUCAAUAACCAUAAUUUUUUGUGUGAGAUUUUGAGCCUUUAGAGCAUACAUUUUUCUUGCUCAUUUUUAUUAUUGGUUAUGAGUCUGUCAAUUAGAUUUGUUUUUCUAGAACUUGCUUCGAUUAUGCAUGUCGAGACCACACCUUUGAUUUGAUAUACUAAGAUGAUAAAGGCACUUAGGUUUAACCCACUUAUCCCAUAAAAAGCCGACCUACAUAAUUAACCUUUAGUGAACCCCAUUGAGUCUAACACAUCGUUUCUUAAUUUAUCUAUUAAUGUUAACCCAUAACUCAUUUUUUUGCUCAUUGAGAAUUUUUUUCGAUUUAUUGACUCCCUUUUUAUCGAUAUUUGACUUGGUUAAUUGCCUAAUUAAGCCCCUUUAGUUUUUUUGUUGAAUUAUUUCUCAUUCUAAAAAGAGUAAAAAAAAGUUGAAGAAAAAAUAUAUUGAUUAUUAUUUAGUUCUAUGUUAAUUGAGCUUGAACAGUUAGAUUUAUAUUUUAAGAAGAAGCCCGUGUUAUUCUUGAACAAUUUUCGAUUGAUGUAAUUGUUUUUAAUUCAACAUUUGUUUAUUUUUCUAGUUUGGUAAUUUAUCAAUUCGAUCUCAACUUUAAUUAACUUUUUCAGCCUUUCUCCACACCCUUAACCUAAGCUCAAUUACAACCUCUUAAAGGUCUUUUGAUUUGUGUAUCAUCUCAUUUUAUAGUGGUGGAGAUAUGAUUUUCAUGCAAGCCUUUGGUAAUGACUUUUCAUCUUUGACUAUUGAGUGCUUAUUCUUGAACCUUAAACACUUUGAGUGAUUUGAGUGAAUCUUUAGUGAGGAUGCCGAUUCUUGUCUAUUUUGAAUUAAAGCUAAUUACUUAGAUAAGGGGAAAUACCUAUGUUUUCAUGCUUUAAAAAUUUUCGUCUUGGAUUGUUUGAAUCUUUAGUGCUCUUUUAGUUGAAUUAUCAAUGUAUGAUUAUUUGUGAAUUAUGACGAAACAUCAUUUAUGAGAAUUAUGAGUAACACCCCUUACCAGUGUUCCUUGCAGGAACAGAGUAUGAGGUAUUACUAGAACUCAAACACUUAUAAAUUUUUUUUAUAAAAAUUUCGACAGUAUUUCUGCUUAUUUUUACAUAAAACCCCCUGCAAAUUUUCAAAGACAAUUUCAAACAACUUCAAUAUUUCUAACCAAUUACAGUUAUAUGUUCAGACAUAAUUUAUCCAUUAAUAAACACCAACAUAUUAAACCGAAAAAUACUAAAUAUAUACAUAUUUAUACCACAUUACAUAAAGUCAUCUAUACAUGCCAUGUUUCCAAAGUAUUAAUUGCAAAAUACCCAAAAAGUUGAUGAUAGUGUGGAUGAUUAUCUGACGUCGUCCAAGUUCCGAGCUGAUUGAUGUCACUAUAAUCAAGGGAAAAUAAAAACGAGUAAGCAUAUAGCUUAGUAAGUAAACAUAUGACAAAUAAAUAAAUUCCUCACAUGAUUACAUAGUAACAUAAUUUUAAUCACACAUAAAUUUCAUUGUUUGUUCAAUUUCCAGCAAGCUAUUUUUCUGCAUCAUGGUCACUAAUUUAUUUUUAUCUGGAGCUACACGGCUCCAAAUUAAGUUCUGUAAAUUUUCCCCAAAACUAUAUUCAUAUACCUUUCCACCAAAAAAUUUUAAGAAUUUUUUGUUUCGCCAAUUAGUACAUUUUAUUCUCUAAAUAUUCCCCUAUUUCACUGCUCAACAGUUCUGACCUCUCCUUACUAAAAUUUACUUAAAUCCUUGUAAAGAAUUCAAAAAAUGUUCUCGUUUCUUUCUCUUAAAAAUAGACUCAUUCAUUAAUUCAAGCAUGUAAAUUUAAAUCCAUAAUUAUUUUUGUACAAGUUUUGGCUAGUUUUCAAAGUUGGAACAGGGGAUUUCGAAAUCAAUUUAACCCCGUCUCAAAAAAAUUAAAAUAUCCCAAAAUAUACAACUCUUUUGCUUCCCCUUUUUCUUCCAUAUAGACUCAUUCAACUUCAAUUUCAUAUAUUACUCAACUUCUAAUUCAUUUUCCACCAUUUUAUAGUGAUUUUUCAAAGUUGCCCCACUAUUGUUGUUUAAAACAGUUUUGUAUUUAAAUUUGCUCUUUUGUACUUUUGAUAUUUCCUCCCAUCUUACAUAUGGGUUGAUACAGUUUCAAACCCAAACAUUUCCCACUUAAUCUUGUCCACCAUAUAUAUAUUCACCUUUCAAAUUUUCUCGUUGAACACACGGAAUGUUAUCUGUUAUCGGUGGAUUCAGCACUUAGCAACCACCAGUGAUUCGAGGAAUCAGCACUUAGCAACCCCUUUCACAUUCAAUGAUACAGUGGAAUCAGCACUUAGCAACCACCAAUGAAUCGGGGAAUCAGCACUUAGUAACCCCUUUCACAUUUAAGAUACGGUGGGAUCAGCACUUAGCAACCACCAAUGAAUCGGGGAAUCAGCACUUAGCAACCCCUUAGGGGAAUCAGCACUUAGCAACCCCCUUCACAUUUAAAAUACGGUAGAAUCAGCACUUAGCAACCACCAAUGAAUCGGGGAAUCAGCACUUAGCAACCCCCUUUAUAUUCAAUGUACUCCGCCUAUUCCGAGUGUUCAACCGAAAACCGUGUUUUUCAACACUUUACCACCUUUCCCAACUUAACCACAAUUUUAGUAUCUAUACCAAGUAUUUAUUUUAUGUUCAAUUAAGUCUCAACAUAUAAUGAAUAAUAUCAAAAUAAUGCAUUAAUUCUCAUGUUUACUUACCUCGGUGCAAAAUAUCGUAAUUUUGCAAUUUACUUCACUAUCUUCUCUUUUCCCCGUUUGAGGUGGUCUUCUCGUCUUUCUUGAUCUAUAAUAGCAAAUUUAACUCAUUUAAUGUUCACAUUUAAUAAAAUAGUCCUCCACCCAACUUUUUGAAAAAUUACAAAUUUGCCCCCAAACUUUUGCAUAUUUACACUUUUGUCCCUAAGCUCGAAAAUUAAACUUCAUCUCUUAUUAUUAUGUUUUAUGACAUGCUGAACAUUUUUCCCUUCUAUGAAAACAUCAAAUUCUCAUUCUAACACAUACUUUUGAACAUUAAUUAUUUUUACCGAUUAUGUCUAUUUACUCGUUUUCGCUUAAAAUCGCUUAGCAAAAGUUGUUUAACAUAAUUUCUAGCUUCAUAUUCUACCAUAAAACAGAAAAAUAAACACAUUUCUCCUAUGGGUAUUUUUCCAAAUAUGAACCCCUAACAUGAAUUAAUGGUAGAAUAAGUUAAACCGAGUUACGAGGAUUUCAAAAAUGCGAAGAACAUUAAAAACGAGGCUAGGAUGCACUUACUAUUGAGCUUGGAAGCUUAAAAACCCUAACUAUGGCUUUCCCCUUGCUGAUUUCAUUCACCAUAAAGAAGAUGAGCACAUUUUUCCAUCUUUUUCCCUUUUUAAUUCUUUUUAUUACUAAAUGACUAAAAUGCCCCCAUUUAAAAAAUCUAUUUCACCCAUUUCUUAUGUCUAUUUUUGUCCAUCAAUUAAUUAAUGGUAUAAUUACCAUAUAAGGACCACCAAUUUAUAAUUUCAUAACAAUUAGACACUUCUAACAUGUAGAACUCAACUUUUGCACUUUUUACAAUUUAGUCCUUUUUACUAAAUUGAGUGCCCAAACGUCGAAAUUUUUGAACGAAACUUUUACGAAAUUUUUCCGUGAAAUUGUAGAUCAUAAAAAUAUAAUAAUAAUAAUAUUUUCCCUUGUCAGAUUUUUGGUCCCGAAAUCACUGUUUCGACUAGGCCCAGAAUCGGGCUGUUACAAUUCUCCCCCCUUAGGGAUUUUCGUUCCCGAAAAUCUUACCGAAAAAGAGGUUUGGGUACUGUUUCCUCAUAACUUCCUCCAGUUUCCACGUAGCCUCUUCCAUUCCAUGUUUUUGCCACAACACAUUCACUAAGGCUACACUUUUAUUUCUUAACUGUUUGACCUCUCGAGCCAGAAUCUUUAUCGGUUCCUCCUCCUAAGUCAUAUCCGGUCGAACUUCAUUUUUUGUAGGAGAAACUAUAUGUGAAGGAUCAAAACGAUAGCGUCGUAACAUCGAUACAAUGAAAUACAUUAUGUAUUCUUUCCAACUCUGCCGGUAAAGCUAACCGAUAAGCUACAGGUCCAAUUCUUUCAAUAACUUCAUACGGUCCAAUAAAGCGUGGACUCAAUUUGCCUUUACAACCAAAUCUCAAAAUCUUAUUCCAUGGAGAUACUUUCAAGAACACUCUAUCGCCCACUUGAAAUUCAAUCUCUUUCCUCUUUAAAUCUGCAUAUGACUUUUGCCGAUCUGAAGCAGCCUUUAAACAGUCACGGAUUACUUUUACUUUUUCUUUAGUUUCUUUCACCAAGUCAACUCCAUGAAUCCGGUUCUCACCGAGCUCAGUCCAAUAUAAAGGAGUUCUACACUUACGCCCAUAUAAUGCUUCAUACGGUGUCAUCCGUAUACUUGACUGAUAGCUCCCAACUGCCUUCAAAUUCUAAAAUACAACACCGGAGCAUGUCUUCAAGAACUUGAAUCACUCUUUCUGAUUGCCCGUCAGUUUGCGGAUGGAACGCAGUACUAAAGUUCAAUUUUGUACCCAAAGCUUCCUGCAACUUUAUCCAAAACCUCGAUGUGAACCUCAGAUCUCUAUCCGAUAUAAUAGACUUAGGCACCCCGUGUAGUCUCACUAUUGUAGCAACAUAUAACUCCGCCAACCUGUCAAGUGAGUAAUCAACGCGUACCGGAAUGAAAUGGGCUGACUUUGUCAGUCUAUCAACAAUUACCCAAAUAGCAUCCUUCUUUUUUGGAGUCAAAGGCAAUCCCGUCACAAAAUCCAUCGUGAUGCUAUCUCACUUCCACUCUUGAAUCAUUACCGGCUGAAGUAAAACCGAUGGUACUUGAUGCUCAGCUUUCACUUGUUGACAAAUUAAACACUUUGAUACAAAUUCCGAGAUAUCCUUUUUCAUGCCCGGCCACCAAUACAAUUUCUUCAAAUCAUUAUACAUUUUCACACUACCUGGAUGAACUGACAAAUCACCACUAUGUGCCUCACAUAAAAUGGUCUGGAUCAACUCAUCAUUACUCGGUACACAUACCCUAUCUCGAAACAUUAGACAAUCAUCUGAUCUAAUUUGAAAAUCUGAAUCAGCACCUGCUUCACACUGAGCUCCCCUGGCUUGCAAUUCACUGUCAUUCUUUUGUGCUUCCCGAAUUUGCUGAAGGAAUAACGGUCUAGCCCUCAAUUCAGCCAAAAUUGAACCAUCAUUAGAUACAAUUAAUCUCGUAUUCAUAGCUCUCAAAGCAAAUAAAGAUUAUCUGCUCAAGGCAUCAGUAACAACAUUAGCUUUUCCUAGAUGAUAAUCAAUCACUAGCUCAUAAUCUUUUAUUAGCUCGAGCCAUCUUCGUUGUCGCAAAUUCAAGUCUUUUUGAUUCAUUAAACACUUCAAACUCUUACGAUCAGUGAAGAUUCGGCAUUUCUCACCACACAGAUAAUGACGCCAAAUUUUUAAAGCAAAAACAAUGGCAGCCAAUUCUAAAUCAUGCGUUGGAUAAUUCUUCUCGUGCGGUUUCAGUUGUCUCGAAGCAUAAGCUAUUACUUUGCCCUCUUGCAUUAACACACACCCAAGUCCAUUCAACGAUGCAUCACUGUAAAUUAUAAACUCCUUCCCUGACUCAGGUUGUACCAACACUGGUUCCUCAGUCAAUAAAGCCUUCAAUUUCUCGAAACUUUGUUGACAUUUAUCGGUCCAUUCAAACUUGACAUUCUUUUGCAAUAACUUAGUCAUAGGAGAGGCAAUCAUCGAGAAUCCCUUGAAAAACCGUCUGUAAUAUCCGACUAAGCCCAGAAAGCUUCUAACCUCGGUCACAUUCUUUGGUAGCUCCCAAUCAACAAUUGCUGAAAUUUUGCUUGGAUCAACCCGAGUACCUUCACUUGAAACUAUAUGCCCCAAGAAUCCAACCUCACGAAGCCAAAACUCACUUUUGCUAAAUUUAGCAUAUAAUUUAUUCUCUCUCAGAAUCUACAACAUAGUUCUCAAAUGUUCGGCGUGCUCGGAUUCAUCCCGAGAAUAAAUUAAAAUAUCAUCUAUGAACACCACCACAAACUUAUCUAGAUACGGCUGGAAAGUUCGAUUCAUUAAAUCCAUAAAAAUAGUCGGAGCAUUAGUCAACCCAAAAGGAAUUACCAGAAAUUCAGAAUGGCCAUACCUCAUUCUGAAAGCGGUCUUUGGCACAUCGGACUCUGUAACUCUUAACUGAUAGUAACCCGACCUCAGAUCAAUCUUUGAAAACACUGUUGCUCCUUUUAGUUGGUCGAACAAAUCAUCAAUUCUUGGUAAAGGGUACUUGUUCUUUAUAGUCACUUUGUUAAGCUGACGAUAGUCAAUACAAAGUCUCAUAGAGCCAUCUUUCUUUUUCACAAAUAAUACAGGAGCACCCCAAGGAGAAAAACUUGGUCUCACAAAUCCUUUAUCUGUUAACUCUUGUAAUUGAGCUUUUAAUUCUUUCAACUCAGUCGGAGCCAUCCGAUACGGUGCAAUAGAAAUUGGUGCAGUACUAGGUAACAAAUCAAUAACAAACUCAACUUCUCUAAUCGGAGGUAACCCAGGCAAUCCCUUUGGAAAUACGUCCGGAAAUUCACAAACUACCGGCACUGAUUCAAGCUUCGACCCAGUUAUAUCAAUAUUCAACACAUAAGCAAGAUAAGCUUCACAUCCUUUUCUCAAGUAUUUCUGAACAGACAUGUGUGAAAUCACCACAGGCAAUUUAUUCGGCUCCUCUGCUUCAACCCGGAGAAUUUCACCAUUUUCACAUUUCAAUUCCAGAAUUUUCUGUCUACAAUUUACCUUGGCAUCAUGCAAUAUCAACCAAUCCAUCCCCAGAAUAACAUCAAACUCAUCAAAUGGUAACAACAUCAAAUUAGCCGGGAAACAGUGACCGUGAAUCAUCAGAGGACAAUUCUUACAAACCUUAUUGACUAAGACAUAUUUGCCUAAAGGAUUUGAUAUUUUAACCACAAAUUCAGUAUUUUCAACAGGAAAAUUCUUACUAGAUACUAAAUUCACACAUACAUAUGAAUGAGUAGACCCAGGGUCAAUCAAAGCAACAACAUCAAUAUCAUGAAGAGAAAAUGUACCAGUAAUUACGUCAGGAGAUGAUGCAUCCUCACGAGCACGUAUGGCAUAAGUUCUGGCAGACUCUCUAGUUUUUGAUUUCCCAACUAUAUCUUUCACCACACUUUUACCGCUGACUUUGCUCUCAACAUCCUCGAUGGUCUACCUCUACAAACAAUAUCACCCGAUCUAGCUCUCUGCAAUCUUUCUUCCUCUAUUCUCUCAGGGCAAUCUUUUAUAUAAUGUUCUUGAGAACCACACUCGAAACAGGCUCGUCUAAAUCCCCAACACUCUCCAGCAUGUCCCACACUGUUGACACUCCGGUCUAGUAUUCCCCACAUUGCCCACACUUGCCAUCGAGGUAGUUUGAGUUUUAGCUCUGGGGUAUGAUUUCCCUCGAUCUCUACAUGAAUACCCAGCUGAACCAGUUGAUCGCGGAUCCAUCCCUUUAAGCUUCUUUGGUUGAGAUUGAAAUGUCCUGCUCAUUGACUUUUUUCUUACAUCUCGAGCUUCAAUCUCUGCUCUUCUCUUUUCUUUACUCAGUUCUUCAGCUUUACAAGCUCGAUCAAUCAGUACUACAAAUUCUUUCAACUCUAAAAUCCCAACAUACAAUCUGAUAUCUUCGUUUAACCCUCUUCGAAUCUUUUACACAUAAUGGCCUCGGUAGGUAUACAUUCUUGGGCAUAUUUGCUGAGGCUAAUAAACUCCCUUUCAUACUCUGCCACAGACAUUCGGCCUUGCUUCAACUCAAGAAACUCCUUGCGUUUCUGAUCAAUAAACCGCUGACUUAUAUAUUUCUUUCUGAAUUCCUCCUAGAAGAAGUCCCAGGUAACUCUUUCUUUUAGAACCACCGAUACUAAUGUUUUCCACCAACGGUAUGCUGAAUCCUUCAAUAAAGACACAGCACAUUUCAAACAUUCCUUAGGAGUACAAGAUAGUUCAUCAAAUACCCGGAUAGAGUUUUCAAGCCAAAACUCUGCUUUUUCUGGAUCAUCAUCAACAUUAGCCCUGAAAUCUUCAGCCCCAUGCUUUCGAAUUUUGUCAACGGGAGGUUUACUUGAUCUUACCAAAUCAACACUUUGCGGAGCUACGAGGACCAGUUGAGGAAUAGGAGGGGUGGAGGAGGUUGAACAUUCAGAUUUGCACGAACAAAGUUUGUAUACCAAUUACUCAUCAUUCGAAGGAAGGCUUCCCGAGCCUCAUCCUGACUAUGCGUCUCAUGUCUACUUUCUUCAUGCGCGGUCCCUUGAGUGGAAGCCGGCGCGUUACUCUCAACAUCAUCUGCUACACUUCGGUCAGGAUCUAUUUAUUAUAUAAAACAAAAUUUUAAAUUGUCAAAAAUCAUCACACUAUCACAAUAUAUUUAUGACAUGUAUAGAUUGACUUCCACGCAUAUUUUAUUAGUUCGAGAAUCGACUAAACCGUAGCUCUGAUACCAAUAAAAUGUAACACCCCUUACCAGUGUUCCUUGUAGGAACAGAGUAUGAGGUAUUACUAGAACUCAAACACUUAUAAAUUUUUUUAUAAAAAUUUCGACAGUAUUUCUGCUUAUUUUUACAUAAAACCCCCUGCAAAUUUUCAAAGACAAUUUCAAACAACUUCAAUAUUUCAAACCAAUUACAGUUAUAUGUUCAGACAUAAUUUAUCCAUUAAUAAACACCAACAUAUUAAACCAAAAAAUACUGAAUAUAUACAUAUUUAUACCACAUUAUAUAAAGUCAUCUAUACAUGCCAUGUUUCCAAAGUAUUAAUUGCAAAAUACCCAAAAAGUUGAUGAUAGUGUGGAUAAUUAUCUGACGUCGUCCAAGUUCCGAGCUGAUUGAUGUCACUAUAAUCAAGGGAAAAUAAAAACGAGUAAGCAUAUAGCUUUUUAUGUAAACAUAUUACAAAUAAAUAAAUUCCUCACAUGAUUACAUAGUAACAUAAUUUUAAUCACACAUAAAUUUCAUUGUUUGUUCAAUUUCCAGCAAGCUAUUUUUCUGCAUCAUGGUCACUAAUUUAUUUUUAUCUGGAGCUACACAGCUCCAAAUUAAGUUAUGUCAAUUUUCCCCAAAACUAGGCUCAUAUAAAUUUCCACCAUAAAAUUUUUAGAAUUUUUAGUUUGGCCAAUUAGUACAAUUUAUUCUCUAAAUAUUCCCCUGUUUCACUGCCCGACAGUUUUGACCUCUCUUUACUAAAAUUUACUUAAAUCCCUAUACAAAAUUAAAAAAAUGUUCUCGUUUCUUUAUAUUACAAAUAGGAUCAUUAAGGAAUUCAAGCAUGUAAAUUUCAAGUCAUAAUUAUUUUUGAACAAUUUUUUGUGAUUUUUCAAAGUUGAAAUAGGGGAUUUCGAAAUCAAUUUAACCCUGUCUCAAUAAAAUUAAAAUAUCCCUAAAUAUACAACUCUUUUGCUUCCACUUUUUCUUCCAUAUGAAAAUAGACUCAUUCAAAUUAAAUUUCAUAUAUUACUCAACUUCUAAUUCAUUUUCCACCAUUUAUAAUGAUUUUUCAAAGUUGCCCCACUGUUGUUGUUCAAAACAGUUUUGUAUUUAAAUUUGCUCUUUUGUACUUUUGAUAUUUCCUCCCAUCUUACAUAUGGGUUGAUAAAGUUUCAAACCCAAACAUUUCUCACAUAAUCUUGUCCACCAUAUAUAUAUUCACCUUUCAAAUUUUCCUGUUGAACACUCGGAAUGUUAUCCGUUAUCGGUGGAUUCAGCACUUAUCAACCACCAGUGAUUCGGGGAAUCAACACUUAGCAACCCCUUUCACAUUCAAUGAUACGGUGGAAUCAGCACUUAACAACCACCAAUGAAUCGGGGAAUCAGCACUUAGCAACCCCUUUCACAUUUAAGAUACGGUGGGAUCAGCACUUAGCAACCACCAAUGAAUCGGGGAAUCAUCACUUAACAACCCCUUGGGGGAAUCAGCACUUAGCAACCCCCUUCACAUUUAAAAUACGAUGGAAUCAGCACUUCGCAACCACCAAUGAAUUGGGAAAUUAGCACUUAGCAACCCCCUUUAUAUUUAAUGUACUACGGGCUAUUCCGAGUGUUCAACCGAAAAUCGUGUUUUUCAACACUUUACCACCUUUCCCAACUUAACCACAAUUUUAGUAUCUAUACCAAGUAUUUAUUUUAUGUUCAAUUAAGUCUCAACAUAUAAUGAAUAAUAUCAAAAUAAUGUUUUAAUUCACAUGUUUACUUACCUCGGUGCAAAAUAUCGUAAUUUUGCAAUUUACUCCACUAUCUUCUCUUUUCCUCGUUUGAGGUAGUCUUCUCGUCUUUCUUGAUCUAUAAUAGCAAAUUUAACUCAUUUAAUGUUUACAUUUAAUAAAAUAGUCCUCCACCCAACUUUUUGAAAAAUUACAAUUUUGCGCCCAAACUUUUGCAUAUUUACACUUUUGUCCCUAAGCUCGAAAAUUAAACUUCAUCUCUUAUUCUUAUGUUUUAUAACAUGCUGAACAUUUUUCCCUUCUAUGACAACAUCAAAUUCCCACUCUAACACAUACUUUUGAACAUUAAUUAUUUUUAGUGAUUAUGUCUAUUUACUCGUUUUCGCUUAAAAUCGCUUAGCAAAAGUUAUUUAACAUAAUUUCUAGCUUCAUAUUCUACCAUAAAACAGAAAAAUAAACACAUUUCACCUAUAGGUAUUUUUCCAAAUAUGAACCCGAACAUGAAUUAAUGGUAGAAUAAGCUAAACCGAGUUACGAGGAUUUCAAAUAUGCGAAGAACAUUAAAAACGGGGCUAGGAUGCACUUACUAUUGAGCUUGGAAACUUAAAAACCCUAACUAUGGCUUUCCCCUUGCUGAUUUCGUUCACCAUAAAGAAGAUGAGCACAUUUUGCCAUCUUUUUCCCUUUUUAAUUAUUUUUAUUACUAAAUGACUAAAAUGCCCCCAUUUAAAAAAAUCUAUUUCACCCAUUUCUUAUGUCUAUUUUUAUCCAUCAAUUAAAUAAUGGUCUAAUUACCAUAUAAGGACCACCAAUUUAUAAUUUCAUAACAAUUAGACACUUCUAACAUGUAGAACUCAACUUUUACACUUUUUACAAUUUAGUCCUUUUGACUAAAUUGAGUGCCCAAACGUCGAUAUUUUCGAACGAAAUUUUUACGAAAUUUUUCUGUGAAAUUUUAGAUCAUAAAAAUAUAAUAAUAAUAUUUUCCCUCAUCAGAUUUGUGAUCCCGAAACCACUGUUCCGACUAGGCCCAGAAUCGGGCUGUUUCAUUAUGAGUUGAGAAAGAUUAAUUUUAAUUGUAAGUUAAUGAUUUUGGUUGAGGAUAAGCUAACGCUUAAGUGUGGGGAUAUUUGAUAAGCUGUAAAAGUAACAUAUUUCAAUCUCAUUCUUAAUGCAUUUUUGGAUGAUUAAUGAUGUAAAUUAUUGAAUUUGAUCCUCCUAACCCUUUAAAUUCAUGUUUCUACACUUAUGAGAGAAUUUUGGGAGUGAAAGGAGUGAAAAAUGAGCAAAAAUCAGACGAAUAGAGCUAUUUCCAAGAUCCACAUGGCCGAGCAUUUCCACAUGGAUUGGCCACAUGCCUGUGUGCCAGCCCGUGUCAAUGUCGCACCCUGCUUCUCAAAUACACAGAAAAACUCAAGUUUUAGGCUUUUUCAGCAUUCUAAAGUCUAUAAAUAUCAAUUAGAAGAAGAUCUAAGUGAGCACUCAGAGAAGAUUGAAGAAAUCACUCAAAGAACACCAUCGGAGCCAACUCAGAAGCAGAUCUCCUUCAAGAUUGAAGAUCUCCUUUUAACUUCUUUCGAAGUUUUAUUGAAUUUCUUUAUGUCUUGUGGUUUUCUGAUUUUGAGAUGUUUUUAUUUUAGAUUAUGAACUAAAUUCCCUAGAUACCUAGGGAAGAUGAAACCUAUGAUGAAUCUUAUUAUUUGAUUUCUAAAUUACAUGAUAAACACUUGAUUCUUGUUCUCAAUUAUGCAUGCUCAAUUCGUGUUUUAAUAUUAUCAGGAUACUAAUUCUUGUUUAAUGUACUUAUUUCAGUGGAGAAAAAGUCCCUAUUUAAGAGUAGAUCUAGCAUAAUUGAGUGGAGUUGCAUGUAAUCCUAGAAAUAGCACGACAUAAAUCUAUCGGAUUAGAGUCAAAUCUAAUAGGGGAAUCCAUAGAUCGAGUUAAUGCGAUGAUAGGGGUUUUAAUUAGAAAGAGAUUUCAGUUAAUCAACCUAGAGUCAGUUGUUCUUACUCUCGAAAGAGAUAUUAACAUAAUUUAGAGAUUUCUAUGGAUCAAGACACAAGUGAAUAAAUCAUUUAAUUCAGAUUCAGAAUAAUAGGUAAAGUCCAGGUGGAUUCUUUCCUGGGUAUUGUUUUUCUCAUUGGUUGCCUUUGAUUAUUUUUUCUAUUUCAUUCUCUGUUGCGUUCUUAGUUAGAUUAUUUUAGUAAUUUUAGAUUAAAAGUAAUCACUCCAAUUUGUUGGCUAAAUAAUAGAAAAACAGUAAUUAAUAGUACUUUUAGUCCUCGUAGAUACAAUAUUCCCUACUCACCAUAGCUAUACUAUUGCUCGAUAGGUUUGCUUGCCUUUAUCGUAAUUAUAGUUAGUUUAGUGACUAUCAAGAACUCUCGUUGUAAUGAGAAGAUAGAAAAGGGUAGUUUAUAUGUUCUGCGAGGGUCAACGGUAACUGGUGCAACUGCAAUUAUCGAAGAAGAUUCGAAAUCAUCGCCAUAUCGCGAUGAGGACCAAUAUGACAUCACGACAUGAUACUUUCUCCACAAAUUUUGAUUCAGCCAAACUUUUGCACAUGUGACUCGGUCACAUGAGUGAGAAAGUUAUGACAACAUUGUGUAAGAAAGGCCUUCUUAAAGACACUGGAGUCGAUAAGUUAGGUUUUACGAGCACUAUACUUAUAGGAAACAGACACGAGUAAAUUUUGAUUCUGCAGUGCACAGAACAAAAGGGACUUUUGACUAUGUCCAUUCUGAUUUAUGGUGUCCGACUUUUGACAUCUCAAAAGGAGGUAAUAAAUAUUUCCUAACUUUUAUUGAUUAACAUUCCAAGAAAGUUUGGGUUUAUUUUCUAAAACAGAAAAACGAAGAUUUCAGAAUCUUCAAAUAGUAGGAAACACUGUUAGAAAAACAAACAAAGAAGCCCGUGAAGCAGUUGAGAAUGAACAAUGAACUUGAGUUCUCUUCAUCUGAAUUUAAUAACUACUGCAAAUGGGAAGGGGUAAAGAAACAUCGCACCAUUGUAAGUACUUUGCCAAAGAAUAGAGUUGCAAAAAGAAUGAACAGAACCUUGUUGGAAAAGGCUCGAUGCAUGCUUUCAAACGCAAGUCUAAGGAAUGAGUUUUGGGCUGAAGCCAUAAAUUUUAGCAAGCUAUUUAGUAAACUGAUCUCCACAUUAAACAUUGAACGCUAAAUUUCCAAAUGAGAUAUGGUCAGGUAAUCCUCUCAAUUAUUCUAAUCUUUGAAUUUUUUAUUGUCUUACUUAUGCUAAAGUUAGCCAGGGAAAGCUCGAUCCAAGGGUUGUAAAAUGCAUUUAUCUAGGUUACUCUGCUAGUAUGAAAGGUUUGAAAUUGUGGUGUCCAGAAACCAACAAAACUAUUGUUAGCGGAGAUGUAAGUUUGAUGAAUCUGCCAUGUUUCAGACAGAAAAUGGUCACCUACAUUUAAAGACACAACAAACUAGAGUGUCUCAAGCAAGGUGGAGCCGAAAGAAGAAAUAGGGGUGACAUUGUGAUGACAUGAAAAGCCACGUCGUCGUCCCUACGAGCAAACACCCGACGUUGUAACGACCUGAUGAAAUUUUGAUUCUUACGAAGCUAAAGUUGUUUUGGAUCAGUUUGGGACUUCAUUCAACUCUCAGGUACCCUCACCAUCUCAAUUAACUAAUUAUAAGUUGGCUCGUGACAGGAAAAGAUGAGAAAUUCGACCACCACAGAAAUACUGUGAAGGAAACCUAGUGGAAUAUGCUUUAAGUCUUGUAGAGAGCAUUGAUCUGGCCAACCCUUCAUGCUUUCUAAGGUAGUUCAUGUUGGAUCUGGUGCCCUAAGUGUAGUAUUUUUGUCAAUAUACACUUGUAAUUCUUUCGAAAAAAUUGGUUAAUAAAACAAAUCAUUGAUUACAUUAAUAUAUUUAGUAUAAUUUUAAUCACAUCGUUUUUUGCACACAAAGCAAAAUGGAAGAAAAUGUUGCUCAUUGAUUGUCUAAAUGUUUAACUAAUACUAAGCAAUAUUACGUGGUCGGAUCGUAGUACGAAAAGACGACUUAUAUUAGUAGACGGACCUAAACAUGUCCUUAGUCUAAUUAGAAAUGAACAAAUCGAUUGAAAGGUUAGUAUGUUGUCUAUAAAGUUCAAUUUGGGAGAUGCCUUAUCUUGAGCAUCGGAGCGGAUGACUCCAAGAAGAUAAAGACAUAGAUGUGACUAAUAGUACAUCGGACAGGACCCAAAAAAACAUAGAGAAGGAACCAAAAGUUAGUGUGUUGGGUGUAUGAAUUCUGUAGUAUGUAGCAUCAUUCACAAUAGUGGAAUCCAUAGCCCAAAACAUGGGUAAAAGAUAUCCUCUCUUUGGCAUUACAUGAUUGAUGAAAGUAAACGUGGCCACGGGUCGUCCAUCUUUGUGAUGGAUGACUUGAUCAUUAUUUGAUAGUGAUUGACUUUUCAUGAAGGUUCAUGAAUUAUUAUGGCUUUCUCCAAAAUGGAGAAAUGGAAUCAUUUGGAAAUAAAUGUAGGUUUCCAAAAAUAAAAAUGAAAAUUUGCAAUCUUAUAUAGGAUUACUUAAAAAAUGAUGGAAGAAUGAGUUUAUGUUUUUGGACUGUUUUAAAGCUCGGAAAUGAAAAUAAAUCAUUCAGUCAUAGUGAACAUGUUGAGUUGUGACAUAUUGAACGGAUUUUCUCGAAAUUUUACCGGGUAAAAUUGGGAUGAGAAAAUUAUUUAAUAUGUAAAUAUUAAAUUUUAUUUUGGGAAAUAGAAAAACUAAAUCAAGUUGGAUCAUAUUGCAGAGUACUGAGUCAAAAAGGCUUAAGAAGUACUCGUAAUUAGACCCAAUGACCCAAUGUGAGGGAGGCCCAAAACCCCUCAUAUAAAAUGAAGGGCGGGAACCCGAGUAAAAAUAUAAGGAUGAGUCAUUCACCCUCUCCUACUCUAAGUAAGAUGUUGUUUUUCUAUUUAAAAUAAAACUCUACAUCUCUAUAAGGGAUUUACCUUCUCUUCCUAUAUAUAGAUGGCACCGGUAGAGCUAUUAACACAACUUUUGAGAGAUUGUUAUUCUGCCGAAAAAUUGCGAGAGUUUAUUCUCAACUUUUAAAUAUAUUUUUCUAAAAUAACAAUUUUACUGGUUUCUAUUAAAGAAGAGAGAAUUUUCGUUUUCACCCCAAAAUGAGAGAAAACUUUUCCUAGUUCUGUGUUUCGAUUCAAUUGGUAUUCAUGUAUGUUCAUACGAGCUAUGAAUCAGUAUGCUCUCAUGAGCUGUGAAUCAGGAAGCUCAUACGAGCUGCAAAUUGAGAAGCUCAUACUACAAGCUGCAAAUCAAGAAGCUCAUACGAGCUGUAAAUCGGGAAGCUCAUACGUGCUGUGGUGUGUCCGCAACACGUGCUGGACCCAAACCAAAUCUGUAACCCUAAUGACAUGCCAUUUGUAUCCUACAAAUUUCUAAGGUUCAAACGGGACUCAGUAAUCAUCGAAUAUGUGAACGGUAUUUAUACAUAGCAAUUAUACAAAUCACAUACAUAUGAUUCAAUAUAAACAUAUAAAUACUCAAUUUAAUUACACGAACUUACCUCGACAAGUGUACGUAAACACAGAGGCGAUUAAUCCAAUAUUUUCUAUUUACCUCGAUCUAACGCUGUACGAGGUCUGACAGGAUCUAUACGAAUAAAUUUAACUCACUUCAAUAUAAUUCUCAUUUAAUUUAAUCCAAAAUGGAAUUUUGGAAAAAUUACCAUUUUUCCCUAUUGUUUUAAUUCUUUUGUAAUUUAGUCCCUAGGCUCGAAAAAUGAAAUUCAUACAAUUUAAUCGUUACUCAUGCUUGGCUGAUUUUAUACAUAUUAAUAGUAGCACAUAUAUUCCACAAAAAUCAAAAAUUUUACCAUAAAUUUAUCACCUUUUUCAAUUUAACCCUUAAUUUACAAUUUCAUCAAAAUUCUCUUUACAAAAGUUGUUUAUCUAACAACAAACAUUCAUUUUCUAUCAUCAAACUUCAAAAUUCAAGCACAUUCAUCAAUGAAAAACCCUAAUACUUUAAAAGUUUUAAAAAUUCAUCCUCGAGCUAGCUAGAUUAAGCUAGUACGAUCUCAAAAACAUAUAAAUCAUCAAAAACGGGACAAAAAUACAUACCUAAUUGAGCUUUCCCAAAUUCAAGCUUUCAUGGCUAGGUUUUCUUCUUCUUCUUUUUGGUGGAUGAUGAUGAUAAUAGUUUAUUUUAUUUUAUCUAUUAUAACCUUAAUCACUAAUUUCCAAAAUUAACCUUAAUAAUUUAUUCAAUUUCCAAUGAUUACAACACAUGCUUAACCACUAAUCAACCUUAAUGGCUAAUUACUAUAUAAGGACCUCCAAUUUAAAAUUCUAUAGUUAUUCAAUACCUUUAAAUAUUAGAACACAACAUUUGCACUUUAUGCAAUUUAGUCAUUUUUAUCAAAUUAGGCAUGUAAAUGGUAAAAUUUCUUAACGAAAUUUUUAUACGAUAUUCUUAUCAUACUGUAGACCAUAAAAUAAUAUUAAACUAAAAUUUCUGAAUUCGCAUUUAUUCUCCCGAAACCACUAUUCUGAUUUCACUAAAAACAGGAUGUUACAACUCUCCCCCUUAAAGAGAUUUUUGUCCUCGAAAAUCUUACCAGAACUGAGGUUCGGAUAUUACUUUCUUAUAGCUUCCUCAGGUUCCCAAGUAGCUUUUUCUAUUCCGUGUCGCUGCCAGAGAAAUUUUACUAAAGCUAUGUUUUUAUUUCGUAACUCAUCCACCUCUCGUGCUAAAAUUCUGAUCGAUUCUUCCUUUUAUGUCAUAUGAAGCUAAAUUUCGACAUCCGUUAGAGAAAUAAUAUGUGAAUGGCUAGAUCGAUACCUUCAUAACAUGGACACGUGGAAGACAUUGUGGAUUUUUUCAAGUUCUGACAUUCAAGCUAAUUGGUACGCAACAGGUCCAAUUUUGUCAAUAAUCUCAUACGGCCUGAUAAUUCGCGGACUCAGUUUUCCUUUAUGACCAAACCGAAGAAUUUUCUUCCAGGGAAAUACUUUCAAAAAUACUGUCUCUGACUUGAAACUCUAUAUCUUUACAUUUAAGAUCCGCAUAAGAUUUUUGACGAUCUGAAGUUGUUUCUAAGCUAUCUCGGAUCACUUACACUUUCUCCUCAGUCUCACAAAUCAAAUCUCACGAAUCAAAUCAACCCCGUGUAUCUUUUUCUCACUGAGCUCAAUCCAUUAUAACAGAGUUCGGCAUUUGCGACCAUACAGAGCCUCAUACGGUGCCAUUUUUAUACUCAACUAAAAACUAUUAUUAUACGUGAAUUUGACUAACGAAAAAUAUUUCUCCUAAUUUCCUUCAAACUCUAAAACACAACACCGAAGCAUAGCUUCAAGAAUCUGAAUCACAAGCUCGGACUGACCAUCAAUUUGAGGGUGAAAUGUGGUGCUAAAUGUAAUCGCGUACCCAGAGCUUCCUGUAACUUUUUCCAGAAUCGCGAUGUUAACCGCUAGUCUCUAUCCGAAAUAAUAGAGACUGGUACUCCGUGUAGUCUGACAAUCUUUGAAACAUAUAACUCAGCUAAUUUGUCAAGUGAGAAAUCUAUACGUACCAGAAUAAAAUGUGCCGACUUUGUCAAAUGAUCGACGAUAACCCAAAUGACAUCUUUCUUUUUCGGAGAUAGGGGUAACCCCCAUACAAAAUCCAUUGUAACUAUAUCCCAUUUCCACACUGGUAUCAUCACUGGCUGUAACUGUCCUGAAGGUACCUAAUGUUCAACUUUAACUUGCGGACAUAUCAAACAUUUAGAUGCAAAAUCUGAAACAUCACAUUUCAUUCCCGGCCACCAAUACAUUUUUUUCAAAUAUUAUACAUUUUAUUACUCCUCAGAUGAACAGACAAGCUACUACAAUGAGCUUCAUGCAAAAUUUUCUGUAUAAGUUCUAGAUAACAAAUAAUCAUCGAGUCCUAUCUGAAAUUCUGAAUCAGAAGUCGACCUACACUGUACCAGUUUAGCUAACAUCUCAUUAUCACAUUUCUGAGCUUCGCAGAUAUAUUGUAAAAAUGUUGGUUUAGCUUUGAACUCAGCUAAAAUCGAGCCAUCAUCAGAUAGUGAAAGUCGGGUAUUCAUCGCUCGUAGAACAAGGACUUUCUACUCAAAGCAUCAACAACUACGUUUGCUUUUCCUGGAUGAUAAUCAAUAACUAACUCAUAAUCUUUCAAUAGUUCGAGCCAUCAACGUUGUCUCAGAUUCAAAUCUUUCUGGGACAUCAGAUACUUUAAAUUCUUGUGAUCGAUAAAUAUAUGACAUUUUUCAUCGAACAAAUGGUGUCGCCAAAUUUUGAGCGCAAAGAUAAUAGCUGCCAACUAUAAGUCAUAUGUCGGAUAGUUCUUUUUAUGUGGUUUUAACUAUCUGGAAGCAUAAGCUAUUACUUUACCUUCUUACAUCAAAAUACAGCCUAAUCCGUUCAAUGAAGCAUUACUGAAAAUCACAAAUUCCUUACCCGAUUCAGGCUGAACUAGAACUGGUGCUUCGGUCAAUAAAGCUUUCAACUGGUUAAAAAUUUGCUUACAUUUAUCAGACCAUUCAAACUUCACAUCUUUCUGUAAUAGUCGUGCCAUUGGUGUAGCUAUCAUCGAAAACCCUUUUACAAAUCUCCGAUAAUAACCAGCUAAUCCCACAAAAAUUUUGACUUCAGAUGCGUUUCUCGGUGGUUUUUAGUUAAUAAUCAUUGAAAUUUUAUUUCGAUCAACUCUAAUGCCUUCAGCCGAUUCUAUGUGUACCAAAAAGCCAGCUUCCCGAAGCUAAAACUCACAUUUUCUAAAUUUAGCAAACAAUUGUUUAUCUCGCAAAGUUUGCAGAACAAUUCUCAGAUGCUCUGCAUGUUUAGUCUCAUUUUGGGAAUAUAUCAGAAUAUCAUCAAUAAAUAUCAAAAUAAAUCUAUCUAAAUACGGUCUGAAAAUUAUAUUAAUCGAAUCCAUAAAUACUACAGGUGGGUUAGUUAAACCAAACGACAUCACAAGAAAUUUAUAAUGUUCGUACCUAGUUUUGAAUACUGUUUUCAGUAUAUCUGAAUCUUUCACUCGUAACUGAUAAUAGCCAGAACAAAGAUCAAUCUUUGAUAACACUGUGGCACAUUUCAACUAAUCAAACAAAUCAUCAAUGCGAGGUAAUGGAUAUUUAUUCUUGAUUGUAACUUUGUUAAGCUAACAGUAGUCAAUGCAUAAUCUCAUCUAUCCGUCCUUUUUCUUAACAAACAGAACCGGUGCACCCCAAGGUGAAAAACUAGGUCGAGCAAAAUCCCUAUCAGUCAACUCUUGCAACUGUGCUUUCAACACUUUUAACUCUGUAAGAGUCAUUCUGUAUGGUGUUAUCGAUAUCAAUGUUGUUUUUGGUACAAGUUCUAUAGCAAAUUCGACUUUUCUGACCGGUGGUAAUCCAGGUAACUCCUCUGGAAGUACAUCAGGAUACUCACAAACCACUGGCACUAAUUCAAGCUUCGACUCAGACACUUUAGUAUCCAAUACAUAUGCAAAGUAAGUAUUACAACCUUUUCUCACAUAUUUCUAUGCUGACAUAGCUGAUAUCACAAUAGGCAACCCAUUCAAUUUAUCUGAUUCAAUAUGAAGUAUCUCACCAUUUUGGCAAUUCAAUAUGAUAUCCUUUCAUCUGCAAUUUACCACAGCAUCAUGCAGAGUUAGUCAAUCCAUGCGCAAAAUCACAUCAAAUUCAUCGAAUGGUAAUAGCAUCAAAUCAACCGAGAAACAGUAACCCUGAAUCAUUAACAGACAAUUCUUCCAAACCUUAUCAACUAACACAUACUGACCUAGAGGGUUCGAUACUUUAACCACAAAUUCAGUGAACUCAACAGGUAAAUUUGUAUUAGACACUAAAUUUGUGCAAACAUAUGAAUAAGUCGAUCUGAGAUCAAUUAAAGCAUUUACAUCAGUAUUAAUAAGAGAAAAAGUAUCGGUAAUAACAUCUGGCGUAGAAGCAUCUUCGCGCACACAAAUAGCAUAGGCCCUAGCUGAUGUUUGUGCUUUAGACCUUGUAGUAGAGUCUUUCGUCACACCACGACUACCACUCACAUUUUUAGGAUUACGAGGUGGUCUAUCUCUCUCAACUGUGUUGUUUGGCCUCGAAGUUUGAAUAUUAUCUUUCCCAGAUUUCUCUGGGCAAUCUCUAAGAUAGUGGUCAAAGGAACCACAUCUGAAACACGCUUCGCUCUUUAUUCGACAUUCACCAAAAUGUGGCAUGUUACAGUGCUUAAAAUUAGGUCUGGUGUUUCUAGCACUACCCACACUCGCUACAGAUGUAGCCUGAGAUUUAGGACUAGAGCGUCGAGUACCUCUGUCUCUACCAGAUUAUUCCAUAUAAGUAGUAGAAUAGUAGUGAUGUUCUUUAGAUUUCUUUGAUGCUGACUGGUAUGCCUUUCCCGUCAAUCUCUUACUCAAAUUCCUGGCUUCAAUCUCAGCGUGUUUUUUCUCUUUACUCAGCUAUUCAGCUUUAUAUGCUCGAUCAACCAGUACAACAAAUUCUUUCAACUCAAAGAUCCCAACUAAUAGUUUAUAUCUUCGUUUAAGCCAUCUUCAAACCACUUACACAUUGCAGUCUAAGUUGGAAUACAUUCUCUAGCAUAUUUGCUUAAUCAAACAAAUUCUCGUUCAUAUUUAGACACUGCCAUAUGACCCUGUUUAAGCUCUAACAAUUCUUUACGUUUCUGGUCAACAAACCCUUAACUGAUGUAUUUCUUUCAGGUCUCAGUUUGAGAGAAUUCUCAAGUGACCCAAUCUCUUGCCACAACAGAAAUCAAUGUAUUCCACCACUGAUAAGCUGAAUCUUUUAAUAGAGAUACUGCACACAUAAGACAUUCAGCCGAUUAAUAAGAUAAUUCAUCAAGAACUCUGAUGGUAUUUUCUAACCAAAACCCAACUCUCUCAAGAUUAUCCUCGGCUAUAGCUUGAAAUUCUUCAGCACCGUACUUACAGAUCUUAUCAACAAGAGGCUUACCAACUCUAAUAGGUUCCAUACUUUAAGGAAUAACAGGAACCAAUUGGGGAACAGGAGGGGGUAGAGGUUGUUAAGCAAAUGAACCCGGUGAACCAUUCAUUCAUCAUCUAGAAGAAGGCUUCUCUAGCCUCUCCUCCCCGACCCAAAGAUACAGGCCUUGUACCACUCGAAGCUACUCUUUAAAUGGAGGCUUGAGCGUUACUCUCUACUUUAUCGGAAUAAGCUCGAUUGGAUGUCAUUGCUAUAUGAAAACAUGUUUUAAAAUGGUCAGGAGAUAUCACAAUAUCAUAGGUUAUAUAAUGGCAUGUAUAGCUAAACUUGUAUAUGCUAAGUUAGUCCGAGAAUCAACUAAACUGUAGCUCUGAUACCAAUAAAUUUAACAUCCCUAACCCGAAUCUGUCGUCGAAACAGGGUUAAAGAGAAUUACCAAAGUUUAUAAAUAAAACAGACAGAAAAUGCAAAAAUAAAUAAAAUAGACAGAAAAUGCAAACAUUUCAUAUCAUAUAGCAUUCAUGUCAAAAACCAAUCAAAAUAAUACAUAUUGCCCCUUAUACAAGCCCUCGAGGCCCAAAAUGCGCAUUAGAAACAAGUCGGGACUAGGGCAAGGGUCACGCAACCGUGUGACUCAGUCGGUCAGGAGACACGCUCUUGCCUCAGGACGUGUGGGAAUUCAAAAUAGAGACACACGGUUGUAUCCCAGCUCGUGUCUGUGCCCGUGUAACUCUCUGACUAGGGCCACACAGCCAAGCCACACACCCAUAUGCUAGACUGUGUGAGCAUACCGACUUGCGCAAUUUAAAUGAUACAAGGGACACACGACUGUGUCACCUGGCUAUGUGUCACACAUGACUAAGACACACGCCCGUGUCUCUGCCCAUGUGGAUGAAAAUAUGUCAUUUUCCAAGCCACAUUUCUCACCCAAUUUGUCACCAACCUAACUCAACAUUUUUGCACAUCAACAAGCCAUAACAAGGCGUUCAAACAAGACAAAAUCAAAACUAAAACAAUAAAUAUCAACAUAUACAACCAAUAUGCCCUUAGGCACCUCAAAUGACAACAUAAAAACAUGUCAACCAAGUAUCCAAACUUACCUAAAUGACCAAAUACAUAUAUGCAUAUUCAAACCACAUUUUACUUUUCAUCAUUCUACCAUAUUAAACACACAUCAAAUAUGGUAAAGCCACAUAUACAUCCACAUCAAAAUAUACCAAACACAAGCCAUAUAAGUGGCUAAUCUCAACAAAACAAUUAUAUGUCAACAUUGACCAAAUUAACCUAUACAUGCCAUUAUAACCAGAAUUAAUGUACUGAAAGUACCAAAAGGGCAAAUUGAUAGUGUGAAAUAGCUCCGACCAGUUUCCAACCCGAACGAGCUUUUGAAUUAUUGUAAAACAUGAAAAAUAACACAGAGUAAGCAUUUAAGCUUAGUAAGUUCGUAUAACACGAAAUUUAACUUACCAUAUAUCCAUAAAAUAGGCAAGUAAACAUAGCAUAUCUCAACCAAUUUGGCCAAAAGCCUAAACACAUGAUCACCAACAUAUUAGCCAUGAAAAUCACAUAUAAGAUCUAACAUACAUGGAUGAAUUCAUCAAGUAAUCACAUUUCUAAUAUUUCAUAUGAAAACCAGUAAUAGUUCAUAUUAAACUCAUAUAAUCUUGCAACAGAACUGUGUCCGUUGAACCAUUUAGAACAUCGUUGGAUACACGGGUAGUACACACGAGCUGUACUAAAUUGUAAUCCUUUAAUCCGUACUCAUGUAUGUUCAUACGAGCUAAGAAUCAGUAUGUUCUCAUGAGUUGUGAAUUGGGAAGCUCAUACAAGCUGCAAAUCAGGAAGCUCAUACGAGCUGUAAAUCGGGAAGCUCAUACAAGCUGUGGUUUGUCCACAACAUAUGCAGGACCCAAACCAAAUCGGUAACCCUAAUGACAUGUCAUUUGUAUCCUACAAAUUUCUAAGGUUUAAAUAGACUCGAAAAUCGUCAGAUAUGAGAUCGGUAUUUAUACAUAGCAAUUAUAAAAAUCACAUACAUAUGAUUCAAUUAAAACAUAUAAAUACUCAAUUUAAUUACACGAACUUACCUCGACAAGUGUACGUAAACACAGAGGCAACUAAUCUGAUAUUUUCUCUUUACCUCGAUCUAACUCUGUAUGAGGUCUGACAGGAUCUAUACGUAUAAAUUUAACUCAUUUCAAUAUAAUUCUCAUUCAAUUUAAUCCAACAUGGAAUUUUGGCAAAAUUACCAUUUUUCCUACACUUUUAAUUCCUUUUUAAUUUAGUCCCUAGGCUCGAAAAAUAAAAUCCAUACAAUUUAAUCCUUACUCAAGCUUGGCUAAUUUUAUACAUAUUAAUAGCAGCCCAUAUAUUCCACAAAAUUCACAAGUUUUACCAUAAAUUUAUCACCUUUUUCAAUUUAACACCUAACUUAUAAUUUUAUCAAAAUUCUCUUUACAAAAGUUGUUUAUCUAACAACAACCGUUCAUUUUUUAUCAUCAAACUUCAAAAUUCAAGCAUAUUCAUCAAUGGAAAAACCAUAAUACUUUAAUUUUUUUGCAAAUUAAUCCUUGAGCUAGCUAGAUUAAGCUACUACGAUCUCGAAAGCAUAGAAAUCAUAAAAAACGAGACAAAAACAAAUCCUUAAUUGACCAAAAUAAGCUUGCCCAAAUUCAAGCUUCCAUGUCUAGGUUUUCUUCUUCUUCUUUUUUGGUGGAUGAUGAUGAUAAUAGUUUAUUUUAUUUUAUUUAUUAUAACUUUAAUCACCAAUUUUCAAAAUUAACCUUAAUAAUUUAUUCAAUUUCCAAUGAUGACUACACAUGCUUAACCACUAAUCAACCUUAAUGGCUAAUUACUAUACAAGGACCUCCAAUUUAAAAUUCUAUAGCUAUUUAAUACAUUUAGUUAUUAGAACACAACCUUCGCACUUUAUGCAAUUUAGUCAUUUUUAUCAAAUUAGGCAUGUAAACGGUAAAAUUUCUUAACGAAAUUUUUAUACGAUAUUUCUAUCAUACUGUAGACCAUAAAAUAAUAUUAACCUAAUUUUUUUUUACUUCAAAUUUGUGGUCCUGAAACCACUAUUUCGAUUUCACUGAAAAUGGGUUGUUACAUUUAUCUUGUUUGAUUAAUAUUUGAUAAUAUGUGACAUUCUUGUAAUUAUUCACAUGUUUAAGGGAAUGUAUGUGAAUGAAUGCAAUAUUAUAUAUAUGUUAUAUAAUUAUUUUUUUCCAAGGUUGUGAUUCUUAGGAAAUAGACCGUGAAUUAUCAUCUCCACAUAGGAUUAUUUUUUAUUUAUAGAUUUCUUAUGAGCCGGAAACAAAAAUAGGAAAUAAAUGUAAUUUUUCCCAAAAGGAGUUCAUGAUAAGGAGAAUAUGAAGUGAUGGCAGUCAAAGACACAAGCAAUGCCUUGUGGUGAAAAUUUAUUCAAUUUUUGGUUUUUCAUUUAUUUUUUAAAAAUAGAACCUUGGAAACCUUGACUGGCAAUUUUAUUUUAUUAACCAUCUCUUUAUAUAUCUGUUUAAUAAUUAUUUAUGGUAUAAUUGUGAUAUAUAUGUAUGAGAUUAUCCAUAAUUGUUCGAUCAAAGAUAAGAAGUGUGGAAAUAAGGAGGUGAUUGUCUAGGAUUGGAUCUGGCUAGGAAAGACUUGGUUUUUAAAUGGUCAAAUAUGACUCACCUCCCUUUCCUGGGAUCCUACCUAAUGCAUGGGUCACAUCCACUUUUUCAAUUUUUCCCUAAAAGAAAAUUUGUGGAGAAUCAAAAUUAUUUGAUUGACUCUUGUGAAUAAUUAAAUGUGAAUAUUGUAAAAUUGCCAUAGCAUGUCAUGCAUACAUUUGAUAAGCAUGCCAUAUAGUUUAGGAAAGAAUGUCACAUGUACUUGUCACACAUAUAUUGAUCAUACAUUCUUGAAACCAAAAAUUAAAAACCUUGCAUUUUUUUAAAAUGUUGAGUAAGAAAAGGUCCCUAAACAAGACCUACAGCCUCUGUCAAUGGUCUCUUGUGAUGGCAUGAAAUGGAUCUACCUCACAGUAAAUGUUGUCUUGUGGACUUCAUUAAAGAGACUUCUUGAAAGUAAGCAGAAUUUUCUUAUGAUCAUAUGAUAGUUUGACUAGCCCUUAUGGUAGGUAUUAUCAUGUGACACAUUAAGAAAUUUUAUCUUCAAAAAGGAUAACUAGUCACAACAUGCUACUCGGUGAGCUUGUCCCAAGAUAACUCAUUUGUGGUGCAUGAUGCGAUAGGUGUUGAGUUGAUGGUUAUACACUCAAGAUCAUUUAGUUAAGAAACUCCCCAAUGAGCUAUGUUUAAGUUAGAAUGAUGGUCAAACAUUACACAAUUAUUAGUACAUGUGAAUUCCUAAAGAAUUAGGUUCAUGUACUAAUUGGAUGGAAAUCCAUGUUCUUACUAGUUGAUCAUGAUCACCUCAAGGUGGCUUCAUUCAAUGGGUUUAGGAAUUAUCAUUGCAAUGACUUACAAAUGUUUUUAAGGUUUAAUGUAAGACACAUGCAUUCUUUAAUGCAUAUUGUAAUGUUACAAAAUAUUUUCAAAUAUUUGCUUAAUACAAAAAUAUUAAUAUAUGAAUGUUUUAUUUUCAGUUCAAAAAUGUCACCAAUUCCCUUAUUGAACAUAUUUACUGAAAACAGACUAAACAAAAAUAGCUAUAAUGAAUGGAAAAGGAACUUCCUAAUUGUCCUGAGCUUUGAGAAACUUAAAACAAUUCUUGAUAAUAAAUUCCCACAAGCCACUCAAGCUGAGGCUAUAAAACGCUAGGAAGAGUCUGGUGAGAGAGCUCAAAUCUAUACAUUGGCAAGCGUGAGCAGUACUCUAUAUAAGCAACUAGAGAGCUGUAAGCCUGCUAAAGCGAUUCUAGAUAAGUUAGAAGACAUGAUCGGAGGCCAAGUUGCCUUGGCUCGACAGUAUGUCAUAACUAGCUUGAUGAAUACCAAGCAAAAGCCUAGCACUCUGAUCAAAGACCAUAUGAUCACUCUUAUGGGCUACUUUGCAAAGACCGCGGACAAUGAGGUCAAUUUGGACCAGAACACUCAAAUUGAUAUGGUGCUCAAAAGCUUGUCCAAGGAUUUUGUUGGUUUUCAAGCCGCAUAUAACCUUGGCAACCAAAACCUAAUGUUUACACAAAUCAUAAGGAGUUACAAUCCUAUGAGAUGAUGUUGAAUGGUGGUUAGCCGUUCCGAAGAGCAGAAGCAAAUAUAGUCAUCGCUUCUUCCUCAAAACGGAAGGGAAAGCGCGUUAAGAAAGGAAAGGCUAAGGUCUCUGGGCCACAACAAGUGGAAAAUAAGAGAACCAGAAAGCCUAAAGACUUAUCUAAGUCUAAAUGCUUUUCUGUAGUAAGAAAUGACACUUCAAGGAAAACUGUAAAGAGUGGAAAGAAUACCUAGCUACCAAAGGAAAAUGUAUAGAACUCUUGAUGAUAGAAGUUUGUUUAGUGGAAGAUUCACUAAACCAUUAAGCCAUUGAUUUGGGAGUCACUAAUAAUGUUUGAAUUUCUCUACAUUGGUUCGAGAACAUGAAAGAUCUUAGAGAUAAAAGCUUAUCAUUCCGAAAUGAGAACGGGACAAGUGUGGCAGCUGAAGUAGUGGGAGUUGUACAUCUUUAUUUUGAUAAUUUUAGGAAGAUUAUUUUAAAAGACGUUUUCUAUGUGCCAAGUUUCAAAAGAAAUUUAAUUUCUAUUGUAUGUUUAUAUAAAGACAGCUUGACCGUUACAUUUAAUAAUGGAAUUGAAAUAUUUAAAAAUCGCAAUCUUAUCAGUAAUAAUGGAAUACAAACUAAUUUAAAGCUACAAUAAGGUAUAUUAUACCUUUAUGACUUAACUUUUCAAAACAUUAUAUUUUCGUGUUGUUUGACCAUUAGGGUUAACAGUCAAUAGUUAAAGAGUAACGACUACCACUUUCUUCUAUUUUGGGGGAGUUAUUUUUGUCAUGUGCCAUGUAUGAAAAAAUUACAAAAUCAUUUUUUUUCAUUUGCACACUAUCAUUAAUAAUACAACACAUAUAAAAACGAUACAAAAACAAAUUAUUUGAUCUCUAAAGCUAUUUAUUAUUCUUAUUCAUCACAAAUCUCCCUAAAACCUACACGUCUUUAUUCAUCGUUGAUGACAAAUGAAAGUUUUAAUAUGCAAACUAAGGUGGGGAAAUACGUUGAGAGGUCAAGUGACAUAAUAGACCAUAUAUUAAAUUAUAGAUAAUUUAUAUUUUUAUUAUACUUUUUUUAAUUUUUUGUAAUAUUUUAUAAUUUUUCAUAUCUUUAUAAUUUUUAAUGAUUUUAAAUAGAAAACACUAGUUUUGCCACAUGGCAUAAUCUUGGUGUGAUGCCACGUGGCAAAAAUAACCCGAAAAAUGAAAAGAAACAUUAGUUGUUACUUUUUAACAAUUAACCAUUAAUUUUAACAGUCACAGAAAUUAUUUGAUUGAAAUUUUAAUGUCCACUUAUUUGAGUGUGUUUUUUUUAAUGCUUAAUUGACCUAUUUGGAAAAUUUCAAAGACUUUCUGAACCCUUUAGCAUUUAUUUAUUUAUUUAUUUAUCGGUGAUAAACAAAUGCCAUAGAGAUAUAAACUAAAUUAACAAUAUCAAAAGCACCAUUAGCUUUAUCACUAUGAAGGACUUCUAGUAAUUCUAUAGGGGCGUCUGCCAACACAUGUACCCCCUUCAUAUCAGUAGAAGACAUAUUGGUAACCCGAUCAGCAAGACAUGACAUACCACCCAAAGCUCUUUAUUUUGUAGCAUCUGCUGAAUUCACUUGACCAGAGAUAAGUGCAGGUUUGCCAAAGUAUUCCCUUGGAUUGCUUGGACUACCUCCAAGGUAUCGGUCUAGAUCAAAACCUUAUCCAAACCCCGUCCUUGUAAUAAGGUUAGUCCAUCCAAAAUACCUUAUAGCUCGGCGUCAAAGACUGAGCACCCCCUCCUCGAAAUGACUGGUUAAAACCCAUAAUCCAUUCCCUAGAUGAUUUCGCACCACUCCCCCUACAAAUGCAAACCCUAUACUCAAAUUGACUUUACCAUUAGUAUGCAAGUAAACCCAAUUAUCUGAUAAGGGAAACCUCUAAAUAGGAAUGCACCUUUGAGUUAAGCCUUCCUUGUGUGUGCACCAAAGUUGUCUCACUCGACUAAUAGAAGCUUUAACAAUCUCACAAGCUUUCCAUGUUAAGCCUUGAAAGACGAAUAAGUUCCCAUUCUUCCAAAUGCGCCACGCGAUGAGACCAAAUAAGCUUGCCCAACUAACUUCCACAUAACCUAUCAACUCAUACGACUAUAAGUUAGAAGCUAACCAAUUAGAGAGGCUGGCAGUGAAAAACUUGCUACCUUGGCUCGAAUACACCACUUGUCCCCACACCUCUUUUGUCACAGAACAAUCUCUAAGCACAUGAAGAAUAUCCUCUGUAACAUUUCCAUAAAUAGAACAAGACCUAUUCUGUCCAAUGCCAUACCUUACUCUAUGUUAGUGAAAAGACAUUGUUUGAAUGUGGACCAUAGAAAAAAGAGAACUAUUUGAGGACCCUUAAAUUUCCAUAGAGUUUUUGAAAUUGUUUCCUUAGAGUUCCAAUGGUUUUCCUUAAGCGACCUAUUAGCACUCUUAACUAAGAAAGCCCCUGUCGAAUUUGGAAACCAAGAAAUCCUAUCCGACCCCACUUCGGGAUGUGAGGGAAAGAUACUCAUUAUGCACCUAAUAAUGUUUCCAAAACCCAUACACAAAAAAUCAAGGUUUCAAUUGCCUUCUUCUAUAACCAUUUCCUUGAGUAGACAAUGUAACACCCCAAAUUUUGGGCCUAGAAGAAAUAGGUUUUGAACAAGGGAACAGUUAGGAGACUGCACAUAAAUAUUUAGUUGUGUAAGGAAGUGAUAUAAAUGAAUGUUUUCUUUACUGGUUAAGUGAUUUGGGAGUGUUUGGAAGUGUCUGAGAAGUCAGGGGUUCAAGCCUUGGCUUACGCAAAAUUUUUAUUUUAAGUGAAUAAAAUCCUUGGAUCUAGAUAGUAGGUUUUUAAAUUAUUGUGGUUAAAAUAUGAUACAAAGGAGUUGUUAGUCUAAUGGUAAGGGGCGUGUGGAGUGUACAUGGGGUCUAAAGUUCGAGUGGUGGCGCAUCAAAAAGGGAGUAUUUAUUUUGCUGCCUAAUUCGUGCGGGUGGUAGAGUUGGAUUGAAAUACUGCUAAAUGGAGUUUGAAUUGGUCAUAGAGAGAUUUGAGGAGAGAAUAUUGGGAUUUAGGGAGGUUGUUGUUCUGGAGAGAUAUAUAUCAUCUCAUUUGUUUCUUGUUCUCGAUGGGAGAUCGGCGAGGUUUUUAAGGUUUUUGUCGCUUUCUCCAACCUGCAUUGCUUCCAUUUCUAACUGGUGUCCAUUUCUAACUGGUGGUGGUCGAGAUUGAUUGGCAUAUUGCCUGGGAACCAAGGGUACGAUGAUCAUUGAUUUUCAGAAUAAGAGUCUUCGGACCAAAAAGAAUCUGCAAAUUGCAUCAGGUGUGUAACCACCCAACUGUAACUGUAGAACGGUAAAAGCCGAAAAGCUAAAAUACGGCGUUGAAACUACACGAGUGUCCUAUCGCUCGUGUGGAAAGCCAAACCUGCGAAUCAUGGGCGAUAAAUUGUAGAGGCCUCCAUGAGCAUUUCCAUGGGCUUAGGCCGUAAUGGGCCACGUUGGGCCGAAAUGGGUCGUGUAGGCUCAAUGGACUUGUGGGCCCCACAUGGAUGAAAUCCAUGAUUUGUGGCAACUUCUGGACUAGGUUGUGUAGAUCUCAUAACCGUGGCAAAAUCUAGGCUGAACAGGCCACACGAGUGUGUGGGUCCACUUGGGCAGAGUAAUGGGCCUUGGGCCCAUUUACAUUGUUAUGAUCGAAAUACCCUCAUAGGGUAAAAUGACCGAAAUAUCCAUAUAGGGUAAAAUGAUCGAAAUACCCCCAUAGGGUAAAAUGACCAAAAUACCCCCAUAGGGUAAAAUGACCAAAAUACCCUCAUAGGGUAGAAUGAUCGAAAUACCCCUAUAGGGUAAAAUGAUCGAAAUACCCCCAAAGGGUAGAAUGACUGAAAUACCCCUAUAGGGUAAAAUGACCGAAAUACCCCCAUAGGGUAAAAUGACUGUUAUAUCCCUAGGAGAUGAAAUGACUGUUAUGGCCUUAUGUUAUGUAUGACUGAUUUGCUCUAUGAUAUGUAUGACUAUGAUUGAGCAUGAGAUUUUGCAUACACGUAUGAUAUUAUGUCACGAUAUAUUACAUAGGGAUGGGUUGUUAUAUUUGGAGGAAGUGUACCGUACUGAUAAGGUUGCACGGGUCGCCCAAGACGACUGUGGACCUACUAAUGGCUAUAUACCGUUUAUUUUACUGGCAGCUUUGCUGCAAUACUAUUUAAUGUCGCAACCGAUGCUAAUCUUGGUGUGUCUGGCUGGGUGGGUCGAUUUUAUCCCCACAUGGUGCGUUUAGCAAGACUGAGUGGUGUGUAGAGGCUGGAUUGGGUAGGAUUUCUAACUGCAUAUCUACACUGAUUAAUGAUUUUGUACUGUUACUGCAUCAAUUAAUGAUAUUACAUACUGUUCACUACAUGACUGAUAUCUGUUACUGUUAUGGGUCAAGGCCCCACUGAUAAUAUUACUGAAAUUGGGCAAAGGCCCUACUGAUUACUAGCAUUGUGAUGGGCUCAAGCCCAAUCGUUUAUUGUUACUGGAAAAGGCUUAGGCCCACAUUGAACUGGACUGUUACUGUAAUGGGCUCAGGCCCAAACUGUAUUUAUCUACUGUUCAAUUUACUGUUUUCUUAUUAGGGGAUUACACACUGAGUUGUCAUAAACUAACCCAUCUGUUUAACUGUACAAGUAAUCCCCAGUUGUAGGUAGGUCAAUGCUAUGAGGGACUCGAAGGUGGCCACACAACUGUAGCUGUUCUACACUUGCUUUUAUUUAAAUUUAAAGUUUGCGUUGGGUUUUUUUAUGUGAUAAGGCCAUUUAUGUUUGUCUAAAUUUUUUUGGCUUUUGCUUACUUAUUAUUAACUGCUAAUUUAGUAGAAGACGAAUUUACAAAAUAAUUACUAUUUUUAAAGACACGAAAUUUAAACAUUAGAGUUUUCAAAAGCUCCGCAAUUUUAGAUCAACCUAUUAUAAUGAUAGCAAAUAACAAGGCAAACGUUUUGACUAGAUGAUUUGUUAAAUAAUAGUAAAGGGGUUUUUAUACUUAGAAACGUAUUUUUUACCAACAAGUCCAAUUUUCGAAAGACACUUCAAUGUGACAUGCCAGAUUCGACCAUAAUGUCUAGGCCGAGUUUGGGGUGUUACAAGACAAUCCACUUUUAGAUUCCCGUGCAAAGGUAUCCAUUUUAUCAGAACACAAUCUGUGGCGCCCAACGGUCUUGUCAACACCAGACAAACCUCCCAUCCCCUAUCGACCACACUAAAUUAUCUCUAAGUAGUGGUCAUACCUUUGACAAGCCUCUCCAAAGAAAAGAGUUGUUGCUUCUCAAAAUACUUUCCGGCAAACUGUCUUUCAUAUCAUACUUUGACUAAAGAACCCUCACCCAUAAGGUAUUGACAUUUGCAACCAGAUUGAAUCCCAAUUUCAUCAAAAAAGAAAUAUGUUGAUCCUCGAACCUCCACAAACCAAGACCCCAUUAAGAGCAUGGUUAACAGACUGAGUCUCAACUUACUAGUGCCAUCUUCUUCUUUCCAUUCAAGGAACCCCAAAUAAAUUGUUUGGCCAAGCACUCGAUCUCCUCACAAAUCCCUUUCAGAAUCAUCAUUAACUGCAUAAAAUAGUUAGGUUUGGAUAAUAGCACAGAUUGUGCUAGAGUAGCUCUCCCAGCAAGUGAUAGUUGUCUAGCAUCCCAACUAAGAAAUUUACUACGUACCUUGUCCACCAUGAAUUGUAAGGUAUUUUUAGAAACUCUUUCAUGGAAUAGUAGAACCCCCAGAUAAGAGCUAAGGUCAUGUUAUAACAUUAAAGUAUAUUUUUAUUAAGAUAAAAUAGAAGUUACUAAUUUAAUUUAACUUAAAAUUUUAAAUAAUUUAAUAAAAUAUUAAAAAUUUCAAUUAUUUAAAAUUUUAUUUUAUUUUUAUUAUUAAAUUAAUUUUCUUUUAAGUUAUUUUAAAAUAUUUCAAAAUCAUACAUAUUUCUUUUACUUUAAUUAAAUAAUAAUUUAGAAUUAAAAUUUUAAAAGUAAAUUUGUUUUUGAAAGGUAGUUUUUUUUUCUUCGUUACCAAGCAACAAAGACAAAACCAUACAUAAAUAAAAGUCAUUUCAAAGCAUUAUUAUUCUAAGCAUAAGUUACAACUUUUCUUGCCAUAGAUUUAGCUAAUUUACUCCCUUCAUGCUGUUGUAUAUGUUGAAAUUGGGUCUUCAUGGCAUCGAUAUCAUGCAUUAGGAGGGACUUUAAUGUUAGAAGAUGGCUUACAUGCAAACCAAGACAGUUCGGGCCAUGCAAGUUUCAGCUGAAGCAUAUGUUGUUGUUUUGUUACUUUUUGGUUAAUAUUUUGUUACUUAGUUACAAUUGAACUAAGUUUGUAAUAAAUUUGUUGUAAUUUGGUGCUAAUAGAUUUGAUAAAUCAGCUUAACCAAGAGUGUAAGCAAGGUUUUAUACAUUUCAAGACUUAGUUAGUGGAGUUAGGUAUGUUUAAGUGACAUUUUUCAUUUUUUGACAAGCUGAUUCCUUGGUAUAUGUAAUGCAUUUUGUUUUAAUGAAAUCAUGAUGCAUCUUUCAAUAAAUUCUCCUUCUUCUUUUGGUUUUCUGGUAAGCAUUUUGUUCUUAUAGCUUAAGCUAAAUUUCUUUGUUUGUUUAGCAAGAUAUUGAAGCUUAAAGCUUAAGUUUCAGCUGAAGUUUCUUAUUAUGUUUCAAAGAUCCAACAAUUGGUAUCGAGAGUUGAUUUCUUAGAGAACCUUUCUCUUUGCUAUUCUCAAAAGCAAUGUCUUCAUCAAGUUUCUCUCUAGCACAACCACCAGUGUUCAAUGAUGAAGGCUACCAUAUUUGGGUAGUGAAAAUGAAGACUUACCUGUAGGCAUUUGACUUGUGGGAGGUUUUCAAUACUGAUAUUAAACCACCACCUAUAAUAGCUAACCCCACGGUAGCUCACAUCAGGCAGCACUCUGAUCACAGAGCCAAGAGGUACAGGGCAAUGUGUUGCAUUCAAAACAGUGUGUCAGACUUGAUUUUCACAAGGAUUAUGGCUUGUGAGACUCCAAAAUAGGCUUGGGAUAGGCUCAAAGAGGAGUUUCAAGGAACUGAAAAUAUAAGACAACAAUAACUCUUGAAUUUUAGAAGGGACUUUGAAAAUUUGAAUAUGAAGGAAUCUAAAACAGUUAAUCAAUAUUCAGACAGAAUUAUGGCUAUUAUGAACAACAUCAGAUUGCUUGGGGACCAAUUUAGUAAAGUCAGAAUAGUGGAAAAGGUUAUUUCAACCUUACCUGAGAGAUAUAAAGCCAAAAUCUCUUCUCUAGAAGAUUCAAGAGAUCUGUCAAGCAUCUCUUUGACUGAGCUAAUCAAUGCUCUCUAUGCUCAUGAGCAAAGAAAAGCUAGCAAACAGGAGGAGCAUCAAGAAAGUACCUUUCAAGCUAAGAGCACACCAACCUUGAGCUCCUCUGGCUUCAAAGGGAAGAAAACUGGCCAGACAAAUCAAGAAGAGAUGGAGUAAGAAGAAGGUAUCCACCUUGCUUACAUUGUAAAAGAAUUAGCCAUCCUGAAGCUAACUGUUGGUAUAGACCUGAUGUACAGUACAGGGUUUAUAAAUAGAUGGGCCAUGUUGAAAAGGUUUGCAGAAACAAAGGCAAGUAGAAGAAAAACCAGCCUCAACAACCUAGAACGAAAGCUCAAGUGGCAGAAGAAGGUUGUGAUUAGGAAGAACAAGUAUUUGUUGUCUCCUGCUCGGCUGCUAGAAGAAAAGCUACAAAAGGGUGGCUAAUUGGCAGUGGUUGCACAAACCACAUGACACCUGAUAUUGCUAUCUUCAAGAGCAUUGAUAGAAUUUUUAACACAAAAGUAAAAGUGGGCAAUGGACACUACAUUAAAGUAGAAGGCAAGGGAGAUGUGCUGAUUGACACUCCUUCAGGUAUCAAACUCAUUCCCAUUGUUUUGUUUGUACCUAAAAUAAAUAGAAAUCUGCUAAGUAUUGCUUAACUUGUUGAAAAAGGAUACACAGUUGUAUUCAAAGGCAAAGAAUGUCUGAUUAGUGAUCUAAGUAGAUCCAAACUCAUGUUAGUGACCAUGACUGACAAAAUUUUUAUUAUGGAUUGGAACAAAAGUUCAGACAGUGCCUACACAACUGUCUUAGAUGAGUCUAAACUAUGGCAUAAAAGAUUAGGCCAUGUCAAUCAUAAGUCUCUACUUUAUUUGUCUAAAGAAAACUUGGUUGAAAAUUUUACAAAAAUAGUUGAAAAAGAGGAUGUUUGUCAAGUGUGUCAGCUAGGAAAGCAAGCUAGACUACCAUUUCCUUUGAACAAGGCCUGGAGAGCCUCUGAAAAGCUGCAGUUAGUCCACGCUGAUGUGUAUGGCCCUAUGAAGACACAAUCCUUAAAUGGUAGCAGGUACUUCAUUCUUUUCAUUGAUGAUUAUUGAAGGUUCUGCUGGGUUUACUUCCUAAAGCACAAGUCAGAAGUAGCCUCAGUGUUUUGGAAAUUUAAGGUUGUAGUAGAAACUCAAUCAGAUUGCAAGCUUAGAACACUAAGGUCAGACAAUGGUACAGAGUACACUUCAAAAAUGUUUCAAAGUUUUUGUGAAGAAUCAGGCAUCAAACACCAGAUCACAAACAUCUAUACACCUCAGCAAAAUGGUGUCAGUGAGAGGAAGAAUCAAACUUUGAUGAGUAUGGCCAGAUGCUUGAUGUUUGAGAGGAAUUUGCCUAAAAGUUUUUGGGCUGAAGUAGUGAAGACCUAGUUUGGGUUUAAACCAUCAGUUGCUCAUCUAAAGGUCUUUGGUUGCAUAUGUUAUGUACGCAUACCAGUAGUAAAAAGGGACAAACUGGCAAAGAAGGCUCAGCCUGGCAUUCUAGUGGGCUAUAACAGUGUCAAGAAGGGCUACAAGAUUCUGGAUCCUUCAACCUACAAAAUCUUUGUGAGCAAAGAUGUUGUAUUUGAUGAGAGGUCAAGCUAGAAUUAGGAUAAAAGUGAACCAGAAUGUACUACUGAAGACUUGGUGACAAAGCAAACUGAAGUUGAUCAAAAUAAUCCUGAAAUGGACAUUGAUCAUGAGCCAGUUAUGGGAACCGACCACUAAGUGAAAUAUAUGAAAGGGCAGAUAUGGCUACUGUUGAACCAACAUGUUUUGAGGAAGCUCAAGCUCAAUAAGGAUGGAGGCAAGCCAUGCUUGAUGAAAUGAGAAUGAUUCACAAAAAUCAGACCUAGGAGUUAGUUGCAAAGCCAGCUCAUAGGAAGGUCAUAUGAGUAAAAUGGGUGUUUCAAGCUAAGCACAAUGCUGAUGGAACUUUGAACAAGCUAAAGGCAAGGUUAGUAAUGAAAGGAUUCAGUUAGAAAUAUGGGAUUGACUACUUUGAAACAUUUGCACCAGUAGCUAGACUUGAUAUAAUCAGACUACUAGUUGCAUUGGCUACUCAAAAGUAGUGGAAAAUACAUCAACUUGAUGUAAAAUCUUCUUUCCUCAAUGGCUUUCUUGAUGAGAAGAUAUUUUUUGAAUAGCUAGAGGGUUUUAAGGUUGCUGGUGAAGAAGACAAAGUGUUCAAGCUAAGAAAAACCUUGUGUGGAUUAAAACAGGCACCAAGGGCCUGGUAUGACAGAACCGACACCUACCUAGUAAGCUUGGGGUUCAAAAGAAGCAUUAGUGAGCCAACACUGUAUGUGAAGAAAGAAGGUGAUGAAACACUGCUCAUAUUCUCCUUAUAUGUGGAUGACUUACUGGUGACAGGAGGAAACAAUGUUAUGCUGACUGAUUUUAAAGGCAAGAUGCAGAGCAUGAUUGAAAUGUCAGAUUUGGGUGAAAUGUCCUAUUUCCUUGGCAUAGAAGUGUUUUAGACUCAGCAAUGAAUUUUCUUAAGCCAAAAAGCAUUUGCCUUGAAAAUUCUAAAAAGAUUCUCCAUGCAGAAUUGUAAAGCAACUAGCACUCCAAUUGCUAUUGGAGAAAUGGUAACAAGCCAGGGUGAUUUUGAGAAAGUAAAUGAGUCAACCUAUAGGAGCCUAGUUGGAUGUCUCCUCUACUUGACAGCCACAAAACCAGGCAUAAUGUUUGCAGUCAGCCUCUUAUCCAGGUUCAUGCACUGCUGCAAUGUGAACCAUUUUCAAGCUGCAAAGAGAGUCCUCAAGUAUAUUAAAGGCACUCUGAGCUUUGGGAUGAUGUUUACUAAGGUUGACAGCAUGAAGCUCCUUGGUUUUGCUGACAGUGACUGGGCAGGAUCGAUGGAUGACAUGAAAAGCACCUUAGGGUAUCUGUUUACCCUUGGUUCAGCUAUUUUUUGCUCGAAUUCUAAGAAGCAAACUAUUGUUGCUCAAUCAACAGCUGAAGUAGAAUAUGUAGCAGCUACAGGAGCUAUUAACCAAGCAAUUUGGUUAACGAAGAUCAUGGCAGAUAUGAACUUGCAUCAAAGAGAAGCAACAGAGAUCAAAUGUGAUAACCAAUCUGCUGUUGCAAUUGCAAAGAAUCCAGUGUUUCAUGGGAAAACAAAGCAUUUUAAGAUCAAGUUUCAUUUUGUUAGAGAAAUGGAAUAAUCUAAAGAAAUCAAACUGGUUCAUUACAGUUCUGAAGAUCAGUUAGUUGAUAUCUUGACAAAACCUCUUUGUGUGUCAAGGUUCAAGAAUUUGAGAGCCAAGUUGGGAGUUUGCAGCAUGCAAGCCAAGGAGGAGUGUUAGAAGAUGGCUUACAUGCAGACCAAGAUAGUUCGGGCAAUGCAAGUUGCAGCUGAAGCAUAUGCUGCUGUUUUGUUACUUUUUGGUUAAUAUUUUGUUACUUAGUUACAACUGAACUAAGUUUGUAAUGAAUUUGUUGUAAUUUGGUGCUGAUAGAUUUGAUAAAUUAGCUUAACCAAGAGUGCAAGCAAGGUUUUGUAAGUUUCAAGACUUAGUUAGUGGAGUUAGGUAUGUUUAAGUGACAUUUUUCAUUUUUUGACAAGCUCAUUGCUUGGUAUAUGUAAUGCCUUUUGUUUUCAAUGAAAUCGUGAUGAAUCUUUCAGCAAAUUCUUCUUCUUCUUUUGGUUUUCUGUCAAGCAUUCUGUUCUUAUAGCUUAAGCUGAAUUUCUUUGUUUGUUUAGCAUGAUAUUGAAGCUUAAAGCUUAAGUUUCAGCUGAAAUUUCUUAUUCUGUUUCAAAGAUCCGACAAUUAGUUUCCGGUGGGUUGUCACUUCUUCACUGUUCUGUCUUUGCUGCAUAUAGUGCAUGAUGUAAUGUUCAUAGCAAAUGCUAAUCUUGCAAUGAUUAGUUUGCUGGUUAAACGAUCGUCUGACGAGAAACUUACAGCCUGCAGCCACAAAAUUUGAUUGGUAUUGGAUUUUAGAAUAACAGCAGCAGCACCUACCAUAUUUGCCAUCUAUUUCCAUUCCAAAAUGAGGUGGUGAGCAGUCUGUUGAGUGUUCGUUCUAGAUUACGUUCACAACCAUCAAUAUUGAAUCAUUCCCUUGAUUUGAAAGAAUCACCAAAAACUAAGCAUUGAUAUUAACAUUAUUUAAUGUAUUACUAAAAACGUAUAUUGGAAAUUAAUUUUCCUCCUUACCCAUUUCAAUAAAUAGUGUAUAAAACUAUAAUUUGUUUUUGAGAAUAUAAGACUAUAAUAUCUUAGUUAGAAAAAAACCUCCAUUUUUCAUAUUUUUAUCGAAUGAAAACUGCUACACACGUCCAACACUCGUAAUUUAACAGCAACACACUGUUUUAUAGGUGGCAUAGCUAUUUUUGUUUGAUUUUUUGAAAUAGUCGCUAAUAUUUCACAUUACAAAUUCAUCAAAUUUUACGAAGGGCUUUCCAAGUUCGAUUUUCUUUUCGUUUGUAACCGCUACCAAGACUUCGUAAUCGUCGUCUUCGUAGUGGUUUCUUUUUUAUUUUUUUAUUUUUUUUAAUAAAAGGAAACAAAUUCAAAUCUGGCUAUCAAGUUAUUUGGGAUCAUUGUUGGUUUGACCUCCAAAAGUUUGAAUUUCUUCCUUUUCCAUCACCUAGCUGAUUAGGGUUUCAAGCAUUCUUUUCUUUUAUCAGGUAAUUUUGAAUUUUGGUUUUCUCUUUUAAUUUUAUUUUAGUUUCCAUUUGAUGGUUUUUUUUUUUUUUUGGAAAACUUGAUUUUGUAAGUAACAUAUUUGUGAAGAAAAUGUAUGUAAUUGUAAAGGCAAAAAAUUGUGAUGCGAUGCUUUUGAAGAUUUAUAAUUUAAAAAUAAACUAUUUGAUUAGAAAAAUGCAUGAUUUUUUCUUUUAAAUCAAUCAAUAAUCUUUGAAUGCAUUACAAUUCAGUCAUAUGCUGAUUUUUAAUCAAAUUUAUUGUCUAUUAUUUAGCAAUAUUCAAUAUGGUUAAAAAAUAACAAUUAAUGGAGCUCAAGUUCUUAUAUAGUAUGGGUUACUCUUAAUCUUAAUAUGAAAGCUUAUGCUGGCUUUGCAGGUUUAAGAUUUGUUGUAGCCAUUAUUUACUACUUUCAAGGUCUCAAGUGUUAUAAUGUUUGGUAAGAGCUUUUCAUUUGCUAGAGAUUUUGGCUUUUGCGGCUGCUUUGGCUACACAACAAAGCCCAAACGGUCGAGGUCCCAUUGCAGGCCAAACUCUCAGGACCUUUUUUUAGAUGAAGAAAUAGAAGAGGAUAGUUGUUUAUAUAACGAUGAUUUUACGAGCACUUCUCAAGUAGAUGAGGUUGAGCCUAUAAGCCGUGCCAAGCGUUCUGAGGAGAUUUUGAGGUUCAAACUCAACAAUGGAAUGAUUUGCAGGCAAUUUAUAGUUAAGGAAACCAACAGGAUUAUUCGCUCAGAGGUAGGCAUAGAAAUGUUGUUAUGCCUCCAUUGCCACUGAAUUACGUCAUAAAUGUUAAUAAUAUUAUUGUCUUGUGUGCCAUUAUGUAUUCAUACCAGUAAUCUUCAUUUCAUUCUGUAUUUGUCUCAUAUGCUUAUAAAGUUUUGGAAUCUUGACUUCAUUUUCAGGAUGAAGAUGGGAAUAAGAUGGUUAAUGAAUAUGUGCGUGAAUAUAGGAUUGGUUCUGGCAGCUAUGGAAAAGUGGUGAGGAGAUCAUUGAAAGACACCGUGUUACAUAAGUUGCAGAACAUAAUUAAUUAUUACGUAUUUUGUUUGCUUGUGUGGCAGGUUCUAUAUCGAAACAGUGUAGAUGGGAAACACUAUGCUAUUAAGGUUAGUGGCUUGUUUUGAUACAAAAGUGAUUGUGCUUUGAACGCAAAAAUGGCAAUAACAACUCAUUUUUGUUUAGUAGCAAAAAGUUGAAGCAUUAAAACUAGAGAAACAUUUUGUCUUUCGUUAUAUAUAUUCCUAUAGCCUAAAUGUUGCAACUUUAUACCAAAUUAAGGUUUUGCCAUGCAAUAAUGAGUUAUUUUUAUAUUUGAAUUUCAGGCUUUUCAUAGGUCUCAUUUGUUAAAGCUACGGGUUGCUCCAUCAGAGACUGCAAUGACUGAUGUUCUUUGUGAGGUAUUGACUUGAUAUUUUGUUUUAUUUAUAUUUUGCCAUAUAUCUUCUGUUUAAUAUAGAUCAGUUUAUCUGGUUCCUUGAAGUUGUCAAGUUCAAAGUGCCAAUAUAGCAAUUUUCAUUCUUAAAUUUCAUUUAAAAUUACAAUUCUGUACGCUUGGGUUUAUAUUCCAUCAAUAUAUGAAUUACUCUUUUAGGUUCUCCAUAUUCAAGCACUCCCAUCAAACUCUCCAUUUAUUCUCUAUGUCAAGAAAAUGUAAUUUGACCUCUCUUUGCAAUUCUGUUUUUUUUUUUUUUCUCUCCUUUUUUCUUUUUCUUGUCUUCUUCUAGGAGAUUUCUCCUUGUAUGCUACCAACAUAGAAUUUUAAUGACAUUUUCUUUGAUGAUGGUUAGCUCAUUGAUUGUGUUCUUGGUUUACUCUUUCUUAUUUAAUUCGAUUUUUUUCUCUUAUAUUGAAUGACUGUUAUCCUUAUGCAUUCCUUUUUCCUUUUAAAUAAAUUGGAAGCAACUCAAUCUCUACUUGAGCAAAAGACUGACUAGACGGUUGGUUUGUUAUGUGGGCAUUGUUAUUUCGCCAUCUACAAACAGAUGAUGAAAAGAGAUCAUAUGUAACACCAUGUGGUUAAUUUCCUUGUUGAAAAGAGAUAAUAUGUUGGCAUAGUCAUGUAGAUAGAGCUGCCUCGAUUGUCUUCUUUUGACAUGUGAAAUACUUUUGAUUUUUGGAUGAAUUGCCAUAUUUAUCUUAUCCAUUUACCUUACAGGUUCUAAUUAUGAAAAUGUUGGAGCAUCCCAAUAUAGUAAAUCUCAUUGAGGUGAUUGAUGACCCAACCACGGAUCAAUUUUACAUGGGUAUUUAUAUUUCUUUCUUAAUUUAUUUCUCUACUAAGUGAUGUGUAUAAAAGAGUCAUUGAGUUAGUUUUAUUAUAUUGACAGCCAUUAAUUUUCUUUUCGUUUAGUUCUUGAAUAUGUGGAAGGAAAAUGGGUUUUGGAAGGUUCUAGUCCUCCUGGAGCCAUUGGAGAGGAUACUGCUAGGAAGUAUUUGCGAGAUAUAGUAUCUGGGCUUAUGUACCUCCAUGCACAUGUAUGCUUUCAUACCAACUUUUGUGCCUGGUUUUGUUUCUUCUCCAUUAUUUUUCUUUUUUAAAAGUAUUGCAAUUCUCUUUGAGGGUGUGUUUUAUUUCUUAUAAGUCCAAUUACAUGGUUCGAUAAAUAUGAUAAAGGUUUUUCUCUGAACAUGCGUAGAGAAGAUUUUUUUUUUUUUCUUUUGUCUGGCUAUUUAUCCUGUUUGCUCCAAACAGAGUUAUGAUUUCUAUGAUAUAUAUACGUCCAGCAUGUCCUUUCGUAUUUGAAUAAUGAAGGUUUUCAAUCCAUAAAUCAUCUAAUUUUCUGUUUGCUCUAGAAUUUCUUUUCCUAUUACGUCUUUACCUUCCAUGGUAAGGUUGGAACGUGUGUUCAUGCUUCCAUGAAUUUUACUUUUUAUGUGGAGUAUCUUGUUACGUGUUGUUGCCAUCAAAAUCAUCUAUUACUUGUUAUUUUAUUGUUCUUGCUUAUGUCUUUUCUGUUAAAUACAGAAUAUUGUGCAUGGAGAUAUAAAGCCUGAUAAUUUAUUGAUUACUAAAACGGGUACGGUGAAGAUAGGAGACUUCAGUGUCAGCCAGGUCUUUGAGGUAAUGAUACUACUUUCCUUUAAAUUCCUCAUAUGAUGACUUGAAUGAAAGUAUUAAAGUGUAAUCAAUUUUUAUCGUGUAAGAAAUAUGCAUACCAAACAUAUUUAUCUGUCCCUACAUUCAUUUUUCUUGUCUUACACAUAUUUGGAGGUAAGGAUGCGAAUAUGGCUUUCCAGAAAUUUAUCAAAUAUGCAUGAAAUAACUUAUUUCGAGCACACCCGUAUCUGAAAUUUACAUCCGAAUCCAAGUAAUAUAGAUUAAUCCCUCUGUCAUUCUCUUUUCUAUCAUAUGUUGUUUUUUUCGAAUCGAAUAUAAUACCAACUACAAUUUUGUCUAUAGGAAGUUUUUCUUAGACGUGAGUUAGCACAAAAGCGUAAUGUACCUAAAUGGGUUACAUGCACUUGUUUCAAUAAGUGAGUGCACCAAAAGUUUGUGUGGCUGAUGCACAUUAGAAAAUAAUUUGUUUAUAGUUUUGUAACAGAACUUUAUCAUUAUUAUUUGUUAUUUAAUUUGUCCCAUUUUUAUUGUGUUUUAAUUGCUUUCAGAAGUUCCAUUUAAUUUUGAAAUCACUUUAGUUCUCAGUGGAAGUACGUUUAUGCUGUUUCAAACAAAAUCAUUUUAUUUUUACAGGAUGAUAAUGAUGAGCUUCGUCGUUCUCCUGGGACUCCUGUUUUCACUGCACCUGAGUGCUGCCUAGGUUGGUAUUCCCUCCGUUAGCUGGAACUAUGGUUUAGUGUGGGACUGAUAGUCUGAGGAAAUAGUAUGCUUGUUUUGACUGAACAUGAAAUCCAUCAACAGGCUUAACGUAUCGAGGAAAAGCUGCAGAUACAUGGGCUGUAGGAGUUACGUUGUACUUUAUGGUACUGGGAAAAUAUCCGUUUCUCGGUGAAACACUACAGGAUACGUAUGAAAAGGUAAGCAAUUUGCUCUCGAUUUCUCCUCCUCUUUUGCUCCUAUUCCGGCAAACAUUCUCCGAUAGCCAACAACAGUGAUGUUCAUUUUCUGUUGCAGAUUGUUAAUAACCCUUUGGUUCUGCCAAAUGACUUGAACCCAGAGUUGAGGAAUCUACUAGAAGGACUUCUUUGCAAAGGUUAGUGCAAUCUUUUGUUCUGAUUUCUUUGUCUUUCAUACCAAUUACCAAGAACUAAUUCUCAGAUGGAGUUUUGGCCGUGGUGAUCACGAAAACAAACCAUUUUUUUUCAGACCCAAAACAGAGGAUGACUUUAAAUGCAGUAGCAGAGAAUCCCUGGGUUAUAGGAGAAGAUGGACCAAUCCCCCAAUACUUGUGUUGGUGUAAGCGUAAUAGCUGCCACAGGGAAGAAUCUAAUUGCAGAAAUGGUACUCACCCGUCGGAAGCUAACUAGAUUAAGGACCGGUUUCGGUUUGCUGUACAGUGGCUUUCUUUUUCUUUUUUUUUUUGACCCUAUUCUUUUUGCACCAGAGGCACCAUGUUUAUUAAGAUUUACUAGGUUCAUUUUUGUGCAAGAGGGUGAAUUUGUGAGACUUGUCUAACUCUUCAAGCCUCCUUUGGACAUGAGACAAGCCUGCCCCAACAUUCUUAACUGGGAACAACAAAACAAUCACCUCGGCUUAUUCCUAGGUCUGAUCGAGUUUGGAAAUAUAAUUUUUUUCAUAUUAAUAUCCAUGUUUUGUAAUUUAAAAAAAUCAUUAUUUUUUUUAAAAUUUUUUACUAUUGAAAAUAAUUUGAGUCGGGGUUUAAUUAAAUUGUAUCAAAAAAUUUCAUAUCCGACCCAAAUUGAAUUGGAUUUAUUGAGUUAGUUAGGUGACCCAAGUCAUGAACAGAAUAAUUAAUUAUUGAAAAUAGAUUCUAGCAAUUUCAGAUUAGUUUAUUAACGAGAUUGUUGUAAAUUUGUAAUAUUGUAAAUUCUUUCACAUUUGACUAGUCUUAAUCAUGGGUCGGGUCACUCGUUUAGACCGGAAGGUCUGCCUGAAAAAUAGAAGGGUCUGAGCAAAAAAAGACUUGAAAAAUAGGUUUGGGCAAAAAAUAAUGUUUGUUUUCUAAACAGGCUAGGCCUUGAGUAAGAUUUUUUGCUCGGGCUUAGUCCGAAUUUGCCUUUUUUCACUGUUGUCUACUAUUGUUUUGUUGUUGUUUGUUGCCAUUUUGAUAUUGUUUUGCUGCUAUUUGUUGUCAUUGUACUAUUAUAUUACAACUAAUUUAUUGUUAUUGUUUAAAUAUUGUAUAACUCUUGUUUUAUUAUUAAUUUUACUACCAUUUUAGAGGCAUUUACUUGCUAAGUUAUAACUAUCUUAGUACCAUUUAAGUAUGAAGACUUUUUUUUAAUAUAUUUUCAAUUUGUUGGGAAACAUUUAUUUUAAUGUUUUUAGGGUACGUUUGGUUCGCUGUAUUGGAUUAGAGGUGUAUUGGAUUAGAGGUGUAAUGGAAUAGAGGUGUAAUAGCAAAUCAACUGUUUGGUUGAAUGUAAUGGAAUAGAGGCGUAAUAGUAAUCUUGUGUUUGGUUGAAUGGAAUGGAGUUGUAAUAGCAUAAUGGAAAAAACUAAAAUGACUAGAAUACCCUUAGCAUAAAUUUGUUUAGGUAAAUAAUUAUUGUUAUUGUUAUUAAAUUUUAAUAAGAUUAUUAAUAUAAAUAAUAAAUAAUUUAAUCAUAUUUUAACAUAAUUAUUAUUAAAUAUAAUUUAAUAAAAAUAUAUAAUUUAAUAAAAUAUAUGAAUUUACUAAAAUUAUAAUAUAUAAUAUUAUAAAAUAUAAUUUAAAAUAAUUAUUAUUAAAUAUAAUUUAACAAAAAUAUAUAAUUUAAUAAAAUUAUUAAUAUUAAAUAUUCUUAUAUGAAUUUACUAAAAUCAUAAUAUAUAAUACUAUAAAAUAUAAUUUAAAAUAAUUAUUAUUAAAUAUAAUUUAACAAAAAUAUAUAAUUUAAUAAAAUUCUUAGUAUUAAAUAUUCUUAUGAUUGUAUCAACAUAAUGAAUUAGGGUUUUUCUUCAUAUUCCCAAUUAUGUAUUCCAUUUCCGACCGUAAAGCACCUUUCAACUCAUCUCAUCAGUGAUUUUCUAUCCAUUGACAAAUUAGGAUUCUAUUGUUCGUGCAUCAACAAUUUCGAAUUCUAAAAUUUAGAACGUAAAUUUUAUUUUCUCAAUUUCAUUUUUGUUUCUAGAUUUGACUUGAAGCAAUUUUGAUCUUCAAUGUUGUUUUUUUCGUUCAUUUUAACUUCUUUUUUUGUUAUAUUUUCUGUAGAAAGAUGGAUUUUUUAUGAUUAAACUUUUAGACAUGUUUAUUUUCAAUUUUUUCCACGAGCAUUUAGAUAAGAAAAAUAUUAAAACUAUUCAAAAGUUACUUGUUUGCUUCAAAACGAAUUAUAUAAGGACUAAAUUGCUCAUUUUUAUAUUAAAGGACCCAAUUUGCUCUUGAAUUUCUAAUAGUUUAACCAACAAAAGUCUUACAUGACCUAACAAAAAACCUCUCCAACUAAAUUGCACGCAUAACUUGUUUAGCAAGGUUCAUUAUAUUGUGAUACAAGAAAACUGAUCUGAGGCAGUACAUGAACUGUCCUCUUUCUCCUCCAGCGUUCGGCACAACUCAUCUGCUUCUUCCCUGCAUUAGUAAACUGAUCACUUAAUUUGCUUAUAUAAAAUUCAACAUGCAAAUACUAUACACAUUCUCUUAGACAUGCUAAAGAGUAAAGACUUCAGAACAUGGGGCAUAUACCAUAUACACACUUCUAGACAUGUUCAUUAGUGGUUUAACACUACUUUUUUUGUUUUUGAACUUUUUGCAGUUCUUUAUGGGACACAUACUUUCUUUGUCAAUGAGAAAGUUAUUUAGAACGAACAGAAUCGCGAUCACAAUAAACAAAUUUAGAUAUGAUUUUUAAGAAUAAAAAGAACUGGAAUCAGAAAACCAUAGAGACAGAGGACAAGGGGUUUGAAUGCAAAGGGGUUUUGCCAAUCACCACCAAGCCCUCAAUGGCUUAGUACCUCAAUGUGCCGAACGCUCGAUGUUUCUGCAAUGCUGGCCAACUGCAUGGUGCUGGAUUGAAAAAUACGGUUAAAGAUGUUGGGCACCUACAUAAAUAUACAGACAUUUAGUAAAAAUAUCAGUGUUUACUGAACAAAAGAAGAAAGGGCCCUUAAAUAUAAAUGAGGUGCUUAUACUUUUUGUUUGCCAUCUCUUGACUUUCUCUGUAUUAAUGAAGGGCUUUUCCCAUAUGAAAACAUAACAUCUCCGAGGUCCUCCAAAUACCCUCUAAGCUCGGAUGUAGGAAUUGUAGAGGAAGAGUUUUGCCUGACACAUAUUAAAUCUUGACCACCGAUAGCCAUGCCGACUAUUAUGUGUGUUCCAUAUGUCUGUAUGAACCUACCAAAACACAAAUUAUUAGAUAUAUACUGCAUAUUAUACUACAACUAUUGACAACAACCACAGCAGUAGCAAUUUUAUAACUUUACGAUGGACUAGAGUAACUUAUCCAUAUCUCAAAAUUUUCCAAUUAAGCAAUAGAAGCACAAUUAUGUAACAGUUUAUAUGCCGAAAGUUCAAUCUAAUGAUCAAUAAACAGAAUUCUACUUCUUUGAGAGAAAAUGUUUAGAAAUUAGCUAAAAUUGCAUAAGAAAGUUGAAAACACAUAUUGCAGCUCCUUCAUCAUCCCACAUAUAAUUAGUUACACUAUAUUUUUACAGCAUACGGCCACAUGAUUGACCUAACCAGUUGAGAACCACUUUAAUUCAGCAUAACAAUAAUAUAUUUUCUUUAACAUAGGCAAGUGUUUAUAAAGUAGGGUCACCAGUACUAUUUCUUCAUUCAUUCAAAAAGCAUCCGCAUAAUCCAUAUGAUUCUUAAUGCCAAAAAUGUGCAAACAAUAUGUGGAAAAGUUACCUAGACAAGGCUGCUGGAUCCCAAUGAGGUGGAACAGACUUCUUAACUCUGUCGUUUAGAACAAGUGAAAUGUUGUAAGGUGUAAAUAAUACAACGAAAUAAAGUAACCAUCGAAAGCGAGAGUUUUGGUGUCUGUAGCAUCAUGAAGCCAAUUUCCACUCAAAUCGAAGAUACUGUUAAGAUACCCUGAAUGAACUUUUCCUUGUAUAGAAGACUUCUGAUUAAGUAACUCAGACAUCUGUAAAAGAAAUAAGAUUUUGGAACAAAUGUAAGGUACAACAUCAAUAAAACACCAAAUUGAACAAACUGCAUAAUUCUAUAUACUUUUCUAGCCUUUUCUUUUUUCGGAUUUCUUCAUCGUUAAGGUUACAGAAGUUUUCAACAUGAUAGACAGUAGCUAUCUGAUUAAUAUCAGCCAUUAUUAACAAUUAGUUAACCUCAAGCUAGUUGUUAUUUUUAUUUAAGAAUUCAUGAACAAACAUUCAUGCUUGCAGGAAGGAAUGAUAGGCGAAAAUUUUACAGGCCAGUGGAGACCAAACAUUCAUGAACAAGCAAGAUGCAAAAUCAACUGCCUGGGAGUUCAACAUCGUGGUUCAUAAUAUCUUGUUACUUGUAAAUAACUUAUGUGGAUCAUUUCCAUCAUUGAUUACAUUAGACAUUGUAAUAUAGAGAGAUAGCCAAUUCAGAGAAAAAUUGAUGCUAAUAUGAUAUGUGGAUGGUUAAAUACUUGGAAGCAUUGAACUAUCUAAGUUAGCAUUGCACUUAAGGUGAUUACAAGAUGGUCAAAGUUUUGGAAGAUUUGUCUCACAUGUGAGAUUACUACACACAAUCACAAACACAUUUUGCUCAGAUCCUACUUAAUAAACAUCAAUUGUCUAAAUUACUGCCAUUUCCAUAGGCUAGUGAGUGUAAACCACAGCAACCAAAAUUUACAUUUCACAUUAUGCUUCACCAUCCAAGAAUCUUCAAUAGGUACCAAAAGGUGAAAUAGGGAGAACACUCUGUGCAAAGCAUUAAUGCAGUCAAGUUGAGCUUUCAUGAAAUAAAAUAAUAUCAGUUUCUAGGUCGGGCUAACCAUAAGGAGCUAAGUGCCCGGAGCCGAGAAGUGUAAUCACUAAAAACUAGAAGGGCUCGCGUGUGGUCAAAAUUUAAUUUUUUUUCAGAGAACAGAAUGAAAUGUAAAAUGUUAGCAAAUAAAAAACCUUUCUUGUAUAAGGAUGUCAGGCAAUGGAGAAGCACCGACACAGAUCUUCCCCUCUCGUACUGGUGUCAACGAAAUACGAACUGUCAAGACACCGUUGUCCGAAAAUGGACACGGAUGACUGGCGGUCGGCGAGCGGAUGAAGAAGAAGAAGCAGUCUGCUGAUGAGUGAUGAAGAAGAAGCAGUUGUGGUGGCCGAAAGGAAGGAAAAAGUUAUGGAAUCAGAAGAAAUCAGAAGAAGCAGUUAGAAGGGUAAAACAGGGUAGAAGAAAUCGGGAGAACUUAAUACGCAGCAAAACUGAGCUUUCCUUCCGAAAUAGAAAUAUGUGGAUUUUGAGGAUUAGGUCCGUAAUGUAUUAGACCCGUAAUAGUAAUACACUGAACCAAACAAAAGAUUAAAGGGGGAUUAGGGGUGUAAUGGCUAUGCCAAUACACCUAACUAAACAUGUUGUAAUGUAUUUUAUGUAUUAUAUUUUUUAAAUUUAAUUUUAUAUAAAAAAAUUUUAAUACUGAUAAAUUGGGCUCGAAUUUAGCUUUUUUUUUAUCUGGGUCAAGUUUAGACAAUUUUAAACCUAUUUUUCGAGUCAGACCAAGCCCAGACUUAGAAAAUUAGCUUAAAACUUUGCAUUGACCUGACUCAACCCAUGAUCAAAUCAACAUUAAUUAACUGAUGCUUUUUCAUUAUUUGAUUGUAUGAAUAUAUUAAUACUUUUAUAUAUUUGUACAUAUAUGUUAUUUUUCUAAUAAAGUGAAUUGUUAAUAUUAAAUAUAACCAUAUUAUUUGGUAUACAUAAUUAGAAAUCCUGUCAACAUAAUCACCCUAACUUUGACAAAAAGUUUAUUCAGACAAAUGUUUUCAAAACAAUUCGCUUUCUAGAUGAUCCUUUUAGAAGAGUGGGAUUAGAAUAGAACAAUUUUUCUAGUUACUUCAUUCUUUAUUUCUAUUUGAGAAAAUCCUUAGGAAAAGCAUUCUGUUUCCGCUGAGCUAAAACAAGAUGUAAAUGUCUCUAGUCUAGGGAAUUUUAAUCUUAUUUAUUAUAUCUCAACACGUGUUUCAAAGGUAUUUCUAUCUGUUACAUGCAACAUAGAUGAUCCCAUCUUAGAUAAAUUAUAUUACAUUUAAUUACAUUUUGGCAGAACAUCUUAUAAGUUUACUACUAGCCUUAUUUAGUAGGACAACUAUUUGUUGGAGCUCACAAUUGGCUCACCACUAAGAUCAUUGUCUAUAUAAGGCCUCAUCAUCAUAAGAGGGCAUUUUUUUUCCCUUCUAAUUCAACUACCAAGGCAUCUUUAAAGGCUUCUUCUAAACCUCUAAGCCUCCUUUAGCAGCUGUUGGCAUAGUAACGCAAACCACUUCCAUCCAUCAAACACAAACUUUGUAUCAACAAUUGGCUAGUUUAUGAUAAGAAACAAAAAGCUAUGUGCCUACCCGAUAAAGCUUUUUACUUUAAAAACCCUAAAAACACAUAAGUGGCUCAACAACAACAAUGUUUAGCCCUCUCUAACACUAAUCGACCAAAUAAACUACCAAACUAGGUUUAUCAAGUUAGACCUUCACACAAUCACUCUAGUCAAUCUUAGUGGUGAGCAAUUCAUACCCUCCCUACCACCAUGCACCAAAAAUACAUGAAAGCUCACCUACAGACCAAAUUCAUUCACCAAGACCUACUAUCAUAAUCACCAAAGACUUGUUGCUGAAACUUCACACCAAAAAAUUUAUCCCCCACCAACCCUCAAGUAAUACAUGGAGUUACAAGCCCAAAAAGUGAUUUUCCAAACCCAAUUAUGCAAAUAAAUUUACCUUUAUCAUAUAUGAUACUGGCCUCAGAUGACAUAUCCCCAACAGCAAGACGCUACUUUAGAAGGCCAGCUAGAAAUUUUAAGGGAAAAACAACACCAAAUGCACUAAGGCAACUUCGAUUGGAAAGGCCACAAUAUUAACAAUUGCCUUAACCACAAAGAAGCAAAACUAGAUAACAUUGCCAAAGCCUUUUAAGGGUUAGAUUACAUGAGAGGGGCCCUUACUCUGAAUUUGAAAAUCCUACCUUGCUCAAUUCAUCAUAGGUAUACAUUUUAAGUAAUGUAAGAAAUGAUAAAAUCCAUGGGCCACUAAUUGAACCUCUAAAACAACCAAUUUUCUACGAAAUGCCAAUUUCAUGAAGAAGUCAAGCAUAUAAUAGAAGAUUGUCUCUAUUUUAAAGACGACACUGAAGAAACUAUCAAGUGAGGAUGUCUCAAACGGUUCACUAGAGACCCGCCCAAAACUAAGAGCAAAAUGAGACUGAAACCUGGCAAAUAAAGCAAAGGCACUGUGAAAAAUGGCUCUCCUAGGGGUAAAAAAGGUGAGAGGCAACCUAACAGUAUUAUUGAUGCCCAUAUCCCACUGUAAACGGUUAUUUUAAACCCAAUCCAAUAUGUGUUGUUGAAAAUUAGCCAACCAUGCUGCUGUGAUAUUUUUGGUUGAAGUGCAUGCAGCUUGUAAACAUGCUGCAGCACGUAUGCUUGCGGUAACAGCAAGGUUUUCUCUUUAGUUUCAUUGUAAUCAAACUAGUUGAAAAUGAACAAUUUGAUGACAACUUGAUACAUUAGGUGUUAGGUAAAUGUUUAGGUGACAUUUUACUUAUUUUGACCAGCUUAUUGACUGGUAUAUGUAAUUGAUUUAUUGUAACAUCCCUUACCCAAGACCGUCACCGGAAUCGAGUACGAUAUGUCAUCCAAUUUAACUUACCAAUUCGGGCAUAAAAAUUUGCUUUUAAAAUUAAAUUUACUGUUCACAACAAAACUAUCCACCUGCGUGACUGUCACUAAUUUAACUAUAACUCGAGUUACAAGACUCAAAAUUUAAAUCCGUAAAUUUUCCCUGAAACUAGACUAAUAUUCCUACUUACCAUAAAAUUUUCAGAAUUUUUUACUUAGCCAAUUAGUACAGUUUAUUCAUUAAAGUAUACCCUGUUUCACAGCUCGACAGGUCUGACCUCUUGGAACUAAAAAUAAAUUAUCUCAUUUUACAAAAUUCAUAUAAGGUUAUCGUUUGUUUCUUUUGAAAAUAGACUCACUAAUAAAUCUAUACAUAUAAAUUAUGACCCAUAAUUAUUUCUUUACAAUUUAUAAUGAUUUUCCAAAGUCAGAACAGGGGACUUCAAAACUAUUCUGACCCUAUCUCACUAAAAUUCAAAUAUCUCAAAAUACAGAAUUUCUUUGCCUACACUGUUUCUUUCAUAUAAAAAUGGACUUGAUAAGCUUUAAUUCCAUAUAUAAUUCACUCUCUAACUCUAUUUCCACUAUUUAUGGUGAUUUUUCACAUUCACGUCACUGCUGCUGUCAAAGAAACUACUUCUUUGUAUUAGCUACCAUUUACACAUACAUAAUACCAAAACAUAAUCUUUACUAACCAUUUCAAUAGCUAAUCUUAGCCAUAUCAUAUGAACAUACUCAAAAUGAUUAAGACUCUAUACAUGCCAUAGUUUAAACAUUUUGAAAAGCACAUAAUACCGAGAUGAUUAUGAUAGUGUGAUACGAGCUCCGACGAUCCCAAAUUCGAUCAAGUUCAAAUCACUAUAAAACAAAGGAAAGAAUGAAAGGUGUAAGCUAUAAAUAGCUUAGUAAGUUACAUGUAAAAAAUAAUUACUCAUUUAAUAAUUAACACUUUUAACAUAUAACUAAUCAAAACAUUUCUUAGCAAUUUCAAUCACUUACACAUGCACAAUCUUACCAAUUCACUUGCAUAUACAUUUUCACACUUAACAUUUAUCACAUAUGCUCAAUUCUUUCAAUUGUACCUGCAUACACACUUCAUUUCAUAUUCACUUUAACCCAUCAUUAAUCCCGUUGAACACUCGGAAUAUACACAGAUACGUAGAGAUUUAGCACAUAAGUGCAACACUGAUAUGUAGCCGAAGCUACCACUGAAACGUAGCCGAAGCUACCAUUGAUCAAUAACACUGGAAAUGUCCACGGGCCUGCUCACACAAGUUGUUAGGUGUCUGCAACACAUGCUAGAUCACCCAGCACCCGGGACUCACUGUAACACUGUAACACUAGUCUCUAGUGACAUGUCACUUGUAUCCACUUCUAUUCCUAAGGUCAACCGGGAAUUUACACUUAACACUUUAUUUUAAACACUUUAUCACUUGAAUAAUUCAUGAACAAUUUUCCUUCCACAUUCAAUAUUGAUUCACAUAUCAAAUAAAAUUCACAAUUUAUAAAAUAUAUUACUAUUAUUUACGCAUAACUUACCUCAGAUGCAAAACGACUAUUUUUGUAAUUUAGUCGAUAACUUUCUCUUUUCCCCGAUCACUCCCACUAUUUCUUCUUUCUUGAUCUAUAUUAACACAAUUUAAUACAUUUUAUCAAUAUUCCAUUCAAAUACAAUUCAUACACAAUAUUUUGGCAAAUUUACAUUUUCCCCAUAACUUUUCAAAAAUUCCACUUUUGUCCCAAAGCUCGUAAAAAUAAAAUUCACUAAAUUUUUAAAUUUCAAACUUCACUAAAUCAUAUUUCAUGCUCAUAACAGCCUUCAAUUUCACAAAAUCACAACUUUAUGCAUACUUUACCAUCUUUCACAAUUUAGCCAUUUUUCAACAUUUUCAUCAAAAUUCAUCUAGUAAAACUUGUAAUUAACACUUCAAACAUUCAUUAUCUAACAUCACUAAUCAAUUUACAAUUAUAUCAUGAAUGGGUCAAUUUUUAAACUUUAAUUUCAUUUAAAUUAAAUAGUAGAAACAUGAAAUUCAAGCUUCAAUAAGCAUAAAAAUACGAAAAUAAUUAAAAACGGGGCAAGAAAUCACUUACAAUUGAGCUUAGGAAGAUCAAGAACCCUAGCUAUGGUGACAUGAAUUUUUUUGGCAGCAAACGUCUGAUUUUGAAGAAGAUGGACACUUAUUUUCACUUUAUUUUGUCUUUUACUCAAUUUGGACAAAAAUGCCCUUGACCCAUUACUUAGAUAUUUUUCUAGAAUUACCCUUUUGUGUCCAUAUCACUAAUUUAUGGUCUAAUUGCCACAUAAACACUUCCAAUUUCAUGCAAUAAUUCAAUUAAGUCAUUAAUCACUAAUUAGACACACUUUGCAUUUUUCUCAAUUUAGUCCUAAAAAUUCAAUUAGGCACUGAAUCAUUAAAAUUUUCUAUUCAUAUUUUCACACAAUAUUUCAAUCAAUCAGUAACUAAUAAAAAUUUAUAAAAUUAAACUAUUUCACUUCGGAUUGUGGUUACGAAACCACUAUUCCGAUUAGGCCCUAUUUCGGGCUAUCACAUUUAUGCCUCAAUUCAUAAGUAAUGAAAUCUUUCAGAAAUUAUUCUUCAUUCUCUGGUUUUUUACUCAAGUUCUUAAGCUGAUUUUUAAUGUUUUCCUUAGCAAGACUUCGAGCCUUCUAGCUCAAGUUUCUGUCAAAUUUUUCAUUAUGUUUUCUUAGUUCUAACAAUUGGUAUCAAGAGUUUUUUUUUCGAUCCUUAAACCCAUGUCCUCAUUCGGUUUCUCUCCAGCUCCACCACCAGUGUUCAAUGGUGGAGGCUACCACAUUUGAGUAGUGAAAAUGAAGACCUACCUGCAGGCAUUUGACUUGUGGGAGGUUGUCAACUCGGAUGUUAAACCACCACCUUUGAGAGCCAACCCCACAGUGGCUCAGAUCAGGCAGCAUUCUGAUGAUAGAGCCAAAAGAUAUAAAGCAAUGUCAUGCAUCCAAAACAGUGUGUCAGACUUGAUCUUCACAAGGAUCAUGGCUUGUGAAUCUCCAAAACAAGCCUAGGAUAAGCUCAAGGAAAAGUUUCAAGGGACUGAAAGAACGAGACAACAACAACUCUUGAAUUUGAUAAGGGACUUUAAAAAUUUGAAGAUGAAAGAAGAAUAAAUAGUGAAGCAUUACUCAGACAGGAUCAUGUCUGUUGUGAACAGCAUCAGAUUGCUUAGGGACCAGUUCAAUAAAGCAAGAAUAGUUGAAAAGGUUAUUGCAACCUUACCUGAGAGAUAUGAAGCCAAAAUCUCUUCCCUUGAAGACUCAAGAGAUCUGUCAAGCAUCAUUUUGAUUGAGCUGAUCAAUGUUCUUUAUGCUCAAGAGAAAAGAAGAGCUAGAAGGCAGAAAGAGCAUCAAGAAGGUGUCUUCCAAGCCAAGAGCAAACCAGCCUCGAGCUCCUUUAGCUAUAAAAGGAAGAAGACUUUGUCAGAUAAGCCUAGAAGAGAUGGAGCAAGAAGAAAAUAUCCAUCUUACCCACACUACAGAAGGCUCAGUCAUCUAGAAGCAAACUUCUAGUUUAAACCUGAUGUGCAGUGCAAUAUCUACAAGCAGAUGGUCCAUGUUGAGAAAGUGUGCAAAAACAAUGCUAAGCAGAAGCAAAACCAGCCUCAGUAGCCUGGAGCUGAAGCUCAAGUGGCAGAAGAAGGUUGUAAUUAAGAAGAGCAAGUCUUUCCAGUCUCUUGUUCAGCUGCCAAAAGAAAAGCCAAGAAAGGGUGGCUGAUUGACAGUGGUUGCACAAACCACAUGACUCCUGAUGCAGCUAUUUUCAGGAACUUAGACAAAAGCUUUAACACAAGAGUAAAAGUUGGCAAUGGACACUACAUCAAGGCAGAAGGCAAGGGAGAUAUACUGAUUGACACUCCUAUAGGUACCAAACUAGUUACUAAUGUUCUGUUUGUGCCUGAAAUUGAUAGAAAUCUGCUUAGUAUAGCUCAACUGCUUGAAAAAGGUUACUCAGUAGUGUUUAAAGACAAAGAAUGCCUAAUCAGUGAUCCACGUGGAUCCAAACUCAUAUCAGUGAUCAUGACUAACAGGAGUUUUGUUGUGGAUUGGAACAAAAUUUUAGAGAGUGCCUACACAACUGUCUUAGAUGAGUCUAAAUUGUGGCACAAGAGAUUUGGCCAUGCCAACUACAAGUCACUGGUUUAGCUGACCAAAAGGGACUUGGUUGAAAACUUUACAAAAUCAGUUGAGAAAGAGGAUGUUUGUGAAGUGUGUCAACUAGGAAAGAAAACUAGACAGCCAUUUCCUUUGAACAAGGCUUGGAGAGCCUCAGAAAAGCUGCAGUUAGUCCACACUGAUGUGUGUGGCCCUAUGAAGACACAGUCUUUGAAUGGUAGCAGGUAUUUCAUCCUCUUCAUUGAUGAUUAUUCAAGGUUUUGUGGGUUUACUUUCUAAAGCACAAGUCAGAAGUGGCCUUAGUAUUUUGGAAAUUCAAGGUUGCGGCAGAAAUAGAAUCAGGGUACAAGCUAAAGACAUUAAGGUUAGAUAAUGGCACAGAGUACACUUCAGCAAUGUCUCAGGGAUUUUGUGAUGAAGCAGGCAUCAAACACCAACUCACCAACACCUAUACACCUCAACAGAAUGGUGUCAGUGAGAGGAAGAAUAGAACCUUGAUGGAUAUGGCUCGAUACUUAAUGUUUGAAAGGAAUUUACCUAAGAAUUUUUGGGCUGAGGUAGUUAACAUUGCAAUUUACCUUCAAAAUAGGCUACCAACCAAGUCUUUGUUUAAAAACUCCAACAAUUGGUAUCAUGAGCCUAAGUCUUUGAGGGCCAUUGAUUUUUCUUCCGCUGCUUGUUAAAAAGAAAGAAGUUGCCAAAGCAUGUCAUUUAAGACUGCUUGUAGAGAAGACAGUAACAGCUUAACCCUGUGAGACUCUCAAACAAGCUUGAAUAAGCUGAAUGAGGAAUUUCAAGGAAAGUAUGUGAGCUCAGCAAAAAUGUGUAAGUUACAAGCUCAGCAAGAUGUCAAAAUUGCGAGCUUAGCGAGAAGUGUGAGCUAUGAGCUCAGCAAGUGGUGCAAACUCAUCAAAAGGUGCGAGCCCUGUAUAGUUGCGAGCCUGUUGAAGACACCAGCUGAAGGCAGUAUGCAAAUAUGUGAGUCUGUCAAAUGUUUGAGCUCAGCAGCAUGUGGAAGCUCAAUGCGAGUUGUAAAGUUGCAAGCCUGUUAAAGACAGUAAGCAAAGUGCAAGCCUGUCAAAGUGUGAGCCUGUCGAAUUGCAAGCCAAAGUGGUGAAUAGUCUAAAUCCAAACCUGAAUGAGGGCACGCCAAAGUGGCAGACAGUCUAAAUACAAGCUCGAGUGGGUGUAAGCCAAAAUGGCAGACUGAAGGCAAGCAAACUAUACUCACAAAUUGUAUAUACAAGAAGAAACAUGAUUGUAAUGAACAAAGGAACAAGGCAAGAUGUGUUGUCAACUAAGGCUAUGAAAGAGGAGAAUACUCCAUUUGAUGAACAAACCUUUGGCACAAAAAACUGAUAUGGUCAAUUGUGUAAGUUAGGUUUGGUUGAAAAUAAGGCCAAGGUUGAAAAUGUAUUGCUUGAGCAGGUUCAGCUUGAAACAAAGCAUUUUGGGACUACCAAGCUUAAAAAUUGUUGAAUGAUUGGUAUUCGCAGCAUGGAGUCUAAGAAGGAGUGUUGAAAAUUGGCCAACCAUGCUACUGUGAUAUUUUUGGUUGAAGUGCAUGCAGCUUGUAAACAUGUUGUAGCACGUAUGCUUGCUGUAAUAGCAAGGUUUUCUCUUUAGUUUCAUUGUAAUCAAACUAGUUGAAAAUGAACAAGUUGAUGACAACUUGAUACAUUAGGUGUUGAAUUACUAGUUUAGGUGGCUUGUUUAUGUGUACAAGCAAUGUUUAUCAAGUUACUAGGCUACUUAGUGGUAAUAGGUAGUAUUUGGUGAUGUAUUUGACUAUAAAUGUAACACCCACUACCCGUAUCCGUUGUCGGAAUAGGGCACGAGGCAUUACCGGAGUUUACUGAACAUUUUCAAUAAUUUUGAAUCAUUUAUUAUUCAUAUUCUGAAAAUAAUCAUAAUGUCCCUCUAUUGGGAUCUCGAAGCCCAAAACAUUUAUUAGGAACCUACUGGGAUUAAAUCGGAAUCAUAGGGAAUUUUUCGCAGAAUCCUAAAUAUAUAUAUAGAUUUUAAAAUUUUUUUAUUUCUGAAUUAGGUGCAGGGUUCAUACGGGCGUAUCACAUAACAAAUAUUUUCAUAAGAAAUUGCAUAACUGAAACAUUUUCACUCUUUCAUAAGCUCAAUUAUAUUUUUAUCUAAGCAUUUACCAUUCCAAUGCACCCUAUAAUUAAACAUAUUACCAUUCAACAGUAAUUUGGCACUUGCCUAAACUUCAAGCAACAACAUUGGUUAGCGUACUUUAAUAUUGACAAACUUAUUUUCUCGCCAUGUCUCACUUAAAUUUAUUACUCGUCUUAAUACACAUAAUUUUCCUUGUAUCAACGUAUCAAAGAUAGUCUCAUAUUUACAUAUCAUGAUACAUAUCAUUUUCUUGUUGUUUCUUCUUAAAUAUAAAUUAUUCAAUUCAUUAUGACAAUAUUUCAUGUACCAUAAUUUUUUUAUAAGUUCAAUGUAUAUUUAUUCCAGUAGCAGUUCAUAAUCUUGAAUAUGCAUAAUUAUCAGGCAAGUUUCACAUACAUGUAUUUUCCAUGUCAUAUUUUAGUAUAUCAAAUAAUUAUCAUUUCUAUAUAUUUCAAGUUUAAUUUCAUGAUUUUAUGUACUUAUCAUUUUCUAUUUUUAUCCCGUUGAAUUUCUCGGAAUUUCGAUGGAUUUUCAAAGGUACACUUUAGUGUACAAAUUCGGGUCCAUCAAUUCAUAUUCAUGUGCGCACAUUUUUCAAUUCAGAGAGCACACUCCCGCGAACCUCAUUUCUUACAGCGGGAUUACCAAUCCAGGCUAAAUCCCCUGUAAUAUAAACUCAUAGAGUAUUGUCGGGAUUACCAGUCCAGGCUGAAUCCCCUGCAACGACAAUUACUCUAAUGACCUUGGAUCUGAAUUACCGGUCCAAGCUAAAUUCAGACCAUAAUUCGGAUUACCCGUCCGGGCUAAAUCCAUUUUCCACAUAUUCUUCAAGAGGGCUAUAUCAAGAUCACCCGUCCGGGCUAGAUCUUUUUCACACAUAUUCUUUGGGAGGGCUAUAUCAAGAUAGGAUCACCCGUCCGGGCUAGAUCCUUUUUACCGUCAAUUCCUUUUCAGAGAUCCAUCGAUUUUUCCUUCCAUUCAAUCAGGAUUUUUUUUAUUUUUACAAAUAUAUCAAAGUUUCAUCAAUAACAUACAUUUCAAGCAUCUAAGAAUAUAAUUCAAGUUACACGAACUUAUCGGGCUAAAUUGCAGAAAUAUCAAAAUUUAGGGACAUUUUGGUAAUUUUCCAUUUUUCUCGAAUUUCCACCCAAAUCUUGAUCUAAAUUAAUAUUUCAUUCAAUUUAUUAAUUUAAAUGAUAAAACAAUUCAUUUCAUACAAUUUGGUCAUUUUUUGACAUUUUUACAAAAUUACCCUUAAAAUUUUACUUUUAUUCAAUUUAGUCCCUGAACCUAAAACAUGUAAAUUAUCUAUUUUAAAAUAAAAUCAUAUUAGCUGAAUAUUCACAUAUAUUAUUUUUCCUCCUCCUCCACUCCAGUCCACAUCCUUUAUAUAUAUAUUACCAUUAUUUACUUGUUUACUCAUAACAAGCUGUUCACUUGAGUUAUAGUCACUAAAUUAAUUAUAUCUUAAGCUACAGAACUCCGAAUUGAGAUCUGUAAAUUUUCUCUGAAACUAGACUCACAUAUAUUCUUACCAUAAAUUUUAAUAAUUUUUUUAUCCAAUAAGUACAUUUUAUACUUUAAAUUCAUCCCCGUUCCGCUGUCUGACAGUUUUUACCCUUCUUCACUAAAAAUUAAUUAUCUCCUUAUACAGGAUUCGGAUGAUGUUCUCGUUUGUUCCUUUUUAAAAUAUACUUAUUAAGGAUUCUAAUAAUAUAAAUUAUAACUAAUAAUAUUUUUUUUACAAUUUUUAAUGACUUUCCAAAGUCAAAAUAGGGGAACCCAAAUUCAUUCUGACCCUGUCUCACAAAAUUUAUUAUAUCCCAUAAUUUAAAAUUCCAUUGAUUACAUCGUUUCUUCUAUGAGAAACUAGACUCAAUAAGAUUUAAUUUCAUAUUUUUUUCAUCCUCUAAUCAAUUUUCAUGAUUUAUGAUGAUUUUUCAAAGUUAACCUACUGUUUCUGUCCAAAACUGUUUUAGUGCAAAAUGUUGAUUACUAAAUUUAUAACACCCUUAUUCCCUUUCUCUAUAGUAUUUCCCAUCACUUUCUCUUAUUUUUCUUCACUAACAUAUCAAGAACAUAUAACCUUAUAUAAUAAAACCCUACAUUAACAUCAAUUUCAUACUUUUUCAAUAAUAUCAAACUCAAAAAUAUAUUGAAAUCAUGAUGUUCUUACCUUGCUCUAUUGAUUUCAAUCUUUAACUUGAUUUUCUCUCUCCUCCAGCCUCUAUUUCUUGAAUCUAACUUGAUAUUCUAGCUCCCAUAGUCUCCUUAUCAAUUUUCUCUCUUGGUGGCUAUGGAAAUUUCUUUGAAUUCUAAGUGAAAAUGGUGAAUUUUUGGUGUGAGGACCAAAUUGUAAAGAAAGAAAAACUUUCUUUCUUUCUCUCUUCUUCUCACGUUGAUGCAUGGAAAAAUGGUGGGAUGAUGGCUUCCAUCUUUUUUUCCACAUAUAUAUAUACGCUAAAUAAAAUAAUAAAAUAUCAUUAAGAAAAAAAAUCAAAUCAAAAUAUAAUAAACUAAUAUUUAUUUAUUUAAUCUAAAAUAUCUCUAACAUCAUCAUUAUUUUCUAUAUUUCUCUAUCUUCUUAUUUGACCAUUUUUCCCUUUAGAUCUUCUAAAAUUUCAUCCUUGAGUCAUCACUUAAUUUGAUAAAAUUACAAUUUGGUCCCUCAUAAUUCUUCAUCUAUUCAAUUUGGUCCCAAUUCAUCCAUUUUCCUUAGGUUCUAGAUUAUUCCACCCUUAAAAUAUUUACACUAUUGAUCCUUCAACUUUUUCAUAUUUACAUUUUAACCCCUCAAAUUUUGAGUAUUUACUAUUGGGUAACAAAACUUUUCUCACUUUUACAAUUUAAUCUUUUCUUGAAGUGAUAUGUCAUAAUAUACUUCUCAAUGUUGUUAUAACUCAAAAUUCUCCUUUUUGUCACUUUAUUUCCUUACUAUAUCAAAAAUAAUAUCUUACUGUAAAAAUUUUUGGGGUAUUACAAUAAAUGUAUUAUUUUCUUAUUGAAUGAGUGAGCAAAAAUGAGCUAUCAGCCAUAAGCUCCCUUGCUGCACAUUUCUGAGCAAGUAAAUUUUUUUUCUUGUAUCUUGCUACCUUGUCUUGUGUUAUGUUCUUCUUUAUGUUUUUCUUUCUCUACUCUUACAAAAACUCCAACAUGUGUCAUAGAUAAGUAAAUAUGGAUUUGCACCCUCCGUCUGCACAAAAGUUCCCUUAUCUAAACAAUUCGAAAAUAGUGAAAACUUAAAGCAAAAGGCAUACCUUGAAGCAUACAAGCAACUAAUCUUCCAUAAUUCAUUAUGGAAAUUAAGUUUUUUUUCACUACUUAAAGAAGGUUGUCUUCAAGUACUUUUGUGUUAUUUUAGUUACUUUCAAGAAGUAUUUAGUUUUUAGUUGAAAUUGAAUAAAAGGAGCUUCUUGCUAUGUUUUAUGAUUUGUUAAGCCAAUUUGGGCCUAGAGUAAACCUAACAAGUUAAUCGAGUCUGCAGGAAACAAUCAAAGCUAAGAAGUUAAUGGCUUGGAUUGAAUGUCGCAACAUUCAGUAAGAAAGCUGUGACAUUGGAAGCUGCUUCAACACUUAGAUAAAUUUUCAACCAACAACCACAGGCAAGCUUAUUGGACCCAAAGUUGCAACAUUGGACGAUCAAAGUCGCAACAUUGGCCUACAAAGUCGCGACAUCCACUCACCAAAGUCACAACAUUCAAGCCAAUAGCUUGAAGAUGGAAGUUGAUCCCAAACAAUAGCAAAAUCACAACAUUCAAGCCAGUAGCCUGAAGAUGGAAGUUGAUCCCAAACAGCAGCAAAGUCGCGACAUUCAACAAGUCUCAAAAGAUCGAGCAAAAUGCUUGCAAAGUCAUGACAUUGAAGCUUGACGAAUCAAAAUUUUAAAAGGGUGUUUCCGUCCGUAAAAUUGAUAUUAGCUUGUAAUUUUAGAGUUAGUCGAACUAAAUUGGUCAAUAUAAAAUUAGACUAUAAAUAUUACAUUAAACUGAGCUCUUUUAGGGUUUUAAAUUUAUAGUUUAGUAAGAUUUCAGAUUUUCUUUAACAUUGUUUUGUUAUUUUUCAACUUUCAGUUUAAUCUAUUUGCAGUUUUCCUUCAAUAUUCCUCUUUUACUUUAUUUUUGUCUGUGAUUUAUCCCAAAGCAGUAUUCAACAUAUUUUGUAGAUUAACAUGGUCGUUCAAUCAAUCAUAAGUUGUGGAUGCACUAGAAUUUUUGAGAAUUUCUUACCAUUCUCUUUAUUAUUUCACAUUGUUUUGUUGUUUGAUAAUUGGGUUAGGUUAAGUGCAUCUAUAAUGGCUUGCAAUUAAAUGGUUAUCAAAUUGGAUGUGGUUAGUCUGAAGUUAAGGUUAGAAACCAAUUAAUUGGAUUAAGUUGAAUGUGCUUAAACCUUAAAAUUGACGAGUCUAGAAAAUAGUGUAAGUAGAUAAGACCGAAAAAGUAUUCUACUUAGAAUCGAUUCAAUCUAACCUGGUUUAGAUCUAUCAGGUUGACAGAUAAGUGAACCUUAGAUAUUUUGACAUAUACCGCAAUUACUAAGGAAAUAUUAAGAUUCAUUAGAAAGUUUUGUACACCAAAAUUUGGAUUUACAAGCUUUUACCAAGAUUUCUAACACAAAAAAAAACCAAUAUUACUAAUAACACAUCCUUAGAUAUUUUGAUUUAUACCACAAUUUCUAAUUAGAUAUUUUUUAAUAUGGAUUUUCUAAUGAAACCACCAAACUUUGAAUAUUUUAAACAAUUUUCAAUAAUUAGAUAUUUUUUAAUAUCUUUUUGUUUUUUGUUUCUUAAGGUAUCCACUAGAGCGAAUCCACAAAUCAUUCGCGUUUUGCAAGCUCAUUAAAGGGGGUACACACUGACCAUAAGUUUUAAAGCUAUUCCAUAACCAAGACAAGGAUCGAACCUCUCGACCACUGGUUGAGGUAAGAGAAACCCUUGCCAUCUAAAUUUCAAAAAGUUAUAAAAUGGUUGUUAAAAUUUUUGAAAGUUUUCAUUUAAGUAAAUAGAUUAUUAAAAUCGUUGUCGUAUGGCCCAUCCUCAUCUAAGAGCAUAUCCUUACAAAAAAAAUGGUAUAGGUUUCUCAAAUUAUACAGGUUUUCUAACGAAAACACCAAGCUUCGAAUCUUUUGAACAAUUUUCAAUUAGAUUUUUUUAUAUUUUUAAAUAUCUAAAUAUUGGCAUUUACAAUAAAAUGAAGAAAGUUAUAUUGGUUUAGUUAAUAACAAUUCAUAAUCUCAGUGGAGGACCUAGAUCUAUUCUCUAGGACUUUCCCAACUACUCCAUUCUAUACAAGAGUAGAGAUUUCUAAAGCUUGCGAAAUAUUCUACUCAGUUCUACAAGGAUUCGGUUCUUUCUUUGGACUUCUAUAGUCUUCCAAGGCAUUUCGAUAACAUUUUGACUUGGUUUUCUUGUACUCGCAUUGUUUCAAAUUUGAUUUAAUGCUUUAGGUAACUUUGUUCAUGGGCGAACCGUGACACCUAUAUUAGGAGUUGAACUGCAUUUUACUGUCUCUAUUAAACAAAUGGACAAUUUAGUCCCUCUAAAUUAUAUCAAAAAAUAAAUUGGUCAUUUUGUUAAAAAUUUCAUUCAUUUCUAUUGUUAAGUGUUCAUGUGGCUAAUGGAGAAACCAAAUAGUAAAAAUGGAUAGAAUUUUUAAUAGAAGGACUGAUUUAUUUUUUGAUCUAAUAUACAUGACCUAAUUUGCCAAAUUCUUUAACAGAGAGGACAAAAUGCAAUCCAACUAUUAGUACAUGAGAUCCAUGAUACUUUUACCAUGCAUUGUGAGAGUGAAAUGCAUGAAUUAUUAAAGCUUACAAAUUCUAAAUGAUCUCUUGUUUUGGUUACUUGCAACUAUAAAGGCGUUGGAGCAUUUGAAUUUCACUUUUCUUGAUGGAAAGCCUAUCCAAAUUAUUUAUUCGAAUCGUGACCCUAGUGUUCGGAAAAUCAGAGACUGGAAUAUAUUUAUGAAGGUGAUAAAAAUUUGACGACAGUAUGCCAUUAAACGAUAAGCAAGUCUAAAUCAACCCUUUUAUUUGCAAACAGGAAAGAGACUUUUUUCUUAGGUAGACGAAAUUCAACAAUGUCUACGUAAAGAAUCUCUUAGCAUCGAUGAGUGGCGAAGAUUUGAAGAAUAAUCUUGGCGAUUUCUAUAUGAUAACUAGUAUUGUGGUGAUGAGGGGAUUCGAUGGAAAAUCCAAAAGCAAAUUUGUAUGUUAAGAAAUUGGAUGAUAGCAUAUCCGAUGGAAAGCUUAAGGAGUUAUUCUCAAUAUGGCACCAUAAUGUCUUGCAAGAUUGUUUAUCAUACUUUCUACAAUGGUUAAGUUCGAUCGGUUCCCGUAAUCAUUUGGCUAAAGUGUAUGAAUGUAAUGGGUAAUGUGAGACCUUAGUAGAAUAAGUAAAGGAUCGAGGUUUGUUGCAUUUCGAUUCCUGAGGAAGCAACUCGAGCUAUAAGUUAAUUAAAAUUGUCUCUACUCGAGCCCAAGCAACUUAGCUAAUAGUUUCUCUUGUUAUGACAAUAAUAAUUCCAUCAAUACAACGGAAGGUUUGUCUUGUCGCUCCGAUUUUAUAACAUUUUUUUAUGCAAAUGUUUGUAUUCUACCAUACGAAUUUAUCCUAUAGUCUCUACCAUAAAUUAUGUUUGAGUAUCAAGAUUUAGGAAGUGUAAAUUAUGUUGAAGAUAUUGAGAAUUUAAGAAAAUUUUGAGCGGGAAGAAAAGAUGAAAAAAUGAGAAUUUAUAAACCCAAAGUGAAGUCGACUUCCGGUAUAUUAAAUUGGAUGGGCUGAACCAACAGCUAAAUAAAUACAAACCCGACACCGAGAGUUGAAUUUGUCUUCCAAAAAAGAAAAAAAGAAACUUUUCCCACGUCUGUAUAUCAAUAAAGUAUCAAAUUUAUGGUAGACACUUAGAUCUCCCCCAUUUAUUAGUUCUCUCAAGCUUUUAAUGGUGAAAUAAACCAAGAUCUGAAGGAGACUGGCUGGUUGAAUUUUAUUACUGGCUAAUCUGCUCUCAACUCAACAGUCAACUCUUCCUCUCAGAACGCUAAUCAAAGGUAACUUUUCCUCUUUCCUCGUUGCUUCUUUGAUCUGAUUCCCUUACUAACGCUUUCCCAGCAAAAGUAAGAACAUUUCAAUUUGAUUUUACUCCAUUUUCCUACUAGUUUCUAACAUUAGCUUCGUUACUUCUUUUAGGUUCUUCAUGCUCCACAAAGUCUUGAUUUGGGAUUUCACCAAAGCAUCAUGGUAUUAAUUUCCCAGGAAAUUGCUUCUUUGUCUUCACCUUUACUUUCUCUGAAAAAUCUUUAUUUAUGAAGAACUUGUUUGUAUAUAUAUUUUUCUUGCAGAAUUACCUAGUUGGAGCUUUCAAGCCGCCGUGUAAUAUUUUCAUUUCAUUUGCAGAUGGAAGAAGCCGUAAGCAGGUUAUAUAUUGCUUCUAAUUGCUACUUUUUGGCUAUCUAAUGGCAAACUCUGAACAUUUUAGGUUAGUAUGCAUUUAGGUACUAAGUGAAUCGUAUGAUUAUACUUUUGUGUACAACAAUUAAAUUAGAAUCAAUGCUUUGUUCUGCUCGACUUGUCAUUUUAGUCAGCUAUGGUUUCGAUUUAUACUAUUCGAAGCAGCUAAUUUAUGAAGUUGAAAUUUGAGUAAUUGUUGGUUAUAAAUUUGUUUUAUUGUUUGUUUAGCAUGCAAAAAUUUUAAAUAUAUAGUAUGUUUUUUUGUUGCUUUUGGGCUCAUUUAGGUCUCUUCCAUCAUGUUUUUCUUUUUCCUAAUGCGGUUGCAGUGAACUUUGGUCAACAAUUGGGAUCUUGAGUUUUGUCUGAGAUGUUUUACUUUUAUCUAUUGCUGUUUGUUUGGCAUUUUAUAAUCAAGUAUACUCUUCUCACAGCAAUAUUACUAUUUAGGUUCCACUAAAGAAGGAAAAUGGGAAAACAGUUAUGGUUGCUCUCUUCCAGAGCCAAGAAAGUAUUGUAGGAGAGGUAGUGUUUUAACGUUGCCAUUUUGUUAGUUAUGAUUAUCUGCUUAUUCUAUCCAAACCUUUUUUUCCCUUUUAUAUUAUUUGCAUGCAAAAACUGUAUGAGCUAUUUGACUUCUUAAUACUGAUACCUCAGGUUGUUAUAGAACCAGUACAUAGGAAGAAGGUCGAACAUAAUGGAGUAAAAAUUGAGCUCCUUGGUCAGAUAGGUUUGCUCUAUUUCCUCUUGUCUUUCAUUUUCAUCUUAGGUCUGCAUUUGACUAUUCACUGAGUAUAUGUAUCUAGCUAUUAUUACAUGACUUUUUUAAUCUUUAAAAGUUGCAUGCAAUUUAGCCUGAUUCAAUCUAUACCUGCUUGUAGCUAAGUUAUUCUCUUUGUCAUGGUUGAGUCUGUUCUUAACUUUAAAUUGUUCUGUUGGCUCUUGAUUUGCUAGAGCUUGUCAGUAAUGUUGGAAAGGAUGAUCUACGAAUGUAGUAUGAUGUCACUAUACUUGGUCCAUGACAUUCUUUUUUUCUUAUUUGCAGAAUUAUAUUUUGAUAGAGGCAACUUCUAUGAUUUUACCUCCCUUGGUGAGUGUAUUUGACCAUUAAAGAAAAGGCUUAAAAAGUCUUCAAUGUAAUCAGCAGUCUUAUGCAUCCUUAAAAGUUUUAUAUUCAUUUUCCAUGUGAUCCUUUUCCCCUUCUUCCCUCUCUCCCUCUUCCUUGUCUGGUUUGGGGUCACAUUGCAUGGAAGUCGAUUAUUGUGGUAAGUUGCCUCUAAGUUUCCCCUAAUUUUCACUCUUUUCUCUGCAGUGCGCGAACUAGAUAUUCCUGGUGAAUUGUACGAAAGAAAAACAUAUCCAUUUGAAUUUUCUACGGUGGAGAUGCCAUAUGAGUCUUAUAAUGGAGUCAAUGUUAGGCUUAGGUAGGCUAUAAUUUCUUUUCUUAGUUGAUGUUUAUUAUAAUUUUUUUAUGCAUCAAGAAAUUAUUCUCUUUGUGAGCAAUACCCUCUUUUAAAUGUUACUGUGCUUGUUUUAUUACCCCUAUCAUGCUGGAGUGUGAAGCACGGAAUUAUACAUUCAGUUGUUUUAGCUUCUGUUGAUGGUUGUUUGUGGUUCCAAUAGUGCUUAGUUCUUUGUUGAUUCAAUUCAUUGCUCAUAAAUCACGAUACUGAUUUAGUUGAAAGAUUAUCUCCAUUCAGUGACAGGAUAUGCACAAUGAUACGGGGAUGAAGGAUUCAUUAAAUUAGGAUAUGAAUGAAGCUGAUCUAUCUAAUUGCAAACUUGUAGGUAUAUACUGAAAGUGACAAUCAGUAGAAACUAUGUCGGCAACAUUGUGGAGUACCAAGAAUUUGUGGUAAUGUGUUUUGUAUAAGCACUAUAUGGAUCAAUUAUGCUUUUUUAGUUGAAAAUAUAAUUGGCAUUACAUUAUUUUCAUAACAGCAUUGUCUGUCCGCCUCCUUUUAAAUUUUGAGUAUUAACAUCUGAUUUGACUCAGAUUAUGUGAGAGUGAUGUGGUUUACUUUUUUAAUUCAACUGCCCUAGAAGUUUAUGAACUUUCAGUGCCUAGCAUUCUAUAUCUACGGAUAGAACAAGGAAACUGAUUGUACUGGUUUGAUAGGCUGUUAUAGAUGAGCUAUACAUACAGUUUUCAAAUAGUAAACAGGUUGAUGGGAAGGUAUCUUACCAUGUUUAUGGAAAUGCAAUUACCAUUAUGUUCUGUUAGAAGUAAUAUGUCUUGACAGAUGGUGCUUCAUUGUGAUUUACACUUUGUACACUUCAUACUAUCAUACAAGUGCUUCCAUUAUUUAUUUAUUUAUUUGUGAAAAUUCUCUGCAUCAGGUUCGCAACUAUACUCCACCUCCAUCAAUCAAUAACAUUAUCAAGGUAUGGAAAUUUCAUUAUAUGUUCUGUUGCUUAUUUGUUUCAUCUAACUGAUGAGAUGUAUAUUAAAAGAUUUCUUUCCUUUGAAACAUUCGCAUGCUUGAUAUCAAAAGUGGCUUUUGCUUCUCUUAGUGCUCCAAUACAAUUACAAGUAUUCUCUUUUUGAACACGUGUCUCAAGCGGAACUUGGGUCAUUCUUAUACUGUCCUUCUCAAGCAGAUGAUCCAGUUAGUUCCUUUACAAAUUAUAUUAUGCUUUUCUCCCAUUUCUGUCUUCCUGGUAUUCCCCAACUUUGGUUUAUGUGAAAGUUUGGGAACAAAUUUAGAACUUUUACCUUUAACUUGGUGUUGAUGGUUGAUAUGAUUUAUGUAGCUACUUCAUAUCAAUUUUGAUGUUUUGGAAUUUCAUAGUGACAUGAUUUGUUUGUUUUUAUGGUUCAUCUAGAUGGAAGUCGGGAUUGAGGAUUGUCUACAUAUUGAAUUUGAGUACAGUAAAAGCAAGUAAGUCAGUUAAAGAGCAUUUCUUACAGGAGUCAGCAUGAAAUCCGUUCAACUUAUUUCACACCAUGUUGGAAGGAUACUGAUGUGUUUAUAUUGGAUUUCUAAACCAGGUAUCAUUUGAAGGAUGUCAUUAUCGGCAAAAUUUAUUUUCUUCUUGUUAGAAUUAAGUUAAAAAAUAUGGACCUUGAGAUCAGGUGUCGAGAGUCCACUGGAUCAGGGCCUAAUACAUAUGUUGAGACAGAGACCCUUGCAAAAUUUGAGUUGAUGGAUGGUGCUCCUGUAAGAGGUACCCUUGGAAACUUCUCUAUUUCUCACCAUAAUUUCACCUUUUAUAUUUUUAAUGUCACAAUUUUAGAAUUCUAUGCAAACACCUGAGAUAUUCCGUGCCACACAGAACACUUAUAAAACCAUACUUUUAAAGAGUGCCUUCUGUUUGUUUGCCUCAAUGAUCGGUUGGUUGUAACAAUUUACUUUCUAAAACCAUCUCCAUGCUAGGGUGGUUUAAAGACCUGUCAGCUAGCGGAUUACCUGUCUAGCCUUGUGAGCUUGGCCUGAAUUUGGUCGGGCCUAGACAAAGAUUCUUGUAAUCCUGGCUCUCUUGGAUUACUUUUCAUUUUGAUAAAAAUUGUUUUUAUUUAAAUUUAAUUUUUAAAAAUACAUAAAUAUUGAUAUAAAAAUAAUAUUUCAUUGCUAGGGUGGUUUAAAGAUUCUUGUAAUCCUGGUCCGGCUCAUGGUGAUAGUGGUAAUUAUUGACUACUCGUCUAAUAAGUUGGUAGGCAAGACUGCUACUGCUGUUGCAAUAUUAUCAUUUUAGAUUAACGUUCAAGGUAUUGAUAUUAACAAAUAUACUGAUGCCUGGUGCUGCAAAACUACCAUGAAAAUGUUAAAGACUGAAAUGAACAUUCUGAUGUGUAUUUGAAAUGAGAGAAAAGAAAAGGUUCUGCCUAAUUAUGAGUUCUAUCUGGAAUUAUUCUACUUAUGCACCUUGGCGUUCGAAAUAUCGCUAUUAAUUUUGCUGUUCUUUAUUAUUUAUGAAAUAACAUAAUAUGCUGUACUUGGCUUGAUUGGAUGCUUAUUAUCUAUGUUGCUCUGACUCCUUAUUUUUCUUGAAAUAUUCGUGUAGAUCUUCCAAUGAUUCUCUAAAUAUAUAAAAGUACUUAAAACAAAUUGAACAUGCAUUCACAUUUGAGUCUGAGUAACAUAAUUUUGUUUUCUUAAUAGAGUUAUGGAGCAUAUUGAGGAAAUUGUCUAACUCAAGCUAUUACCAAUGCUUCUUACAGGCGAAUCCAUUCCUAUCAGACUCUUUUUAAGUCCAUAUGAACUGACACCGACAUAUCAGAACAUCAACAAUAAAUUCAGUGUGAAAUACUAUUUGAAUCUUGUUCUAGUGGAUGAAGAAGAUCGCCGGUACUUCAAACAGCAAGAAAUCACUAUGUACCGGCUCCUUGAAACUUCAUAGUUUUGCUCCCAAGCUGGAUGAGUUCCUUUCUGGAUGUCCAAUAUGUCGGCCAGCUGAUACUUUGGAGUUCAUUUAUUCAUCAAAAAACCUAUGGAAUGACAAAUGAUUAGGAAUCCAGGUUCCAUCGUUGCCUAUGACUUCCUUAUUCAGUUACUCAGAAAUUUGGCUUUGCAUAUUGAGGUCUCUCUCUCUAUUAGAAGUCUAAAUUUUUUUAUUUUUAAACUUUUUUGAAUUAUUUAUAUAUUUUUUACUUUUUUAAUCAGUGUAAUAUACAUAAUAUUUUUUUAAAAAAAGUUGAUAGCCUUGAAUUUUUAAGGUUAAUGGACAAUUUGAGUAACUGAUGAUAAUUUAAGUACCAAAUUAAAGCAAAAUAAAAAAAAUUUAAAUACCAAAAUAAAAAAUAAAUAUAAUUGGGCAACCAAAUUUGAGCAUUAAGCCUUUUCUAAGAGGACAAAUAAGAAUUAAAUACAUAAAUGAAACAGUAAAAGAAAUCGAAUAAUGGAUUCCAAACUCAAUAACAUUUGAACCAAAAUAAAAAUCAUCUAUAAGCCUACUAGUACAAGUGGGAAAUCUAUUAUCUAAAUCUAGAAAUGAUUAGAAUUAGAGUUACAUAGAAGUGAUUUUGAUUUUGAUUAGAAUUAUAAUUUGGCCCGACGGUCUACCCGAAAUAUGGGAGGGUUUGGGUAAAAAUAUAAGCCUGAAAUAUGGGCCUGGACAAAAAAAUGAGGCCCGUUUAGAAAACGGACCGAGCCUUGGGCACCACUUUUUUUACCCGGCCCAGCCCGAAUAUAAUAAAUAUAUUUUUAUUUUUUUAAUUUUAAAAUUUUAAAAUUUUAAAAUUUUUUUAAAAUACUUUUUUUUAAAUUUUUUUAUUUUUAAAAUAAAUUUUUAGUGUUUUAUUAAAAAAAUGGGCCGGGUCGGGCUGGGCUCAGGCUUAAGAAUUUUUUCCUGGAUUGGGCUCGGGCUUAGGAAUUUUUUUCCCGAGCCGGGCCUGGACAAAAUCUCAAGCCCAUAUUUCGGGCUAGGCCAAGCCGAAAUUUUUUUUGGGCCCAGUCCGGCCCAUGAGCACCUCUAGAGUUACAUCAAAUAUAAAAUAUUUCACCCCUUUAGAAUUUGAAACGUGAAUAUUUUAAAGAUGCGUUUGGUUGGAUGAAAAAGUGUAAGAAUAAAAGGAGGGGGUGAAAAAGAGGGACAAAAAUGAAUGCUCGGUGUAUAAAAAUCAAUUCUUCUAAAUUGAAAUGAUAAUACGAGAUAAAAUGAAAAUUAGAGUAUGUUAGUUCAAAAUUAUGUAUUUUUUUAAAAAGUAUACCUUUUUUUCUUCUCAUUUUUUAAUUCUAUCAAGUGGAUGAAAAAAAUAAAUAAUUUUUCUACCCUUCAAUUUUUCUUUUUACUCUAGAGAAAAGUACCAAAAGGGUUCAACAGAUAGACCACCAUGACAUAAUACAACUAACAAUUCCUAAGAUGGGAUAGGAUAUAACGCAGAAUAUGCUUACAGAAAUACAAGUUCAAUAAAUUUGCUCAUAUUCUUUCCAAAGAAGAAAAAAGAACUACUAAUUCAUAUAUAAAUGUGUAUAUACGGAAGCACCCGGUCCAUGGAAAUCAUCCAUGUUUCAAAUAUCAUUACAGUUUAAAAACCACUUCUUUCCAUGGAAAUCGUCCAUAUUUCCCAACACUAAUAACACUGGAAAACAAAUUGGAAGAACCAUGGCUGUUUAAUCUUACAGGCUAUAAAGAUAAGAAAAUUAAGAAAACGACAUGGGAAGCCAAAAGAAUGAACAAUAGGGAGAAAUGGAACAACAUUUAACCACUCCAUGGGCAAAAGAUCAGAGGCAUUACCCUCCAAAAUAUGGGCUGCCACCCGACAUUCCUUUACUUCACCUCUUUCAUGUCCUCCUCAGUUUUCCAAACUACAUCAUCGAGAGAGCUUGAAAGGUUUUUAUAGAACUGCAGACCAAAAACAAAACGAACUUUUAAUGGCCACCAUAAUCUUUUAUAAUUUCCAUAUUUGUUGUAUCAGAGUAUGAGGAUAUGGUCCUCCCAGGAUCCUCCAAAUACAUGACAAAACAUAGCAAAAACCGAGCAUGCCGUACCCGACCAUUACAUCUAAGUCAAAGUACCAUAGAUUCUAGCUAAGAACAGACAUCCUUACCCGUAUCAGAUUUUUAAGAGUUUUGAUAUGAAAAACAACUUUCAUGGUGAUAUUAUUGACAUGCAAGAUGCUACUGAUUCUCAAGCAUGCUCUAACCAAUAUAAAGUCUUGGAGAUAACUGAGGAAUUGCAGAAUCGAUUUCGAUAUGCAUAAUUAACAUCUAUAAAUUGAAAUCAGAUUAUGGAGUAAACAACUUCAAAUCCAAAAAUCAUGCAAGAAAUACUAGUAAUUUGGCGCCAAACUUCGUUUGCUAGCAAAGAAGACCACUCCAAUUUCAUAGGCUACAAGCAAUUAAUCAUUGGGGGGGAAAUGACAUCUACUUCUAUAAUGGGUGAUGCACUAUUACAUAACUCUCAUCGGUAGUUUGUGCAAAUUGGAAAAACACAAUAUAUUUAGAAUACAUAAUGAGAUUUUAAUUAAGGAAUUAAGUGGUACCUUGUGGAAUUCCAGUGUAUCACCCUUAGCUUUUCGCACCUCGACCAUAUGCAAAGAAGGUGCCACUUGAAAUAUCUAAUUCACAUAGAAAAAUUAGAUAAGCACAAAAUGUAAGAUGAGAAAUAAAUAAAAUGUAGCCAUAAAUUACCUCCGUGGCCACGUUAAGGUUCCCUUUCCUCCCAGCUUUCAUAUUCUCAAGUCUCAUCUGCAUAAGAUAACAAGAAAUAAGUAAAUUUGAUAAAUAUAUAGAUUCCAAUAAUUACCUUUAUAUCAUGCUCAGGAUACACUCACCUUGUAGUUCUUCUUGUGCACAUCAAACCCGAGAGGCUUUGCGGCUUCCUCAAUCUUGUGGAUAAUCUCAUUAGCAGGACGUGUAGAUGUAAACCUUGUUUCUCUCUUAAAUCCCUGCAGAAAAUGGAACAACUAAUAGUUGGUUUUAAUAUGAAAUAUAUAUCUUAGUAGUUAUCUUUCUCAAGCAAAGAGGCACUAUGGGUGUGCUUGGUUGGGUAGAAAAGUGGAAGGAUGGGAGAAGGGAGUGGAAAAAUGGAAGGAAAGUAAAUUUUGAGUUUGCUUGGUUGGGAAGAAAAGUGAGAGGAAAGAAAAUAAGAGGGAUGAACAUUUUUCCCCCUAAUGCAUAAAAACCAAUCCAUUCAAAUGUUUUAUUUUCUUUCUUUCCAUUUUUCAACUUUACCAAGUUAUGGAUGGAAAGAAAAUUACCAUUUUUCCAUCUCUCCUACCAAACACACUUAUGGAAAGAAAAAUUAAGUUUUCCAUCUUUCUAGUUUUCUACCCCUUCAAUUUUUCAUCUAUCCAAUUUUCUUUUGACUCUACCAAGCAAAGUCUGUAUGUCUUUUAAAUCAAUGAAAAGAUUUUGUUACAACCUAUGCUGCACUGACUUUUCAAUUUUGCUUGAAACACCUGUGUCUACCAUAUAUUCAGACAUGGGUGUAUAGGAAUAUGACCCUUUUAAGGACCCUCCAAGUACAUAAAAAAAAUUUGGAAAAAAGUUGAAAACCCAUAUCGAACCAUAACAAUAUCUAACAAUCACAUUUAAGUCCGAGUAACAUAGGUGACAGCUACUCCAGUUUCAGCUCAUGCUCCGAAAUCCGGAAGACCGUUAGAUUCAAUAUUAAAAGAAAUUGAUACUUCCAUAACCCAACCUUUUAAUCUUCUAAAAACACAUCAAAAGCAAACCUGUUCCGCAUCAAACAGGUUCCCGAGGUUUAACCCGUUUGACAUAGAAAUUAACUCGAAUGCAUUCAUAGGCGUUGGUUGCUCUUCUCGCUUUUCCGUAACAUGGUGCUCCUGUUACAAACCAACAAUGCCAGACUUAUUAAGAAAAAAAAAUUUGUUAAGAAGCAUUAAAAUAUAACAGCAUUUGUAUGCUUAUGUUUCAUCCACUUACUUCAGAAUCCCUAAAUACAGCUUCUACGUCAUCUAAGUUCGUAUCGUCUUUCUCCUCAAACAUGGGAGGUUUGUAAUCUUUCUUAAACCAUUCGUCUUGCAAAAUUUCGGGAAUGGUAAUGCGCUGAAAUGCAAGAAAGAGAUAUGUACACAUUAAUAUCAUGCAAGUCAAUAAUUACAGAAAAGAAAGAGAAAAGUUUGCGUAAGGUUAUCAUUUCCUAGCAAUAAAGGCCAACAUAAAUAUGCAUGCUACAUGCGUGCAGGUCCAUGCUAGCCAAAGAUUUAAUAGUGGAACACUUAUAUGCAGUUGAAGCAUGGGUCUGCCCUUGGCAAAAUGAAGAUACAGUAUCCAGAUGCAGAGCUACAGAUAAGUGCUUGAUCUUUGAGAAAAUGUUUUUUCUCGAUCAAGACUACUAAAAGUCCUAACAUUUUUAAUCUUCUCUGUAUCCAUAAAAAGUAACAGCAUAAUAUGAACCUUGCAACUUAACCCAUUACCUGGUGAGGAAUGCCUUUGUUAUUUGUUUGCAGAUUUAAUUAAAAAAACUAGUGUAUUAUUAUAUAUCUGUAGUUGAAUUUUUUAUAAAUGAUAAUAUAGUUAGAGGCAAUCAACUUCAAAUUUGGAAUUCAUGAUCAUAUACAAAUAUAAAGCCAAACUCAUAGGUGAAUUUGUCAGGAACUGAGGCAUAGUGUGGAAUAUGAAAACCUUACAUCUGGUGUAAGUAAUAUGUUCUAAGGAAUUAUAUUUAGAGUUUCAGACUGCCAAAUUAUAUAUCUUUCAUAGUGGGGAAGAGGAAAAAGUGAUGGAGCAAAUACAAUUAUACAUUCUUAAUAUCUAUUUUGCAGUUUUCUCAGAUUCCAUCUCCCACUCUUGGGUCUGCUAACUAUAAAAAUUAGUUAAAACUACAUUGCAGAUGGAAGGGCAAAACACAAUAGAGUAAAAACACAGAUUACAAACUUCACAGAGUUACAGUUACAGCACCAUGGAAUCAUGUUUUGGGAUAACAUGUAUUACUUCACAGAAUUAUUGCACAUAGACAUAGGUAAAUGUUAGUUUAGCAAGAAUGACUUUUUUAUUGAUUUUUUUCAUUAAUAGAGCUUCAUUUUCAUUUAGUUUUAGAAGCUUUUACUUAGCAUAGUAAUAAACAAUCUUUUAUUACUUGCCACAAAAAGGGCAAAAAUGAGAUCUUCAUAAUACAAAGUAUAGGAAUCUUUUUACCCUCUUCCUACUCAGUGCACAUAGAAUUUAGUAUUGAAGUCAGAAACACAUUGAUGUUAGAGGGUUAAGUAUAACAACUUACGGUAAUUGGGUUCGGAUCCAAGAUUUGAGUUAUCAAUUUCAUCGCACUAAAAGAUAGCCAAGGGGGGCAAGUGAAUUCAGCUGCUGAAAUCUGCAGAUUUUGGAAAACAAGAGUGAAAAACAGGCAAUGGGAAACAAUGGAUAACUGUGACAUGCAACUUAGGAAAUGCUAACCUUUUUAUAGAGAUUCAUAAUAUUGGAAUCAUCAAAAGGCAAGUAACCUGCAAGCAACACAAAGAGUAUCACGCCACACGACCAGAGGUCCGCAGUUGCCCCGUCAUAACCUCUAUCAUUAAGGACCUAUAUAGGAAGACAAAAGAUUGUUAAUAAUUGGGUUUCUAAGGGGCUGUGAAUACUGGAAGAAAAUUAGUGUGAUUAAAUAAUUAGUCACACCUCAGGAGCAACGUAAUUUGGUGUUCCACAGGUAGUGUGAAGGAGACCAUCAUCCUACAAGUUCAACGUCAGAUUAGAAAUACUUUGCAAUGUCCUAAAGGUCAUCAAAGCCAAAUCGAGAAGGAACAAGUCUUACACAUUUACUGAAUCAGUUACAUCAAGAUUCGGGAGUUCAAACAAGACUUAACCAAGAAGUAGAUAAAUAACAUGGACAACAGAAUAUAUAUAGUUCUAAACUAAGCAUGUUAGAAUCCAUUUUCUUAAUCACAAGCUUUAAGGUCACCAAGCUCAAAUUAGUUCAGUUCAUUACUUUUAAAUCAACAUUGCUGGUUUACAAUUAAAUACGGUUCUGAAGGGAGAUUGAUCUGUCACAUGCACUAAUAUUUCGACCUUAACAAAAUUAUCUCACUAAUAGUACCUGAUUCACUCUUUUUUUUCUUGAUAUAGACUUUCUAAAUUAGAGAGCUUCUUUUAAUAUUCAGAUACUGAAAGGUGGCAAGUAACUUAAAAUGGUGAUGUCUAAAAAUCACCAUUUUCUAUAGCAGAAAAGAAGGUGAUUGAUACAGAAACAAAUUGAUCUUUUUCUUUCUCCAAAGACGUUUAAACUUAUAUCAUUAUGUUAUGUGAUAAUUUAACAUGCUCAUAUGGAACUUAUCCUUUCAAUAACUCUGAAGGCCCUAAAGUUAUGUUAUUACUUCCAAUCGAUUGAUGGAGAAAGUAGCUUUUAUCUCGAACUUUUCAAGCUUGACACUAAACAAGAUACGAAUAAUUUCAUAAUCCUUCAUCUUUAAUUGGUUCUUUCUUUUUGUUUAGAGACAUGUUCAAAAUGAUGCUUGCUCUCUUAUUCAUUAUCACCAAUAUUAAGUUACCUUUCCACCCUACAACAAUUUUACUUUGUAAGGCCUUCACCAUCUAUAAGCUUGGGAUAGAACAAAUUUGGAUGACUUAGUAGGUCAAAGGAAAAGGUUGAAGACUCAAGAAAGCUUGAGCUUUUAGGUGUCAGAGUUUUGAAAUUGCCCACCAUGUAGAAGGGAAAAAAGAGGAUAUCAUAAUUACCCUGACUUGCUUAGAUAGUGCACUCAAUCCAAAGUCAGAAACUUUGAGGUUACCGUAAGCAUCUAAGAGCAAAUUUUCAGGCUGCAAAAAAGAUCAAGGGAAGUAUAAAUGAGCUUCAUUUCCUUACAACAUAACAUACAUGCUGGACACAAAUAGCAACUAUAAACAUUUUUGUCCUAAAGGGCGCCAAAUUAGUAUACCUUCAGGUCUCUAUGGUAUACACCCCUGCUAUGGCAAUAAUCAACAGCAUUAAUGAGCUGCUGGAAGUAUCUCCGUGCCUCAUCUUCUCUCAUCCGUCCAUUGUUUACCUUCAGAAUUAAAAAGCAAAUUCAUGUGAAUGGAAAGAAGUUUUCAUAAGCUAAUAGUUAGCUAUAGUUCCAAGAAAUCACCAACUCACAAUUUUAUCAAAGAGCUCUCCCCCGGUAACAAACUCCAGAACAAUAAAUAUCUUUGUCUUGCUUCCCAUCACCUGAACAGGAAACAUUCAAAACAAUCUGAAAAUUAAUUUAAAGCAUGUUGCUUGUCUGGUUUUCUUAAAUAAGUGACAUCAUGAGGCAUCACUCAAAAGCUGUUUUAAAGUAUAAAGAGCAGAAGGCAAGAUAAAACCAUGUAAACAGAGAGAAAAAAGUUUUGCACAGGAUUGGUUAUCAGAAAUAGUUUGUCUUUUUCUUCUUUACCAUAUAUCAAGCAUAUGUAGAGAGGGUGCAUACUUGUGCACACAGUUCACAGACAUACAUAUGCAAGGUACGAACUACGAACAAAAAUAUAUCUUUAAGAUGCCAACUAUAGAUUUUUACAGUAUGAAUUAUCCACAUGCUCUAAUAAAACAAGGAGAAAUGGAUGCGAGUACAUGGUACAUACAUCAAAUCCCCCCAUAUCGCCCUCCCAACCCAAAUGAGAACACACAGAAAGGAAGAGAAACCUCGUAUAAACGAACAACAUUUGGAUGCUGUAUCAACUUCAUUGUUGCUAUUUCCCGCUUGAUCUGCAAAUACAAGCAGAAAAAAAAUCUAAGGAAUCCGAUACAAUAUCUGAACUUAAGGAAGUCCUUUCAUAAAAUGUCACUACAAUAGCUUUGAUAAACUAUGAAAAUAGAAGCAUGAAUGAGGUUUGAGAAUUACUAAAUAGAGAGGAAAAUAAAGGGUGAAGAGAAACCUGUUCAGCCAUCUUGUGCUUGAGAACCUUCUCUUUAUCAAGGAUCUUAAGUGCCACAGCUUCCCCUGUCUCAGAAUUUCUUGCAAACUUCACUUUAGCAAAUGUCCCCUCCCCAAUUGUCCUUCCCACCUCAUAUUUACCCACACGACGCUUGAUUUUAGGUUGACUCAUUCCUCUUUAACUAUAUAAUCUUCUUCUGCUACUGAGACAAGUAUCAAAAAAUUGUUCAUUUAACAUAGAAAACCAUCAAACACAAAAGAAUGACAUAGAAACACCAAAACCUGUAGCAGAAGAACAUACUUUAACAUUAUGUAUUUGCUCAUUAGUUCAAUCAGACUCUUUCAGGAAAGUCAAUUUAGGAGCAAGAAAACAUGGAGGGAAGAUGAAAAAUAUUCACCAUUGAACUAUGAUUUAACAUCCUCAAACGUCAAAACAAACAUAUGAUGAAGAACCAGAAAAAGGGUGCAUCCCAAGUAAGUAAAACAGUCAAAUAUACUAUACCAACUUAGAGAACUCAAUUGAUUUGCUAUCAACCUGAAAAAUUGCAGAGGCUUUUAUUUUUUUUCUCUUCAAAUGAUGGAUUUCAUAGCAGCAGGAAUCAAGGCAAUUCAGCUAAAACUAAAUCAGUCAUUUCUACCAAUGAUAUGUAUAGUAAUACUAAUGAUUAGUUAAUUGGAAUAAACAAAUGAAUUACUAUAUAAAAUAUUGCCCACGAGAAUCUUCUCCAGCUGCUUAAAACCACAAAUUUCUGCUGGGAUUAAAAUAAAAAAUAUAUAUGGACCUCAAAAUAUCAUUAACUGAGAACUGAAGUUUUAAACUAAUGACCCACAGUAGAGACAAAAUCAAGGAAAAUAAUCCAAGUCCAUAAACUUAGCUGAUUCAGGGAAUUCAAGAAUUACCCAGAAUAACAAAUUAAAUUUGGAGCUUGAUUUGAUUUCACUAAUGCUGAGUGGAGGCUUAAAGAGUCGAGAAAUAUCACCACCAACAGUAAAAAAUUUAAUGUUUAAAACUUGAGUAAAAGUACAAGCUUCAAACAAAUAUUAUAACUUUGUCGUACACCAUUAACUCGUAUUGAUUAAAUAAGGAAACAGAAUUAUAUAAGAAAAUGUAUAAUUCAAAGAACUAUCGAAAGAGAGAAAAGAAUGAUUACCAAAAAAAACUGAGAAAGAGAGAAAAGAAUAAGGAAUAUGCUUAUUAGAUGAUUGGAUAAGAAAGAAAAGAAAAUGAAGUAGGAAGGAAUUAUGAUGAAAAAGUCGAAUUAAAAGACUUUGAUGAUCACAUCAUCAUUAUCAUCAUGUGAGCUGCUGCUGCAAGGAGACAAAAUGAUUUUUCAUUCACUUUUAAAAUUGGCAAAUUGGGUUAAUAAUAAUGUUCAUUUAAAAUAAGGGGAAGAGUUAAUUUAUUAUUUAAGGUAUAAAUUUGGUAAUUAUUUUCAUAUUUAGCUUGAUUUUUUUUUGUCUAAAUUAGGUUGUGAAUUUGAUAAUUAUUUUUAUAUUGGAGUUUGAACUAGGUAAUUGUUCUCAUAUUAAAGUUUAAAAUUUUAUUAUCCAAGUUAAUCCUUGAAUUUGACAAUUAUUCUCAUAUUGUGAUUUGAACUUGACAAUUAUUUGUAUAUUGGGGUCUGAACUUUAGAGUAUUCAAGGAAAUAUUAAGGACUAACUUAGACAAAAAAAAAAGUUUAAGCCCUAGUGUAGAAUAAUUGUCAAAUUCAGGGCUUAACUUAAACUAAGAAAAAGUUCAAGUCUCAUAUGAGAACAAUUGUUAUGUCCAAGGCUUAACUUGGACAAAAAAAAGUUUAAAUUCCAAUUUGAAAAUAAUUAUCAAGUUUAGAGUCCAACUUAAACUUUAAUACGAGAAUAAUUGUCAAAUUCAAAAUGGAAAAGUAAAAUACGGAGAAUGAAUGAGAAUUGCAAAAAAAACAUAAAUGAACGUUAGAGAAAGGAGAAUAAUUAUGGUCCAUGCAUUGCCCAACAACCCAUUCUUCACUUGCAUUGCAUUUAUGUCCCAAGGGCCCCAUAUUUGAUACAUCAUCAAUAUUUGUUUUAAUGUUUUUAUGUAAAAACUGUAAAUGGGCAAAGGAUUUCAGCUUAUCUAGUAAACAAUGAAUCAUAAUCCAGGGGUUCAUAUUUUGUCAAUUAGGAAGUCUAACUUUUUGCUGCUAAAUUUCAAAAUUAUAUUUUUUUUUCAAAUCAGCUUUUAUCUCAUGCUGGGGAGAGGAAACUUGGUGAACUCCCAACUUCAACCUAAAAGAUUGAAAUUGUUGAUACGGCGAAGGUUUUGGGGAAAAUUUUAAAGUUAGUGAUGAUUUGUGUUAUUACACACAACAUUUCGAAUGUUAUAAUAUUGUUUUGCAUAAUUAAAUUAAACAUUAUGAAUGCUAUAAUAAACUGUGUUAUGUGUAAUCACACAAUCAUACAAAAUAUUACAAAAAUAGUAAUAAUUUGUGUUUGUGUAAUGUUUUAUGUAGUUGGAGUAGAUGAAAAGUUAGAAAGUUGUGUUCAGAUAUUUAAAUUAAGUUCACGAUCAUGUUUUCAAUUAUAUCGUGUUCAUCGCAAUUGUAGGUAUAACGGAAGUUAUUAUGGUCAUUGUAAUUGUGAUUUUUUUUUCAAAUUUACAAAAAUUUUAAUAAAACAUAAUAAUUAAAAUUUUAAGCAUAAAAUUGUAUUUUUAAUAACUUUUAAAAUGUUUAUAACAUUCUAUAAUAUUUUAAUACCAAUUAUUGAAGUACUAAAUGUGAUCAAUGGAAGCUUUCAAAGACUGAUGUGCAACAACAAGGCACAUUCGAUUUUUCCUCCUCUAAGCUGACUUUUAAUUCUAUCUCUAUCAAUUGGAACUUGAGUUGCAAUUAGAGCUACAAUUAGUUGCUUUCUCCUAAGAUCUUUCAGAAGCUUGUAACAUCUAGGCCUUAUAAGAUUUAGGGUACCACAGUAAUCUCACACAAUUCUAUUGUAUUUAUGAUCCCUUUCAAUAUGAAUGAUCUUUGGCUUCUUGAACCAUUCAGUCCUAGCAUUUGACAAAAACUUUAAGAUUCACUAUUUUGUCACAUUUGUUAAUAUAUCCUAAUCCACCUUUGCUUAGUUAUCUUCUUCUAACGGCAAGAGUCUUAACGAAAUUCUCACUUCUUGAUCCUAACCUUUUUAGAAUAGACUGAGAAUAUGUUAACUCCUUUACAACAACAUCAAGUUUAGUAGUCUCCUUAUUCAACAGCGAGUUCGUCUCUUGAAGUUUCUUUAACAGCUUUUUAUUUUCCUAAUUUAGCAUUGAAUUCUCAUCAAUAAGCCUUGUAUUUAUCUUGCAGACUUGAUCCCACUAAUCUAGCAUAUGAUUUUAAGUGCCCAUGAAAUCUUCAAUGGACUCAGCAAUAAUGUCACUACAAUUGUCUGAAUCAAUUGCAACUGAGGUGAAGGCCACCUAAUUACUUAAGUAUUCAUCAUCUUCUUAUGGCUCACUUGAAGAAUCAUCAUCACUCCAAGUCACACAAAGAAAAUUUUUUUCGUAUUAGCAUACUCAAUUUGGCUAUGCCCAUACCUCUGACACUUAUGGCACUGAAUGCAUUUAUUUUUCUCCAUAGGGCUUUCAUCAAUGAUUACAACACCUUUCUUUUUGUUUUUUUUUUUUUGGAGUUGCAACCGCCUUCAAACACAUUUUUUUUCUUUUUAGCUUCUUGAAUGCCCUAUUGAAUUUUUUUUAUGAAAUGGACUAACUAUUGCUACGAAUCCCCAAUAAAUUUUUUCUGCCUUGCCCUUACUAUUCUUGGUCUUUUCAAGAUUCUUCUCGAAAGUUUGCAAACAUCUAAUGAGUUCAUCAAUUUUCAUUGUGUCAAUAUCUUUGCCCUCUUACAUACCAAUCACCUUGGUCGCAAAACGCUUAGGGAGAGAUCUUAAAACUUACUGAACUAGCUUGCCAUUUGAAAACUCCUAAUCAAAAGCAAAAGCUUGGUUAGAGAUAUCAAAGAUUUUUACAUAAAAAUAAGAAAAAGGCUCAUCAUUGUUAGCUUCGAUGUUUAAGCUUUUGAUAUAACAACAUUUAAAAUAAUUUUAAUUUAUGUUUCCUAAGUCAUUUGGUGAAAUAAUUAUUGGAAAUUUUGUUAAACAUUUUCAAAGCACUUUAAAGACUUGUAAAAGUACUCAAAAACAUGUUUUAGAUUUCUUUUAGUUUAUCUAAAUGCUUUUGAGUCAAUCCAAAAUGUUUUUAAAUGUUUUAAACUCAUUUUAUACAAGUCAGGGUUGUAGUAUCAGUACCCUGACCUAGUUGUAUCAAUACAACUAAAUUAGUAAGCAAAAUUGUGAAAUUAUGGGGACUUUUACCCAUACAUCCUAUGUGAUGUAUCGAUACAAAUGCACUUCUACCUGUAAAAGUUCACUUCUACCCAUUCAAGUCCACUUCUACCCAUACAUCUUGUCAACUGUAUCAAUACAAAUUUAUUUGCAAUGCUUUCAACGACUAAAAAUUAUCCCCAACGAAUAUAAACAGUCACAAAUUUUUCCUUUGUUAUAUAUACACAUGAAGAACACUUCAAAAUACUAGAGAUGAACAUCCAAGCAUAGAAAUCAAGAGAAAAGCUUCAAUUUCUUCAUUUUCUCAUUUUCUCUCGGAAAUAUCUCUUAGGUGCUUAUUUUUAGAUCUUUUUUAUCAUUCUCAUUCCAAUUCUUUAAGAGAGAGAAUUUAACACUUGUAAACACACACUUUUGAGAGGUCUUCAUUGUUUACAUAUUUUCUUUGUAUUGCAAGAGUUACUUAAGGUUUUUGACGUAUAAAACCUUAAGUAAUUUGUAAAGGGUUAUAGUUGAGCCUUGUAAAAAUUAAAGGGUUUUAAUUUAGCCACAAAAACUAAGGGGCAGGUUCUAUCUAGAAUUAUCCAUGGGCCGGACUCGCUCUAAAAAUGGGAGGGUUUGGACAAAAAUAUAGUCCCGAAAAAUGGGCUUGGGCAAAAAGUAAGGCCUGUUUAGAAAAUGGGUCGAGUCUCAGGUAAGUUUUUUUUGCCCGCGUCCAGUCUGGCCUGAAUUUGCAAUAAUAAAAAAACAAUUUUAUUUUGUUGUUGUUUUCCCACUUUUUGUCACUGUUUUGCUACCAUUUCACUAUUUUAUUAUUAAUGUUUGGAUAUUGUAUAACACUUUUUUUAUUUUUUAUUUUGCUACUAUUUUAGAGGUAUUUUACUUGUUAAGUUGCAUUUAUCUUAGUGUUAUUUAAGUAUAAAAACUUUGUUUUAAUUCAAUUUGUUGAGAAACAUUUAUUUUAAUAUUUUUAGUGUAUUAUAUUUUUAAAUUUUUUAUAUAAAAAAUUAAAAAUUAAAAAAUUUAGUACGGGCGAGUUCGACUUGAGUUUUAGCAUUUUUAUUCAAGUCGGGCUUGAAAAAAAAUUUAGGCCCAUUUUUCAAGUUGGGCUAGGCCCAGAAUAACCUGUUACGCCAAAAGAUACGAUCAACACAACCAAAACCACGCCUGUAACCCAAGUUAAUUCGCGAGGUUUUUUAAAAACACCAGUGAGAUAGACAUGAAAUACGUGCAGGAUCAUCAUUAAAACCAUCAUACUUGCCGACCAUCGAUGAACUAAUUGAAUUAACCAACCAAAGUUAGCUUUAGACAUUAUGUAUUGAACAAAAGCAAAAGCCUCAGUAACGGUUGGACGAUAGUAAAAAGUCAUAGCAAAUCCUAUAGCUACUUGUACCAAAAAAACAAGUAAGCGUAAUUCCUCCUAGACAAUAAAAUAUGUUAAUAUGAGGCCAAUUAAUAGGGCCUAAAAUUUUGUUAGGGCCCAACCCAAAUUCAGCCCGGCCCAUGGAUAACUCUAGUUCUAUCUCAUACUUGUGGAAAAGAUAGGAAUUGUAAAGAUUAUAUAUUCUCCUUAAAAAGUAAUAAUUUCAAGUAUAGUGAUUCGGUAAUUUUUUUGUUGAGGUAUUUCAAGGUAGUAGAGUUAGACGAUUGGGGUUGAACCACUAUAAAUCGAAUUGUCCAAACUUUUCUUUCAUUCUCUCAUUAUUUAAAAAAGUUUGCAAAUAUUUUUAAAAUAUCAAUUCACCUUUGAGCGUUUCAAAAGUAGUCUUUAACAUUUUGAGUUUGGGUUGUUUGACGAUAAUAAUGCAUUUAUGAGCUAUCUCUAAAAUUAUCCAAGCUUCUAAAGUAGUUUGUUAGCUUUGAUGUCCCAAGAUUUUGAUAUAACAACAUUUAAGUUAAAUUUUAUAUAUUAGAUUUCCUAAGUCAUUUGGUGAAAAUAUGUGUAAAAUCGAAACAACUGCUAAGAAACAAACUACACCGAUGAAGUGGUGCAAACUCUAGCUCAGUGAUAAAUAUCCACUAUCUUGAACAACUACAAAGUGAACCUACUCAAUCACACACCCCGCGAUAAUUUCCCUCACCCUUGUAUUUUGAAGAUUCGAUAUUCUCACCUCUAAAUUCACCCAUUAUGAAUUUAGAACGUAAAACCACAACACAAAUGUUUUAUAAUCAAAUUUGCACUCUUACAAUAAGGUUCUCACAAGAAUAGAUUAAGUGUUUAAUUCUCUCCGUACAUAAACCUAUAUAAGUCUCUCAUUUAUAUAAAGUUUAUCAAGAUUUGUUUACAUAGAAGAUUUAUCACACUCCCUAUAAAACAGAGACUAUAUAAGCUAAAUACAAUAUAAUAAUACCAAUAAUAAUAAUAAUAAUAAUAAUAAACAAGGUAAAUAAGGAUUCUUGACAGUUAAGUCUUUAGUGAUUCAAUUCAAUUCAACUUCAUUUAUUCAAGUGGUUAGAUAAAGGUGAUUUGAUUUGACCCAAUCUCCAAAAUAUGUUUUCCCUAGUGAUAUGAUCUUCAUUGAUAGACUAGAUAUCAUCCAUAUACUCAACAUAGCCCAUAUAAAUCGUUCAAUAAUUAGUCAACACUUUAAAUAUGAAAUUUGUCUCCUCGCAAAUUUGGUGGCGAGGGAUAAGCACUCCCUCUAGCACCAAAUUUUCAGUUUCAUAUUUUUCAACAAUAUGGUUGAGAAUUUUAUCAAACAUUUUCAAAGUAUUUUCAAAGACUUGCAAAAUGCUCAAAAACAUGUUUUAAAUGUGUUUGAUCCUUAUUGAGUGUUUUUGAGUAAGUACUAAAGUGUUCUAAGGUGUUUAAAAUGUUUUUAAGCCACUUUGGUAGUAAAGUCUCAAGGCAUAAAAUUUCGAAUGCAAAAUUUUGUUCAGGGGUUGCAUGUCUAGAGACACUGGUCUGCAUGUCUCGAGACAUAGCCACCAACGACUAUUUUUCAACCAAAUCUCAAGGCAUACAUUGCGAGGAUAAGAUUUAAGCCUAAAUUUAGUGCUUGCAACUACUAGAAUUCAUCCACAACAGAUAUAAAUGUCCGCAAACUUGUUCCUUGUUAUAAAUAUUGUAACAGCCUUUUUCUAUGAAAUCGGAACAGUGGUUUUGGGACCACAAAUCUGAAUCCGGAAGGAAAAUUAUUUUAAUAUUAUUUCGUGGUUUGCAUUAUGAAUGAAAUAUCACAUGAAAAUUUUGUAAAGAAAUUUUAUCAGUUACAUGUUUAAUUAGAUGGAAAGGAUCAAAUUGCAUAAAAUGCAAAAGUUAAAUUCUAGCAACUAUAGGUAUCAAAUAGCUAUGGUAUUCAAAAUUUGAUGUCCUUAUAUGUCAAAUAGACCAUUAAGAGGAGUUAGUAGAUAAGUAUGAUGAUUCAUCCAUGGAAAAUUAAAUAAAGGAAAGGAUGAAAUUGGAAAGAUGAAAUAAUUAAAGAUGAUAAAUAAUAAAAAUCUAAUAUAUCAUCAUUCAUCAUCAUCUUUCCCAAAUUAAAAACAUGGAAACCCUAGCCAUGAGAACUUGAGCUCUAGCAAACUUAUUUGGCUAAAUUAGGUAUGUAUUCUUGUCCCGUUUUUAAUAAUUUUUAUGUUUCCGAGAUCAUAAUAACUUAAUCUAGCUAUCUCGGGGAUUAAUUUGAAAAUUUAUCAAAGUAUUAGGGUUUUUCCAUGGAUGAAUAUAGUUGAACUAUGAAGUUUUAUGAUAGAAAAUGAAAGGUUGUUGAUAGAUAAACAACUUUUGUAAAAGGAAUUCUGAUGAAAUUAUAAUUUAGGGACUAAAUUGAAAAGAUGUAAAAUUCAUGAAAAAUUUUUCAAUUUUAUGAAAUAUGUAGGCUGCUAAUGUUAUAUGUAAAAAUCGGCUAGGCUUGGAAUAAGGAUUAAAUUGCAUGAAUAUCAUUUUCCGAGCCUAGGGAUGAAAUCAUAAUUUAUCAAAAGUAUAAGGGCAAAAUAGAUUUUUCCUAAGAUGUGAAUUGGAUUGAUUUGAAUAUAAAUUGAUGUUAAAUUCAUUUGUAUAGAUCCGGAUAGAUCAAAUACGGAGUUAAAUCCAAGAAAAGAGAAAGUAGCGGAUUAGUAACUUUUGAAUACACGAACAUUGUCGAGGUAAGUUCGUGUAACUAAAUUGUAUAUUUAUAUAUUUUAAAUUGAAUGUUAUGUAUUUGAAAUGUAUAAGUGCCAUGUAUAUGAAAGUAAUCACAUAUUCGACAAUGUCUGACAAAUAUUAAGUUCCAUUUGAAUAAAUGAAAUUCGAUGGAUACAGGUUUCCCAAAUUGGUUGUGGUCCUGCAUGUGUUACGGACACACCACAACUCGAAAGAGCGUCCCAUUAUUAGCUCUCAUAAGCAUCCCGAUAUAUGGCUCUCACGAGCUUCCCGUUAUAUGGUUCUUGUGAGCUUCCCGUUAAUAACUCUUCGGAGCUUCCCGAUUGGUUGUGAUCCUACAUGUGUUGUGGACACACCGCAGCUCUUAUGAGCGUCCCGAUAUAUGGCUCUUCGGAGCUUCCUGAUUAAAGGCUCUUUCAUGAGCUUCCCGAUUAAUUGGCUCUCUGGAGCUUCCCGAUAUUGGCUCGCUUAAACCUUCUCGAUAUUGGCUCGUAUGAGCUUCCCGUUAAUGGAUAUCCGGAGCUUCCCGUUACAUGGUUCACAUGAGCUUCCUGUUUAUGUGCUCGUAUGAGCAUUCCCAAAUAUGAAUUGACGAUUUACAACUCUGUACACUUCAUGUCUACUACCCUUGUAUCUAUCGAUAUUUUAAGUGGUUCAACAGGCAAAGUUCCAAUAUAAGAUAAUAUGAAUUCAAUAUGAAUUACUAUGAGUAAAUACUUGAAAUACAUGCAUAUGAUUUAUUCAUGAUAUAUGGACAUAUGAUGUGAAAAGUGUAAGUAUAUAGAAAUUUGAUUUAUAUGAAAUACAUGUCUAACAUUGUUGAUAAGGAUAUGUGUUAGGGCUUUUGGCCAAAUUGCUUGAGUAUGUUUUGUAUGCUUACCUUAAAUGUAAAUUAAUGGUAAGUUAAUUUUCUGUUAUACGAACUUACUAAGCAUAAAAUGCUUACUCUGGUUUAUUUUCCCUGUUUUAUAGUAAUUCAGAAGCUCUUUGGGUUGGAAGCUUGGCGGAGAUAUCUCACACUAUCCUUCGGCUCAUUUCGGUAUAUAUAGUAAAUUACUUUUGGUUAUAAUGGCAUGUAUAGGCUAAAUUUGGCCAAUGAUGGCAUAAAUGUGUUUGGCUGUAAAUAGACAUUGAAAUGGCUUGUGUAUAGUGCAUUUUGAUAUGUAUAUAUGUGUCAUUAUCGUGCUUGAUAUGUGUUUGAAAUGGUUAAAUGAUGGUUAAACAAUAGGUAUAUUGAGGCAUGGUUUGAGUUAGUGAAAUUGGAAAAAUGUGCAUAUAUGUACAUAUGGUUAUUUUGGUAAGUUUGGAUAUUUGAAUAUAAGUUAUGAAAUGAUAGGUUUAAAACUUGAUUUUACUUGAAUUAAAGAUCUUGUAUUGACUUGUGAAUGUGUUAAAGUGUUAAUGUAGGUGGAAGUUAAAUGGGGUGAGAAAAGUGGCCUUAGAAAUGGCUUAUUUUCGUCCACACGGGCGUGUGUCUCAAUUGUGUGUGACACACGACCUAGCACAUGGGCGUGUGGUUUGGCCGUGUGUCCCCUGUAUCUUAAAAUUUUCAAAACAGAAUGCUCAAAAUUGUUCACACGGCCUAGCACACCGGCGCGUGACUUUGCCGUGUGACCCCUGCACCUAUUUAAUUCAAGUCAAUAUGUUCACACGACCUAGCACACGAGCGUGUGGCUUGGCCGUGUGACCCAAUUCAGUAACCUCUCUAAUUUGGGCACAGGCUGGGACACGACCAUGUGCCCCUAAUUUGAAUACCAACACAGCCUGAGACAUGGGCAUGUCUCUUGACCGUGUGAGACACACGGCCUGGCCAUACGGGCGUGUGUCCCUUUCACCUUGGAAAAUUUUUGAAAUUUUGCGAAAAAUUCUCUGAGUACCCGGUUUAGUCCCGACUUAUUUCUAAUACAUAUUUUGGGCCUUAAGGGCUCAUAUAAUGGACAAUAUGAUUGAAUAUGAUUGAUUUAUGAUAUGGAUGUUAAACGAUAUGAAAUGUCCAUAAUUGAUCUAUAAAUUCUGGUGAUGCUCCGUCAUCCUAUUCCGGCGAUGGAUAAGGGUUAGGGGUGUUACAAAUACUCUUCAAGAACAUUUUAAAAUUGAAUAGGGAAACAUCCAAACAAAAAUUUCAAGACAAAAUCUUUCAUUUCUUCAUUUUCUUCAUUUCUCUUGUACAAAUUCAUUGAGAGUUUAUUGUAAUAUCUUUUCUUACUCUCACAGUUUUAUUUUUAGAGCUCCAAUUUGCAAACAUACACCUACUAUUAAUUUUUAGUUUUCUCAUCUUCUAUUUUUUAUAAUGAGUAUACUUAAAGAAAACCUCAAAUGAUCAGAAAGGGUUCUAGUUGGUCCUUUACAAAAGCUAGAGGGUUUUAGUUAAGCCAUAAAAACUAAGGGGAAGGAUUUAUCUUAGCCUUGUUUAAAAGAUAGGAAUUGUAAAGGUUAUGUCUUUUCCUUAAAAGUUAACAAUUCAAAUAUAGUGAAUUAGGAAAUCCUUAGUUUAGGUAUACCAAGAUAGUGGAGGUAGGCAAUUGGGGAUGAACCAUUAUAAAUUAAAUUGCCAAAGUUUUUCUUUCAUUUCCUUAUUAUUUAGAAAAGUUUUUCAAAAUACCAAUUCUCCCCCCCAUUCUUGGUAUUUUUGAGUCUAACACAGUUGCACACUUGGAUAUCCUUCUAAACUCUUGAGGAUCUAUACUAUUGAAUGUGGUAUUAAGUGCUUUAAAACAUGCAUUAGCCAACUUAUCUUCCUUAGUGAUCCAUGUAAAUUUCUAGCUUAGGAAUAUUUAAACAACCAACAUCCAUGGUAAGAGGCUCCCAACUAGUCAGCAUUGCCUUCCAAGCUUUCUCAUUUAAAGACUUGAUAAACACCCUCAUCCAAGCUUUCCAAUAGAUGUAGUUGGAUCCAUCAAGUAUAAAGGGUCUUUAAAUUAAGCUUCCUUUCAUCUUUGAGCAAUUCAAUAGCAAAAUCUUUCACCUAGUACGUUAAGUGUCUAUCUCUGAUAACAAUUGUUAGUAUUGAGUUGUUUGUCAGUUGUACAUUAAAUUGAAACUAAAAGAACAAAUGAAAGAUUAAAUAGUAAAGAUGGACACACGAAUUGCUUAUGUAGUUCGAAACUCUUUCCUAUGUUUGUAAAGUCUUACCCAAAGAGUAAUCUACCAUGAAUUAACAGUAUAAGAUGUGACUUAAGUUCAAAUCAUUCACCAAGUUGCAACCUCACUCCUAUAUAUUAAAUAAUAUCACUCCCCACUAAGGCUUUUCCCUUAAAAUUAAAGAGUUUGUUAACAAUGUGUACUAAAAACAAGUUCAUCUAUUGAACAAAAUAAGUGCUCUCUCUAAUUCAUACAUAAUACAUAAACAAGUCUUCUUUAAAUAGACAAAAAUAAACUUGUAAUUCACUAGGUAAUGUGAUCGAAAUAUGCCACUUAAAUUGCAAGCCAAAUGGUCUUUAGAUAAGGUAUAGAAUAAAAAGAUAUCUUUUAAACUUGAAAUUCUAUGAAAACAUAAUCUCUUCGAAUAUGGUAACAAAGAACUCCCGAAAAGUAUCAUUGCAUGACCCAAUCUCCUCAUCAAUCAUAUACCAAUUAUAAUCAUGUGCGAUACUACUCAAAUUAUUAAAGCAUGCCAACAAAUAUGGCAAAUUGCACAAUGAGUUGCAACCAACAAUGCACCAGAUAGCAUUAACCCUUACAGCAUUUACAUCAAGUAGACAAGGUGUCGAAUCCCAAGUAUUAAUUUUUUUUUCCCAAAGCAUCUAAUAUUUCAACCAUCGUAGCAUGCCAACGAGGAAUUUUAACCGCUUGUCAUGCAAAGUUUAGCACUCCAACAUCAAAACCUGACACAUGUUUAGAUGCAACUAUCAACGCUUAGUCAUGAGUUCUUCAGUACACUUGUUAAUAGAGCGAGUAAAAUUUGUUUCAAAUCGAGUUAUUUGAGUUAUUCAAAUUAUUCGAGUUCGAGUCGGGUUGAAUUUUAUAAUUUAAAUAAUUCAAAUAAUUCCAAUAACAUAUCGGUAUAAAUACUUUUUUGGUCCCUGUGAACUUUGAAAAUAAGCAAAUUGGUCUCUCUCACAACAAAAAUUAUAAAAAGAAAUAAAAUAAUUUUUAAAAUUCAAAAUAUUUAUAAAAAUUUUAAAAUUUUUAUUUUAAAAAAAUUAUAAAAAUUCUAAAAAUUUUCUAAAAUAAUAAUUUUGGGACAUAAUUACUUAUUCAAAAUUAUCAUAUACUCAAGUGUCUUUUUCUUUUUUCUUUUUUUCUUUUUUUCUUUUUUUUUCUUUUUUUUGCUUUGAAAAUUUUUUAAAUAUAUAUAGUUUCAAAUUUAUGUGUUUUAACAUGAAAUUUAGUUAUAAUGUAACAAUAUUUUUAUUUGACAUGUUUAAUUUUUUUUAAUUUAACUCUAAUAAUUUCACUCGAUUCGACUUAACUCGAAUUUCAUUUCACUCGACUCGAUUUGAAAAAAUUUUAAAUUGAGUUAAGAUGAUAAAAUAGGACUCAUAAACUCGAUUAACCUGAAAUUUUUAACUCGAUUACCCACCCUUACUUCGUAAUAUAUAAGCUCAUAUUCCAAUAGGAUGAGUAGACACAAAAACUACAUUAUGACAAGGUGGUUGCAUGCCAACAGGAAUGGAUGAAGUAGUUGGAGUAGUAGCACUUUGAGAAAGAACCACCUCAUUUAGAAAAGAAAGAUUUUCAAAAUUUGAUGAAUCAUUACUAGACUGUGAUGGAGAGUCUUCAUUAUUCAAAUCGUGUGAGGGAACUUUUGCUAUUAUGGUUGUACUGCGAGUUCUGCAACAAUUUUCAAAAUCAGCUUUAUAAUUUGAUUCUUCUUAGAUGGUUGCAAAUUAGGUGCUCGAAGCCAUUCAUUAGAGUCGGAAUAUGAGUCAACAUCCUAAAACAGUUUGUAAAGAUUGAUAUAAGGAAGAAAAUGUUGGUCAAACACAACAUGUCAAGAAAUGUAACUCGUUAUGUUGAAGGAUAUAAGCAAUGAUAACCUUUAUGAAUUGGAAUAUAACCAAGAAAUAUAUAGCAAUGAUCUAGGCUAGCAUCAACAACCAAAAACAUUAAGAAAAGGAUGAUAUGGUCUUUUAUCAAACAACUGCUAAAAAGGAGUUUCCAUAUGAAGAAUCACUGUAAGCAACCUGUUUAUAAAAAAGGUAGUUGUUGAGAAACUAUCAACCCAAAACUAUAGUGGCAUGUUAGCUUGUAUAAGCAUGGGAGUCCAGUUUUCACAGUAUGAUGAUGUUUACGCUUUGUAGUACCAUUUUGUUCAAGGUAUCCGGACAAUGCACCUGUUAUAUGAUUUCGCACCGAGCUGGAUGCUUCUUGGCUCAGUUUUUGAAAAUUCACCUCUUUAAUGCUUUUUCAAACUCAUUUUCAACCAUCCUUUUGAUCAUCCAACUUUUGUAAGCUUUCAUUUUGGACAUCAAAAAUUUAAAAAAAAUGCAAAUUGAGCAUUGCCAUUAACAACCACUUUCAUUUUAGUCACCUAAUUACUUUAAUAAGUUUUUAUUAAAAAUUUUAAAAAAAUGCAAAUUGAGCAUUGCCAUUGACAACCAUUUUCAUUUUAGUCACCUAAUUACUUUAAUAAGUUUUUAUUUUAGUCACUCAUCAUUAAUUUAAUGUUAUUAUACACUCAUUUUUGUCACCCAACUUUAAUAAGUUUUUAUAUUGGUCAUUUAUUUUCUUUUUAAAAAUUAAUUUUAUUUUUCCAAAAAAACUAGUGUUUUUAAAAGAAGUUAGAAUUAUUCAGUUGUAGAGAUGAAACCCAAGUUUUCCCUAUAAUUCAAUUCUCUGUAAAAAUUCAGGUUUUUCUAAAUAAACCCAUGUUUUUCCUUUUUAUUACGAAAAAACUAAAAAUUAAUUCUAAAACAAGAGAAAAAAAAUAAAAAGAUAGAAUGUUUUUACUUAAAAAUGCAAGUAAUCUUCUAUAAAACACUAGGCUUUUCUCUUGGAAAAACUAAAAUGAAUUCUUAAAAAAAAUGAAGUCAAAAAGAUAAAAUGGUUUUUUCAUGUAAAAAUCCAAGGUUUUUUUUAUAAAACCUUAGGUUUUUAUUUUUGCUAGAAAAAACUAAAAUUAAUUCCUAAAUAAAAUGAGUGAUUAAAAUUAAAAAAUUAGAUGAUUAAAUUAAAAAUGAAUGUUAACAGUAGUAUCUAAUUUGCAAAUUUUUUAUUUUCGAUACUCAAUGAAAAUUUAUAAACGUUGAGUGACCAAUAUUGUAAUUACCCUAAAAUAAAAGUAAAUUUGCUAAAAUCAUCUAAAAAAAAUUAUGAUAAUAAUGCGAACAAGAGAAGUACCCAUAACGGAUUUUGUUAAAUGGAAACUUAGACCACUUGUGAUUUCAAGAAAAUGGAAGUUUUAUGGCAUUGUUUGAGAGCACAUUUGUUGGAUGUCCCAAUUGAUGUGAUGGUGCCAAAUUGAGUGUUCAGCUUCAUUAUCAGGGUCUUUCUUAGUUCCUUUUGGUAGAACAUCUUGAGUUACUAAAUCCUUUAUCCAGAAACCAGAAGAUAAGAACUCACAAGCAUUAUCUUCACAGGCAACUUCAUCAGAUGUAAUAAAAUUUGAUAGGGUGGGUGUAAUAGGAAGAAUAGAACCAUUUCCAGUGUAAAUGUUCAUAUGAUGGUGACGAGAGAAGUUGGACUUGUAUAGUAUGAGCAUAAAAAUUAGAAUGACACAACUGCAAAGGCCUACUUACAUAGCCAUUAUCCAACACUUUACUACACUUCAAUUAUCAUUGUAGAUGGGUUCUCACAGCUGCAUGCAUUUUCUUCAAGGUGAUGUCAAAGCUGUGCAUAAAUUUGUGAUUUCCGUAGUAAAUAAUUUUAUGGAUAUCAGGCUUGCCAUUUGCCCCAAGCUUUGAACGGUUAGGGUAGCUAGAAAGGUUAAAAACAACAUGUCGGGUCUCACAUGCUGUCUGACACCAUCUAAAAUAUUGUAUCUCCCCUUGUGUCUUUUUCUACCAUAGGGAUUACAGCUUAUAUACUAAAUUCAAGGUUAUUUGACUUUGAUCCGUCCGGAUCUUCCGAACAGAGAUUCAAUGAGAGGUUUUAAAUUGGUUGAUAUGAAAAUUGGUACAGAUUGACUGAAUCAAGUAAAAAAUGAUUAAAAUAAACUUUUAAUAUUUUUAUAAAUAUUUUAAUAAUUUAUUUAAUCGAAUUGAUCAAAUUGAUCAAACUGAGGAAUCGAUAACUUGAUCAAUUCAACUAUAAUUCAAGAUUGAAAUCUCUUCAGUUUAGUAAUAGAAUUUGCCAAUUGGUAAGUUAACUUUUUUUUGUUGUUACAUUUCACAUUAAGUUUUUAUUAAUCAACUUUAUUAUUCUGAUAUUCAAAAUCAACUUUAUCAUAUAUUUAAUAUUUUUAUAUACAAUCAUUUACUUAAUGUGGCGAUUAAUUAUCCUGAUAAUCUUUAUAAUAAAAAUCAUAAGAACUAAAAUAAUUUCAGCUCCUAGAUUAAAGUCUUUUUUAAGCCAUAAAUUUAUAUGUGUCAUAAAAAAAGAAAAAAAGCAACAUCAACUUUUUUUACUUCUAAAAAAAGUCGAUUGAGUCUUAAUUCAAAUAAUAUCAAUAUUAUUGUCAUCAGUGCAAGAGAACAUGGGUUCGAGUGUGUUGAAGUGUAUUAUCCUUUUAUUUAAAGGUUGGAGAGAGGUUAUGGGUAGUUCUGGGUAAUGUAUCAAAUAACAAAGACUAAAAAUCAUAAUGCUACACUCAUAUGAAAGAGUCACGGGCCGCAGUUCAAAGCCCGUGACCAUCGCACCAAAUGCAUCCAAUGGAGGUCUAUUGCUUAGAUGGGGAUCAUUUGGCCCACGAGAACUGGCCCGAUUCAAUGAGCAAUUGGAGGAGCCUGUCAGAUUGAAGCCCGGUUGGCCCGAUAACGAAGAGAUUCAGGCUGAUAUGGUAACUAAUCUUAGAAGAUAGAGGGAAUCUUAUCUUGUAAAGAUUAUAUUAGAUUUGAUAAGGCUUAUCUUGUAAAUCCCUAAAAUAAAGGGAUAUAGUUAAUCUCGUCCGUCGAUGUGAUUGUAUCUUGACCGUCGGUUUUGGGGGAGCUCAACUAUAAAUAGAGAGCCUCCCCCUCAUUUGUACUCAUUCCAUUGUAUUCUGAAUUCUUAAGAGUAAUAGAGUUCUGAGAGCAUUUACUCAAACACCUUGUGUGCAUUCUUUUCUGUGGCUUUCUGUUGUUCUUUGGCUUAGCUUCUUUUGGCUUAGAUCGUUUCCGCUUUUCAAUUGGUGCCUUGGAGGAGUUCUUAAGGAAUCCUCAUUUGAGUUAAGGCUGACUUAGGCGAGUUUGGAGCAAACGGAUCGCCUAAGGCCGCACGAUUUGCGAGACGAAAAAUCUAGCCCCGUGACAAAAGGAAGUACAUAAAAAAAAGGGUGAAAAAAAUUAAAGCAACUUACUUUCUAUUUAUCAUUUACUCUUUUUUUUGUUCUUUGGAAGCAAAGAUUAAAUCCAUCUUGCUAAUAUAUAAGUAAAACAAUUACAUAAAAAAUGUACUAAAAAGUCGAUUAAUUCUUAGUUCGAUUGGUAUGGGUAUUGUUGUCCAUGUAAGAUGACAUGGGUUCAAGUGCAUUGAAGUGCAUUAUCCUCCUAUUUAUGGGCUGGGGAGAGGCUAUGGAUAAUUCUAGACAUUUUGUCAAAAAAAACAAAUAUGAUUAGAAUUUAUAAUGAAAUUGUACCAAAAAAAUUAUUAAUAGUUACGAUUUACGAAGUUACUAGUAAAAUAAUACAUUAAAACCUUGACCUAACCCUUGUACCUGAUUCAUUACCUUAUUUGUAUGUCCUCUAAAUUCUUAAAGGUAAAUUAUAUUAAUAGUCACUCAAUUAUCUUGAAUUUUUUAUUGUUUCCUUUUCUUCUUCUUUUUUACGUUAAUCAACUGGUGACAAAAAAGACAAAAUUAAAUAGUUGGGUGACAAAAAAAGCCUUUAAUAAUAAUCUAUAAUUAGAUGACCAUUUAUAACUUUAUAUAGAUGAGUGAUAAAAAAAAUCCAUUUCUUUUAAAUAGUGAUUUAAAUAUAGAAUAAUUAUAAGUUGUAGUAAUUACGGUAAUUAUACAUUAUGUUUAAAUUUCAAUUAGUUAGGAUAUGAAUAUGGUAACAUUAGGUAAACAUUCAAUUCUACAAUUGAAUGUGUCUAUUCUUAUUGUCAUCAUAUUUUAACUAAUUGAGAUUAAAAUUGAAAUAAUUGAGUGCAUAACUACUAUGAUUCUUCUAUUAAAUAUUAUUAUAUUCAUGGAAUAUCAAAAAUCAUUCACUCACUAAAAUUGAAAUUGAAAUUAAUUAUUAAUUGUACAAUUCAUAGUUUUCAAAUAUUUUUUUUAUAAAUUUACUUAAGUAAAUAUGUUAUUAAGGAUUAUUUUACGUUCAUUUUUAACUUUAUUUACGAAAAUGAGCUAAUUUUUUCAUUAUUUAUCGGAAAGGGCCGAUUUUAGCAAAAUGCUUCCAAAUAGGAGCCUUUUUAGAGGAAAUUUCAGCAAAACGUGUCCCUAGAGGAGCGAUUUUACCAUGUCAGCACAAAACGCGACCACGUGGACGCGCUUUGUUGACGUGGUAAAAUCGCUCCCCCAGGGACUCAUUUUAGUCCGUGUUUUUUUCCCCAACAGCUAUUUGAUUUUUGAUCGUUGGGGGGUCCAACGGUCAAAAAACAAACCUAUAAAACCUCCCUUCUAUUUUUUCACACAUUAUUUCUUCAAAUUUCUCUCAAAUUUCUCAAAGCUCUAUUUAAUUUUGGCAAAAAAGUUCUCCUUAAUUUUUUUUCUGAAUUAUUUUUUUUUUAUAAUUUCAAAAAUAUUUGAUCGUGUUAGCAAUAAUCGGGGAAUUAAUUCAUCUCGAUCAUAAAUAUAUCUCCGUCGAACAAAUAAGAAUGGUAAGGGUUAACUUUAAUUUUUCAAUAUUAUUUAAUAUUUUUUUCAUUUAUGUAAUUUUAAUUUAUUUUAUUUUAUAAUUUUUUAUAACAGUCUGUAGAUCGGGUGUUACAAUGCUAUAUUCGUAAUAUGUCUGGUCCUCCAUCACCGUUGAUAGAGAAUUACUUGUGGGAAGCGGGUUUUUGGCACGUGGCCACUAUAGGCCGGGGGUGAAGUUGGACCCGAAACUCAUCAGCGCGUUGAUAAAGAGGUGGAGACCUGAGACGCACACAUUUCAUCUUCCAUGCGAAGAGUGUAUCAUCACUUUGGAGGACGUGCAGUUACAAUUGGAAUUGCCGGUGGAUGGGUCCGCACUCACCGGGUACGUUCAAUCUGCUAAUUGGGGAGUCGUAUGCUAUGAUCUUUUGGGUACGAUUCCGGAUAAUAUUUACGAAGGUCAGAUCGAGAAAGGCUAGUUACAAGACACAUUCCCAGAGUCGGGGAAUGAUUCGAAUGAAGUAGAAAGAAUACGAUAUGCUCGGGCAUACAUUCUUGAGAUGAUUAGAGGUUAUCUGAUGUCGGACUUGGCAUGAAACCUCGUAAAUCUGAGGUGGCUGCUGAAACUCGUUGAUUUUAGAGCAGCUAGCAAAUUUAGUUGGGGGUCUGUCAUGUUGGCCACAUUGUAUCGGGAGAUGUGCGGGGCAACGCCACCAACUAAAGCCAAAAUCAAAGGUUGCCUAUCACUACUACAAUGAUGGGCUCAAUUUGCUUUCUGUUUUUACGUCCUCGAGUAGACCACCCAUAUACAUUCCACUUAUAACGAGGUAAAGUUUAUAUUAGAUUUUACAAUUAUUACAUAGAUUUAAAAUAUAAUUGUAUGCUAAAAUUUUAUUUAAUUAGAUGGAACCAUUCGGCGAGUUAUGUUGGAAUACUUACAGCACUUGAAGAUAUACGGUUUCUAUUAGACCAACGGUCGAAAACGCAAGUAAGCAUUAAAUAAUAUAUACAUAAAAUAGUCGUUUCACAUUUAGUAUUUAGUAUUAUGUAUAUAACUAAUAUUUUUAUCAUGUUCAUAUAGUUUCAAUGGACACCAUACGAGGAUCAAGAAAUUCGGGUAGUAAUUCCGGAUAAAUUCUUUCAAAAUCCGAACAUUUGACAUGUGAAGGUCUCAUUGGUCAACUAUACUACCGUGGAGAUACACCAGACGGAUAGAGUGUUGAGGCAAUUUAGAUUUUGACAAUUGAUUCUCGUGGCACCUGAGGUGCUCGAUAAUAGGGGUGUUCAUUCGGUUAACCGACCGGUUAACCGACCCGAAAUAACAUUAACCGAAUUAACCGACCUUUUAAAAUCUUUAACCGUUAACCGAACCGAAAUUUUUUUCAAAACAAUUAACCGAACCAAAAUUUUAUCGGUUAAUUCGGUCGGUUAACCGAAUUAACCGAAAAUUAUAUGUUUUUUAUUUUUGGUUAAAAAUUAACCAAAUUAACUGAAUUACCCGAAUUAACCGAAUUACCCGAAUUAACCGAAUUAACCAAAUUGAAUCACUACAUAAUUAAAUUAUUUUUAGACUUUUAGACUUUAGUUUUAGUCUUAGUUUUAAAAUUUUAUUUUUAUUUAUUAAAUUAUUUGUAAUUUAAUUUUAUGAUUGGGUUGGGUUGGGUAAUUGAGUUGGGUUAAAUACUUGGGUUUAGAUUGGGUUUAGAUGAAUAGUGGGCCUAUUCAUAUAUUAUAAUUUUAUUUAUUAAUUUUUUCGGUUAACCCAAAAAAUUCGGUUAACCGACCGGUUUCGAACCGAAUUAACCGUUAACCGAAAAAUCAAAAAAUAAUUAACCGACCCCCGACCGAAAAAAUUCGGUUAACCGACCGAUUAACCGAAUUCGGUCGGUUAACCGAAUUUUUUCGGUUUUACCCGAAUUUUGCACACCCCUACUCGAUAAUGAGCACAAAAUUGAAUUACGGCAAUCGAAUACGAAUUGGCCAUUAUUCUGGUCGAAAUAUAUCAAAAUGUGAAAAAAUCGGUAUGAUCAUAUACCUACUCGGGAACCGAUCAUCAUUCCAGAGUUAGCAUGCCACCGGAUUACAUGCCAUGGUUUAAGAUCCAUGGCAAGCCAUAUUUACUGUCGAAAGAGCAGAAACGUCAGUAAAUUCGUGUCGAAAGGGAACGACGGGGCCCUUUAAAUCCAAGGAGAAGGGAUGACAGCACAGGCCCAUCAACAGUGCCCACACAAUCACCGGGCCCAAUGCCUCAACUGACGACACCCACAUGACAGCCUCUUCAGAUUACGCCAGGUGCGUAUCCUAGCCCUUAUAUAUAUCCUAACCAUUAUAUGUUUCCUUUUUCCAGUCCUAUGCCAGGUUGGAAUGCAUCGCCCGGUGUAUCUCCUUUCCCGAUGACUCUGACUCAAUCAAUGAUAUAUAGGCCACCAUCGCAAGAGGGAUUGCACGAGGUAUCGUCGAAGAGCUCUUCUCAUUACCAAUCCCCAACACCUUAUGGGAUUCAAACACCUCCGCCGUGGGUGAUGCAAACACCUCCGCAUUCUUUAUUCUAUCAAGGUGGGUCAUCCUUCCAACCCCACAACCACAAUCCCCGCCGGAGCAGCCACAACCCCCACCGGAAGUUGAACCAAUGAGGAAUCCAGCGCAUAACAGUUGACAACCCCUAUAUGACACUGAUUCCGACUGGCACCAACAUUAAUUUUUUUAAUAUAUUUGUACAAACUGUUUUUAUAUUGUUUCAUUUAAUAAAAUAAAAUUUGUUUUUAAUAUUUUAAUAGUAAUUUAUUUUUAUAUUAUUAAUAUAUUUGUACAAACUGUUUUUAUAUUAUUUCAUUUAAUAAAAUAAAUUUGUUUUUAAUAUUUUAAUAGUAAUUUAUUUUUAUAUUUCUAAUAAAAUAGAAGUUCUUUUGAAUAAGGCAAUAUUUUUAAUAUUUUUAUAUUUUUAAUAAAAUAUAAAUAAUGCAACAUAGUUUUAUUACAAGAACUAUCAACUAUUUCGAUUUGGACAUUAUUGAAUUGUAUGAACUGGGUUCCUACACCAUCCGCACAACUUUUGUUGGUUCAUUCUUUCCCGAAUAUCCAUAUUGUUACGUAUUCUACUCAAGUAAGGUCGACCUUUUGGUUUGCGACGCAAUUUUCUAUCCGAUAACAACUUAAACGGAGCAAGUGAUACAGACGGCCACUUACGUUCAUCUGGACCGGUGGGAAUACGUGUCUCCACACAUUGUACAUGUAUUCUAUUUUUUACACUUCGUUGACAUAUCACAUGGGAUUCAAACAGAGAUUCUAGCAAGCUACAAUUGCAUAAACGCAUGGAUAACAAAGUGCGUCAAACAUCCCACUGUCGCAAGUCCUAUUUCUCAUGUGUACACGAUAUUGCCCACUUGUAAUACCUUGGUUCGGUCUGUCAAACUUCGUCACACAAAACCAUAGGUUGUCGCAAUCGUGACACACUAUGUGCAUGAUGUUGGUACGUGCCUUCGCCUUGUUAAUUUCUUGCAAUACCUUCCGACACCAUACAUAUGGCCUUCCUGCAUUUGGCUUUUAUAACUCGCUGCUCGCUUUGGAAAUAGUGUCGCUAAACGAAAAUAUCUUUCACACAACUGAGGUUAUUGGCAAAUGACGCGUUCCUUUUAGAACAUAAUUUAUGCAUUCAGUCAAGUUUGAGGUCAUAUGACCCUAUCGUAGGCCGUCGUCAUAUGCUUGUAUCCUGUUCGAAAGGUAUAUUACAGAGGUAGUCUGUGCCUUAUUUGUUAACUGAAUGCAAAAUAGCCAACAUCUUAUGAAAACAGUCUUUAUUGAUCUCAUACUCUGCCAAUAUAAGUUAAUAGCGAAAAUUACAUACCACUCUUCCAUUCAAAAUAAAUUAAAUAUUACAAAUAAAAUUAUAUUAAUAGAGAUUAAAUACCCAUGUUGGUCACUUUUUGUUAUUCAAUGGUAGACCGAUAUUGCCCGUAGUAGUUGGACGCAAUAUACCUUAGACAAUAUCGAUGGUGUGUACGAUCCCAUAGGCUUCCCUGUCGCUCAAUUGCGGCUAGUAUUCCAGUGCCCCGAUCCGAUAUAAUGAAGAUAUCAGGUUGGGGGCAGACAUACCUCCUUAACCUAGAGAAAAAAAGAAAUCUCAGUCAUCACCUGACUCCCCUAGUGUUAUUGUAAACGCAACUGGAAGGAUUCUCCCACCAUCAUCCUGUGUCACAGCUAGCAAUAGUCGAUGGGUAUAUCUACCAUACAUAAAGGUACUGCCAAUUUGUACCAAUGGCUCGCAGUACACAAAUGCGUCCCGGCAUUGCUUAAAGCUCCAGAACAGACACUUGAACACUUGGCAUCCAUGGAGCAAUUAGUUGUUGUAGUACGCAGGUGCCGCUUUAAGGUCUAUUAUGCAACCUGAGACGUACCUCUCCAGCACUUGACACCACUACCACAUCUUAUUCUAUGAAGCGUCCCACUCACUAUGCAUCUUUUCUAACACCUUCUGCUUAGCUAUCCAAGUCUUGCGGUAAGAGGGCGUGUACCUCAAUUGGCUACGAAUUUUGGCAAUUAAGACCGACACAGAAAUCUUGAGAUCCACCUUCAUCGUCGAUAGUAUUAAGCUAGCUAACAUAUCUGAAUCCAUCUUGGGAUGAUCUUAUGAAACACCUGUCAACAAAGUGCGUUAAAUAAUGCAACACUACGUAAUAACAGUAUUAAUCAAAAACCAUAAACACCCAGUGAUAUUGUACCGACAACACAUGUAUGUAGACAUUUGUACUUUUUUAUCUCUCACAAGUCUGUCUUUUUCCUAACUGAAACCAUGAUUUUCAUGAAUAUGUACCGUCUUGCACUGCACACUUGGCUUCGAACUUCUCGAAUUUGGAUUUAAUCGCGUUGUAGUUAACCCCGUUCAUGAUGCCAUGUUGUUUCAAUGCACCAAGAAAACUAUCCUUACUAGAAAACUCCUUACCAACUUCCAAUUCACCUGAAUCCAAUGACGAACUUGUACGGUCACGCCUUCUGUGUGGUAGAUCUGGAAACUCUAACGCAUCAUCUACUAAUAGAUUGACAUUAUGCAUGUGGGUUGAAAGCUAGUACGCCUUGAAUCGCGGAUCUUCUUCUUCUUCAUUUAAACCCCCUUCAACAUCUUUAGGUUCAGUUGGAACAGGCUCCGAUUUAGAAGAUAAUAUAAAUUAUGCACCAUCGGGACCGGGAUCUCGAGGUGGAUCCACAUCGGAUUCAUCAUCCAACCCACCAUCAUUUACAACGUACGAGGUCCCCUCGCCGAUACAUGCCGUAAGAAGUACAUCAUCCAUUCUUGUGGAUAUUUUAUAACGUCCCCAAUCAGAUUUAUAUUGCCAACCACUAGAAGUUGAUGUUAUUCCCCAGUACGUAUUUCCAGCAUCGAACAUCAACCCAUCGAGGUGCAUGUCUCAUCCACUAACCGAGUGUCGUGCAGGGGUUAUGUAUUCUAUACUGCUACCAAACACGGGGGCUUUCGUGUUCUACCUCCCACUAACGGAGUGUCGAGCAGGGGUCGUGUAUUCUUUUCGAACAACAGUAGAUGUUGAAAUCACAAAUGCUUCAUUUGGCGAUAAAAAUUGUACAUGUAACUCAAGAUAGGGUGAUCCAACUAGCUGGAUGAGUCUGCACCAUCGCCUCUAAGCUACGACCACCUUUGAUAUCAAAUGAGUCAUAUGUCAUGGGAUCAAUCGAAGCACAAAAUCAAUACUUAAUAAACGAAACUCUCAUUGGCGUCGUUCUAAAGAUUUUACGCCUAAUUCUUUUACGAAGUUCUAUCAAAUCUAUGUUCUGGUUAAAAACCAGUCGCGCUGUGUUCUCUGAUAAAAAAAUAAUGUCAUUCCCGGUGUCACGGACCUCACCAUCAUAGUAAAUAACAGCACUAAUACGUUCGCUCAUCUUCAAUUUCUAUUCUACUUAGCCUCCUUAAUUUUUCUUGCUAUGACUUAUGCAACCUGAGAAUGAAAUUUGGCUCAUUUAUAGUCUAAGGCCAAACAGGAACUACUGUAGAAAAAGAGCGUCCACGUGGGAGCUUUUUUCAUCAAUUUUACUGACAGUGUAUCCUGCUUGAAGCGUUUUUUACACCAUUUGUUCAGAACUGUCUUCUCAAAAUUAUUUUUCUCAUAAUUAUUUUUUCAGGAACUACUGUAAAAAAAAAAAACAUCCACGUGGGAGCUUUUUUCAGUAAUUUUGCUAACAGUGCAUCAUGUUUGAAGCAUUUUUUAUAUUAUCUUUUCAGAACGUCUUCUCAAAAUUAUUUUUUUCAAAAACUACCGUAGAAAUAAAUAAAAUUUUUUAUAAUUUCAAUAUAAUUUUCCCUAAACCCUAAACACAAAAUUAUUUAUAAAAAACUUAAACCAUAAUUUAAUUAAUUCUCUUAAAAACCCUAAUCCCUAAUUUAAUUAAUUUAUUUAAAAUCCCAAAAACUUAAUUUAAUUAAUUUUUAAAAAACCCUAAACCCUAAACCUACCAAAAACUCUAAAUUAUUUUAACAAAAUCCUAAAACCCUAAACCAAAAAACCCUAAGGACUAAACAUGCAAAAAGCCCUAACCCUAGAAAAACACGGGCUAAAACGCAUCCAUGUAAGUGUGUUUUGUGGUAACAUGGCAAAAUCGCUCCCCCAAGGAUGCGUUUUGCUAAAAUUUUCCCCAAAAACGCUCCUACGUGGAUGAGUUUUGCUAAAAUCGGCCCUUCCCGGUAAAUAAUGAAAAAGUUGGCCUAUUUCCGUAAAUAAAGUUGAAAAUAGGCCUUUAUUGGUAAAAUAGUUGUUAUUAAAAAAUUCAUAUUUUCUUAUUAAUAACUUCGUUAAUUAUUAAUAAUUUUAUUAGAAAGUGCUGCUAUUUUUUUAUGGAAUUGUUAAAUUCCUAAAAUUGAUCAAAUCUUUGCUCCAAAAGAAAAAAAAAAAGAAAGAAAGAAAAUUAAAUCUGAAAAGUAAUUUUUUUUAUAAAAUUGUACUUCUAUGAUUAUUUUAGUUUUAAUGAUUUUUAUUAUAAAAUUUUCAUUAUAAUGCUCAAUAUUAAUUUAAGAAAAUGAAGCAGCAAUGAUUUUAUGAAAAUUAAAGAAUUAGAUGACAACCCGAGAGCGAAAGCUCAUAAAUGGUGCACUGCGAGAUCUUGGAGGUGAUUCUGAUUAAGAUGGCGAAGGUAGGAUCUUUCAUACUUUAGGGAAAACAAAAAGUAAAAGAAACUAGAAAAACAGAGAGUAUUUAUUAUGAUAAAGAUAAUGAUGAAAAUAUAUGUCCUGAAUAUAUAAUAUUUUUAGAAAUUAAAAAAUAACAUGGGGAAGAAUAAUCCCAUAAAUGGAAAUAUGCAAAUGCAAGAAUGAUUCAUCUAAUUUUCUUAAUUGAUAUCUAUUUUUGAAUAAAUACAAUUGGCGACUUAUUAGCCACGUCUGCUCCAGUACAAGAUCGAGACACAAUUCAGCAUCAGAUUAUUCUUUAUCAAUAAAUCUACCACGUAUGUAUGUCCCUCCUACAAUCCACACAUCAAAGUGUGCCAACUAACUUAAAACCCAUUUAUGUCUCACUCAUUUCUAAACUAUUCUAGAAUUUCAUCUAUUUGAAAUCUGGUGAUUUAAUAAACACUUCAUUAUUUGGAGCCGACCAUACCUCCAAAACUAGGCACUGUUGACAUCUACGAAUUGAACCGAUUGGCGUGAGUUUAGGUUGAGAUAAAAAGAACCGAGUUCUAUUGCAAAAAAUAAUUAUCACACACAAGUACAUUAGCAAAUAUGAAAAAUCCCAAUAACAUACUACCAAGCAAGCAUUGACAACAGCAACCAGCCAUCAACAUUCCACAUUUAAUAUGCACUUAAUGCAGAGAAUCCAUAUUCUAUUGUUCACAUUACGACUGUCAAACUCAUAAUCAAAAUUCUUGCAACCUGGCAAAUAUGUUUUCUUCUUUUGGCUCAUUCAACAAAACUACAACUUUGGCUAACCAAACAUAUAACAUCCGAUUCUAGGUACACCAUUUUCUUUUUCCGAAUUGCUUAUCUAAAUCACCUAAUAUGAGAAUUGAGAAUGCAUAUUAUUAUGGCCUCAAUGAACGAUGAAAUCAGAUAUAUCAUAUAACCAUUUACUUGCAAUCUCAGGAAACCCUGUUGCUGACGGCUUGAUACAGGGAUCUAAGCUGCGUGUUCCAUUUAUCUAUAGCAGUGUACUUCUUCAUACCCUUUGAUCUGCCAUGCAUAAGUACAGGUCAAAAAUCACGUUCACAUUGGUUCAACUUCAACCACCCCUACUAUGUAGUAAUUAUUAAGGAAUAGAGCUAACCUGUCACCGCGCUCCAACAGCCGGUUCACUUGAUCAAUAUGCCCCUCAAUACGAUUAUCCAAGAUCAAUGAAACUAGCAACUGUUCAACAUCUUUUUCUGGCACAUUGAGUUCCUGAAUAUUGAAACCUCAAGGAGUUUAAUCAUAUAUUCUCCUUUUAAAAAACUCCAGAGUUUUAUCAUAUAAAAGAAGAAUCAAUAAUUAAAUAGAAUAUCUGACACAACUGACUAGAAAGAUAAAACUGUAGCCUUCACCUUUGAUAUGAAAGGGAUCCGGAUUCUUGUAUAUGGUUUUAUUAGCUUAAGUAGCACUUGAGUUCUGACAUUCUUCAACAGAUCUUCAAUAUAAUUUCGGAUGAAUGGAUCAUCCAUAAUUGUCCUUCGGUUACUCUGCGGAAGUCCAAGUUAGCAACUCUAAAGGGGGAAAGAAAGGUCCCAAGCUUAACAAUAAGGAAAGCAAAAAGAUGCUCUUAAGAUUUUUCCAAACCUUGAGGAUUUUUUCGAACUCUAUUAUUUCAUUUCGUUGAUAGGCCGCUAUAAGAUUUGUCAUUGCCAAAAUCUCAGGG
rnacentral:lncRNA from 1 species